AGCAUUUCAAAUUAUUACAAAGGAGUGGUAAAGUUAUAUUCUUUGAGCUCAUCCCAUAUCAAAGAGAGAGUAAAAAAAUCAAGGCUUAAACAGAAAAUAUAAAACCAAAUAUAACCAAAACAAUUCCGGUUCAAGAUUGGCCUAAACAGAACCAAAACUAAACCUUGGUUUACCUGCGGCCUUCUUCUACAUGUGAAUAGGCUUGUCGUAGGUAGCCAUAGCAGCUUCCUUGAUAGCCUCACUCAUGGUGGGAUGAGCGUGACAGACUCUAGCAAUGUCUUCACUAGACGCAUCGUAGUUAAUCGCCAGAACCGCCUCGUGGAUCAACUCUCCCGCGUUUGGCGACAUAAUGUGAACUCCCAAGAUCUUGUCCGUCUCUUUAUCAGCCAAAAUCUUGACCAAUCCCUCUGCUGUAUCGAUAGCCUUGGCUCUGCUAUUAGCCAUGAACGGGAACUUCCCAACUCGGUAGCUCACACCGUCUUUCUUCAGCUGCUCCUCGGUUUUACCCACAGAUGCAACUUCGGGGUAUGUGUAGACAACGCCAGGGACCUUGUCGUAAUCCACGUGUCCGUGUUUGCCUGCUAUAAACUCAACACAAGCCACACCGUCUUCUUCGGCUUUGUGAGCCAGCAUUGGUCCUGGAAUCACAUCUCCAAUAGCAUAAACGCCUGAAACGUUGGUUGAGAACCUCUCGUUCACGAGGAUCCUCCCGAUUUUGUCAGUUUCGACUCCGAUUUUGUCAAGAUCAAGUCCAGAUGUGAAGGGAGAUCUUCCUGNNNNNNNNNNNNNNNNNNNNNNNNNNNNNNNNNNNNNNNNNNNNNNNUCCUGCUGACACGAGGACAACAUCAGCUUCGAGAGUGGUCUGGUCUCCACCUUCUGCAGGCUCCACUAUGAGCUUGACGCCAUCUCCUGAUGAAUCCACGCCAACGACUUUAGUCUUGAGCAUGAACUUCAUCUUCUGCUUCUCUAGCGAACGUUGAAACUGCUUGCGGAUUUCACCAUCCAUCGAGGGCACAAUAUCUGACGCAAACUCAACAACUGUGACCUCAGAUCCGAGCCUUCCCCAGACAGAACCCAUCUCGAGACCGAUGUAGCCAGCGCCAAUGACGAUCAGUUUCUUCGGUAUCUCGGUCAGAGACAGUGCUCCUGUCGAUGAGACAAUCUUCUUUUCAUCGAUGGUGAUGCCGGGCAAAGACUUGACAUCCGAGCCAGUUGCGACGAUGAUAUGCUUCCCUUUCACAACGGUGGUUUCUCCAUCGGUUGUCUCCACAGAGACUUCAGACGGGGAGAGGAACUUGCCAUAGCCUUUAACGUAGUUCACCUUGUUCUUCUUGAAGAGGCCUUCGAUACCGCGGGUGAGAUUCUUGACGGCUGUGUCUUUCUGAGCUAGCAUAGCAGGGAGAUCGACUUCAACGGAAGAGACCUUAACGCCAUGGUUAGCAAAAACGUGCUUUGCUUCGUGGUACAUGUGGGAAGAGUGAAGAAGAGCCUAAAAUAUACAAGAAAAGAGGAAGCUUUAUGAGAAUUUAAUCCAAAACGUAAGAUAGGUUCAUCAAAGCUAAAACAGAGUGUGGAAGAACCUAACACAAGUCAUACAUCAAAGAAAAACAGAGUGCUAUUAACACCAUGAUUAGGAAAAAAAAGAAGUGAUUUUGCUUCAUGGUACAUGUGUGAAGAUUGAAGAAGAGGUUAAAUAUAUUCAAGAAAAGUGGAAGCUUUAUUAGAAUAUUUCAUUUAACAGAAGCUAAAUAGACAAGGUAAGAUAUGUCUAUCAAAGCUAAAACAGAGUAUGGAAGAGAGCCUAACACAAUCAAACAAGAACAAAAACAAAGUGUUAUUAACAAGGAACAAAGCGAUCUAAUUUAGAGUGAAUACAACAGAGUGUGGAAGAUCCUAAGCCUAACAUAAUCAUAAUCGAAGAGCAUUGAGAGGAGUGAAGAAGGGCCAAAAUAUACAUUUUAAAAGGAACAGAAAAAUCGAAGCUUUAUGAGAAUGUUCAUUCAAUAGAAGCUAAUAGAUAGGUCCAUCAAAGCUAAUACAGAGUGUGGAAGAGCCUAAGCCUAACACAAUCAUACAAGAACAGAAAAAAAAAAACAGAGUACUAUUAACAAGGAACAAAGAGAUCUGAUUUAGUGAAUGCGUUUCAUCACACAAGCAGAGACUCUUAAACCUCCAAGAAAACCAAUUUAAUCUCCUUCACGGAUCGAAUCUCAAUGAACAAAUUUGAAUAAUACGAUUGAAAUGAAUCACCUUUGAAGGAAUACAUCCGACGUUGAGACAAGUACCACCGAGAGCGCCGCGUUUUUCGAUGCAGGUCGUUUUGAGACCGAGCUGUGCGGCCUUAAUCGCCGCCACGUAACCUCCAGGACCCCCGCCGAUGAUGACGACGUCGUUUUCGUCGGAUCCGGACGAAGCGAAGCCGCGGGAGAGGGAGAAGGAGGAUCUGAGAGGGGCAGUGGAGAUGUUUCUUGUGAGAAGGUAAGCCUUUCUCCUAGCCAAGUUCGCCAUCGCCAUCGCCAUCGUUGUUUGUUUGUUUGUUGUUUUUCGAAGGAGACUUUGGUUCUUUCAAGAGUCGAAUAAAGACGGAAAGCACUCACUAGUCACUAGCAAGGUAACCAACCUCCCCUUUGUUCCUUUAGAAUCCGGUUUCCGGUUUAGUUACCGACCGGUUCAAUUAUCAUUCAAGUGGGUUUAGAUAUUUAUGUUAUUAACCGGUUAAUGUCCGAAGAAUUAUGACACAGAUCAUAUUACUAGGAGAAUCCAAACUCAGUUAAAGUGUUUUAACCACUAUGAUAAAUUGUUAACUGAUAGAUGAUCAUCCUAAGAUAUGUACAAGCUAUGUAUGAUGAUACUUCAUGGUUUACAAUUUUACAAUUUCAUGACUAUAUACAAACUGAAUAUAACAUGAUAUGAAAUAAUGAAACGAAGAUGAAGAUUAGAGAAAGAAAGAGAAGAAAGAGUAUACAAUAUUUUUAAUGAAAUCUGUAAGAAAUGAAACAAAAAAAGAGAGAUAAAACUUUAUAUAACCUGGGAUUUCCCUUUAUUCUUAAAUCAGUUUAUUAUGUACAUAAGUGUUCACUAAUCCUCUCUACUGGAGAAAAUAGCCAAUCAAACACAGAUCAAAAACGGCUACAACACUUAUGCACAUUUAAAACAGCAAAACACAAGUAACUAAGUAAGUCACUUCAUCUUCUCCUUUUUGUCUGCUUCAUUUUUUAUUUCAUCCAAUAUCAGAGAGAGAUGUUAAAUGUCAUCAAACAAUCUUUGACUUAAGGAGGGUUUUAUCUCUCUGCUUUCUAUGUUUAUAUACACUUUGUCCCCCUCAAGACCGCACACAAACAAACCCGUUAGCCUUGCAGCAUCGUCUGUAAUUUGGCUCUGGCUUCAUCAGAAACACAAAACUGUAUUUUUCUCCUCUGAGGGGUUGUGGACGAAGACGUGAAGCAGAUGACCAACACUGUAACAUUAUCCGCCGAGUCAAGCCUGAACGCUUCCCUUCCAAGUUCCAUCGCACAUCUCCUCGGGUCCCCAUGUCUCCUCAGCCCUUGCCUGGCAAACGUAACAGCAUACUGACUUGUCAUCACGUCCCAAACACCGUCACAUCCCAUUAUCAAAAACUCAUCUUCCUCCGUCAAAACCAUCUGCUUAAUCUCCGGGUCUGAGAUCAGAGGCGACAAAGAACCUCCCAAGGAAGAGUACCUCUUCAGUGACCAGUCUCCAAGUGCUCUUGUAACCGCGAGUUCACCGUAUAUAUACUCCUCUUCAAAGUACCCUCCUAACUCCUCCACCCGUCUCCGCUCCGCCUCAAACGUAGACUUAUGAUCAAACGACAUAUCAACAGCUUUCCCUUUCCUGCAUAGCACCGCACGGCAAUCACCUACGUUAGCAACCAUCAAGUGCCGUCCGAUCACAAGAGCUGUCAAUGCGGUUGUUCCGCACGAACCACUAACAAUGCUUUCAUCUUCCAUGGCGAGAUCAGCUAACCUAUAAGCUUCCCGGUGAGAUCUCUCAACUUCUUGCAAGAAAAAGUUGUUCAGAACAAAGUGAGACUCUCUAAACACAUCGUCUUCAAAGAACAAUCUUGUCGCAUUCUCUUUAAUAUACUGAGAAGCUUCAGAUCCACCAUGGCCAUCAAACACACCGUAGAAAGCAACGGGAACAGGGAAUCUGAAGAAGGAAGAGGCGAGAUGAGAUGAAAGAUCGUCUAUGCAUAUGUGUUCAUCUUCCAUGUACUCCCUCGAGCCUUUAUCCGCAUAACUCCCAGAACUUAUCUUGGGGACAAACUCAGUAACAUCCUCUUCAGCUACAGAACAAGUCUUCACCUGUUUCAAAAAUUGACAGAUAAGAAAGAAAAAAACAGAGGAUUCACACAACAGAACAGCAAAUAAAGGCGACGACUUUAUCAAACCACAACUCUUUCUUAACUAAACACGAAUUGGAUUCCAACCAUAAAAGUCAAGUCUUGAUCCAAAAUUGAAUCCAAAACAAUCAAAAGCAGAGAAAUUGCGUUAAACCCAACACGCACACGUACCGAUCCUAACAAGGGCGUUUCUUCGGGAACGGGAAUCUCGAUACAAACAGAGUCACGGAUUCGAACUUGAGCAAUCUGAAAGCUAUUGAGAUCUUGUUGAGAUGACUUAACGUCGACGACGACACUGAUCUCAGCAGCUUCGACGACGACGUUUUGACUCAGAAGCAUCGCUUUAGCUCUUCUGAUGAACUGACGUACGCAUCUGAUUACGAGAUCCUUCAGAAGACAAAGCUGUGAGAAAAGCAGCCAUUUUUUGGUGACUGAAGAAGCUCUGCUUGUACGCAUUUUGAUUUUUUUUUUUUUUUUUGGGGAAGUAUUAAAGAAAUAAAAAGAAGUUUUACAUGAAUAUGUUGAGAAUAUAUAUCACUAAUAUAUAAAUAUUAUAUUCUGUUUUAAGAUAAUUUUUUGUGAAAAUUUAUUUAGGUAUUUUUUGUACUUUUUGGUAAAAAUAUCUUAUUCGUGUAAAUAUCUAUAAAUAGGUGUUUUGAAAUGUAUGAUUCUCUUGUGUCCACCACACUAAUCUGUUAAACUGGUGGUUGAAUACCCAAUUAAGACAAAAAGAUUUUAAUUAAUAAUAUUGUACUUUGGCCAGUGGUGAGUUACACGUGGGAAACAUGAGUGCAACCUUUUGAACCACUUGGCCUCUUUUCCAAUCCACCGCCACCGUAUGGCUCUUAACCUCACCUGAUGACCGAAUAAAUUUGAAAAGAAUUGCAAAGAGGCGUAAAAUGAUAUUUGUUGCUAACAUUAUUAAUUAUUUUAUUUAAAUCAAAGCUAACUAAUUCUUUACUUAUUAAAAAUCUGUAGAUAAAUUAGCAAACUAAAACGAAUUUUUUAAAAAGGAAAGUCGAACUCCAAACUUCAAAGGGUGACGCUGCUUGGAUACUAGUUCCGGUCAAUUUAGUAGACAAAAUUAUAGGUCAUUUAAUCCCUCGUUGAAUAAAAUGUGGCGUGUUGAAAUUCUCAUCGCAUGUUCAUACGGCUAUAGAUUUGUACACUUUUGUUUAUAUCAACCAUAUGAUAAGUAAGACCCUUUCAUGUAAUUUUCAAAGUAGAAAAAGACGAAUUAGUGACGAUUAUCCCAGCUAUAUAAGCAAAGAGAGACGUAUGUAAGCACGUUUAUUAUUUUACUACGCCUAGUCUUCUUCGAUUUUCCAAAUAAAUUAUGAUAUUCAAAUUUAAUUUAACAAAAGAUAGUUUUUUAUUCUAUUUCCUAAGUUUCAUGUUAUUUUUUUUUUGUAGACUGCAUAAUACGAUUGUGUAAACAACUCUUCAAAAAGAACAUGCUACUGAUAUAUAGAAAUAGGAAACCAAAGUACCAAAACCAAAAAAGAAGCAAAGUUGUUAAGUUUCAUGAAGGAUACAAAAGCAUCUUUGAGUUCUUAAUAGAGAUGGAGAAAAAAAGGUGUUACCAUUUUGGUCACACUAUCUUAUAAGUGGUAACCAGCUUCUGCCGCACAUCACUGCGUUAGCAGCUUUGGCAUCCAUGGACAGAACAUUCUCAGGAGGCUCUCUUUUGUCCGUAACAUAAGCAUCGUAAGACGUGGCACGUGAGAUCGGUAUAGAGAGAAUGUCACGAGCUACACGGGAGAGUACUGGAUAAGUUUGGCUCUUCUCUUUCCACCACUUCAACGCUUUGAAGUCUUUGUUCCACUCCAUGAUCGGCUCUUGGAGGUAGGCAUCAAGCUCUGAUUCACCAGACUCUCUUGAAGAUCCUUCAAACUUGAGAAAUUCUUGAAACAAAACAAAGUCCUUGUACGCAUCAGGCUUCUACUUCUCUUCCUUGUCUGCUUCCUCUCCAUCAUCACCAUAAUCUUCAUCCUCAUCUUCUUCAUCCACUUCAUGGUCAAAUGUAUCAACAGAACAUAUUGGCUUCUUAAAGAUAUCACUAGCUGCAUAGCGAGCAAACAGACUGCGCAAAUAGUCUAAAACAGCUUCAGCAUUUGAUCCCUCGUCAUCCUCAAUCUUCUUCGAGCAGUAAAACUCGACGAACUUCAUCUUAAACCUCGGGUCCAACACACAAGCAGCAGCCAAAACCAAAAACAUCCGACUCCAGUACCUAUCAAAAAUCUUCAACAGCUUCUUACCCUUACGGAGAAAGUAAUCACUCCCACCACCACCACCAUCAACCUCCUUCUUCAACAUCACCUUAAGCUCAGCAAGAAGGUGAAAGUAAACAUUAGACGUGGACCACCCUUCUUCAAAAAGCUCCUUAGCCACUUUCUAAACACAACCACCGAGCUUACAAAACGUCUCAAUCUUCACCCACUCCUCAUCAGACGGUUUAUCAUAAUCAUCGUAAAUCUCAUCCUUAGAGAAAGCAUCCUCCUUAUGCAUAUCAACAGCUCGCUGGUAAUGAUACAGCUUCAAAUCCAGUUGGGCGAUGAACACCUCCCCCACCCAACCAACAUACGAAGCUCCUCGUACAAAGUCCACCUAAACCCGCUGCACAAACCAUCAAUCAUCAACCGGAACAGAUCAGCACAGCAGUACACCACGAAAACAGGCGGGCUAACCCCUCCCUCUCCCGCACAUUUCCUGAUAGCGUCAACCGUAUUCUCAUCAAAAUCCUCAUGGUUAGGGAGCAGGAUAGUCGACACCUUCCCCACGAUCUCGAAGCUCUGAACAGCAGUUCGGAAAUGGUGAAUGUAGACAUCAUCCAAAGGUAUGGAGGCGUCGAUGGUGUAGCCGAGGAUCCAUUUCCUGACCUUCCAGCUGUCGUCGAUGAAAUGAGCAGCCAAACAGGUGAAGUCCUCGUGUUUGAUGGGGCCUCUAUAGUAGCCUUGGUUGUUGAGAAGCAGCCACUCGUAAGAGAGGGUUAGCUUCCCUUGAAAGUCCUUGAGAAAGCUCUUGGCUUUGACUUUGCGUUCUUCGUGUAUCUUGAGGACUUCUUUCCUGAUGGAAGCUGGAGUGAUUCCUAACCAGUUGGAGAUAGGGUUGUGACCACCAUCUGCCUCAUCCUCAACCAUGUCAUCAUCAUCAUCGUCUUCCUCCUCCUCCUCCUCAAAAUCAUCAUCAUCUUCAUCAAGUUUUUGUUCCCAAACUAGCACUCAAAGUCAAAAAUCACAAAAAUAGCACUUAAUAUUUUAUCAAAAAUCACAAACUUAGGGUUUAGAGUUAAAGGGUGGGAUUUAGGGUUUAGGGUUUAGGGUUUAGGGUUUAGGGUUUAAAGUUUAGAGUUUAGGUUUAGAGUUUAGGGUUUAGGGUUUAGGGUUUAGAGUUUAGGGUUUAGGGUUUAGAGUUGAGAAAUAAGGUUUUGGGAUAAGAUUUCAAAUUUUGAAAAAUAAAAAAAUUAAAAUUUUCAAAGAAUAAACUUAGAAAUGUGCUAUUUUGGUCAUUUUAAUUUUUGAGCGCUAUUUUUGUAAUAUAAAUUUAGAAAGUUGCUAUUUUGGAGAUUUGCUCUUUUAAGAACUGUUUGUCUUGUAUUUGUCAAAAAAUAGAGCAUCUCAUCCAUCAAAAAAUAAUUUAUAUAUAAUUUUUUUGGUUAAUUAUUGAAUUAUUUAUAAUUUAUCAAUUAGAUUUUAAUCAGUUACACAGUGUGACAUGUAAAAUGGAAAUUUUAAAAAUAUCUCAAAAUUUUCAAUACUCUGGUUACUUUCUUCCAUUUCGAAAUUUACAUUAAUUUUUUAUAGAAACCCCGUUAGAAUAUUUUCAGUGGAGAAUCAUUUUGAAAAGGUUUCACCUCAGUUAAACAAAGACAACCUUCUAAGAAACGAACAUCGUACUGAUAUAGAAACGGGAGAUGGAAGUACUAAAACGAAAACACAGAGAUAAUGAGAUUCGUAAAGCCCUCUAAAGUUCAAACUAGAGACGGAGACGUGAAGAUAAUGUUGUUACCAAUUCUGACACACUAUUGUCAAAGCCGUAACCAUUUUUUGCUGCACAUCAUGGCGUUAGCAACUUCGGCUUCCAAGGAGACGACGAACGCAGGAGGCUCUCUUCUGUCCAUUCCAUAAGCAUAGUACGACGUGGCUCGUGAGAUUGGGAUUGAGAGAAUGUCACGAGAUACUCGAGAGAGUACUGGAUACUUGUGACCCUCUUCUCUCCACCAGUCCAAUGCUUUGAAGUCUUUGUUCCACUCCAUUACCGGUUCUCUGAGGUAACAAUCAAGCUCUGAUUCACCAAACUCUCUUGCAGAUCCUUCAAACUUGAGAAAUUCUUGGAAGAAGGCAAAAUCCUUGCAGGCGUCAGUCUUCUUUUCUCUUGUCUUCCUUGCUUCCCUUUCUGCUUCUUCUGAUGAAUCAGGAUCAUACUUUUCUUCUCCAUCUUCUUCCUCGUCAUAUUCCUCUUCUUCAUCAUCCUCACAAUCUUCUUCUCCUUCUCCUAGUUCUUCAUCAUAAUCUUCUUCAUCUUCUCCUUGUUCUUCAUCAUAAUCUUCUUCACCAUCUUGUAUUUCAUCAUGAUCUUCUUCUCCUCCUCCAUCACCAUUUUCACCUUCUUCUUUGGAGUCAACUUUAGCAACCGAGCAUAUUGGUUUCUGACAGAUAUCACUAGCUGCAUAGCGAGCAUACAGACUGCGCAAAUAGUCCAAAACAGUUUCAGCUUUCGAAGCUUCAUCACAAACUUUGUUCUUAGAGCAGUAAAACUCAAGAUACUUCAUCUUGAACCGAGGAUCCAACACAGAAGCAGUAGCCAAAACCAGAAACAUAUGAUCCCAGUACUUAUCGAACCUCUUCAACAUCCACUUAGCAUUGCAGCGAAAGUAAUCACUAUCAGCCCCCUCAAGCUCCUUCUCCAACAUCACCUUCAGCUCAGCAAGAAGGUAGAAGUAGACGUUAGACGUCGAAUAACCUCCUUCGAAAAGCUCCACCGCCACUUUAUACAUGCAGCCAACGAGUCUGGCAAAAGUCUCGAUCUUCACCCAUUCCUCAUCAGACGGUUUGUCAUAGUCAUCGUAAAUCUCAUCCUUCGAGAACUCAUCCUCGUUCUUCAUAUCCACAGCUCGUUGAAGAUUAGAAACCCACAGGUUCCAGUUCUCGGACGAACACUUUCCCCAUCCAACAAUCAUACGCAAAUCCUCCAGCAGCUUCCCGCUAAAGUCGUUAAACACAUGAUGAACCAUCAACCUGAAAAGAUCAGCGCAGCAGUAAACAGGAAAAACCGGCGGCACAAUCGAGCUAUCUCCCCUCUCUUCUAACCCUCUCUUGAAACCACCCAACGUCUCUUCAUCAAAACCUUCCUCGUUAGGCAGUAAAAGAGUAGAGACCUUCCCCUCAAUCUCAAACCCCUGAUCAUCCAGAGCCACCACGUCCACCUCGCUAGCGUACCCGAGGAUCCAUCUCCUGACCUUCCAAUCAUGAGCAGUGAUGCAGACGAAGCCCUCGUGCAAGACGGGGCCUUUAACGGAAUCUCUGGUCCACCCGUGCCCAAGAACAAUCCAUUCGUAAGAGAGAGUUAGCUUCCCUUGGAAACUUUUGAGAAAGUCCUUAGCUUUCUCUUUGCAUUCUUGGUGUAUCUCCAGAACUUCUUUCUGGAGGAUAGAAACAGUGGGGCGGAAAUUAGGGUUGACCCCGCUGCGAACGAAGAACCUCGCUAGGGCGUUAAAAGCUUCCUUCUCCGGAUCUGCUGGCGAAGGACGACUAUAAUCCACCUCCUCCUCAUGAUCGUCCAGUUUUAGCUUCUUCCUCAUUUCUAAAACGAUUUAAGGAUACAGUCAUCAGUACACGCAAUACACUGAUAGAUUCGGGUGGAUUCACAAACAUCGAAAGGAGCUCAAUCGGAACAGAACAAACCCUAGAAAUUAGGGUCGAAUCCACUAAAUGAAUAUAGAAACAACGAGAAAAAAGUACCUGAGCAGGAGCCGGAGGCGAGAUCUCUGUUAUCCAUGUGUUUCGGGGGAGAGAGAGAGGGGUUUUCAGUGUUUGAUUUUCGCGGGAAUAUCUAUCGACGUACGUGGCUUUUUGUAAUUGGAUAGUUUUUUCUUUUCGGGGGAUUUAUUAAUCGGACGGUGAAGUACUGUGCGUAGUGGACGGACGAGAUUGUUUUGAAUAUUUACGUGUAAGGGAAAAAUGGUAUAUUCGGUUGUUGUAUCUGAGUCCAUAUAUGAGAUCUCAACAAAUUAAUAAAGUUGAGACUACACCUAAACUAUAAUUUUUUUAUUAAUUUAUAAAAAUAUUAAUUUAGCGAUAUAUUAAUUAAACUAAAAACUUAAUUUAGGACUAUAAAAUUAUAUUAUUUUAUAAAAACAUUUAGUGUAUAUUAAUUUAUAAAGUAUUAAUUUAAAGGGUGCUAUGAGAUGAAAGAGAGAUAUUUUCUAUUGGACUUAUAUUUGUGGCUUAUUUUAAUUUCUUACGUCGUCAUUGACAGCGUUGUUAAUUCGCGCAGAAUAAAAUGUCUAUAUUAAUGCUAAAAUUAUAUAUUAUGAUUACCUACAACAUAAUGUAUAUUUUAAACGAUAGUGAGGUAAAACUAAAAGUAUGGUUAUUAUCAGGGACAAAGUCAUAGACUUUUUAUAAUGGGUCCACUAAUAUUAAAAUUUACUUUAUGGUGAUUGCAAGUUUGAGAAGAAGCUUUGAAAAAUAUUUUUUUUAUUAUUUCGUCUAUCACAUUGUAAUAGUUAUGGACUUAGGGGUUUAACAAAUAAAAUCGAAAAAGGUAGAUCAAUAACAUAUUAUAAGCAAAAUAAUAACCGUGUGAAAUAAAAAAAAAAAGUAUAGCUCCUUUAAAUUCAGAAAACAUAGUUUCAUAAUAAAAAAAAUUGAAGGCUAUUCGAACAUCUAAACACACAUAAUUAGUUUAGAAUAAAAAAACUCAAAAUAACAUAAAACUUGCAUAACAUAAUAAAUUAAAGUCUUCAACUCUCUUGACGUCGACUCAAAAUGCGCGGAAUGGAAUCCUGAAAGUAAAUAAUUUUUUUUAACAUUAAUACUAAUUAUGUUCACUAUUGCUAUAAUAAUAUUUUGAAAUCAUAAUAAACUCACAUUGAUUUGUAGUACUUGAUUUCUGAAAUCUAAGGAUCAAAUAAAAUAUCCGAACAACCUUCAACUGUUGUUAGAUGUCUGAAGCGACCAUAAAACUCAACAAUUCAGUUCUGAUCAUAAACAAUAACAUUUUAAAGUGAUAAAGUGUCCUCACGUUUACGUAAAACUGGUUGACCAAUGUUACAGUGUUCUGCUCAUAUCUCGUUGGCAUCACGUAAACGUGUUCGUCCUAAAUUGUAAAGGUUGUUCCAGAUGCAACCAGCACGUGAGACUUGCUGGUGGUUCGUUCCUGGAAGUUUCUUCUCAUCUUCAAGGCCGUCUAAUGCAGAGCUCUCAUGGCGGCGAAGGUGGUGACACUCACAUGCUUAUAUUGCUUGCCCGAGAAGACUAAUACUCUAAGUCGUUGCAUUUACACAUGAGCAGAACACAUUUACGUGAUAAACCAAUAUCUUUGAAAAAUAUUAGGUCCUACUUCUAUAUAUAGUGGAUACACAAAGACCGUGGAACCUAACGUUUACGUGAUAAAUCAUUAACUUCGAAAAAGAUUAGCUCCUACUCUAUAAACUAAACAAUGUACCACCAAUAUUGUGAUCAUUAUGUAGGUGAAAUUAUGAUACACAUAUACAUUUUGCUACACUAAUGAUGCAAAACGGUCAGGCUGUUCCGAGUUGCGAUAUUUUGUGUAACAUCUGUGUAAGUUGUCUCACGUUUACGAAAAACUGGCUGACCAAUGUUAAAGUGUUCUGCUCAUAUCUCGUUGGCAUCACGUAAACAUGUUCGUCCUAAAUUGUAAAGUUUGUUCCAGAUGCGACCAGCACGUGAGACUUGCUGGUGGUUCGUUCCUGGAAGUUUCUUCUCAUCUUCACGGUCGUCUAAUGCAGAGCUCUCAUGGCGGCGAAGGGGGGGACACCGCAUGCUUAUAUUGCUUGCUCGAGAAGACUAAUACACUAAGCCGAGACGAUUUACAUUGAUUCAAUCUCAUCGAAACAUCACCUCAUCGAGCAGCAACAAAACCGAGUACCUCACAUUUAUCUAGAAAUAGAUUUUCAACGUCCUCUUUCAGCAAUGAGAGGCGGUUCUCAAGAACGUAAGUGCUCUGCUAAAUGCAUGAAGGCAAGUAUGGAGAAAAGGGUUACUCCAUUAACACUUGGCAUCGUACUAAAGUUUCAUCGCUUUGUCAUCUCUACGGAUCUGUCGACUUAAUAGCGAUAGAUCAGAUGGGUUACCUUUUUUAACAGAAACGUAUAGAGGAAUAAUGAUGAUUUAUUGAUGCUAUGAUUAUAUUGAGAGAAUUGAGAAAUCAACUAAUCGAACUUGAAGAUGAAGGUUUAUCACGUAAAAGUGUUUGUCGAGAAAAGUGUAGAUAGUAUGAAGUUCUUUUAAAAAAAUGUUAGUGUGAACGCAUUAAAUUUACAUUUUUGGUGAGAAACAUUCUCUGCGUGACACUGACACCUAAUCGUUUUACUAAAUAAAAGCUUCUCGUGAAACCACAUCACCACGUCACAUUCCUCGCCAAUAAAAUUUUAAGGUAAAUUUUUUUUUUUUGAAUGAAUGUUAAAUUUAUUCACCAAAAAAAGCCUUAUUACAACUAGUGCAUACUUUUUUGCAAAGUAAUUUACAUACUAGAACUCAAAAAAAAAAAGACUAUAAGCUAAUUACAUUCUUGUUUGAAACUAAAUUUGCAUUAGCACUUCCAUCCCUCUCCCUCAUUUUUUCUGCACCAAAGUGAUUCUAUUUCUGAUCCUCUUCUCAAUCACCUUUUUAAAAACUGGUAACGGUAUCAUCUUCUUCCCAUGCUUCAGCUUAUUCAUUUCUCUCCACAAGGCAUAUAAAACAGCUUGGAAGGCAUAUCUGGUACAAAGUAAACUCUUCUUCUCUCUAGUCUUAUCAGAAAUAAUGGUUAUUAUUUCAGACCAAACUACAGUGAAAGACUCGCGCAACAAUCCUUUGGCUAUAAGGUAAAUUUUAAAGUGCUUCUCUGAGGAUAUACUUUAUUAAUGGAUAAUAAAAUUAUAAUAUCGAAAAUUGAAAAGUAACCUUUUAAUUGCUUCAAUAAUAUAUCUUGUUAUUUCAAAAAAGGCUUUAUAAUUUAGUAUAUAAAAGAGCUAUAAUUUUGUACAAAAUAUACCAGUUAAGACAAAAAAAAUGAAAAGAGGCUUUAUAUUAAUUUAACAACAAAUAACCUUAGAGUACAUAAAACGCUUCAGACUAAAUAAAAUAGAUAAACCAAAACACAUAAGCAAAAUAAUAUAAAGCCAACACCAAUAAAAUACUUAUAAGAAUAACAAAAAAAAGCCUCUUUUCCUUGUAGACAAGCAUCCUAUAACUCUUCAGCCACUUUUUUCAGUCUUCACUUUCUUGAUCGAAUCAGAAGGUCCAUGUUUGUUAGCAGUACUCUGGUAAAAGGCUGCCUCUAUACUUUCGAUUGGGGAUCCUUCACGUUUAGCAGGAGUCUUCACAUUAGAUUCAGAGUCAACCGAAGAACCGCCAGCUAGCAGCAUAGAACCCUGAACCACACGAAUUGUUAUUUAAAAUAAAACACUUCGGCACAUUCAAACAUAGUUAGUAGAGAUCAAUCAAUAUAUUACCUCUGGGUCCUCAGGCCCAUUAGAAAAAUCUGGGUAGAACAUGUUUGAACCUCCCUAAUCAUUUCAAGUUAAAAGUCUUUAAGAUAUCCAAAAACACUAUAUAAAGACUCGGGUAUUCAAAAGACAUGUACCUUAGGAUAAGAGGACACGUCAAACUCGUUCAUCAUAUAUGGGCUGGUGAUAAUCUUCUGCACCUUGAAUGUGUCGUCCUCGUACUGAUAAUUAACCUCAUCUAUAAUGAUCUUAAACAAAUAUGUUUUACCAACUAAAUUCUUGAGAGCGGUGCGUAAAACAUUGGGUUCCAGGAUCUACAAAAAACGACAAUCAAGUAGUUGUACGUAAGGUUACAGAGAACAUAUAAACAAAACAAACAUUACAAAACAAAUUGAAGUAGAGGCCAUACUUCACUUGUGAUAUGUGUCGUUGGAUGAAAGCAAGGUUGAUGGAGCAAUUGCAGCGCAAUAUUAUCUAACACCAACAACUUCGUGUGGCCUGUAUUAUCUAGUACUACCAAAUGCAACUUGUACCUAGCAUAAAUAAAAAUACAAUUAAAUAUAGAUAACAAAAAUACAAUUGUUGAUAUGCAAGAAAAAUGAACUGGGUUGUAUAUUAGUACCUUAGCUUCAGCUUAGGAUUGAGCAUCUUGCACUUAGUACAAUAGAGCAUACAACGAACAUCCAGUUCAUAGGUUCUUCCGGGGUGAACGUUAUUAUGCAACAUAUCUAGUUUUGUACCACACACUUUGCAAAUAAUAUAGUACCAACCCAUAUCAUUAUCAAUCGCAGCUAUGGUGCACCUUACAAAACACCUCUCAACCUAUCAAAAUAAUCCUCCUAUUUAUAAAAAUAAGAAAACUUAAUGUAUGCUUAGGUGAUGAAAUUAUUGAAAUUAAUUAAACCUUUCUCGUCUCCAAAAUAUCAGAUAUUGUUUUUUGUGGCGUUUGAACGAAGUAGUCUUCUUCCUCUGACAUCAUUGAUACCAUCGAAAAUGGUUUAGACUGCACAAUUUCUAAAGAUAUAUUUUCCUUUGGUAACCUAAAUAUAAAAAUAAAGAAAUUUGUAAAAUCAGUACUGAUAUAAGGCUGAACUAAAAUACAACUCGAUGAUUUUCCAAAAAUAUACAAACUUACAAUUUGGCAAAAGUUUCUACCUCUUGAAUAGAUGGAUUAAGGGAGAUAUCGGACACAUUGUAUGCAUUGCAUACGCUUCGCUCAUCUUGUAAGAAGAACAUGUUUUUCAUGUAUAAGAAUAUCAUAUUUAUAAAGAUCACUUAAAAUAAGUAACCUCAUGAAAAUAAAGACGUUUACCUUUCCAUAUUUUGAUCUUGCCAAACUUCAUAACACAAAUUAGAGUUCGAUCAGAAAGAAGUUGAAUUGCUUCGCUUAGAUCUAGUGCAACCUUUCCCCAUACAACCAAUGGAAGCCUAACAUCUCUGAGGAUCAAAAUUUAAAAGGAUAUGGUGGUAAGUAUGUGAAAAUAAAAUAUAUAAUGGUAGAUCCUUACAAAAUAAAACUAUAUCAAAUCGUAUAACUCACUCUUCAUUUUUUAACUCUAAUGAAAUCUUUUCUGUGUCCUUCCCACUGAGAGACACUAUUUCAACAUGAGUAACCUCUACAAUCUGACCAAUAAUAUCUACAAAAUAAGAUUAAAAAGCCAGUAUAAUAUUUUUGACCACGUUCAACGCUCUGUACAUAUAUUUUAUUUACACUCACCGAUCAAAUAUUCAGGGCUCAGACUACCAUCUAAGAUUUCACGAAAAUUGACAGGGGUGAAACCAGUCAAUCUGUAUGGCAAAUCGUCACAAAAUCCAACCCGAGUGGUGGCUUGGAGCCAAAUUUUGUAAGGAUACUUGGUUAAUCGAUAGGACCCACAUGAUUGAGAAAGAGAAAAAUUGAUGAAUAUCUUCGAGUCACCUUCUUCGAGGAAUGAUUCAAAGAUCGGAACCACAUCAUCAUUAACAGUUGCAUGAAUCAUAUCACCCUGCAGCACAUAUAAGUAAAACCAUAUAAAUAUAAAAUACCUAUCUAUUUGAGUAUCAAACGCAUAAUAACCAGUGUUAUAAAAUACAUUAUACACUGGUCGGACGGUGAACUACCAUAUAGUGCUUAAUUGUAUAUACAGAUGCUUAUGCGGGGUAUAUACGGUCAAUAUUUUAUAAAGAAAAAUAGAUUAUUUAGUAAUUAUAGUGAUAAAUCUAAAAUAUAUAUCAUAAAUUUGUAUAGUUCUAAAUGUUUUCUAAUUUAAAUAAAGAGUAAAAUUUCAAAUAUAUUCUAAGAUCUUUUUUUUUGUAGAACCUGGAUGUGAAACAAAGAAUUUCAUUAUAAAACAAAUAUUCUGGACAAUAAAAUACAAAUACAACAUCUAAACUUUUAUAUUCUGCAAUGGUAAAAAGAUGGGUGAAAAAAGGAGAGACUUUAUACACACAUUCCUACAAAAUAUGAUCACGAACCUAAAGUAAAGUAAUUGUCUUAAUUGGUCUUUUAACUCAAGUUAAAGCUUCCAAAACAUGUCAAAGCAUCUAAUUUAACCGAACUAUAAAAUUUGGUACGCCAAGGUUACGUAUAACGUAUAGUCAGCGCAUGUACGGCCGUAUAACACGUAUUUUAGAACAGUGAUAAUAACAAUAAUUCGUAUUUCAGACCACCAUCAGAAAAACAACUUACAUUUGAAUCAAGUAACACCAUCUCAAUACUCUCAAUGUCGCCUGCGAAGUAUUGUCUCCAUAGACGAAUGAUCUUUACCUUAAUUUUCCACGUAGUUUUCAUAGGAUUCAAGUCGAUAACGUUGUCAAAAAUUCCAGCCAUCUUAAUGUGGAGUCUACUCUACGUUUUUUGUUUUGGGAUGGAGAGUAAGAGAGGCGGCGGUUAAUAUAUAUUUGCUAUCCUCUUAACAUUAGGUUAGCAUCUUUCAGCUUUGUAAAUUAGGAAGAACCUAGUAAUGGUAAGAUAAAAUAUCCUACCAUAUAUUAUAUAAGAUUAUCUACAUAGAGUUUUGACAUAAUUUUAGACAGGAUUGCUUAUUGAAAACUUGGGGGCCAAGCAUUAUAACCAAGUUUCUAUAAAACAUGGUUACUGUUAGAUUAAGGACGAUCAAAAUUGAUAUUUUUAAUAAAUCAAUUUCAAAUAAAUAAACAUUUAUUAAUUAAAUUUCUUUAAAAAACGAACACAACCAUAAUCCAAAAAAAAAAUAUAUAUUUAAUAGAUUUCGGAAGUUAUAUUCGUGGUUUUAGCUACAUGAAACUCAAGUACUCUUCGAACAGCAACACCUAUCGUCUCUAUAGUUAUUUUUAGCAUGAUGAAGGCGAAGGUGAUAACGUUAAAAAUAAAAUAUAUACGUACUAUAAGCCGAAGUGAAAAAUGAAACAGAAACGGGUUAUUGACGAAGUCAGAGUAAAGUGGGUUGGCCUUGUGCAAGCGACUUCCGGAAGAGCAAUUACCACAGCAAUGUGCAUGUGGUAAUAAGAAGCAUGUGGUAAAAACGUGUUAACAGCAGCUUAGCAAUAGUUUGAAAUUGCUCUGCCGGAAGUUGCUUGUCAUCUUCAAGAAAUUCAAACAAUUCACCAUGCAAACAAAGAGUUCCAUCAUAUAGGUGCAAGUAUAGGCCUCAUAAAGCAGUUCUUUUGGAAACUACUACCAAACAAACUUGGGCAAACUCAGUGACAACACAGAACUCUCGUUCAUUCUCAACCGUGGAAUCAAGUAUUUCAAUUAUCUUCCCAUGACGUGGCUUCCGCAAUAUCUGAAAGCAAACAUACAAGUACGGUCAAAUCCAAUGAGACUCACACACACACCAGGUGAUGCGCUAGCAUAGAAUAAGUGCAUCUAACCUCGAUUUCUUGUCUUACAUUGUGUAUUAUCUUCUGCACUCUUUUGCAACAGAACCGAGUUGUGAUAACUCGAAACAUUAUGGCCACUUAGAAUAAAAAGAAGCUCGUCAGUACUGGAAAAAUUAUGGUUCAAGCCACUUAGAAUAAAUAGAAGCUCGUGAGUAUAUUUUGUCUUAGCCUAUCACGAACCUCGAAUUAUUGUCUUAGAAUAAAAAGAACCUCAGUGAGUACUAGAAACUCUAUCACGAACCUCGAUUUCUUGUCUUAGCCUGUGUAUAUCUUGUCUCACGUACUCUUCGAGCACAAACACCUCUCGUCUCUAUGAUUAUAUUUAGAUGAGGAAGGUGAAGGUGAUAACGUCGAGAAGAGAACUUUGGUUGUUAUGUCGAAAAGAAAGCCAAGAAAAAAAAUAUCGUCUUGAGAAAGAUUUUUAAGGAUUAACGUAAUGUUUGCCUUAAAUUCAUAGUGUUUGAGACAAACGUUCUCCAAGCGACACGUAUGCAAUUUCUUAAAUAAAAGCUUCUCAUAAAGCCACGUCAGACACAUUGCCAAUAAACCUUUAAAGAAAUUUUUAAAAGUACUUCUCCUUAAUAUAUAGGGGAUUCAAGAACAGAAAAAUGGUGUUACAUAGUAUCAGUAUCACUGGUUCAUGUGUUUACAAAACUUACAUGACAAAUCACUUUAGGGAAUUUAUCAUCUAUCUAAAAAGUUCAGAAUGACUCAAAAAAUGGUUUACGUUGCAGGCCCGGCCCUGAGAUUUAGGGGGUCAUAAGCGAAAUAUUAAAGAUUUUAACAAAAAAAAAAAUUCUACAAAUUUGGGAACCUAAAAACUAUUUUUAUAAGCCUAUAUCUGUGUAAUUUUUUUUCAAAAAUUUUGGGGAUCAAAACCCAAUGUUUCUUUGGUUUUGCCCCAAACUAGUCCCUAUUAUAUUGGUAUUCCUACAUUAACAUAGUCCAACUGUCCCGAUCAGUACAUAAACGUAUGAGCUGUGCGAAUUCAUACACAAACACUCAAUUAAUUCAAAUUUCAUACACGAAAUGACGAAAUCCAGUUUUUACAUACAUUGACGAAUUUUCCGUUAGUCAAUGAAAACGGAAUAUGAUCUGGCGGUUAACGGUCGCUUAUAUGUCCCUUAAAAAUCCUAUAUGGCAUUUUUGUUCAAAACAAUAAAUAAUUAUUUAAAAAAUAUUUUUAAUUUCGUUGAGGGAAGGGAAAUCGAACUUGGGUUGGAGUAUUAACUCAUCCAGAAAUCAGCCACUGUGCCAAGAUCACCAUAUUGUUUUUAUUUAGUAUGAUGUUUUAUUUAUUUUAUACUAUUGAAUAUUUCUGUGUUUUAAAAAAAACCUCAUGUAUAAAUAUUUUUUAUUCACAAAUUGCAUAUAAUUUCUAAUAUAUAAUACAUAACUAAUGUGUAAAUUUUUAUGUGUUAAAAAAAAAACAAUGUAUAAAUAUUUCUGAGUUUUAUAAAAAACAUAAUGUAUAAAUAUAUUUUCACAAACUUUCUUAUUUCAAUCGAAUAAAACUUAGAAAUGUGGAAAGAAAUCAGAUUUAACGUUAUUUGAUCCGACCUGUAUGCCCAUAUAUAUGAAUAUCAUUGAUAAGGAUGAACUAAAUUAUUAUAUUAUCAGCAUAAAUUUUCUCUAAAAAUGUAUAUAAUUUUUCACAAAUUUUUAUAUAAUUUCUAAUAUAUAAUACAGAUUGUUGGGGAGAUUUCUCCAUGUAUAAAGAUGCUAGGGAUUUUUAUAGGAACACUCUAAUAUAAAAUAUGAAUGUUGGACACAUCUCUUGUAAUUUAUGAAUAAACUAGUAUUACUGCCUGGGCUGUGCACAGGUUAAUAACUUUUUUAAAAAAAUAUUUGAUCGUUGUCAUAAUUUACAAUCAAAAUAAAUUAUUAUUUGAACUAUUAUAUAAACAGUAGCACGUAAUAAUAGAGGUUCCUACAUUGAAACAAAGCAGUUGAAGGGAUAAAACAGAUAUCAUUAUAAAAUGGAUAUAUGUUUGUAAAACUAUUUUAAAUAACAAAAUAUAAAAUAUAAUUAAAAUGAUUUAUUUGAUCCCUUAAUUUUGUUUGAUGAUUUUAAAAUAACAUAUACUUAAUAUAAUUUACUGUAAAUUUAAAUAAGAUGAAUCUAACAAAUUUGCUAGUUUAUUUUCUUACAGUUUAAAGUAACUGUUGCAUUUAUUUUUAUGUUAAUUUAUCUAACAUCUUUUUGUAAGAGCACACAUUUCAAACUAACCCACAUUACUUAUUUUGAUAGUUUGUUAAAUUUAUAAAAAAAAAUUAACAUUAUAAUUUUUUUAAUUUUUUUACACCUUUAGUUUGUUUUUUAUUAGAUUAUAAUGACUUGUUUAGCAAUAAUUAAGUAAAGUAAACUUACCUUUGGAUUUGGAAAUGCAAGUUCUGUGAUAUAAUCCAAGAAUAGUUUUAGGGUCGAACUCAACUGAUGUAGUGAAUGCUGAAAAAUAAUUAAUUCAACAAAUAAAAUAUUAAUCACCAAAUUAAAGAAAAGUACUAAAUAGUAGAAAACAUGCAAAACCUUCUUUGCGAGGCCAAAACAUGAUGAUUAUCCCUUUAGUCCCCUUUCAGGAGAAUAUUUUUGAUUUUGCUCCAUCCCAUCUUUUCAAACCGUGACCUACAGUGCAUUGUGCAUGUGCCUGCAAAUCAAUGGAUAUAGGAAGUUUCUAAGUUAUAUAUAGGCAGUGAUCUAAAACUUAAUCUCUUCAAAAAUACCAUACCAUAGUCAAUCUCUUCUCGUAAUUUUAUAUCUUGUCGAUUGAGUCAGCAAUGAUAAAUAAAGUUUUAAAUUGGUAUAGAGGAAAAGAAAGAAGACGUUUUAAUUGGUGCAGGGAAAAAAAAGACGGGAAGAAACAUGUCGAUGUUUUGUUUUGAGAGAGAUAAAAAUAUGUUGCUUUGACAGAGAAGAUUGAAAGAGGAAAAAAACAAAGAAUAAUUUAGUAUAUCAAAAUUAUAUAGAAGAAAAAAAACAGUUUGAAAAUGGUGAUCAAAUGGUUUUGAACGUGGAUGCAAUAUACUAAGAAAAUUUAGGAUUAUGUCCUGAAAAUUAGGAAUAGAAGAUAAACUAUUUUUAGUCAGUUUUUAUGUUUUGUUUUUAUAAUAUUUUGUAUUUUCCAUAUGUCAAAUUUUAAUUUGUUAGGUGACUUCUGCUAAUAUAUAAGAGAUAUAUAAUGAAAACGAAAUAUUCAUUAGUUUUUUUCUAAAACACAUAAAUAUUCUUUGUAUAAAUAGAACAUCAUACUAAAUUAAAACAAUUGGUUGGACUCAGCACAGUGGCUGAUGUCAAGAUGAGUUAAUGCUUCGACCCAAGUUCAAUGCCCCCAGCUUAGCAAGUUUAAAAUUAUUUUUAACUAAUUAUUUAUUAUUUUAAACGUUAAAUGCCACGUAUGAUUCUUUUCAGACAUGUAAGCGAUUGCUAAUUGCCAGCUCAGAUUCUGUUUUCAUUGACUAAUGGAAAAUUCGUCGAUGUAUGUAAAAGUCGGAUUUUAUAAUUCGUGUAUGAAAUUAAAAUUAAUUGAAUAUCCGUGUAUGUAUUCGCACAACUCGUAUGUUCAUGUACUGAUCGGAACUGUUGGACUCUGUUGAUGUAGGAAUAGGCCGAUUUCCCGUUCAGGGACUUAUUAUCACUCAAAUGUUGUUUUGAGUCAGCGAAGCUAGUAGGGCGAAAGGUUAAAGGUUAGACACAUUCUAUCAGCCUCGUUGGUGACUCUCAUCGUUAUGUUAUCUCUCUGGUUCAUUGUAGACCUAACAAUGGUGCUAGUUAAGCUUUAAUAAAAGUUUGUCGUCGAGGAGUAGCUUCAAUGAUUCAUAACAUUAACUAGAUCUCGAUCCGCGCAAUCGUGCAGAUUUUUGUUUUCAUUUAUUUUUAUAUAAAUAUUUUGUUUUCAAUUCUAAAUUGGUAUAUAUUAUAAUAUAUAUAUGUCUAUCAAUUUUUAAAACAUAAUAAGUUUAUUGUAUAUUUUUUCAUUGAAUAGAUUGUUUCAAAAACUUUCACAUGUAUUUGUAUUUUCUUCUGUAUAUAUAUUUUCGGAUUAUUAUUUCAUUAUUAAAAUCCUAACUAUAUAUAUAAAGAUUAGUAAAAUAUUGUUUAUUGUCAUAUUCAAAGAUAUUGUAACAUUUCACAAAUUUAGAAAGUUUUUAAAAAAAUAAAUGUUUCGCUUCAUAGAUUUAUAUUAUCAAGUAAAUAAUUAAACAUUUAGUUUUUGUUUAAUUUUAAAAAUAAACUAUAUAGUUUAAAAUUUGUUUUCAUUGGUUUAAGGCAGUAAAGAUUAAUCAUUGUUAGAUAAUAUGUUUUUUGUUAUUUUUUUGAAAAAAUUAUAAUUUUAAAAGUUAACAUCGACAAAUAUUUAAUUAGUUAGCAUAUAGAGGUAUAAUAUUACAACACUAGAUUAUAUCUAUUUAAUUUAUAUUAUCUAUAAAUCCAAUAGAUUAUCUAUUGUUUAAAUCCAAUUAUUGAUAACCCAAUAAAAAUUUCUGGUAGACCCAAAAUUUAAAUGAUAAGAUUAUAUAUUAAAUGUAACAUAACUUUCUAUUAAUAGAUCCGUUAGGUCCAUUUUUAAAAAAUCACAUAUGAAUCGAUGUUGUGACUUCUGUUUUAAUAUAUAAGAUUCUAGAGUGCAGUCAAUCCAAUGAUUAAUAACGGAAAGAACGAUGCUAAUAUAAAGCUAAAAAUGGGCUUAAUAUGAUGCAUGACUAAAAAUAAGUUCUACUAAAUAAAUUUAAAGUAGUUUAAUAAUUAACCAAAAUUUUUAUAAUUUUUCCAAAGAAGAUACACGCUAGUUACUUUCUUCAGUCUUGAAAGUUUAAUUAAUUUUUUUAAUUAUAAAACCCCAUUGAAAUAUUUUCAAUGGUGAAUCAUUUCGAGAAAUUCCAAUUUAGUUAAACAAAUAUAAGUAGAUAACCUUCUAAGAAAUGAACAUCGUAGUGAUAUAGAAACGGGAGACGAAAGUACUUAAACGAAAAACAUAGAUAUUGAGAUUCAUGAAACCUUCUAAAGUUCAAACUAGAGACGAAGACGUGAAGACAAUGUUGUUACCAAUUCUGACACUAUUGUCAAAGUCGUAACCACUUUUUGCUGCACAUCAUGGCAUUAGCAACUUUGGCUUCCAAGGAGACGACGAACGCAGGAGGCUCUCUUUUGCCAGUAACAUAAGCAUCGUAGGACGUGACUCGUGAGAUGGGAAUUGAGAGAAUGUCACGAGCUACUCGAGAGAGUAUUGGAUACUUGUGACCUCCAUCUUCUCUCCACCAUUCCAACGCUUUGAAGUCUUUGUUCCACUCCAUAACCGGUUCUUUGAGGUAGGCAUCAAGCUCUGAUUCACCAAACUCUCUCGGAGAUGAUCCUUCGAACUUGAGAAAUUCUUGAAAGAAGGCAAAAUCCUUGCAAGCGUCAGGGUUUUUUUCUCUGUUCUUUCUUGCUUCCCUUUCUGCUUCUUCUGAUGAAUCAGAAUCAUAUUUUUCCUCUCCUUCUUCCUGUUCUUCGUCCUCAUAAUCUUCUUCUUCUUCUUCAUCCUCGUAGUCUUCUUCUUCUCCUUCUUGUCCUUCAUCACAAUCCUCUUCUUCUUGUUCUUCAUCACAAUCUUCUCCUUCUCCAUCAUCAUUUUCAUCUUCUUCUCUGGAGUCAACUGCAGUAACAGGGCAUAUUGGUUUAUGACAGAUAUCACUAGCUGCAUAACGAGCAUACAGACUGCGCAAAUAGUCCAAAACAGUUUCAGCAUUUGAUCCCUCAUCAUUCUCAAUCUUCUUCGAGCAGUAAAACUCAACGUACUUCAACUUAAACCUCGGAUCCAACACACAAGCACUAGCCAAAACCAAAAACAUCUGAUUCCAGUACUUAUCGAACCUCUUCAACAUCCCCUUAGCUUUGCAACGAAAGUAAUCACUAUCAGCACCCUCCAGCUCCUUCUCCAAUAUCACCUUCAGCUCUGCAAGAAGGUGGAAGUAGACAUUAGACGUCGAAUACCCACCCUCGAAAAGCUCCACCGCCACUUUAUAUAUACAGCCAACGAGCUUGCUAAAAGUCUCGAUCUUCACCCAUUCCUCAUCAGAUGGUUUGUCAUACUCAUCGUAAACCUCAUCUUUGGAGAACGCAUCCUCCAGUUUCAUAUCCAAUGAACAGAAGAAACAACGACACGGCAGUACCAGAACAGGAGCCGGAGCCGGAUGCGAGAUCUCUUUUAUCCAUAUACUGAUGAUGGGGUUUACGAUUAGGGUUUAGGGCUUGGGGGAGACGAUUAGGGAUCAAAUUAGGGUUUUCGAUUUUAAGGAAGAAGAGGCGAUUGCGAUUGCGAUUUCUAGUGUAUCAUUUAGGCGGGAAAUGAUGCUGCUGCGUGGCCUUUUUUAAUUGGAUUCCUUUCAGGGGAUUAAUGAAUCGGACGGUGAAGUACUCUGAAAGUAGUGGACGGACGAGAUUUUUUUUUUUAAUAUUAUGUGGGUGAGAAAAUCAGAAUAUUCGAAGCCCAUAUAACUAUGAGAUGAAAGAGAGAUAGUUUUUAUUGGGCUUAUAUUUUUGGCCCAUUUUAAUUUCUUUCUACACGCACAGAGUAUAGAUAAUAUCUGAAAAGUUUGGAAUCACUAUAAAAUGUUUGAUGUUGGUAUUUGACACUGCUGCUCGCCUGCUCUGGGACUUAUCAGUCACAUGUUGCUUUGCGUCAGAAAAGCUAGCAAGGCGCAAGGUUCAACUGCUGACUCUCCUCGUUAUACUCUCUCUGGUUCAUUGUAAGGCUUAUAAUGGUGCUAGUUAGCUUCAAUGAUUGAGGAGAAAAGUGCUAAUAUAAUAUCUGAGGAUGAAUACAACCAACAUUGAGCCAACAAAACAAAUAUAGAGCUCACACAAAGGCGCUUAAUAUGAUACAUAACUAAAAAAUAAGAUACAACAACAUUCGGUUUCUUGAUUACCAUUCCAAGAAAUAGCACAGCAGGACGAAGAAAAAAAGACAAAAAGUCCGCGGUCGGAUUAUGCAACAUACAGAGGGGACGCAACAAAAGCGUCAGUUUCAAAACACACUUGUCUAGAUGAUACAAAACCAUGGAUACUACUAACUUUGCGAUGAGACAAGUCUCAAACCCUCCAUGUUGCCGAGGACGUAAAGGCACUUGCUCAGCUUGACGCCAUGACAUGUAUGACACGUUUUGUGACUCGAACAAACUCAUUAAACAAAGAGUAAUCAAAAUCACGAGCUUCGUUACUCCCGGUUUCUUUCGACAGAUCAGGUGGUAUUGGUGGGUUCUGACAAAUGACAAAGUCGAACCCACCGAAUCUCUCCACCAAAGCCUCAAGCUUAUUUGUACUUAAGCUCCUAAUCGCUUCGAUCUGCACAAGCUCUCCGGUUUGUCCUGAACUCUGCCACCAUCGUUUCAGUAUGUUACGGCUCAGUCCACAGUGCUCAACAGAGACCACGUUUUUGAGAUGGAUUCCAAGGCGGUUUAACGUGAUCUCCGCACCACCGAUCCCGCUAAAGAGCGAUAAAACUGUUAACCCUUCAGGAAACAAGGACUUGAGCACAGAGAGAUGGUAACCCAAUGUGUCUGUCUGGAAACAGAACUCAAACAGCUUCAACCUCUCAGCAUAUCUCGCACCACCGAUCUUGGUGUGGUUUGUUGGGUAUCCCAUGAUGCACUCUAGAUGCUCAGGCUCUACAGGUGAGAGGAUGUUGGGAGCAAUCCAGAUAAGAUUAGAGGUGUGACAGUGUCGGAGUAUUAUAGUCUGGUCUUGCUGAGAUGGCUUUCCCUUGCAUUCAGCUAGACGACGUCCAAGUCUUUCACAAAGAGUAGUUGCAUAAUCUAAAUCAGAACAUGCAACGCUACUCAGAUGCUUUCUCACAUCCCAUUGUGGCCACCAGCUCUUCAUGUGUGGCAUUGCGUCUUGUACAGUUAACCUUGGCGUUGGGAGGAUGUUGAACCUGUUUUCAACGGGAAGAUUGUGCACGUACCCUUCUGUCCUGCGGAGAGCUGAACACAACCGAGUAUCUACAUGCUCAGGGUGGAUUCCGAACAAGUAACCCGAGAUCUUAGAACACCACCUUGGAGAGAUUUCACUUAGGUUUCCGUAGAAGAAAUAAGGUCGUGUUGCUACAUCGGGGCUAAGCGUUUGGGAUAAACGUGGCUGCAUUGCCCUUGAGAAUCCAUAUGUGUUAUCUUUAUCAUCUUGCAUCCAAGGGGUUUCCAUAUAUUCGGGUCUUGGCCUUUUGCCUCUGUCAUCGAAGUCAGAAAAUUCGUCUAGAAAGGCAUUGUCAUCUUCAUCUUUUAGUCUUUUACCCCUUGAGGUCUCUCCCACAUUGGCAGUGGUGGAGAAAGGAAGAGGGUCAGUACUAGGAUCUGGUUUUAUAUCAGCAGUGCCACUUGAGGAACCUCUACCACUGUCUACUUUCUCUGCACCAACACCAAGAAAUCUCCAACUCUUUGAAAGACAUGUAGCUGCAGGAGCCGCUGAAACUUUCUACAGUCAGACCAAAUAUCAUUGCGUGAGAGAAGAGAAUGAGAUGGUUUUUUAUAAUGUGAUUCAACAGAGAUACACAAACAUUCAGUUUAAAAACAUUGAAAGUACGCACUUUUUCUAUUUCUUCAAGGUCAUUAGGAAUGAGACCAGGAGCUUCACCAGUAACAAUUGUCUCAGCGAGGUCAGAAAUUUGACCUUCCGUACCUGAAGAGGUGCAAAUAGAUUUAAGUAUAAUAUGGGUGGAUACAACAUAAAUUUUAGCUUUUUCAUUACUCCCUUUGAUUAUUAUGAUAAUUCCUAACAUUGGAUGAACAAGUAAAGAGAAUAAGUUACAGACCUAUCUUCUCAAUUGCUAUUGAGAUUUCAUGGUUAGAGAAUCCCAUUUCCAGUAGAUGCAAAGUUUUGUCCAUUGUUUCAAACAAUACUUCAUUGGGAACCUAUAUAAAAUAUAAAACAUAGGUUAGAAGGUAGUAAUGACGGACAUAAGCACAUAAGAAUAUGCAAAAUGAGCCUAAAAGAAAGGAAGAUAGAUAUAAGAAACAAGUUAAAGUAUAGAAGAAAGAAUUAGCAAGAAAAUUCAACAACUAAUUUCAAAGACAUUACAGACCUCAGGUCCUCUGGAAGCAACUGGAAUGACAUCUUCAUCGUCUUCAUUGAUUUCAGUGUCAUCAAGCGAUUCAUCAGACUCUUCUGCAAACUUUUCUGCUAGUUGAGCAGCAACAAUGAAGUCCACCAUCACAUCAAUUUGAGCGUCUUUACCUAUCACACAGAAAAGAAAAUCAUGAAGAAAGGAAUUGGCUUUCACCCUUAAUAUUAUUUUAAAACAGUUCCAUAUAUGUUUCUGUUUUUUUGCCUGUUCAACAUGUCAUACAAUGAAAAGUUCCAAUCUCUCACACAUGUAAUCACUGUUCAACAUGUCAUACAAUGAAAAGUUCCAAUCUCUCACACAUGUAAUCUUUAAGAACACACAAUGGUUUUCUUGCAAUAGUAAGAAACUUGGCAUUGUGGAUAUAUUACCAAGUCUGUCUAGUGCAAAAUCAACUAGAUUUUCCGGGAACUUCAUUCCUAGUAACGCCAUCCUUUUGCCAUCGGCUUCAUAUUCAGUAUCAGGCUCCUAUCAAAGAAAAGAGAGACUAUUAAGAAAUAAAUCUGAAUUAAAUACAAGACAUGACAUCACACGUUAGACAAUUUACCGGUUUGGGUUCCAUUAGUCCAUGAAAGCUGGGUUCAGGAUGUUCAGUUACAGAACUCUUAGUGAGAAUCUCUAAUAACAACUCAAGAUCAUCUUCACCUGGUUAGAAAGUAAACGUCAGUAGUAUUAACUAUUAGCCUUCAUACGAUAAAAAAAAAAAAAAAAAAAUUGUUGUAGGAUUUUUCUUAGUACCAUUUUCAUCAAUAGCUUUCUGAACAAGAGUAGGGCAAAAACCCAUCUCAAUCAGCAAUGACUUCACAUUACUUCCAGAAGAACUAGCAGCAUUGUCCUGCACAUCAAGUAUGGAAACAAUAAAAACCUUCCCGAACCGCUACAAGGGAUGCUUUAAGGAUUCAGGAUGGCAUAGAAACGUUAAACAUACACCAAACUGCUGAGGAUAAGAAGUGUCGCAGGGCAAGUCGAAAUCUAUGGUCUCUGGUUUUGGGAACACCAUAUGUUCAUUCCUGUCAUGACCAGAGGAACCUCCACCUCCUUCUCCUCUACGAAAAUUACCCUGAAAGGUUCCCAAAACUUAUGAAAAAGUGAUACAUAUUCCCAAAGAUACAUUCCAAAGUUGUCAAAUCAUAUACCAUUUAGAGAAAGAUCCACAAACUCCACAGCAGCAAUAUCACAUGAAAGCCUGCACAUACCGUAGAAACAGUGUCAGUAUCACCAUCAUGGAUUGUAUUAAAAUGCACCCAAAAUUACAUAUGAAGAAAAAAAAAAAAGAUAUAUAAUAAAUGGAAAAAGCUCUAAUUGAUGAUUCUACCAUAAACAGCAAAGAAUGUAUGAAUCAUCAUUUGAUAAGAAUCUAAACAUCUUGCAUCCCCUUAAAAGUAGAAAUCCUCGAACUAAGAGAAGAUUUGCGUCCACGAGUUCAAUUCAAUUUCACUACAAAAUAAUCUAGCGAUUGCGUUCAAAGGGGAGAUUAUGUAAAGAGUGAAGAGUGAGUAAGGAUGUAACCGUACUUGAUCAGGAAGGUGCAUGCCUGUUGCGGUGGUCCGGCGGAGGGAAAAGCCUAAGAACUAAUCGCACUGUAUCGCAGCGCGUGGACUUCACUGCCGGCUAUUGUGAAAAUCUGGAAAAGUUCUUUACUGAUUCACUUUUAAUGAAUGUCUGAGCGAACGAUCGAGCGCGUGACGAAAACGAACGGUCCAGAUCAUUAAGAGUUUAAGGAUUUUGAUUAUAUUACUGUUUUAGAUAAUAAAAAUCCAGUGUAUAAACAGUGUCAGUAUCACCAAACAAACUCUUGUCUAUUUAUAUGGUAUAUAAUUAAAUUUAGAUGAUAUUAAUAUAGAUAUAGUAUAUUUUUAAUAUUGAUAUCUAUUAGAUAAUGUUUUCUACUCAUAUUUUUUAUCAUUUGUAUAUUUUAAUAACAAAAACUUUAAAUUAGUGAUAACAAAAUUUUCAUUGUGAGAUAUUUAAUAGUUAUAGUAAUUAAUAAUUUUUAAAAAAAUUCAGUGCAAAGUUUAAAUUUAAAUAUUAAGUUUUCAAUAUUUUUUCAAAGCUUUUAUCAAAAAAAUUGUUCAAAGUAAAUUUUAAAAUUAAAAUAUUUAUGUAUUUGUAUGUGGUAUAUAGUUUAAUUUAAAAUAUAUUACAUAUAUACAUGUAUACAUACAUAUAUAUAUAUAUAUAUAUAUAUAUAUAUUAAUUUUAAUAUUUAUUAAAUAAAACUUCUUACUUAUAUGAUUUUGCAAUCAUUUGUAUUUUUUCAUAACAAAAAUUUUAAAAUAUGAAUCACAAAUUUUUUAAUGUGAGACUUUUAACAGAGAUUAAUUAAAUUAGACUUUUACUUAUAUGAUUUUGUAUAAAAAAAUUUUAAACCAUGGAUCGCAAAAUUUGAAUGUGAGACUUUUAACAGUUUUAGUAAUUUAUAGUAAUUUUUUAAAAUUUAAAAUAUAACAUAUAUGAAAAAAUCUAAAUUUUUAUUAUGUGGCUAAUGUGGUUGUUUGAUUUAUUUAAUAAGUUAAAAUUAAGAAAAAAUGAUAGAGUAUAUAAUAAUUUUUAUAAAAUAUUUAUUAUAAAAUAUUCAAAAUAAUUAAUUAUCAUAUAUACUUUAGCCAUAUUAAACAAUUCCGUAAUUUUAUUUAAGAAAAGAAUGAAUUACAUUAAUAAUUAAUUUAUGAUUAGUUUAAUAAAAUUCUUAUUAUAUAUUUAGAUGAACCAACCUAUAUUUCUCCAGAUUCUAAAAGUUGUGGUGAUGACACAAGACAAACUGUAAUAAUUCUCUUUUAAAAUAUAAGAGAUACUAUAAAUUCUAGUGAACUGACAACCAAUAAAUUUCUCUCAGUAAGUUGCAUUUUAUAAUGAAGAUAUUUAACUAUAGAACUCCUAUGUAAUAUUUAUAUGUAACCAUCAUUAAAUUUUAUUUGAAUAUGGAAUUUUUAAAAUAGAUUCAAAAAUUAUGUUAUAUAAAUUCGUCAGUAAACUAUAUUGAGCAUUUACAAUAAUAUUAUAUUUUUAUGAUAACAAAAUGGCUAAAUAAAUUAAAUAACCUAAUUCUUUUUUUUUGAACAGAAAAUAAUCUAAUUCUACUUAAUACAAAGUUUGUAGAUUUUGUAGAUAUAUCCAUAUUUCAUUUUUAUUCAUUUCCAAUAAAGUUAUAAUGAAUUGAUGUGUAUUUGCAUUCACUAAUUUUUUUUUACGACAAAAGGCGAUUAUAUUACUCAGCAUUCACUAAAUUUCUGUACUUGUUUCAUUUUCAUAAGUUUAUAAUUUCCCUUUUAUAAUGAGUAAUGGAGAUUAAUUUAUGGCUGUAUAUAUGUGUGUUUGGUGCAUAUCAUCUUCUUAGACGUGCAGUUUAGAGACCAACGUUAAAAAUAUAUUAAGAUUUAGCAAGGACUCAUCAGUCGUUUCGUUGUUAUUGUUGCUGCCGUCAAAUUUUUUCCGGCAAGUUCUGAACAUUUUGCCUAUAUUUGUAGAUAUCUCUAUAUUAUAAUCGGUUUUUUAUAGUUUAACUUUUUUUAAAACUCAAUUAGGUGUUUAUAGAUAAAUCAAGUGUUUAAAAUAUGUUAGAUGCUAUCUCGUCUUUGAUGUGGGUCUAGUCUCGAAGGAACUAAUCGAAGAUUUAAAAAAAUAUUUUUGUCUACAAAAUCGGUAGAAUUAGAUGAAUAUGCGUAAUGUUUGAAACAUGUUAGAUGCUAUCUCGUCUUUGAUAUGAAACCAAUGUGUGUCACUACAAAAAACAUAUCUUGACCACAUUUUCGACCAAAAAAAUUAUAACCUUAUUCUGACUAUUUUAUUAUGAUUUAGAAAAAUGGCAGGAAAUAAUUAGAAUUUUUUUAACCAGAACAUAUAGUCAAAAAGACGAUCAGAAAAUAAAUUAAAUUUUGACCAUAUUUUUAACAACAUAAAUGGUCAAAAAAUAAUUAUGACCUUAUUUUAACCACGUCAUGAUGAAUAAAAAAACUGGUCAGGAAAUGGUUAGAACUUUUAAACCAAAAAAAUAUAGUAAAAAAUGAUCAGAAAAUUUUGACCACAUUUUUACCAUUUUCUGAUGAUUUCUUUCAUUUAACCUAUAUGUCAAAUCUUCUUUACUCAUUCUCAUCAAUCCAGUUUGCUCCUCAAACGACCACAUGUGGGUAUAUUGUUUAGCCAUAUCACAUCUAGGUGUUGAAUGCCGACUAUAUGGCCGAUGAGAUUUAAUUAGAAGUAGAGGCUUAUACAUUAAGGUAUUGUUCUAAUCUGAAAACAUGUAAUAUAUUACUAACAUAUGCUUGUAAACAUUGCUUUUGUAGAUUAAGGAAACCUUGAAGACAUGUGGACACGCAUAUGUAGAUUAACCAUCAUGUGAGUGUGUCUCUUUUUUUCAAACGAUAUUAUCAUCACUGAACAAUACAUACUGCAGAAGCAAUUUUUGUUCUGUUUUUAAAUGACAGGGUGACCUCGGGAUUGGUCUACUGGAUAGUCAUACAUUUCCUACUCAUUAUUGCUUUCAGUUUGCUAUUCUUUCAACUUGUACAAACAUAUGGUUCCAAAGCUUCUUCUGAUUACGACCAAAAAAGAAUAAAAGCCACAUUGAUAUUCAUAUUAACGGUGUUGUCUUCAUCUACUAUAAUGUUUUUACUGCACUCGCUCAUAUUUACGGGUUUACUUUGCUUGUUGCUUUCAUGGGCAUGUCAAAUAAUAUGAAUCUUCCUUUCAUCGUUGUUGGGAUACUAAUUGGGUGUUGGUCUCUCUUCGUUUGGGCUCUCCAUGACUUGAAACGGGACUCAUACCGACUAGACUACUAGUUUAGGAUUCACAUAAUUUCUCUAGCGUUUUUAAUUCACAGUAUUUGUAAUUCUUGUCAUAAUUGAUGCAGUUUAUAACUAAAAGAAAACUAUUAAAGUAUUUUUAAAUAUAUCUACACUUUAUAUGCUAGCCGUUAGUAACUAACAGUCUAACUCAUCUACUUAUGUUUGGCGUUUAAACUUUUUAGACUUUUCACUUUUGAUAAAAAAAAAUAAUUCCUACUUUAAUUAUAGGGAAUUUCUCUUAAUUAUAAGUACCGACUCCAGUAAACACAAACAAUUUAAUCAGAAUAUACUCCAUGUUUAUGUAUAAGUAACCCAGAAUACAAAUUAAUGAAAUGUGGAUUUUUCUAUUAGAAUUCAAAGGCGGUCUUCGAGAAUUAGGCUCGGCCGUUAGGUCACCUAUUUUGAGUUAUGGACACACGUAUAAACGAAACUCGUACUGUAUUUAAUUUAAUGACUUUUAAACGUUGGUUCAGAGAUCACAAAACACAAAACCACAUCAACACACUUGGACAAGAGAGAAAAGUGCAGUUUAAUGUUCAGUGUCACUCAAGUGAAGAAACCGGUAUAUGCAGGAAAGGCAUUUAGAAAGGUCGAGAUCACUUCAGAGGGUACGAGUUUUACAACUUUCUGGUGAUGCCUCUCCAUUAACGAUAAAACCAGUUUCUGCGUAUCGAUUUCAUUCAGAUGACCUGCAAAAUCAGUACAUCAAAAAAAAAUUUAGAAAUCUCGUAGGUGGUUGUUUCUUAUCUUGUUUUGAAGAGCAGCUUACCCAAAUCAAUCUCACGCUCAUCAUCUUCUUCAUCUGCUUCUUCAAUAACUUCACUAUCUUCCAAUUCUGCUGCAGCUUUAGCAUACCUCUCUAGAAAUUCUUCCUCUGUUUCUUCACAUUCAUCAUCACUCUCAGAAUCCUGUUCAGAUACACAAACAUGGAUCAGCUUAUUUGGAAAAAAAGAAACAAGUCACUAGAAGACCAAUGUUGUUUCUUGAAAACAGCAAAUUGUUUCCUCAUCUGAGGCUUUAUUUUUUAAUGUAACAGAGUACUAGCAAUCAAAUCAAACCUCGUCAUUUGAAUCAUUUUCAUCAGAUUCUUCCUCUUCUUCUUCUUCAGGUUCUCCAUCAUCUUCAUCAUCGUCUGUUUCUUCAGCUAUUUCCUCUAGUCUCCGAGAAGCCUCCAUCAAUGAAACAAAGCACUUCCUUACCAAAUCAUCAGUUGCAUUCCCUUGCCUUACAUCUAAAAGCAGCUCAAUCACCUUUACUAACGUCAACACUGGAAAAAAGCAGUCUUUUAGUCUAUGCCCAUGCAUUUAUGACUAAUAGCAACUAUAUACAACCAAAACCUUUAAAGAUCAUGUUCACCAGUUGCUUAAAGCCUAAGUUUGUUACUUCUGAAUCAUCAAACAUAUAAACGAAAGAUUAUCUUCAACUCACCAUAUAGUUUUACUUCGGACGCUAUUGAUGGAGGACUGGCAUCAAGCGUAAGCGAAUAUGAAAACGCCAAUGAGGAUACCCAUAACUCGAAACCUCCAGAAACCACUUUCUCUAAAACGCAUUCCACAACGUCAGGAUGGGAGAUAUAGCAAGAUGAUAUCGCCAGCAAAAGAGGCCUCCACAACGAACAAGGUUUCUCACGCAACUGUAGGAAAUGAGAAAAGGCUGCUUCACUGAAGACCACCGCCAAUGAUUUCCUUACCCCUUCGAUGUCAGACGAGUAGUCUGGUACAUGUAAUAACGUGUGGACACAAGAACAAGCCCUCCUUGUGGCAGACGGAUACUCAAGUAUGGCUUUACUGACAAACGAACCAAUGGAUUCAACAACAGAUCGUGGACGGACUGGCAUGGCUGGCGGGGAAGGCAUAUCUCUGUAAAGGAAACUUCUAAAGUCAUAUUUGGUGCUUAUACUCACAACUUCUUCUAUGCAGUCAAAAACGGACAAAUCCUCCGACUCUUCCCAGCCAUUCCAGCUAGCAAGAAGAUCAGCCCAAACUACGAGUAAAUCAGCUAAUCUGAGCUCCACAGCUACAUUGCAAUUAGUAGAAGCAAGCGCAAUGAACCACAACAUCUUCGAGAAAUGGUCUAUGCAAGAAGUAGGAGGCACAUCUGUUGCCUGAACAAUGCAAAGAUAAAAGACAGAGCAGUAGUGCGAAUUAGAACAGGAAUCCAUUGUUCCAUUCAGGCGCACAUGCUUGGUUUUAGUUUCUACAAUUCCAUGUACAAAAAAGCAGUGGUGUUUGAAGAUAUAUAAAGAUAUUAAGAGUAAGAAAGAAUUCAACUACCAGCCAUGCGUGCUGUAAAAGUGCUGACAAAGCUUUGCUGAUGGUACCUUGACCGGUUAGCCAUGUUUCAGUGGCUUGAUUUUCCUCCUCAUCCGUUUCAGGCUUAGAGAUUUCAUGAGUCUGAGACAUUGCUGCUAGUGUCUCAAGGCCACCCACAGUAGCCUUAUUUGAGAAAAAAAAUAAGAAACAAACAAUUGAACGGUGACUUGCUGUAUCCACUAAAAAAUAGUCCAAAUUCAACAAGAAUUCCACAAAUAUCUGGGCUUGCGUCCAGGAUUUCAUGUGCAUGUGAUGUAAGCUUUUGCAGUAAUUUAACUUAAAUCAAUAGAAAUACAUUCCUGUACUUUCGUUAUGUUUUAAAACUUUAAAUUUUUCAGCUAAAAUGUUAAGAAAACAGGAAUUGAAUUAAACAUACCUGAGACCAUUGAUCUUCACUAGGAUCGAUAAAAUUCAGCAUAUUACUAACAAGAGAAGAUACAAUGUACGGAAUAUGCAUAGCGAUAUCUUGACUUCCUGACUCGACCACAGAUUUUAGAAGCUGAAACAAAAUGCUAUCUUCUUCGUCCUCUUUGCCAAUCCUACCAAUAAUAAUCUGAAGAAGCGGCAACCAUUCAGGUGGUGGGUACUCAUUCUGAAUUGAACAAACAUUUUCUUUGAGUUAGAUUUGACAAGUCAUCACUUAAGCUACGAACACAAUUGUUAAUAUAAGUGCUGACUUACUUCGAGUAGUGAACAUAUUCCCCCAGCAGCCGAAACACGCACUGGGUAACAAGAGAUCUCUUCCUGAUCUGGCAUUGCUAAUGCCUUCAGCAGGGACGAAAAAACAUCCACACUCAUAUCCUGAGAGCAUAAAGCAACUAAUCAAUUAUGAGAUCACUAUAAAUGACAUGUUGCAAAAUUUAGAAAGUGCAUACAAAGAAUAUUAGAUUCCAGCAAAUGAUUUUACCCAAAGAAAUAUAAAGAAAGAAUAAAAUUAACACCUCAGGUAGGCAGGACGCAAGCUCUCCAAGUACCCAAUUCGCAGAUGCAACCAAGUAAGGUGAGCAAUCAGAUGUAGAAUAAAUCGGUAGCACGCGGGUACGGACUAAAGAUGCCACAUACUCAGGAUUUUGUUCUUGGAUAAACUGUAAAAAGCGAAGCAUCAUAAUUCUGUAAAAUAUCUGCGAAUGCAAAGCUUCAAAACAAAGAGAACCAAAAUUUCUCACCUCUUGCAGGCCACCAUAUGCCAUUAGAACACCAAAAUAGCUGACAUGACGAAAGUAGCAACAAAGUUAGCUAAAUCACAAAGUGAAAGGGAAAGUAUUAAAGUGGAAGAGGAAAUUCUGAGAAGUCUAGCACAGAACAUAAGAGAAUAUUAAUAUAUUUCAAUAUACUGAACAAAUAUCUACGACAUGUUGAUCUUGGGCUUGAGAAACAUGGCAUGGAACACUAACUUGCAAAACGAGAUCUCUUAAAUUUCUACUAGAAGAACAUAUAUCGAAGAAGUCAUGAAAAUGUAUAGGAACUCACGCUGCUGAAGUAUUAGCAUCCAGUAUGUUGCUCUUUGAAGGCACAGAAAACUUUGACAAAAAUGGAAGCACCAGUAGAUCUCCCAUGGAACGUCUUUGGUUAUUUAUUCUGUUCUUUUCACCUUUCUUCCGCUUACUUGCAGCUGAGGAAGCUUUAUUCGUAGUAGAUACUGGUGGUCCCUAUGAUAAUGGCAUCAAAUUCUGUAAGAAGCUAUGAACAAAUAGCUGAAAAUAGGUUAUUGACUAACCAUAAUUCUUCACCUUUGACAUGGCAAUAACACCAAGCAAGUUCAUAGCACUUUUCCUGGCUGUAAACAAGUCCUCCCUCCACCCAGAAAUUUCUUCCUGCCAAAUCACAGUGAUGUUAUUCCUAAUCAUACACAUAAAAGUAUUCAUAAACAUAAAAGUAUUCAUGUAGAGAGAAAGAUAAGUUGACAUACUAGUUCAGAAGGAAGGUUCUUCCUUAUGAAUUCAUCUGCAUCUUCUUCCCACUCAGAUAUGUCCUAUGUGUAAAACAUCCCCGAAAGAAGAGUAAAGUUUCUGAAUUAAGAGCCCUGGUAGUAAGCAAUGCUUGCAACACAUAUUACAACUUGCAGAAAGUGUACCCUUUCAUUCAGCGCCAGGGCUGGAAAAAUUGCGGAGUCCAACAAAAGAGAGAAAUGGGGUGAAAGUAAUCUCCAUCCCUGUUUUCAAGGUACCAAAAAUUUGCUGUCAUUGACAUUUGAUAACUUUAUUAAGAUUGGCAGUAAACAUUCUAACAACUUACAGGGCCAAUUUCCAUGACGCGUGAAAUUACAUCAAAAGCAAGUGAUAUGAUUCUCUCAGUAAGGCUUCCGAGCUUCUGCACAUGGUAGUAGAAACUCAGAGCAUUAGAUUGAGAAAAUAGUAACAUUUGGGUGAGAAGCAGCAAUUUUUUGUAGUAAAAAAUUUUGAUGGAAACUUGUCAGGCACCAAAAACCCAAAAUUUUGAAGAGCUCGAAAAGUUAUUUCUGGUAAGAAUGACUUGAAACGCUUUAGUACAUACACUGAUGUUUGAGCUAUGUUUGACAAUCUUCAUUGAGCACUUUACUAUCUCCGGCACCAACCUGCAUAAUAAAGAUAUAUAAGGCGUGGGACAUAAGCAUUGCUAAAGAGGUUUUUAAGGUGUUUGCUUACUUGUCAGAGUAUUUUCUAUGUCUGCUGACAAGUGUGCCAAAGAGGAGCAAACUUCUCUUUCCAGUUUUCAACCUUAGCAAGUAUCCAUCAGAAGGAGUAACGCUCCAGUCAAAACUCAAGGAGUCCAGAAUUCUGAUCAUAUCUCGGCAGAAGGAACCGAGCAGAGGUGACAAAGCAGACGGCAUAUGGGACUUCACCUACAAUACUAAUUACCCUUAACAAAACAACCACGGUGGAUAGUACGAUAUGAACAAUGACAAGGUGAUAUGACAAGUUUUAAUCCAUGAAAAUUUUCAAUCUCCCAGACAUGCAAUACAAACUGAAUAUGUGACUUACUGAAAAGUAGAGGCAUUUGCUAAUGAUGUGGAGUGUCUUUUCCAUUUCCAGUUCACCCCAUUCAUGUGUAGUCAAAGCCUGCUUCAGAAUCAUACAAAUUAUGAAUGCUCACUGAGCUCCAAAAUGAAAAUAUAUCUUACAUAAAGAUGUGAGCAGAUGAAGAACAAGAAAACACAGAGGGAAAAAGAAGAACCUUGUCAACGAGACGGUGGAAUACUGACACCAAUGGCACAAGAAUUUCAUUGGUGAUACUCUCCAGCUGUUGUGGCACUGGUUCCUUAACAAGUUUCGGUUGCAAGAAGUACUGCAAAGCAAACACACAGAAAUAUACCACGUUUAUUUAAAACACCAGGAUCGUUGGAACCAGGUUCACACUACGAGACUACCACUUCAAAUAUAAACAUUUUCAGAUUUGUUUGAAUUGGUUAUAAUACUAGUAUACCACUAGAAAAUAUUCAGCCGGAAGUAGCAAAAGUUCACAACCACAAUAAUGAACAACCAACCAUAAUAUGAUGGAGAACGAGAUAAGCUAGAGGAGAGCUUAUGGGGAGAGAGAAUAGGACAUGCAAGUUUAAAGCUGCGGCUUCGUUAAUAUAUUAUUUUAAAAAAAUUCAAACUAAACUGAAUGCAACAAAUACCUGAAAAGGUUUUACAACAGUGAGCAACACCAUCAGAGCAUUCACAGUACUCCAGCUAGAGUCUAAACAGCUUAUUAAACUGCUCUUCUCGAUAGCAGAACGCAGCUCCAGUACAAGUUCAGGCCACGCAUCUUUCUUCACAAACUCUGACACAACAACAAUGUGGAACUGGCCACAAACAAAGUAAAAAUAAAAAUGUGCACAAAUGAAGAAGAAGCGAAAACAAGAUUAUCAACAGCUGGGCGAAGACAAGCCAGUUGAAAACGCAAACCAGUUCAAGUAAAACUUUAAGAAGUGCAGGCUCAGCAUGAAGCAAAGCUCGAAGGAGCUGAUCCUUAAACUCCUUGCUGACUUCUGAGAUGAUCCCACCAGCCCCAGUGUUCCUUCUGGUGAAAUUCUUCAGAUAUGUUGCAGCAGCAACUCUCUGACUCGGAUUUUCACCUCCUGUCAAUCAGAAAAAACAUGCACUAGCAAACAUUUAACUGCUGUGGAUACUUAAAAAGCUGACUAGAACCAAAAGACUCAGUUGAGACUAGUAUGCGUUUUUGGAUCAGCUGAAUUAACAUAUUGCUUAAGGAUUCAAUUAUAUUGGAGAAACUAGCAUUGGGCAUAUUUUAUCUGAUAAAUUCGAUUCAAUUUGUUUCUAUUCGAUCCAAAAAAUUGGCAAAUAGUAAAACGUAAUAUCCACAUAAAGCAAAACAAAUCACAAAUAUUAUUCUGGAAAGGCCAAUAUUGCUUCGAUCGGGUAUAUUUAUAGAGAUAUUGUUUGCAUCUCGUAAAUAGAUCUACCAAAUAAGGAUUUGGUGAAGUCGCAAGUCAAACAAGGUAACCCUAAUUGUUCCAUCGAUUCGAGGAAAUCAAAAUUCUACUCUUGACAACGCAACGAGUGAUUAAUUAAUUGGUUAGAAACCGAAGACAGAAAGAAGAAGUUACCGGAAGCGAUGGAGAGAAGGCGAUAAGGGAAGUGAGGGAGCUCCGUAGAGAGUCGAUCCAGAGCCUCCGUCGCCUCGUGGACGGAAACGCCAUCUAUGGAAUUAAGCGUCUGGUCAAGAAGCCCACCAAUCUGAACUGAGUCGUUGUCGUCGGCGACUAACAUUUCUUUUCUUUUUUUUUGCCUUUUUUCUUGUCAAGUGAACCCCGCCAUAGCUUUUUUAUUUUAUUAUUCACUCAUAAAAUUUUAAUUGGGAAAACACACGAGAAGCGGGAAGUCAUUUAGGUAUCAGCUAGUGGCGGGAAAUAAUUUAGAAAUCAGCUUGAAAGCAGGAGAAGAGAAGAUUAGAUUUUAAAUCACCAUUGUUUGUUUCUCUCUUAUUUAACCGUCUUGUCUUGGUUAGCCUUCACCACUGUAGCCAGUGUGGCUAUUGUACAUUUGAGCAGAGCCAUAGAAAUGAAAAGGUCAUCACUUCAUCAGCUCUUGUGCCUUGAGGUGAUGCUUCUUUUUAGAUUUCUGUUGGUCAAUUUUUUUGUAAAAUGCCGCCCAAAGCACCAAGAAAUUUGGGUUGAUCAAAUCUAUCCUUAAAACCAAGGCGGACUUUUUCAUUUACUUUCUCCAAUUGCAGUUAGUUGUGUUGGGGCAUUUCCAGCCACAGACACCAAAUUUACUGAUGAAAUUACGCUAAAUUUGGUAUUUUGAUAUCAUAUUUUUUUUUUGCUAUCUCCAAUCAUGAUACCAAAUAUUACACCAAAGUAAUAUUAUACAUUUUUUGAUGUUUUCAGCUUUAAUAGUUUUUAUAUUUUUAUUAUUUAUAAUUGAUAAAUAAUUAUUUUGCAACACUUAGAUAUUAUGUUUGUUAAAUUUUUGUAAUUUCAUGUUUAUAAAAUUUAUUUACAUUUACAUUUACAUUUUCAGUUUAACAGUAUUAUACUUUUUAUUUAUUUAUUUUAUAUAAAAUAUGAUAUUAAAAGUUACUAACUAUUAAGUAUAAAAAGCACAUAACAAAAUAAUAUAUAUUUUUUUUGGGUGUUUACUUCAAAUUUAAUAUGCAUUUUAACCUCAUCCGGCUUUUAUUAUUGAUUGCUAUAUUUUUUUAAAUGCUAACUAAAAAUUUAUAUUAUUAAAAAUAAAAUAAAAAAGUUCUAUAAUAUUUCUUUUAAAAAUAUAAAGCAUCAUUUAGUAAUAUCUUACUUGAAAAUAAAAUAAAAAUAUUUAGAUAUGUAAAAUAAUUUAAAAAUACUAAUUAUACAAUAUAUUUUUGUUUAGUUACAAAUUUGAACUAAUUAAUAAUAAUAAUUAAAAUAUAUUAUUAAAUCAAAGACAAUAAAAUAUAUAUAUUACAUAUUUGAUGUGAUGAAUAGUGUUAUACGAAAAAUUUUUGUCAGCACAUAGCAUACAUUUGGUGAGAUAAGAGCAUCCGCAUCAAUGAACCCCCUUUUGGGGUUCAUAGGAUUUUUUUAAUAUUUUUUUAUGGGACCAUGAAUAGUGAUGAACUUCUAUCGUUUGUGUAUCUGCAUUAGUGAACCUGAAGAAGGGGUUCAUAGGAAUAAAAUAAUAUUUUUUAAAAAAAAUAUUUGAAAACUUUUUAUUCAAUACAUUAAGAAUAUUCAAAUACAUUAAGAAUAUUAAUGAACAUAGAAAGAUUAUUCAUCUACAUUACCAAACUUUUUCCAUACAUUUUCAACUAAAUCCGCUUUCAAAAGAUGAUGUUUCUCUGAAUCCCGAACUUCAUUGCGAACGCCUAACAUAUUACCUAUAUUAAAACUUGUUCUCGUUUUCACCUUGGAACUUCUGCUUGACUCUCCUGACUCGAACUCAGAUGUAUCAAUUUGGGUAUAUCCGUCUCGUUCGUUCUCUACUAUCAUAUUGUGCAAUAUGACACAACUUCUCAUAAUCCAUCCUAUCUUUCCUUGUCCCAUAGUAGAGCUGGAUUUUUAACUAUUGCGAACCUUGAUUGCAAUACUCCAAAAGCCCGUUCGACAUCUUUUCUGGUGGAUUCUUGACGUUCGGCAAAUAGCUCUGCUUUAGGACCUUGAGAGAGUGGGAUGGAUUGGAUAAAUGUUGACCAAUUUGGAUAAAUCUCGUCACUAAGGUAGUAGGCCAUACGAUAAGUGUGGUUGUUGACCUUGAACUUCACUUUUGGUGCUCGACCUUGUAAAAUAUCAUCAAAAACUAGUGACCGAUCAAGAACAUUGAUAUCGUUGAGGGUACCUGGUAAUCCGAAAAAUGUGUGUCAUAUCCAAAGAUCUUGUGAUGCAACAGCUUCUAAGACAAUUGUCGGCUUUCCUGAACCACGUGUGUACUGACCUUACCAAGCCGUUGGGCAGUUUUUCCACUCCCAGUGCAUACAGUCGAUGCUGCCAAUCAUGGAGUAAUCGUUGAAGAUCAUCCUCAUUAGGUCUUCGUAAAUACUCCUGUCCAAACAAUUGUAUUAUCCCAAUAGUGAAAUUUUCCAAACAUAAACGUGCCGUACUUUCACCAAGUCGGAGAUAUUCGUCAUAUGUAUCUCCCGAUUGACCGUAUGCCAGCAUACGUAUAGCUGCCGUACACUUUUGAAGUGCAGAUAGCCCGAACCUUCCGUGAGCAUUUUUUCUUUGCUGAAAGUAUGGCACUUCAGUACUUAGGCGAUCGACAAUGCGAAGGAACAAUGACUUGUUCAUUCGAAAACGCCGCCUAAACAUUUCCGAUGGGUAUGUGGGAUUUUCGUUGAAAUAGUCGGUCAAUAGUUGAUUGUGUCCGCGUUCCCGAUUUCUUUCGAUAUAAGCUCGUCUCUUCGGGUUGUUAGCUUGACCAUCAACUACUGAGUCGAUGAAAUUAUCAACAACUUCGUCGACCAUUUCUUCUAAAUACUCAUCUACUUCAUCACUUGAUGAGGAAGACAUUGUUGAAGCAAUUUACUUCCUAUAAAAGGCAAAAGGGAUUUAUAAAAAACUAAUAAAAAUAUAACUAUCUUAUAAGUAAAUUACAUUUAUUUCCUUGUCUAUAUCGUUUUUUUGUGUUGUCUUUUAUCAUUUUUUUUUAAAUUUAAAAAUAUUAAUUUAAAUUUCCAUUACUUAAAUUUUUUAUAAACUUAUAAAAAUAUAACUUAUAAAAACAUAACAUUUUUUCCUUGUCUAUAUGGUAUGUAGUGUUGUCUUUUAUCAUUUUUUUUUAAAUUUAAAAAUAUUAAUUUAAAUUUCCAUUACUUAAAUUUUUUAUAAACUUAUAAAAAUAUAACUUAUAAAAACAUAACAUUUUUUCCUUGUCUAUAUGGUAUGUAGUGUUGUCUUUUAUCAUUUUUUUUUAAAUUUAAAAAUAUUAAUUUAAAUUUCCAUUACUUAAAUUUUUUAUAAACUUAUAAAAAUAUAACUUAUAAAAACAUUACUAACCUCUACGGAUUGAGAAUUAAUUUCUUUUGGUUGAAUGCAAGGAACAACGCAAGUGUGGAGAAUCAAUGCAAGUGGUGAUGGUUGAGGAGUGUAUGAAGGUGUGGUGAUAGUUGAGAAGAAUCGUGGUGAUAGUUGCGAGGAAUCGUGGUGAUGGUUGAGAAGUGAAUGAAAGGGUGGUGAUAGUUGAGAGGAAUCAAUGCAAGAGUGAAGAAUCAAUGCUAGAGUGGUGAUAGUUGAGAUGAAACAACAAUUAAUAUAUAGAGAAGUGAAAGAGUUGUUGCACAAACAGAAGUGAGAAACAUAGAUUAUAUAAAGAGACAUAUUUUACAUGUUGAUCGGGUACAUACACCCGUGAGUACAAAAUAGAACCCGUGGGUACAUACACCCGAGAGUUCAAAACACAACUUGUGGGUACAUACACCCAUUAAAGCCGAUGAAGUUAAAAAAAGUGUAGAAAGAUUCAAAAUUCUACACUCACCCGUGAAUCAAACAGAGAACCCGUGACCUGAUACCAAAAGAAGCCGAGACCUACUAACAACACGUCCACACGCACGCAUCCACCUACCGCAACCCGUGACCUACAAACCUGCAACCCAAAGCAUAUUCAGCAAAUAUCAAAUGCAAUCAAGUUCAUAUCAAGCAUUAUCCAACUAAAAAAUUAACUUAAAAAUUCAUAUCAAAUGCAAUUAACCAACUGACCCUAUCAAAGCAUUUCAGAAAUGAGUUUAUUUUUAAGAGACACUUCUUGUGGAGAAAGUGUAGCUUCAAUAAACAUCAAAUCAGUUCUAAUUCAACUCUACAUAGCAGUCGAAUUGAUUAUGCAACCAACCAAAACACAAGUACACGGGGUUAACACUCAACCAUUCAUCAACAUUCAUUUCAAAUUCAACUCAACCUAGUACACAUAGUUCAGUUCAAAUUCAACUCUAACUAGCACUCGAAUUGAUUAAGCUUGAGUGUUACCUUUUUUUUCAGUCGAAGCAUAGCUUCUCCAAGUCCGCGACCUACACUGAGAGGUUAUAAACCUGCCCAGUGAGGUUAUCAACCUCCCCAUUGAGGGCUUUAACCUCUGCCUGGACAUGUAAAAAACAAUCACAAUUUGUUAGUCCGUUAAUAAAAAAAUAAGGAAAAUAUUACAAAUUUUAAACAAAAAAAAUGCAAGUCACAUUACCUCCAGCCUCUCAAUCUGAUUAUUGACCUCCGAGACCCAGUUGAUCACCAACUCAACCUCCUCCAGACGCUUUGUGAGACGUUCGAUAUGCUCCUGGACACCAAUCACCCAAGGCUGACGGUAAUGAAACCCAUCAGCCUUGUUAACCACAAAAACACAUGUGAGAAUCUCGUUAGAAACUCAAUUAAAUGGAAAUAAUUUAAUUGGGAAGAAGCGCUUACCUUGUAGUUUUUGCAGGUGAAGAACCGCUUCCCAGGAAGAGUGUCGUAGUCGUCCUUCCCCCGAACAUCGUCAAUGAUUCUCCCUCCACAGGGACACCUCGUCGGAAUCCCGUAUUCUGAAUCUGCCACGUAUCCUUGCAUGUUGAUCAACUCCGUCUGCCUCUUUGUCUCUCUUCUCUUUUCUGCGGGAUCCAUCUGUACCAGAAAAAGCAAAUAUUAGAACACAAUAAACGGUAGAGCGUAACCAGAAACUCGAUUUGGAACCCUAAGUAGAAACCCCCAAAUCGAUUUCAAAUCCUCGAGAAACGAACCCUAAAUGGAACCCGCAUGACGAUAAUUAACCCUAAAUGGAAACCCCCAUAUCGAUUUUGAACCCUACAUCAAAACCCCCAAAUCGAUUUUCAAUUAACCGAUAACGCUUUCGACCCCAAAAAGAUUCAAUGAAACCGUAAAAGUAGUCGAUACUCACCUGAGAUCGUUUACGAGAGACUCUGACGUCGAUUCGAUCGAGAAAUUCUCCGGCUGUCGCGUCGCACGAGAAAUCGCCUCCCACAGAAAGAAACCCUAGCUUUCGAAAAAAGAUGAGAAAAUGAAUCCUCUCACGCGUAACCCUAUUUUUCUCGCUUUCGACGCGAUAACACGCGGCCAAUGCCUGUUCGACGCGUGGCUUGAACCCGUAUCAUACGGGCUCACUCCAACGAGACGGAUUACCGAAUUAAACCCAUUAAAACUUUUCUUUUUAUUUUUCGGCCCUAUAAACCCCAGCCCAUGAACUCCUUUUAAUCUGCUAACGCGGCUGCUCUAAGUUACUCAAAGUUUCGAUAGUAAUUUUCCUCAGCCCUUUACUACUGUUUAACUGUAUCUUCUACAGUCCAACGCUAUCUUCUACUGUUGUAGGUAGUUUCCUAACUAAGAUAUUUUCUAUGGUUUUUAAGCCAAGUCACUCGAAAUAAAAACAGAAAGUCAAGGUGCAAUUCAAAUGUAUGGAUUUCAUACUAUAUACUAGAUAGGACAACAAAAUUACGAAUAUACCCAUACUCGGUGUUUAGUUCAGGAGAAAGAAAGAAAGCUUUCCCCAAACCCCUUGUGAGAAAAAAAGGAAAAGAGCGUUUACAGCCAGAGAGAAGAAAGAAGUCGAGAAACUAAAUGAUGUCGAGGCUCUUAUUCUUCUUUGUCUUCCUCUACACAGUAACAACUCUAACAUCAACAACCUCAGGAGCUUGCCAAACAUCCUGCGGCAGCAUCCAAAUAAACUACCCGUUCGGUAUUGACAAAGGUUGCGGAUCUCCACAGUUCCAAGGAAUGCUCAACUGCUCCUCCACCGAUCUGUAUUUCAUCACUCCUUCCGGAGGCUACAAGGUACGGUCAAUCGACUACGACAAGAACACGAUGGUUGUCUUCGAUCCGUUAAUGUCCACUUGCUCCACCCUCCAGCCUCACCACGAUUUCAAACUCUCGGAUAUCCAGAACGCUAUUAUAAGACCCUCGUACGACACCGUUUUCGCUCUCUUCAACUGCUCCAGUGACUCUCCGGUUCAGAAUCGGUACAAGAGUCUCUGCUUCGAAGCCGCCGGCCACUCCUGCGACGAGCUUUAUAGCUCGUGUACUUCCUUUGGCAUCUUCAACACUACUUCUGGUAUGAAAUCGAGAUUUGGAUUAUUUUCUUCUUAAUUAAUCGAUUAAUUCUUGUUAAGACAUCAUAAUUGAAUUUUGUUUCUUUAGGUAACAGAAAGUAGAAACAGAAAAACUUCAGACAAUGAAUCAAAAUUUUGUUGUAAUGUCAUUGUAACAGCCAUUUGAUAUUUUUUUCUUCGGCUUAGGUAACCAUACGGCGUCGCUAGGUAACAGUACCGUGAGUGCGACGCCGUAUUGUUGUUUCACGAGCUACGAUACGGUUCGUGUGAUGAGUAUGAACAUCUUGGACUGUUCACAUUACACGACGGUGAUUGACGAUGGAAAAAUUAGAGGCGUGACGCCUGUGGAUUGGUCGUAUGGAAUCGAGCUUUCGUACUCGGUGCCGGAGAUUGGUUGCGACCGUUGCCGGAAGUCAGGCGGCACGUGUGGUUUCGACGCCGAGACGCAGAUCUUUCUUUGCCAGUGUUCCAACAACACUUCUCCAAGAGAUUGUGGUAAUUACAAUAGUAAUCCCUAUGCGUUUUAGUUAUUUCCAAAUAGGAUGGGGAGCUUUUGUUCUUUGUCAGUUUAAUCCAAGAUCGCGUAGCAAUGCUGUUAUCGUUUGUCACUGGUAAAUUAUAUUUAGAGAUACUGUAUGUUAAACUCGAAACGUUUUUGAUUUGUCUAUCGUAGGUGGUGUGAGUGACAAAGGAGGUUGCAACUCUAGAAGCACUAAUUAUGCUAUGCUUUUGUUGGGGAUGCUCGUAUCUUUUAUUUGCGCAAUCUUAUGAUCUAUUCCAGUGUCUGUUUCUAAGAAAAAUAAAAAUUAUUAAUUAUGGGUUAUAUUUCCGAUCCACAUUCGUAUGUCAUUUCACUUUUAAACAAGUAAAACCAGAUGAAAAGAUUGUAAAUUAAUCUCCCUGUUGAAUACUGAUGAUUCAUCCCAUGUGGUCCAAAUAAAAUAUAUUAGCUAGUUUUCUGCGAAUUCGCGAAUAUAAAUAUUGUAUAAAACUAUAUAUUAUGUGUAUAAUAUUAUAUAGUUUGAAAUAUUAAAAAUAUAACUGUUUAACUUCAAAUAUUUUGAAAAUCAGCCGUAAAUUUUCUGUAAAUUUGAUGUAAAAAUAACUGAUAAAUAUUUAGUAAUAACAAAAUUUUACGAACUUAUAUAUGUAAUUAUCACAUUAACUUCACCAACACAUAUUAUGCAUUUUUUCGGCCUUUCCUUAUUUUUCUCAUUAUCAUUUUGUUAUUUUAUUAUUUUUGCUAAUAUUUUUCUAACUAUUUACAUAUUUUUGCCAAAUAUUUAUUUCUCUCUCUAAUUAGUAAUACAAAACAUACAAUCAAUAAACCAAAAAUCCAUCUUAGAAUUCUUUUCAAUCUUAACAUUAUUCUUUUCAAUCAUAACAUUACCUUAUUCACUAUAUUAUUUGACUUAAAUGCAAAACAUUUUUUAAAUCAAAGUUCUCGCACGUUCCAUUAAAUAUAAUCAGUUCAAUAUUCAAAUCCUAAUUAUUUAAAAGCAUAUGUGGACAUUGAGAUUCAUUAGUAUUAUAGAUACAACUAUAUUUUUAUAUGAGUAUGAAAUCAUUAUAUCAAUUUUUAAAAAUUGUUUUGGAUUCAAUGUUUUAUUAGUAUAUAAAUAUAAAAAUAAUUGAUAAUAAUUAGUUUUAGACAAAUCAAUUUUAUCAUUAAUUAUUAUUUGUAAUAUCAUUUAGGUUAUUUGGCAAGUGAUAAUAAUUAGUUUUAGAGUUAGCUUUUAUUUUAUAACUAAUUAAAAUUAUAAAAAAGUUUCGUUCAAUAUAUUAUUUAGUUUAUAAAUAUAAAAAAUAAUUAAUCAAACGCUAUUAUUCUUUGUAUAAUUUCAACAAUUAGUUCCAUAAAUCAUUAUUUCUAAUAUAAUUUAGAUUAUUUGGCAAUUGAUAUUAAUUGGUUUUAGAUUUUUUUUUAUUUUAAAUCUAAAUUAAAAUUUAUCGACAAAGCAAAUCAUAACAAUUUCUUAAGACUUCACAAAUGAUAGAUAUGUAAGCAAAAAUCACUAAAGUGACUUUACGUUUAAUCUAUAGGAAUUGUUUUUUAUUUUUAUAAAUGUUUUAUAAACUCAUAUAAAUAAUUUAAAAUUAAUAUGAAAUAAUUUGGUAAGCCAUGAUAAAUAAUUUUAUAAAUGCUAAUUUGUUUUAUAAAUGACUUAUAAGACAUAUAUGGACAUUAUAAAAAAUUAAUAAUUAUAAUUUUUAUACGAAUAUAAUGUUUUAUAUUAGAAUAUGAAAUCAUUAUAUCAAUUUCUAUAAAUUGUGUUCUACUAAUUAUUUUAUGUAGUAUAAAUAUAAAAUAAUUAAUCAAACAUUAUUGCACUUUCUAUAAUUUUGACAAUUAGUUACCAUAAACUAUUAUUUGUAAUAUAAUUUAAACUAUUUGGUAAGUGAUAUUAAUUAAUUUUAAACUUACAAUUUAUUUUAAAUCUAAUUAAAAUAAUUAAAAAUUGAAUAUCUUUUAACCAAUCAAAUUAUAACAAUUUUUAAAAAAUUCUUUCUAUGAUUGAUACCUAAGUAAACGUCACUUAAGUGACUCCUGAUUUAAUAUAUAGGAGAAUGCAUAAACUUAUUUUAUUAAUUAAAUUCAAAAUUCUUGGAAAGCAAUUGUGGCGACUGAUCGAGAAACCGAAUACUCUUUUUUCUCGAGUUUUGAAAGGACGGUACUACAUGAAUGCUUCACCUCUGGAACCGAUCCUCUCCCACUCCCCGUCAUAUGGCUGGAGGAGUAUUAUAUCUGCUAGAUCUCUGGUUUGUAAAGAACUAAUUAAACGGGUAGGAACAUGGUCAUCAAUAUCUAUCUCUGUGUGGAACGAUCCUUGGAUCCCAUCCACUCGCCCGAGACCAGCAAACAAAAACCUUCUUCACAGUUACCCGGAUCUCACAGUGGAUUCUCUUAUUCAUUCGGAAUCCCGUACAUCGAAUCAAUCGGCAAUCAGGACUUUGGUAGACCCUAAGGAUGUUAAAAUCAUUACAAGUAUUCCUUUGAAUAAAAAUCAGAUGGAAAAUAGGAACGGAUGACAUUUCACUGACAAUGGAAAAUAUACGAUACAAUCUGGGUACUAAGUGGAACGUGUCUAUCCAGAUAAAGAAAAACCACCAGAUUUUUAUGGACCAACAGUUGAUGCCCUUAAAACCUACUGUUGGAAAUUGAAGUGUCCUCCAAAGAUAAAACAUUUCUUAUGACAGUUACUUUCAGGUUGUAUAGCGGUCAUGAAAAAUCUAAAAGCAAGAGGAAUACAAGGGGAUACAUGUUGUACACGAUGUGGAGACCAAGAGGAAUCAAUUAUCCAUAUGUUCUUUGAAUCUCCUCCAGCACGACAGGUGUGAGCGCUAUCUAAGAUACCAUUGAAUCCGAAUAUUUUUUCUAUAGGCUAUUUCUUCGCUAAUAUGGAUCAUCUUUUUUGGAGAGUUAACCCAAAGAUGGAUGACCAUCAGUAUGCAUGGAUAUUAAGGUAUAUUUGGAAAUGUCGGAAUAAUAAGAUGUUUAGCAAUAUUGAUAUUGAUCCGAGGGAAACCCUCGAGAUAGCAGAAUUGGAAUCAACACUUUGGGCUGAGACACAUGUUUUAAGGAAUCAACGGGUGGCACAAGAUGUACAGAUCAGCCCCAUCCAAACGAAUUCAGGAAGAUGGUGCUUUAUAGACUGCUCCUAGAAAGAUAAUGACAUGUUCUCAGGGCAAUGAUGGUUUAGUACUUUACCAGGUUUUGAUGGUUUGUUAGGGGCAAGAAAUGUAUGCGCAUGUCUGUCAUAUCUUCAUUCUGAGGUAGAGACAUUGAUAUGGACAAUGAAAUGCAUGAGGAAUUUAAGACAAUUUCAGAUUACGUUUGCAACGGAUUGUUCUCAAUUAGUGAAGAUGAUUUCGGAACCCGAAGAAUGACCUGCAUUUGAAACCUAUCUGAAAGACAUUAAGAUUUUAAGAAGAAGUUUCCUCAACUCAGACAUCGUUUAUGUACCUAGGACGGCGAACCUAAAGGCAGAUAGCUUAGCACGUAGUGCCUGACAUCAACCGUCUUUCGUCGUACACAUAGAUGCAAAGUUACCAAUUUGAUUUACAAAGUCAACAUGAGUCUGUGAUUGUUUGCCGUAAAAAAAAAAUUAAAUUCAAAAUUCUACUUUGGAAAACGCCAAACAAGUUAGAACUUUCAAACGUCAGAUUAACGGCUAACAAAUUUGAACAUUACACUUUUCAAUAGAUUUUCUCUGAAUCGCGUGAAUAAAGAGAUCAGAGACAUUAAUUAUAGUUUGUAUUAUUGCCACCACCACUAUUUUUGUUUAUAUGUGGGGUCGUUACUCGUUAAUCUCCCUUGAAUCCAAUAACUUUCAUUAUAGCCACCACUUGUAUCCUCACCAUUUUAUAUUUAAACUCCUCGAAACUACAGUAAUAUUUUUACGGCAUAAAACUACAGUAAUUAUGACACACUAAUCAUGAUUUGAAAACUCAUGGGUAAGCAAGUUUAUUUAUUUUUUUCCUGGAAAAGCAAAGAUACAACAAUAGGGCAUCAUUCGUAAUAAUGAAGAAGCCAAAGGGCUUAUAUUUAGAAAAAUAAACUUGCUGAUUUUGAAAAUCCACUCCCCACAAUUCAAAUCUGAGCUUUGAAGGCUACUUGAAAACUUCAAAAAGCAUUUAAUUUCAUCCUCAGGCUUCCUUAUUGUUCCAUAAUGAUGAGCAAACUGAGCAUUUGAAGAUCCGUGCAGGUUGACCUUUGAAAGAUAACAUCAGUACACGCUAAUCCUCAUGCCGCGUAACGUUCCGAGAAUCGAGAUGCCGGAAUCUGAAGAGAACGAGUUCGCGAGCUUCUCUCUGUUCUCUCCCUCACGAGCUCCUCUGAAUUCGAUACCAGAUCCAAGUCAAUUGCAGAAGACGACUCACCUCUCCGGUUUCGAUUUGGCUCAGAAACUGGAACUCGCGAGAACGCAGGGUCCGGAGAGGAGAUUCGAAGGUAGAGCUGGUGCGCACGAUUCGAACCCUAGGAUCGUAACUCGUAAUGCGAGAUCUAGGUCGGAGCCAAACUCCGCGCAGAGUACGCCGACUAGGAGCGGUGCUAGGGUUUCUCUAGGCGGCGGUUGUGUUACCGGCGCGAGAGUUGCUCAGUCUUUCGCUGGAAGAGGAAGGAUCCCAAGGGGGAUUUCUAUGGCUGAUUCUGUGGAAACAACUCCACAUUUUGAGAUGAAUGAAGAUCAUUCGUUUUGGAAAGAGCACAAUGUGCAGGUUUGUGGAUUUUGUUUAGGAGUUUCUUUGGUUGCUUGAAACUUACUAAAUUAAGGUAUACUUUUUAAUUGGUGUAGGUUUUGAUAAGGAUGAGGCCAAUAAGCACAAUGGAAAGAGCUACUCAAGGACAUGGUAGGUGUUUAAAGCAGGAGAGUCCACAGACAUUGGUUUGGUUAGGCCAUCCAGAGACCAGAUUCACCUUUGACCAUGUUGCCAGUGAGACUAUCUCUCAGGUAAACCUCAUUUAUAGUCUAUCACAAUGCUACACUUAGCUUUUUUUUUUUUUUUUUUUUUUUUUUUUAAANNNNNNNNNNNNNNNNNNUUUUUUUUUUUUUUUUUUUUUUUUGUUUAUCAAAUGUUACUAUGUGAUGUAGUUACCUGAAUACACCUUAUGGAUGUGUAUCCUGCUGAUUUUUCAGGAGAAACUAUUUCGUGUUGCUGGGCUGCCUAUGGUGGAGAAUUGUUUGUCUGGUUACAACAGCUGUGUGUUCGCCUACGGCCAGGUGAGAUUAUAUAAAUGAUGAUAUGCUUCUGCUUGUUAGAAUUUUGUGUGGUUCAGAAAUGUAGAAACUUAAACAUCCUCUCAUAUAGACUGGUAGUGGCAAGACUUAUACUAUGAUGGGAGAGAUAUCUGAGGUAGAGGGAAGCCUCGGUGAAGACUGCGGAGUUACUGCUCGUAUUUUUGAGUACCUCUUCUCAAGAAUCAAAAUGGUAACUACCUAAAUUCCUCAUGACGAAAAAUUGCAAGAAAAUGUAUUUUAGUACUUAAAAAGUCUUCUGUGAACAGGAAGAAGAGGGAAGGAGAGAUGAAAAACUUAGAUUCAGUUGCAAAUGUUCUUUUCUUGAGAUAUACAACGAGCAGAUUACCGACCUCUUGGAGCCAUCCUCGACCAAUUUGCAAGUAAACCAGUUUCUUUUUCUUCCAUCACUUGACUAUUAUUUAAUUAUUAUGUUACUUUUUGUUUUGAGAUAGGUCGUAACCUUGUAUUCCAUGUUUUAGCUCAGAGAAGACUUAGGAAAAGGAGUAUAUGUGGAAAAUCUUGUAGAACAUAAUGUGAGAACUGUUAAUGACGUUUUAAAGCUUCUAUUACAGGCAAGACUUCCCUACCUAAAUAUUAUCUUAAGAGUUUAGGCAUUCAAGUAUUUAAGUUUAAAUGUUUUCCUUAUGCUCAGGGAGCUGCGAACCGGAAGAUUGCAGCUACUCAUAUGAAUAGUGAAAGCAGCAGAUCCCACAGCGUUUUCACGUGUACAAUCGAGAGCAUCUGGGAGAGAGAUUCCCUAACCCAUUCAAGAUUUGCCAGACUAAAUUUGGUCGAUUUGGCUGGUUCUGAAAGGUAGCUAGUAAUUUGCUUGUGGUUACUUUUGCAUCUUUGACUGAUAAAUUAUCUUUGUUACAUAUACAGGCAGAAAAGCUCAGGCGCGGAAGGUGAUCGCCUAAAAGAAGCAGCAAACAUUAACAAAUCCUUAUCCACUCUGGGGUAAUCUUAUUAGGCAUCUGUUUACGUGUCAGAUUGUCUGCCCUCUGCUUUUUUCAUGAACUAUUUUCUGUUGUGCACUGGCAAGCGUUUCAUAGCAAAAGUAGAUGGCACGACUUUAAUAGCUUGAGGUGUUUGACAACUUAAAAUGAUUAUUGCCGUAACCGUAAGAUAAAUAAUCUUUGAACAAGAUGACUACUGUCUUACACCUUCUACUAUGCUCUAUUUUCUUUAAUUUUGUAACAAAUUCUUAGUAGUUACUAACACUAUCCCAUUUAUCUGUCAAUUUAGCUUAGUGAUAAUGUCUCUGGUGGAUUUGGCACAUGGCAAACAUAGACAUAUUCCGUAUCGAGAUUCACGACUUACCUUUCUACUGCAGGUAUUAUGACCUAUUAGAGCACUUCAGCCUUCAUUUUCUCUUGCAACUGCAUUGAGACUAACAUCAGAUAUGGUUUCAGGAUUCUCUUGGGGGUAAUUCUAAAACAAUGAUAAUAGCCAAUGUCAGCCCAUCUCUUUGGUUUGUACCAAUAUCCAUUCUUGUUUAAUGGGUUUACCGUUUACCUAAUAUGUUCCGUCUUGUGUAUUUCUGAUUAUUAUUGAUUUAUUUCAGCUCUACAAACGAGACCCUCAGCACACUGAAAUUCGCACAACGAGCCAAACUUAUCCAGAAUAACGUAGUUUGUGAUUAUUCAAGUAUUACAACUUCGUCUAUGAAGUUAGACUUGACGUAAGUUUGCUUCAUUUUCAUGUUCCAGGCUAAAGUCAACGAAGAUGCCUCUGGGGAUGUCACAGCACUCCAGCAGGAAAUAAGAAAGUUAAAGGUACUGACAUAAUACGACUUUCCUUAUCUCCUGCAUACGCAUGUGACAGUUCUAUCAAAGUCUUUUCGUAUAUUGAAACAGGUCCAACUGUCCUCUCUCAUGAAGAACCAUAAUUCUUGUGGGGCUCUUUCAGACUGCAUAGCUUCUCUUGAAGAACCCAGAUACUCUGGUACAUGUGAAGUAGCAAGAAAAACACAACAAGACAAGUGUCACUGUCAGGUGAACAACUCACUGAGAAUGAAGGUAUUUUACAACAAAUUCGUGGAUGCCUUUCGACUAUAAUACUGAAUUGGCUUCAUAACUGUACAACAGGUGAAAAAUACGAAAGAUAUUUUGAUUGGUGCUCUCAGAAGAGAAAAUAUUGCUGAAACUGCCCUUCAGAAGUCUGAGGCUGAGAUUGAGCGUAUAGACAGCUUGGUUAGUCUUGCUAUAAGGACGGUUCCAAAUUCAUAUUUCGAGAGGAUGUAGCCUUGACAGAUUCCGCUCAUGAUGCGAACAAAAUAGAUUCUGUUUCGGUUAUCUUACACUUUGAUACUGCAGGUUAGAGAUAUGGAAGAGGAUGCUAAAUGCAUUAAAAGAAUGCUUAAUCUUCAGCAAGAAAAAGUUGGAGAGACGGAAUUCUCUACGUCUGAUUCUUUGAUGACAAAUGAGUGUCUCAUUGAAGAAAAUAAAUCUCUGAAAGGAGAGAUCAAUCUUCUUCGUGAAAUCAUGGACAAAAACCCACAGUUGAAACGUUCGACCUUGGAGAACACCAAACUCCGGGAGCAGCUACUACGGUAAAUCACCUGUUAAAUGCUUUCGAAGAGUCUUCUUCUUUUUUUGGUUAUCGUCUAUGCUCUGAGCUUGUCUUCCUUUUCAGAUAUCAGAAGUUUUAUGACCAUGGGGAGCGAGAGGCAUUGCUGUCUGAAAUGACAGGACUUCGCGACCAGGUUUGAAAAUGCCUUCACCAAAUGGACUUUCAGCCCAUAAUUUAAAACUUUUUUCCAUAUAUCAUGCAGCUUCUUGAUGUUCUUGAAGCAAAAGAUGAGUCCUUUUCAAAUCAUGUAAUAAAGGUUUGGGAAAAAUGCUAUUUGCUGUUCUUAAUAUCGUAGAUAGUGCUGUAGCUGGUUUCUUACGCGUGAACUUUGAUAACACUAUAGGAGAACGAAGUGGAAAAGGAAUUGGAAGACUGCAGAAAGAUGAACUCUAGCUUCGUCAGGUACUAUAUGAAAUUUAUGAUAACCAAUAUCUUUUGUGAGCUUUGAUAUUGUAUGAAAAUCAUUUACAUUGUUGCAUUUUUAGUUUGUGAUAUGCGAAUGGAAAAUUUUCUGAGUUCUCUGUUGCAUUUAAUCUAAAAAACUGUCGUCCUACGUUUACUACACUGUUCUACUACAGUUCUGAUAUGAAUUUGUGUUAGUUGAUAUAUAACCUGAAACUUUUCAUUUUCUUCAUUAAAUAAUUUGACUAUAUGGAAAAGAAGCCUGAUUUGGUAUUGUCUUUUUUAUGUUUUGGUGUUGCUUUUCAAUGCAGAGAACUAGAUGAGAUACAAGCAAGAGUUGGAAGAUAUAUGAAAUUCGACCAAACUCAAUCCGACUUUGUAAGAUAUCAGACUGACAGAGGAGUGGUUGUUAUAAAAUUUGCUUCGCCGGUGAUUUAUGUUUGUUGUACCUUUUGCAGGUUGCAUCUACCAUCAGUGGAGCUGAGCAGGUUAAUCAAGCACAUACGCAUUCAACGGUUAGUUGAGUUAUUACUUGUUAUAAGAAUCAGUCUGGUAUAUAUUGUUUUACAUAGAAAACUUGCUUAGGAAACUGUAUAAAUAUAAAUGAAAAGCUCGUCUAACGCACUUUUUUUCUGUUGAAACAGGUAGAAACAAUGUCUGCUAUCGGUGAAAACAAAGAGGAAGUGGCCUUUUCAGAGAGUAAAAACUCAAGUAAUAUCUAUGGUGAAUCAGACAAUCCUGAUGGCAUUAGGGUUUGGGUAAUAAAUGAAUCUCAGGAUGUGCUAGAGGAGAACGAUAGAUCCAUCAAACUGCUGAACAACAAAAGUAGAAUGGAAAGAGAUGCUGUUCCUAGGAUAGAAGGUCAAGACUUGGAGUUAAGCGGCAUGGUCAAUAACACAGAUGCUGUAAUGAAGGCUGAUGAGGGGACAGACAGGUCAGUCCUGCAGUUCAAGUUAAGGAAAGUAAUUAAGGACCUCGAGGAGGCCAAAACACUCAAUAGUCAGUAUGAAAAAGAGCAGAAGUUACUUUUAUCUCAGCAACAAGAUAUUGAAGUGGUCCGCGAGCAAGUCGAGACAGAAACUGCUAGAACAAUUCUUGAGCUGCAGGAAGAGGUGAUUGCUCUCCAGUCUGAAUUUGAAGGAAGAAUCUGUAAAUUGACCGAAGAAAAUCAAUCGAUGAAAGAUGCUAUAACUGCUAGAGAGGCAGAAAUAAGAGCACUUAACCAAGACUGGGAAAAGGCCACCUUGGAACUAACAAAUUUCAUUGUGGAUGGGUCUAAAUCCAUCACAGAUGCCUCCACACAUAUUGAAAGUAUUGUAUGUUCGUUUCCACAUGUGAAUGCAUGGAUAGGAGAUUAUGUUGAAAAGGCUGCAAAAGAUUGCAUAAGAAAGGAAGAAACAAUUUUACUUCUUCACAAAAGCUUGGAGGAUGCAAGGAUAUUGUUAGCAGAGAUGGAUUUGAAGCUGAAUUGCUUAAAGGGUGCAACAAUUGCUCUCAACGAAUUUCAACUGGAUGGCAAUGCUGCAACCACCGAAGAGAGUUUUCGCGUGAGCACUGGAUUAGACAGAAUUAGCAACGAGGUAGACACGCUUGAGAAUGACUUAAAUGCAAAGCAGUGUUCUAUUCUAGAGGCAGAGCGACAUGCUGAGGCUGCAAUUUCUGUUAAAAAAUGGCUUUCUGACUCUAGAAAUCAACACCAAGUGCCGGAAAAAGUAGAAAAUCAAUCGGUCAAAGAAAGCGGCCCCUCAAGUUCAGUCUUGGCUUCUCCUAGUGCGGAAGGGAAUGCUGAUAUUAAUUUUUCAAUGGAUGGAUAUAUAAGUGAAGCAACAUAUACGAAGGGUGAUGAGCUUUCAACAUCAAGCUCUGACUUUUCAAACUGCAGAUUGCAACAUGAUUGUGCAUUGAAGGCAGAGGGCCAAGGAGGUUCAGCUUCUGAAUCUGACGCCCAGGAAAUUCAUAACAGGACCACAUCAGCAGCUUUGUUGGUCAAGAGUGGUUCUGAAGAUUGUGUUUACUGCGGAGGUAUACUUUUGCUUGUUUUUUUAAUCACCCACCCUAUACUGAAGAUAUAUAAUUAGUAAUCUUGAAUGACGAACCUUUAUGCAUAGAGAGAAGCUUAAGUGUUUGUUUUAUGCAGAGGGAAGGCAGACUCUACAGAGGCCAUUAACGAUAACGAUGGGUAGAUCAGAAACGGAACGCAAAUGCAGUAACCCAGUAAGUCUUUACUACCAUCCGUUCCUCUUUUCAAGAUAUAUAAAGAAACUGGUUACAUGUCAGUGAAAAAGUAAACCACCGAGUUUGCAUUUACGCAGCUUUUUUGAGAUAUAUUUGGGUCUUAUGCAGAGUGUGGAUCCUGUGAGAAGCUUCUUCGAUCGAUUUGAGGCAGUUAGUGCUACCAUGAAAAAAGUUGAUCUCACACUAUGUGAAUUAGUAAAGGCCAACGAAAAAUCAAAAUUUGUAACUGGAAUGUGCCUUCAAACGCAUGAAGAGCAAAUGGUUAAGGAGAAAAAUCUGUUGGAUGAUCUUGAACAGGUGAAGUCUACGCUAUUGGCAAAAGAACAGGAAAGUCAAAUCCUGCUAAAUCAAACACAAUCGACUUUGGCUGACAUGGAAAAGUCAGUGUCUUUGCUUGAAGAAUGUCUUCUGGAAACGAAAAGAGAAGUAGGAGAAACAGUAGAGGCUUUAGUUUCCGAUGUUGAACAGAUUGUAUCUGAAAACAUGGAGAGAGAGUUCACCAUGUAUGCAACAUAUCAGUGCCACAUUGGGAAACUGAUGGAUCAAAUUUUGGACCACAGAAAACAGGUUAUCACUCCCCACGUUGCGGGGCAAGAAAACGAACAGUCAAUGGAAACGAAGGCCAUUGGGUACAGUGCUGAAGAUGAAGUUACGGGAAAGCUAAAUAGAGUUCACAAAGCUGAUGUGGUCACAGGUUUCGAAGGUGAAGAAGUUGUUCAAACACAUGAAGGCCUGUUAAAUGAGAACUUUUAUCUGAAAAAGGAGCUGGAGAGAAAAGAAGCUUUGUUUGAAGGUUUGCUUUUUGAUUUUCGGCUGCUCCAGGAAUCAGCAUCAAAUAAAAGAGAUAUCAGAGAUGAAAUGGAUGAGCUGUUUGACGCGUUAUGCAAAGUUCAGAAAGAUUUGGAGGUGAAAGCGAAUCAAGUUCAAGCUCUUUUUGUUCAUAAUGAGAAUCUCGAAAAUUGCUGCAUUAACUUGAAAAAGGCUCUUCUUACGUCGAAGGCAGAUCUAGAGCAGGCCAACGAGAGCAUACAAGUUCUUGAGGAGCAGAAUGAUGAGUUAAACGUCCUCGUCAGAGACCUCUGUAUGGAAAAGGUUGCAGCUGAAGAGGGAUUGGAAGAACAAAAAGAGCUUGUCCAAAGGUUAGAAAACGAAAUCCUUCACUUGACUACUACAGCAGAAAAGCAGUUGGUCAAAUCCAUCGAAGAAAACUUGAGAAAAACCAGCGAUGAGAAAGAUCAACUUGUUGAGGAAAUAUGUUCAUUGAAUGAUAAGCUCAAGUUGGCGUAUGCUAUAGCUGAUGAAAAAGAAGCAAUUGCGGUAGAGGCUCGCCAGGUAUGUAACUUGUAGCCUCAUCUUUCUAAAUGAAUCAUUUGAUCCUUCGCAAUACUGAAGAUUGACAGGAGUCUUUGUCUCAUGUAGGAAUCUGAAGCGAGUAAAAUAUAUGCGGAACAAAAGGAAGAAGAGGUCAAGAUUCUAGAAAUUUCUGUUGAGGAACUUGAGCGUACUGUAAAUAUAUUAGAACGACGGGUUAGUUUGCUUUGUUUGUCAUUCUCUAUAUACAACACUCUGUUCAGUCCGUUGUAUUAAUUCCUAUACUUAUUUGUGACCUAUCUUGGCUUCCAGGUGUAUGAUAUGGAUGAGGAAGUUAAAAGGCAUCGCACAUUAGAGACAGAGCUCCAAGCCCUCAGGCAGAGAUUGUUUAGAUUUGAGGACCUCACUGGCACUGUGGUCACAACCACUGAAGGCAGAGAUGAAUAUGAGAGUCAACUAUCCACGUCAGCCAUCCUAAUUCUACUCAAGAUUUAAGUUUCUCUUGUGGAUCUUUCUAGGUGAAUACUGAUAUUGGUAAAGAUAAAUGUACUACAGGUCAAAAGAGCUGCAAGGUGCGCAUGGUCAGAUACAAGUCCUCCAGAAAGAAGUAGCAGAACAAACCAAAGAGGUGUGUUAUAAUAUUGGAUUGCGCGGCUCAGUUUUCCCAUGAAAUUCCUUAAAGUUUGUGCUUAUGAUAACUUUUCCCCUUACUUCCAACUUUUGUCUUUCUCCACUUACAGAUUAAACAGCUAAAAGAGUACAUCUCCGAAAUUUUACUGCAUUCGGAGGCCCAAGCAUCUAAUUACCAGGAGAAGGUAUUGGAUUUGUAGACUUUAGCAGUUCUCAGCUCUAAGGUAGCUUGCUGAAUCAGUUAGGUGCAGCAGAUAACUAGUUUCCGUACUUCAUUCUUGCUAGUAUCUCCUUGUCACGAAUUAGAAUGAUUUAUGAUAUUUAUUAUGCUGCAUCUGAAGGAGGCAGGAUUUGAUAACAAUGGUGUUGAUUUCUGUUAGCACCUGGAAGUGUUAUUUUCCUUAAUUUGUACUCAUAUAAUUUCAUUGGUUCUAAUCUUAACAGUAUAAGACUCUGGAGGUCAUGAUUCGAGACUUCAAAUUAGAGGACUCGAAUUCGUCAGCUGCAGAGACCGCCAUAUCACAUAAAACUGACAAAAGCUCAACAAGGAGCAGAGGUUCAAGUUCACCCUUUAGAUGUAUCGUUGGGUUGGUACAACAGAUGAAGUUGGAGAAGGAUCAGGAAUUGACCAUGGCAAGAGUUCGUGUUGAAGAAUUGGAGUCACUGCUAGCUGCUAAACAGAAAGAGGUCCAGCCUACCUGCACUAGAUUCUUUUUCUCCUUCUGAAGUGACUUAUAGAAUCCCACUUACAAAUUUCAUGGUGGAACAGGUUUGCACAUUGAACACAAGAUUAGCUGCAGCUGAUAGCAUGACUCAUGAUGUUAUUCGAGAUUUACUUGGUGUGAAAAUGGAUAUAACUAGCUAUGCUGUAAGUAUAUCACACUAUAUGUCAUCUUCUAAAGAGUUAAAAAAAGGCAGUUUCCUAAACGCAUGGGAUGUUUCAGGAGUUGAUUGACCAGCACCAGAUCCAAAGAGUGGUUGAAGAGGCUAAGCAACAUGCUGAAGAGAUCAUGUCCAAGGUGAUGAUGCUAUAUACUUAUUGCAUCCACUUUCUUUAGUUAAUCAUCAGCUUUGUUAUUGAUGUCCCUUUUUCUCAUUCGAUUUUAGGACCAAGAAAUCAUCAACCUGAAGAGACAUAUAGAUGCUCUUGUUAAGGAAAGAGAGAGGUUAGCGCUGUUCUACUUCUACCAUAACUGUUCUAUCACUAGCCAAUUUCCUUAUUUUUCUCUCUUGAAGUACUCAAAAGAAAAAAGUAAUUUAGCGUUUCAAACAAAGAGAUUCUUAUCAAGUUUUGCUCUCGUGGGAUGUUCCUACUGGACAGUUGCAUGUCAGAGUUGAACAAGAAGGAUACAGAUGUUCUUGCGACGCAGAUAUCUUUGGACCAAUUACAAGAGCGAGCUCAGUUGCUUUCUAUGCAAAACGAAAUGUGGAAGGUAAUUAAGAGUUUGUUCCACCUUUAAUCCUACAACCAUUUUUACGUGUGUUUUCUUAGCUCACUAAUUCUAUCUUCCAUUUUCAGAAUGACAAGAGCAAUUUGCUGAGGAAGUUAGCUGAACUUGAACGAACAGUCCGCGAGGCAGGAGCCAGUAACCAACGUGUUCCACAGACAAAAAAGGUAUGCAUUCUCUACUGUGUGCGCCUUAAAACUCAAUGAUUGAUUCUAAGAUUUUGAAUAUCCUUAUUUCAUCAAACAGGAUACAGUGUCAUUUAAACUUGCUGAUACUGAUUAUACUAAGAGACUGGAAAAUGCUCAGAAGCUUCUUUCUCAUGCUAACAAUGAAUUGGCAAAGUAUCGCAAAACCAGCAGUAAUAUUCCAUCUACAAGAACUCAAGGACAGAGCUCUGGUACAAGAUAUCGGUAAGAGCUUUUCUUACCAAGCUGUAAGUCCCACGUCCAAUUCUAAUUGCUUUCAUACUUUGAGAUGUUGUCUUCUUAAUCUUUUGGAUUGAUUGUGUAUAAGAAUGCAUAUACCAUGUUGUUUUGUAUUGGUAUUUUUAUAUUUGUAUGAAAGAAGAGAACAAACUUGUAAGUUGUAACCAAAAGAUUAGGGGUUGGUAGAAGCAAUGUACAAAGAGGACAAAAAGAUUCUCACGUCUUCGACGAUUCAUCUUGAGACGAUUCAGCAAUGUGCAAAGAGGACAAUUUUCAAUUGAACAAAGACACAGGUGAAACUCAUAACGAGUUUUAAGAUGAGGUCUUGCAUGAUCUGUGUGUGGGCUAAUCAUGGGAUAAAGCCAGAUGCAAAUGUUUAAAACAUAGAAAACGAUUUUUUUAAGCACAGCCACAACGUAUUUACAUUUUAAUACAUCCUAGAAAAUAGAUACACUUAAUCACCUAAAGCAAGUGUUUGACUUUAAUCCAAAGGCUAAUGUCCAAUCAAAACUUAGGAGAUAUAAAUGAAUCUAUACUAUUAAAUCAGAAUUCAUAUUAGGAUUUCAUCCUUGGAUUUUGAACAAGCCUUUGUCAUUGUUUUUUCAUUUUUUAAAAAUAAUUUUUGAUUCUUUUAAUUCGACCGACCAGAAAGAAGAGGUUUUAUGUCCUAUCCAUAAGUAGAAGCAUUUAAACCCAAACAAAUUAAACCCAGUUUCGACUAAUUUAAAACCAAUCUGAGUAAGUCCAUUUCGUCGACUUAAAGAUCCAAUAAAAAUUAUGGAUGUUCAACUCAUCGAAAUUAUCUUAAUAAUCAAACUCUAUACUCUAAAAUAAAAAGGUUAUGGGGUUUAAACUAAAGUCUAAACAAACUCUAUUCCAUAUCACAAUAAUUCUAAACUAUAAAACCACUUUCCACUGAAAUAUAAUGUAUACUUUACAGAUAUUUAAACCAAUGUUCAACCUAUAUCUAUACUAUUAAAUCAUAAUCCCUAUUAAGAUUUUAUCCUUAGAUUUUCAAGUUAUUUACAAGCUUCUGCCAUUGCUUUUUUUUAUUAUUUUUUAGAAAUAAUUUCCAACUCCUUUAAUUCGACCAAUCAGGAAAUUGAGUUUUCAUGAUCUAUCUAUAAGCAUAAGCAUUUAAACCCAAACAAAUUAAGCCCGGUUUCGAGUAAUUUAAAGCCAAUCCGAGUAAACCCAUUUCAUUGACGUAAAGAUCCAAUAAAAAUUAUGGAUGUUCAACUCAUCGAAAUCAUCUUAAUAAUCAAACACUAUACCCUGAAAUACAAAGGUUUCGGGGUUCAAACUCUAAAGUCUAAACAAACCUUAUUCCAUAUCACAAUAAUUCUAAACUAUAAAACCACUAUCCACUGAAAUAUAAUGUAUACUUCACAGAAAUUUAAAUCAAUGUUCAACUUAUAUUUGAGUUCAUUCCACCUACCUAUGUCUUAUUUCAAAUUUUUGCUUAUGAAAAUGCAGUUUAUAUUUUCGAAUUAUAUUGACACUUUAAUCAACACAAUCGAUUUUGAACCAAAGGUAUUACAGUAUAUUCCCAAUUUAUCAAUUAGUGUAAUUAUAAAUAAAUUUCUACAAAAUAUUUUUUAAGAAUUUUAUUCAUCUGUUAAACAACCACUAAUUUAUAUAUCACUUGGAUAACGAAUCUAUUCUUUUUUUUUGUCAUUAAUAACGAAUCUAUUCUAAGUAUAUUCUUUAUCUCAUUCCGUAAUUUCUGUAUUCAAUUUUAAAAAUAAAAAAUUAGAUUAUGGCGAAUAGUCAUAAUUUUAACAAGAUAAGAUUCGCUAUUUGAUACCUAUAAUAAAUGUAAAACAAAAUAAGUAGUAAAUGUUAGAUAUGUAGCAUAAGUAUAUGACAUUUGAUAUAGCAUGAUCCAUCAAUAAUGAAAAUCAAAUAGUAUUUGUUUUAUCUUUACAAAAACAAAUAAAAUAGAUUGAGUUACUAGGCUCCAAAUAACGAUGCAAUUGGUCAAUAUUAGGAUCCUAAAUCAGUGACUUAUAUGCCUAAUUAGGUUAAAGUUGCUACUUGGUAGCUUCUGGGCUUAGUCAAAUAAAAUCUGAAAUUAAGGGUUGUACUAAUCGAUCCAUUUUGAAACAUUUUUAUUGCUUUAAGGCCCUAUUGGUAACUUGUAAACAAACAAAGCUCAAGUAAGCCAGAGUUCUUGCUGCUUAUUUUUGGUUUUAAAGUUUUGUUUAAAUGGUUGAAGAUCCCAAUUAUAUUUGUAAAUCUUAAACACCAGUGAAGAAAAAAUAAGAUAUGUUUCAUAUGGUAAACACGUUUACAUUUGAAAAAAUCACAUAAAUACAUACAAGCCGCGUGCAUAUAUAAGAUUUUGCACUUUUGUUUUGGUACUUUGAAGAAAGUAUCAAUAAUACCAAAAAAAAGAAGAGGAAAAGAUGGUGGAAAUUGAGGUGAGACAGACGCGAAAACUUCAAGGUGGUUGUUGACUUUGUAGACCGUCGACCGUCUAGCACAAAGAACACGCUCUCUCACCUUUGAUGAUGAAAAGAUACUCGCUUUACAUCUUGUUGACCUCUAUACAUCUUGUUCACAUUUAAUAUAAGCCGUCUAUUUUAUUUUCCUCACACAGAUUCAUCCACCAGGUGUUACCAACUUUCAUAGCACAAAGUGUUACCAAUCAGGGAUUGACGCAAUCGUAUGUUGCGAGAAGUCAUCCGAACUGGUUAUUUGAAUUCUUUGUGAAUGAAAGUCGUGGUCUCUAAUUCUUUUGGGUGGCUAGGCAUGUUACCUCUGUAGGUCUAGGCACUUGGUCGGUUUUUGAGGUGAUCCUACUGUCCGUGAAAGGAUCGUAAGGAGAUAGAUGGGUUUGAGGUGUUUCAUGACAUGUAAUUGGACACUGUUAUUAAUGAAAGAAUUCAAAAGUGUUAAAAAGAAAAGAUUCAUUCACCAGGUUAAAAACUGUAGCUUUUCUUUAGUACCAAGUGAAAAUUACUGAGUGUACAAAGAAAUAUAUAACAGAAGAUUGUAAAAUUACUGAAUGUACAAGGGGUGCAACUGGGUUAUCAAUAUUUGGGAUGGAAUGAUAUAAAAUUAUUUAUUCCAUCAAUUCUAUUUUUUUUAAUCAUUUAUCUUGAAUGAAUUUAUUCCAUUUAUUCUCUACAUUCCAUUUAUGAUAUUCCAUUAAUUUCUAUUACAUCAAUUUAUAAAUAUGUUUACAAGUUACAACCAAAGAAAAAUAUACUAGAAGAUAGUGAUUUGGUCCACUAUAUAAAAAUUACGAAAUGAAUUUCUUUAUCCUUUUAUCUCAAAAUUUUAUUGAAGAAUUUUGUAGGAUUAUAGUUGACUUUAUGUGAGCAUAUAUAUACACUUAUCACAACUUUUUUUUUAAAACACAAAGAAAUUGUGGAACAAUAAAAAUAAAAUGAAAUGACAAAUUAAUGAGUAGAUUAGGACAUUGGACCCUCCACAGGCGAUAAAGUAAAAUAAUCAGAAGUUGCAGGAGGCAAAGGAGGACUACUACUAGUACUAAUACUUGGAACUUGGAAGUAGCUAUCGUGCGCAUCUGCUCCAAGUCCAACACCUUAUAAGAAAUUUCCGCCGGGAAGAAAGAAAAGUCUCUGCCCUCUCUUCUCAAGCCUACAGCUUCCGCCAACCAUACGUACAAACAAGAUAGACACAAUCCUCCGUACUUCCUUUUUCUAUCUUCAUCGAAAGAUUCAACCACACUCAAGUCUUCUCUCUCUCUUUUGGAAAGAAAAAGAAGGUAAAAGCUUUCUUCUUUCUGAGCAAACUCCCAUGAAUUUCCCUUUUAGGGUUUAGGGUCUUUCCUCUUUUGUUCCUACUUCGAUUUCAUACGAACGUAGAUUAUAAAAAUUUGAUCUUUUUUUGGGGGGGGGGGUUUGAAAUUGAAAUCCAUUUUAGGGGUUACCAUCGUUGACCGUAGCUUUACCAAAUGUCUCGACUCUGAUCGAAUCAUGAUGUUACUUAAUCAUGGAGAAGAAGGAUGUUUUUUAACCAUGUCUCUGUUGCUUGCUGCUUAAACCCUAUAUAAUUGGAAACUUUUGUUUUACUCUGUGUCCGAAAGUUUCUAUAUUCGUAUUGUCUUAUUUAUUCCCUUUCGAAAAGAACAUUACAUGUUUCUUUAUGUAAAGACUAAAACAAAAAUGCCUAUUUUUAGUUUGUUCUUGUUCUGCAACACCAUUACUGAACUCUUCGUUCACUUAUACAGUUCGUGUGUGAGAGAGAAAUAGCGUAAUGAGCUGCUUUGGUUGUUGUGGUGGUGACGAUUUUCGUCGAGUUGCUGAAACUGGUCCUAAGCCAGUCUACGGCGCAGGAGGUACCUUAAGCUUAUGACCCUUUUAUCCAACUUAAUCCAAAUUCUUUGGCUAGCGGCUAAGUUGAUGAACUUUUUAUUCAACCGUUGGCUAAGGUCACGGUGGAGGUCACCAUCCAAGGGCAGACCCACCCAAGAACACGCCAGUCAUUCAGAUGCAGCCUAUCUCCGUGCCGGCUAUUCCAGCUGAUGAGUUGAAGGAUAUAACUGAUAACUACGGUUCAAAGUCCUUGAUUGGUGAGGGCUCUUAUGGAAGAGUGUUUUACGGUGUUCUUAGAAGCGGUAAGGCAGCUGCUAUUAAGAAACUUGAUUCCAGUAAGCAGCCUGAUCAAGAGUUUCUCGCACAGGUACAAAUGCUACUUAAGUUAAUCAAACCGUUAAAGUUGAGUUGCUGCUUAGUUACUGAUGUAAAUAAUGUUAAUUAGGUAUCAAUGGUUUCGAGAUUGAGACAAGACAAUGUUGUUGCACUUCUGGGAUAUUGCGUUGAUGGCCCACUCCGUGUUCUUGCUUAUGAGUUUGCUCCUAAUGGAUCUCUUCAUGAUAUUCUUCAUGGUAAGUUAAUUAAAUGUAAAACAUUGAUUCAGUAAUACUUGUAGAUGUGAAGCUAUUAACUAAUGAAAUGUGGUGAGUUUGUUGGGUGUAGGUAGAAAAGGAGUGAAAGGAGCGCAGCCAGGACCUGUUCUGUCGUGGAACCAGAGAGUUAAAAUUGCUGUUGGUGCGGCUAGGGGACUCGAGUACUUGCAUGAGAAGGCGAACCCGCAUGUUGUCCACCGAGACAUCAAAUCCAGCAAUGUGCUUCUGUUUGACGAUGACGUUGCCAAGAUUGCUGAUUUCGAUCUCUCCAACCAAGCCCCUGACAUGGCUGCUCGCCUUCACUCAACUCGUGUGCUGGGAACCUUUGGUUAUCACGCUCCAGAGUAAGCCCAUUUACUUGUUUAUUUGAAUUGCGUUGUUCAGAUUAAUCAAUGUCGUUACAUUCAACUCGUGCUCUGAGACUUUUGUUAUCAUUGUCUUAGUGUUUUUGAGACAUUAAGUCCUUCCUUGGAUUAAGUUUUGACAUUGUUUUGUCACAUCUUAACGUUGUUGUAUGUCUUGCAUCUCUUCUAAUUGACCAAACUAGAGUCUUAAACGCAAACUUUUUUUUUUUUUGGUUCUGCAUUUCAGGUAUGCAAUGACAGGGACAUUGAGCACAAAGAGUGAUGUCUAUAGUUUUGGAGUUGUUCUGCUAGAGCUCCUCACAGGUCGUAAACCAGUUGAUCAUACCUUACCACGAGGACAGCAGAGUCUCGUUACAUGGGUAAUGCUUCUUGCAGCUCUGCUUCUUUUUUUUUUCUGGUUUACUCAUCAUAUUGAUAAGAAAAGGGAAUGUGUCUGCACAAUCAUGUUGAUUUUGUGAGAGAUUAGACGUUGAAAACGCGUUUGUGUGUGUCUCAGGCAACUCCUAAACUGAGUGAAGACAAGGUGAAGCAGUGCGUUGAUGCAAGACUAAACGGAGAAUAUCCUCCCAAAGCUGUUGCCAAGGUAACCUUUUUUCAUAAUUUCAUUCUUUCAGUAGAGAAGGUUUACCUUAAGACAUGACUUUGAAACUGCUUCUCCAUUGCUUAAGCAACAACAUCUCUUCUGAUUUUGUUUUCUCUUAUAUGACUCUGGUAUUGAUCAGCUGGCUGCUGUAGCUGCGCUAUGUGUGCAAUAUGAGGCAGACUUCAGGCCAAACAUGAGCAUAGUGGUGAAGGCUCUUCAGCCUCUCCUCAAUCCUCCUCGCUCUGCUCCUCAAACUCCUCACAGGAACAAUCCUUAUUGAUGUCCUCCAAUCUGAUGCCACGCUUCUUCAUCAUAUCACUUAUUUCAUUUGUUUUUGUUUGAAUACAAUUUGUGUAAAUUCGUGAAAACAGGCUUUUUAUUUCUCAUAAAAAAACCUGAAAGUCUCACUUCCAAACCUGAAUGUUGCUCUAUUUGUUUAUGUUAUUUCAUGCCUGCGAUGUAAGUUUCUACUAAUUAAUACAAUAUGCGAGGAAUGGAUAUUCAUAAUAUACUCAUUGUGUUUGUGCCAUUUGGCAAAACUGAGAGGAUGGAUUAUUGCUGCAUAGCAUUGGUGGUGAAGUGAACACUCUCUCCAUCUAUUCAACUGAAGAUCUUGUGUUGCUUUCACUUAGAUACUCAAUCCUCUGACAAGGUUACAGCAUUUGGUGUAAAGUCCAUGUCCAUGCCACUACUCUCGAGCUUGAUGUCUAUGUGUGUUAAUUCACUUUAUGGCCAAUUGAUUUUAAGUUGGAACUUUAUGGAAACUUAACAUAAUACCAGAACCUAAACACACGCUGCCCAACUGAUACUGAAAUCAAUCCGAUCCAAUGAAAGUGGCCUGAAACUUAACAGUUAUGUUGAAAGUAUGAAGGUAAUAAAAAGGUACAACAAAGCUAUACAAAAGAUCUCUCCUCCUCUAGACAAGAGAAACAAAUCUUGAUGUUCUCCCUAUACAUAUCACAUAAUAAACUCAUAUAAACAGUAAAGAUUCUAAACAAUCUCCAAAGAAUCUAUAUGCUUCCCCUCUUUUAAACCCCAAAGUCUUUAAAAGGGUUUGAUGUUUUAGUCUGUUACUCAAAUCUUUGCAUCUGCUAUGGUAUCAUCCUUAUUCGUCUCUGUGCUUUCUCUUGGCUGCUUCCUUCUUCUUCGUUCCUAAACAUUCAUCAACCCACUUAUUUUAACACUCUAGUUUUGUUUUGUUUUUCCUGUUUGAACUUUGAAAUGUUUUCAUUCUACAUACCUCUCUAGGCAUCACAGGGUACUCAUCAGAUUCAAGCAUCCGAGCAGCUUGACUCAUCUUCGGCCUCUUGUCUGCAUCAGGAUCAACACAUCUCAAAGCCGUCAAAAGCGCUCUUUUAAGUUCGCUGGUUGUUGGUUUGAUCUCAAGCUCUUUAUCCACCACUUGUUCAAACUGUUUCUGCUGUACCAUUAGCUUCAACCACUCCACCAUAUGCACCUAAAACAAAAACAUCUCAAAACAAAUCAACUUCAAUCUCUAGAUCAUGCCUUAUAAGUUAUAACUUCAGUUCUAUUGUGUAUGAAUCUCUUCCUUUACCUCUUCUUUAGGCCGUUCAUAGUCCACUGGGUACCUCCCAGUAAUAGCUUCCAAUAGAACAACACCAAAACUAUACACGUCACUCUUCUCGUUUAGGAGACCAGAGUUAGCAUAUUCAGGUGCAACAUACCUAACCAUGAACAGAGAAAAUUAUUAAAAGUAACCAAUGGAGAUUAUGAAAAUGUAAAGUUUGUAUAACUCACCCGAAUGUACCCAUGACUCUAGUACUCACAUAACUUUUAUCAGCUCCAAGCAGCUUAGCAAGACCAAAGUCAGAUAACUUAGCAUCAAAACUGUCAUUCAUCAGUAUAUUGCUUGACUUAAUGUCUCUAUGCACCACUUUAGGCUCAAUAGCUUCAUGAAGGUAAGCCAACCUGUGCAUCACAGCAACACAUUCUCAUGAGCUUAAAAGAACCAACAAGUGUGUUGUGUUUUUUCUAAAAAAAAAAAAAAAAAAGGGAAGCUUACGCUUUAGCAGUGCCAACAAGAACUUUGAUUCUAGCCUCCCACGUAAGAUGUCCUUGGUGACUCAUGUCUCCAUGAAGCCACUGCUCUAAGUUCCCAUUGUUCAUGUACUCAUAAACCAGCAUCCUAUGUGUUCCUUCAACGCAGUAUCCAAGAAGCCGAACUAAGUUCUUGUGCCUGACGUGUCCUAUUGCUUCCACUUCAACUCUGAAGUCUUUAUCAACUUGUCCUCUAAAUGUAAAAAAAAAAAAAACAAUCAUAUCAAACGCAAAGAUCAUGAGCAUAUUUGAAGAGAUAAAAAGAAACUUACGGAUUGUUGAGCAGCUUCUUGACAGCCACAGGGGUCUUGUUAGUUAAAGUUCCAUGGUACACAACUCCAUAGCCACCGUCACCGAUGAUAUUCUCUUUUGAGAAAUGGUUAGUAGCGAGCUGAAGGUCACGGAGAGUGAACCAAUGACCCCAACCAAUGUGAGAGCCUUCUUGGAGACCAGAGAGAUGAGGAGAAUGAGUUGUUUCUGAAGGAGGAACAUGUUUCUCAUAGUUAUUAUCACCAUUUUCAAUGUCUCUCUCGCGGAACUUGUCAUCUAGAGGUGUGCCAUUGUUGUCUGAUGAGACGUGAACAACGCUUAUGUCUUUGAUUUCAUCUUGAUGGCGAGGGGUAUCGGUUGUGGGGAGGAGUUGGAUGAAGUUGGAUCUUUUGGAUUUUUUACGGAAGCUGAGCCAUACUGAGACGGCGAGGAUUAGUAUGAAGGCUGCGAAGAGAGCAAUGACUAUGAUCUCCCAUAGCUCAAGUGCACCGUAUCUCUUUGUUAGAGUUUGUUUCAGCUCAGACGCCAUUAUACCUCACAGAUACUUGUAUGUGUGUAUAUAUACCUGCAUAAUUUGAAAUGAAUCAUUGAUGUAAUCAAAUUUAUAUUCAAGGGAACAAUUAAUCAAGAACUAGAACCUAACGGAUGAAAUUUAAUUCUCAGAUCAUUAUGUAAUAAUAUAGAGUUAUAAAAAAUAUAUAUAGAGUUAUAUAUAUAUAUAUAUAUAUAUAUAUAGAGUUAUGAGCAUUUGAAAGUUGUGAUGGUAAUGAAGAAGAUUAACAAGAGGUUUGAGCUAAAUCAUAAUCUAAGAACAUCAACUUUGUCUCAAAACUCAAAAGGACCUAAACGCAAGAAGAAAACAGAGGAGAAAAACAGAGUACCAUAAAGCAAGAACAAGAACCUAGCAGAUAAAGAAGAUACUGAAGCUAAUGAGGAAGGAUCUUUCUGUAAUAGUAUUGAUGGUAAUGAAGAAUAUCAACAAUGGGUUAAGCUAAAUCAUAGUCUAAUAACACCAACUUUGUCAGAAAAGGACCUAAACACAAGAGACUAAAACAGAGGAGAGAAAAGACAGAGUAUAUAAGAAACUAAAAGUCUAAGACUUUAUCCUGAGAAAUCAAGAACAAUAUAAAUCUGAUACCAAGAGACUUGAGAUAAAUAAAGAAUUGAGAUUUUGACAGGUACAAGUUCCAUAAACAUGUAAAACUUGUAAUAAGAAACCGAAGAAACCAUUCAGACUCCAGUGAGCUACAGAGCAUUAAAGUGUCGAAGUUGCAGAAAGUAAGAAACUUUUUAAGCUUACAACGAAGCACAUAUACAAAGAUCAAACCUUUGAAACUCCACAAAACCAAAAUAAAACACUAAACUCAUUUAGUUCUGAUUAAACCAAUACCUGCUUUCCAGAAAAUCUUCUCUCUACUUUCGGUGGAGACUAGAGCUCGAGUUAAUAAAGGGAGGACAUAAACGAAGAGAUAUAACGAAUUAUUGCCUCCAUUUUAAGAAAUCUUUAGAGAGAUCUUUGUAGGGUUUACAUUGGUUGUGGGGGAGAAGAAGAAGGAGGGAAACAGAGAAGGAGGUUUGAAGCUUUCUUUGAUGUUGCUUCUUCUGGAAUAUUUUAAUGCUUGUGGUGCUGUCUUUGCUUUUUUAAUUUUUUUCUUUUUCUGUUUAAUUUGUUUUUUUUUUUAUCUUUCUAAAUUGCAUUUAGUGUUUUCUUCUUUUACAUCUUUCGGCAAUUUAAUUAUUCAUUUAGUUUCUGUUUUUAUCUAUUAUUAUAAGUUUCUUUGUGAAAAUGCUCAUAGAGGUGAUUUUUUUCUCUAUUAGAAACUUUUUGUGUUGUUAAGUAUAACUAUUAACUGAUUAGUCUUUUAUCAAAAUAAUAAGUAGAACUUUAUUCUUUAUAAAAUAAAAUAAAAUUUUAUAAUUUUUUUGCUUAAACUAUUUAAUUAUGUGAAGUAAUGUUUAUCUCAGAUUUUUUUUUUGGUAUAAAUUUUAUCUCAGUUUUUUUUUGACGGAAAAAAAAAAACAUAUGAAGUUUGCAUAUGAUGAUAGGAAGUUGACGAAGCUAUAUAUGCCGUGAUUGGCGACGACAGUUUUCAAAGGAAAUGUUUAACCGUUUAGUAUUUAACUAAGCAAGUAUUGUAAAAUGCGUUACUAACAUUAACCAAUAUGUCAUUUUGGUCAACAUUAUUAAAUUGGACGUCGCACCCAACCCUUUAAGGUAAUACUAUUGUCAUCACCUUCCCGUUUAUUGUACUCCACUAUACAAUCUUUUAUAUCUUAAGGAAGUACAUUAUUUUUCUUCGAAGGGUUAAAUAAAAGGAAACGAGCGGCUGCAAAAUCAGAAUCGUGGAUUUUGGUUCUUUGAAUUGUCAUAAAAAAAAUAAGAAGAGGAGAAGAAGACGACAUGAUAAAUCAUUUGAAAAUAGUUAAAAGAUUAGAAGGUGCGUACGUGGGUACAUGUCUUUUGUUAUUUUCGUGUAGAAUUAAUUAGUUAAUCAGGCAAUGACCAUAACAAAACUGACAUGCAAAUGUACUAACAUAACUUUUUGACGACGUCUAACAAACAAUGAUUUAGGGCUGGACAAAGUUGUUUCGUGUUAUCAUGAAGUCAUUACUUAAUCAUAUACCUGUUGGAAGAUAAAGAAAUACAUGUGUAUGUCACUUCUCGUACUUUUAUUUCGCUUUAUGCAUCUUAUAUAUUAAAACAGAAAUCACAAUAUUGAUUCAUGUGUGAUUUUUAAAAAAAUAAAUCUAAUGGACCUAUUCUUAGAAAGUCAUGGUACAUUUAAUAUCUAAUCUUAUCAUUUAAAUUUAGGACAUACCAGAAAUUUUUAUUGGACUAUCAAUAAUUGGAUUUAAACAAUAGAUGAUCCAUUGGAUUUAUGGAUAGUAUAAAUUAAAUAGAUAUAAUUUAAUGUUGUAAUACUAUACCUCUAUAUGCUAAAUAUAUAAAUAUUUGUGGAUGUUAACUUUUAAAAUUAUAAUUUUUUUUUUUUAAAUAACAAAAAUCAUAUUAUCUAACAAUGAUUAAUCUUUACUACCUCAAACCAAUGAAAACAAAUUUCAAACUAUAUAGUUUAUUUUAAAAAUUAAACAAAAACUAAAUGUUUAAUUUAAAUGUUUAAUUAUUUACUCGAUAAUAAAAAUCUAUGAAGCGAAAAGUUUAAUUUUUUAAAAACUUUUUAAAUUUGUGAAAUGUUACAAUAUCUUUGAAUAUGACAAUAAAACAAUAUUUUACUAAUCUUUAUAUAUAUAGUUAUGAUUUUAAUAAUGAAAUAAUAAUCCGAAAAUAUAUAUAUAGAAGAAGAUACAAAUAUAUGUGAAAGUUUGAAACAUUCUAUUCAAUGAAAAAAAUGUACAUUAAACUUAUUAUGUUUUAAAAAUUGAUAGACACGUAUAAAUUAUAAUAUAUACCAAUUUAGAAUUGAAAAUAAAAUAUUUAUAUAAAAAUAAAUGAAAACAAAAAUCCGCGCGGUUACGCGGAUCGAGAUCUAGUGGUGUAUUAAAAUUUGUUGACAAAAGAAAAAUACCUUAUACAUUUAUCAAAAAUAAUAUGAAAUCUUCUUCUAGAAUGUCAACUAAAAUUGUGUUUUGACAAAUAAUAUGAUCAAUUCGUUUUGUAUAAAGCCUGCGCUAGGUAAUUAUCAGAUUUCAGUGAGAUCAGAACAUGUUAUAUUCUAUGAAAUAAGUUUUAUAUUUAUAGUACUAUUACAUUUUGGUUAUAUAAAAUUUGUAAUGUUUUGUUUUUACUUUAAGGAAUCACAUUAGAAUAGGCCGUGACACGCUGUGAGACACUAAUGCAUGAUUAUUGGAACGUUAAAUAUACAAAUUAUAAAAACCACAAGAGUUCAAGGUGGUCAAGGCGUUCCGUGGAUUCCCACGAGACCCGAAUUCGAAUCUACACCGUACCAGAUUUCUACGGCGUGUGGUCACCGGGGAAUGGUUUUUUUACAAAUUAUAAAAACCGGAUAAAGCAAAGCAGUAAUAAUGUUGCCUUAGCGUGUGCUUAACAAAAGUCAACCUGAGAGUGCCCCUUUGUCUUGCUGCGUGGAAUACAAGAGACAUACCUUCUUCAUCAUCAUUCUCCAGCUGGACAAAUGAUUCUCUAUCUCUUUAUCUUCAUUUUAUUAUCUUCUAUACAACCAUUAUGCUUUGCUUCAUGCUAUCUUUUUACGUCUCCCUCAGACGAUCAAAUAUACAACUGCAUGAAACUACUGAUUUUUUUUUUCAAAUAGAUUUUAUGCACAAAAAAAUUGUAUAACAAAUACAAUUUCUUUUGUAAACCAUUCACGAUGGCAGAUGAUAUUUCGAAUUAAUGUAUUUUAAUUUCAGAAAAAUAAAUUAAAAAAUUUUAUACCAAAAAGAAAGAAAUUAAUCAGCGGUUUUGGGCUAGUGGUAUUUGAGGGGAAAACCCCUAAUACGGUACCCGCAGUUCGAGUCCCGCUGGUCACCCGGGCUAGGGUUAAAUCCCAAGAAUACGUGGAGUGCCGUGGGCCUCGUGGGAAUAGUCGGUUGACCACGGUCGCCGGAAACCCGCGGUUACAUAAAAAAAAAAAAAAAAGAAAGAAAUUAAGCUGAUUGGCUGUAGAAGUAGAACAAUAAUUCAGAAUACAGGUAACAAACAAUUGCAUGAUUAGUGUCCGCCUCCACAAGCUAACCAACAAUGGUUUAGUUGGUGUUGCUGUUGAUAUUUUACUCUUUUUCUUCUCUAUUUUUAAUUCGUCGUUCUUUAUCUUUCAUUUAAAAACAUUAGUUUAUAUAUAUACUUUUCUUAUCUAUAUUUUAGCCUUUUCCAAUCCUUGAUGUUUGAUUAAUUAAGUUGUUAUGGUCUUGCAGUUGUUGGGUUACAUCAAAUCUGUCCUACUAGCAAGUAAGAUAUUAGGGUCUUAAUAACAAUGAUAAGAAAAAUUAUAUAGAAACAAGGAACCAGUGAUUGUGGAGGCUCCUUUUUUGUGUCUAAACCACACAUGCAUUGCAUCCAAAUCAAACCAACAAUAUUGUCGCAAGUUUUGUUUAAGAAAUAUAGACAAGCUUACUUAAAUUAUAGUGAUGUUUAUUAAUUUUUGUAUAUACCAUCCAACCACUAUUUUGUAUGACAUCUUAUUGUAUUUACGGUUACAAGGUUCGUGACAUAAAUUGUAAAUGUUUUAUGAAUUAUGAACAUCUCAGAACCUUAAACGUCCAUUUCAUGGUUCAUGUACGUUUAGUAGCUUUAUUUCGAAUUUUAUAUAUACGUCAACUUCAAUGGGAUAAAAGAGGAGAUUCUUGUGUAAAAUGAUAACACAAUCAACUGGUGCCAUACACAAAUUGCUGCUAGAUCUGCUACGUGCAGAGCCGGUGUCCAAAAAGAGUGCAUACAUGCCAUGUCUCUCUAUCUGGUAAACUAUCAUGUUUACACGAUUAAUCUAUCGUAUAUAAUAUAUACACGUUUUAUAUUUGUUUAUUUUGGUGAAAAUGAGAUUGUAGUCAACAAUGUCGACUAACAACAAUUCCUUGAAUCUCAAGAGUUUUUCUUUUAACUUUCAUUUCCAAACCCGAGCACGAAGCACAAGCACCGCACAUGUUUAGAUUCUUCGUUUUUUGUGCACACCGUACAUGUUUAGCUGAAAAUGGUAUUUCCAUGGUAACUUUAUAUGGAUCAUGUUAUCAUGCAAUGUUUAAGUUGAUUUUAUCAGCAAUUUUUGUGUGUUCAAAGUAAAAUGAGUUGUCACCAAUAUCUUAUUGCCGACAAGAAUUGGUUAGUGAUAACAAUUAAUAGAAUAAGACCUACAUUUAAAAAAAAUUGGUUAGUAUAUCACAUUCACUUUGGUUAUUCGAAAUUAAAUAUAAUAAAACCUCCCUAAUCCUCACGUUUUAUAAAAAUAUGUAUAUAUUUCAGUCAAUUGGUUACACAAGCACGUCGAUAUAUACACAUAUUCACAUCAUUGUCAUGUAUUGUGUCAUGUAUUGCAGAUUUUAUUUUAUUCUCUCAUUAUACUGAAAAUUUUGAGCAUUAAUGAGCCUGAAAUGAGCCUCAUGACCCAUCAGAAGGUACAAAUUAGGCCUAUAAAGCCCAGACCUUCUAUUUAUUGGCGGGUAUUCUCCACAUCCGGGAGAUGGCAUCGUAGCCGUUUGAUUCAGAUACUGCAGAUUAGCGAUUAAAAUCUCCGCCGUUCCUUUUUUUAAUUAAUUAAUUUUGUUAGUCCAUCUUCUCCAACUUGAACAAGUGUAUGUUAGCUCUCAUGAACUUGUACGUUGUUUCCAUUCAUUAAUAAAUCUUUUUCGUCUUCGCUCUGUUUCGUUGAUUCCCACUGAAGCUCUGACUAAUUCCAGUUCUGUACUUUAUGAAACUCAAGUAUUACGAACAGACUGCAAUGAUUCUCAAAUAAAAACACUUCUUAUUAACUCUCUCUUAAGGAAACUAUCACAAAACUUUAAGUUCUUAUCUAUCAAACUCUUAAGUUAUAUCACAAGUUGAUAUCUCUUUAUAUAAUACUUUAAAUAUCCUAAACUCAUUAGGAUAAACACAACUCAAGAUAAUCCUAAACUCAUUAGGAUUUACAUUACUUAUAACUCAAGUAAACUUCAAGUUUAUCCAACAUUUUCCCCUUUAAACUUGAAGUUCUCCUUCAUUCCAAUGUAGUCUCUCAUUUCCCUGAAUCUGAUUCUUCCUAGGGCCUUCGUCAAGAUAUCAGCUUUCUGUUUGUCCCCUUGAACAUACUCUACUUCAAUCUGACAGUUCUCAUGCAUUCUCGAAUAAAAUGAUACCUCCUAUGUAUAUGCUUACUUCUCCCAUGAAAUACUGGAUUCUUUGUUAAGGCAAUAGCGGAUUGAUUGUCGAUCCGUAUAACCACCUUCUCACUUUGCUGACCAGUUAUCUCACUCAACAAAUCUCGCAGCCAUAUAGCCUGUCGUGCAGCCUCAGUUCCAGCCAUGAAUUCUGCCUCACAACUUGACAAGGCCACCACUUCUUGCUUCUGUGAACACUACGAGAUGGGGCUAUUGUCAAUGUAGAAUAUGUGACCGGUCGUGCUCUUUCCGUCGUCUGGAUCAACGUUGUAACUGCUGUCACUAUAUCCAACAAGUCUCGGAAUCUUCAUCUUAGAGCUUUCAAACACCAGUCCAUACGCUAGGCUUCCUUGCAGGUACCGUAACACUUGCUUCAUAGCUACUCCGUGUGAAUCUCUUGGACUUUGCAUGUACCGACUAAGCACCCUAACGUUGAAAGAAAGAUCCAGCCUCGUGUGCAAGAGGUAUCGUAAGCAGCCUAUAUUCUUCCUGUAUGCCGUUGCAUCAAUCUCUCUCUCAUCCUCUGCCUUUGAGAACUUUGAACCAAGCUCCAUUGGUGUGUGCACCGGAUUGCACUUGAUCAUUCCUGCAUUCUCUAAGAUCUUCGUCGCAUAUCGUGAUUGGUUUAGAGUAAUUCCAUCUUCAUGCUGACACACCUCGAUCCCAAGAUAAUAUGAUAACUUUCCCAAAUCACUCAUCUCAAACUUGCUUGACAUAUUUCUCUUGAAUUCUUCAAUGUUUCUUUUGCUUGUUCCAGUGACGAACAAGUCAUCUGCGUACACAGCAACCACAAGGAGCUCUCCCUUAACCACCUUCCGGUAUACUGAAGGCUCUUUUGCACACUUCUCGAACUGGAGCUCUUGUAGUAUCUGGUUCAGCUUAUGGUUCCAUGCCCUUGGUGCUUGUCUCAAGCCAUACAAUGCCUUGUUCAGUUUGUAGACUUUACCCUCGCAUCCUUUCUUCUCGAAACCCUCUGGUUGUGUAACAUAAACCACUUCUUUAAGCUCUCCAUGGAGGAAUGCUGUCUUCACGUCGAGAUGGUGUACUUCUCAUCCGUUUGCUGCUGCAAGACUCACAAGAAGGCGUAUGGUCUCAAUCCUUGCUACUGGCGCGAACACCUCGUCAAAAUCGAUCCCAUGACGUUGCACAUACCCUUUUGCAACGAGACGAGCUUUGUAUUUGUUAAUACUUCCAUCAGAGUUGCGUUUUAGCUUGAAAACCCACUUUAAACCGAUGGGUUUGGCUCCAUAUGGUAGUUCUACUAGAGUCCACGUUUUAUUUUUGAUAAUGGACUCUAUUUCCUCUUCACACGCUCUCGUCCAACUUCUAGAUUCUUUUGCUUCACCAAAGUUUCUUGGCUCGUUGUUUAAAUACAUCAGUACCUCUUCUCCUAAUUCUUCAGCUAGAAGUAUGUAAUCGUCAAGGUACUUAGGCUUCAUUGCUUGUCUCUCUGAUCGCCUUAAGGGUUGUGUUUCGGUUUCUUCUUCAUCAAGGCUCUGCGUAUCGGCAUUAUCUUCUUCUUCUUCCUUAACUAGCUCUUGAUCAUUGCUCGUGUGCUCUGUUUCUUUGUCUCCACAAAGUACAUGAUUCCCAAACUCUCCAAUUCUCACUGAAAAAAUUUUAUUGCACGUCUCAACCUUCUCUUGAUUCCAUUCCCAACUCCUUGAUUCGUCGAACACGACAUCUAUGCUUACUACUGCCCUUUUCGUGCGUGGAUCGUAUAGUCUGUAUGCCUUAGAUCCUGGUUCUAUCCCCAAGUGUACUAGCAUCCAAGAUCUAUCNNNNNNNNNNNNNNNNNNNNNNNNNNNNNNNNNNNNNNNNNNNNNNNNNNNNNNNNNNNNNNNNNNNNNNNNNNNNNNNNNNNNNNNNNNNNNNNNNNNNNNNNNNNNNNNNNNNNNNNNNNNNNNNNNNNNNNNNNNNNNNNNNNNNNNNNNNNNNNNNNNNNNNNNNNNNNNNNNNNNNNNNNNNNNNNNNNNNNNNNNNNNNNNNNNNNNNNNNNNNNNNNNNNNNNNNNNNNNNNNNNNNNNNNNNNNNNNNNNNNNNNNNNNNNNNNNNNNNNNNNNNNNNNNNNNNNNNNNNNNNNNNNNNNNNNNNNNNNNNNNNNNNNNNNNNNNNNNNNNNNNNNNNNNNNNNNNNNNNNNNNNNNNNNNNNNNNNNNNNNNNNNNNNNNNNNNNNNNNNNNNNNNNNNNNNNNNNNNNNNNNNNNNNNNNNNNNNNNNNNNNNNNNNNNNNNNNNNNNNNNNNNNNNNNNNNNNNNNNNNNNNNNNNNNNNNNNNNNNNNNNNNNNNNNNNNNNNNNNNNNNNNNNNNNNNNNNNNNNNNNNNNNNNNNNNNNNNNNNNNNNNNNNNNNNNNNNNNNNNNNNNNNNNNNNNNNNNNNNNNNNNNNNNNNNNNNNNNNNNNNNNNNNNNNNNNNNNNNNNNNNNNNNNNNNNNNNNNNNNNNNNNNNNNNNNNNNNNNNNNNNNNNNNNNNNNNNNNNNNNNNNNNNNNNNNNNNNNNNNNNNNNNNNNNNNNNNNNNNNNNNNNNNNNNNNNNNNNNNNNNNNNNNNNNNNNNNNNNNNNNNNNNNNNNNNNNNNNNNNNNNNNNNNNNNNNNNNNNNNNNNNNNNNNNNNNNNNNNNNNNNNNNNNNNNNNNNNNNNNNNNNNNNNNNNNNNNNNNNNNNNNNNNNNNNNNNNNNNNNNNNNNNNNNNNNNNNNNNNNNNNNNNNNNNNNNNNNNNNNNNNNNNNNNNNNNNNNNNNNNNNNNNNNNNNNNNNNNNNNNNNNNNNNNNNNNNNNNNNNNNNNNNNNNNNNNNNNNNNNNNNNNNNNNNNNNNNNNNNNNNNNNNNNNNNNNNNNNNNNNNNNNNNNNNNNNNNNNNNNNNNNNNNNNNNNNNNNNNNNNNNNNNNNNNNNNNNNNNNNNNNNNNNNNNNNNNNNNNNNNNNNNNNNNNNNNNNNNNNNNNNNNNNNNNNNNNNNNNNNNNNNNNNNNNNNNNNNNNNNNNNNNNNNNNNNNNNNNNNNNNNNNNNNNNNNNNNNNNNNNNNNNNNNNNNNNNNNNNNNNNNNNNNNNNNNNNNNNNNNNNNNNNNNNNNNNNNNNNNNNNNNNNNNNNNNNNNNNNNNNNNNNNNNNNNNNNNNNNNNNNNNNNNNNNNNNNNNNNNNNNNNNNNNNNNNNNNNNNNNNNNNNNNNNNNNNNNNNNNNNNNNNNNNNNNNNNNNNNNNNNNNNNNNNNNNNNNNNNNNNNNNNNNNNNNNNNNNNNNNNNNNNNNNNNNNNNNNNNNNNNNNNNNNNNNNNNNNNNNNNNNNNNNNNNNNNNNNNNNNNNNNNNNNNNNNNNNNNNNNNNNNNNNNNNNNNNNNNNNNNNNNNNNNNNNNNNNNNNNNNNNNNNNNNNNNNNNNNNNNNNNNNNNNNNNNNNNNNNNNNNNNNNNNNNNNNNNNNNNNNNNNNNNNNNNNNNNNNNNNNNNNNNNNNNNNNNNNNNNNNNNNNNNNNNNNNNNNNNNNNNNNNNNNNNNNNNNNNNNNNNNNNNNNNNNNNNNNNNNNNNNNNNNNNNNNNNNNNNNNNNNNNNNNNNNNNNNNNNNNNNNNNNNNNNNNNNNNNNNNNNNNNNNNNNNNNNNNNNNNNNNNNNNNNNNNNNNNNNNNNNNNNNNNNNNNNNNNNNNNNNNNNNNNNNNNNNNNNNNNNNNNNNNNNNNNNNNNNNNNNNNNNNNNNNNNNNNNNNNNNNNNNNNNNNNNNNNNNNNNNNNNNNNNNNNNNNNNNNNNNNNNNNNNNNNNNNNNNNNNNNNNNNNNNNNNNNNNNNNNNNNNNNNNNNNNNNNNNNNNNNNNNNNNNNNNNNNNNNNNNNNNNNNNNNNNNNNNNNNNNNNNNNNNNNNNNNNNNNNNNNNNNNNNNNNNNNNNNNNNNNNNNNNNNNNNNNNNNNNNNNNNNNNNNNNNNNNNNNNNNNNNNNNNNNNNNNNNNNNNNNNNNNNNNNNNNNNNNNNNNNNNNNNNNNNNNNNNNNNNNNNNNNNNNNNNNNNNNNNNNNNNNNNNNNNNNNNNNNNNNNNNNNNNNNNNNNNNNNNNNNNNNNNNNNNNNNNNNNNNNNNNNNNNNNNNNNNNNNNNNNNNNNNNNNNNNNNNNNNNNNNNNNNNNNNNNNNNNNNNNNNNNNNNNNNNNNNNNNNNNNNNNNNNNNNNNNNNNNNNNNNNNNNNNNNNNNNNNNNNNNNNNNNNNNNNNNNNNNNNNNNNNNNNNNNNNNNNNNNNNNNNNNNNNNNNNNNNNNNNNNNNNNNNNNNNNNNNNNNNNNNNNNNNNNNNNNNNNNNNNNNNNNNNNNNNNNNNNNNNNNNNNNNNNNNNNNNNNNNNNNNNNNNNNNNNNNNNNNNNNNNNNNNNNNNNNNNNNNNNNNNNNNNNNNNNNNNNNNNNNNNNNNNNNNNNNNNNNNNNNNNNNNNNNNNNNNNNNNNNNNNNNNNNNNNNNNNNNNNNNNNNNNNNNNNNNNNNNNNNNNNNNNNNNNNNNNNNNNNNNNNNNNNNNNNNNNNNNNNNNNNNNNNNNNNNNNNNNNNNNNNNNNNNNNNNNNNNNNNNNNNNNNNNNNNNNNNNNNNNNNNNNNNNNNNNNNNNNNNNNNNNNNNNNNNNNNNNNNNNNNNNNNNNNNNNNNNNNNNNNNNNNNNNNNNNNNNNNNNNNNNNNNNNNNNNNNNNNNNNNNNNNNNNNNNNNNNNNNNNNNNNNNNNNNNNNNNNNNNNNNNNNNNNNNNNNNNNNNNNNNNNNNNNNNNNNNNNNNNNNNNNNNNNNNNNNNNNNNNNNNNNNNNNNNNNNNNNNNNNNNNNNNNNNNNNNNNNNNNNNNNNNNNNNNNNNNNNNNNNNNNNNNNNNNNNNNNNNNNNNNNNNNNNNNNNNNNNNNNNNNNNNNNNNNNNNNNNNNNNNNNNNNNNNNNNNNNNNNNNNNNNNNNNNNNNNNNNNNNNNNNNNNNNNNNNNNNNNNNNNNNNNNNNNNNNNNNNNNNNNNNNNNNNNNNNNNNNNNNNNNNNNNNNNNNNNNNNNNNNNNNNNNNNNNNNNNNNNNNNNNNNNNNNNNNNNNNNNNNNNNNNNNNNNNNNNNNNNNNNNNNNNNNNNNNNNNNNNNNNNNNNNNNNNNNNNNNNNNNNNNNNNNNNNNNNNNNNNNNNNNNNNNNNNNNNNNNNNNNNNNNNNNNNNNNNNNNNNNNNNNNNNNNNNNNNNNNNNNNNNNNNNNNNNNNNNNNNNNNNNNNNNNNNNNNNNNNNNNNNNNNNNNNNNNNNNNNNNNUUUGUUAAUUACAUAAUUUGUUUACUGAUGAACUGAUCCCAUUUUUAAAAUAUUUUAAGCCAAAAAAUCACUUUUCACAUAAGAACCUAAUUUAGGCCGAAGAAUAUCAAGCCUACUAUUUGGUUACAAUGAAACUAUGUCAACUCAGUUUUAUAUCAUGAUUUAGCAAUUUAAAAGUUAAUUAUGGUUAUGAGAAGUUUAUUUUCACGUGCCAAUCUUAGCUAUCUUCAAUAUUUUUCUCAUUUUUGUGUCGUUUUUUUUAUUUUGGUUAUUGUUCGAUAUAAAUAUUGAUUUUUAGUUUAUUCUCAUUUCGUUAUUUUUUUCGCCUAAAAUUUAGAAAAUGUUUAAGAUUUAAAAUUAUUAAAGAGAUACAUACAUAGGUUAAGAUCCGCGUCUUGUGCAGAAUAAAUAUUUUAUACUUAUUACUUAUUUUACGUUUUUCUGCAUAUUAUGAAAUAAUAGGAUAUUAAUUAUAUAUUAAAUAACUAAGAAAUCAAUUACUAUUACAUGAUAAACUGGUGUGCGCAUAUAAAUUAAAGGACCAGUCUUGUUUAUUCGCAAUCAUUCUAGGGUAAAUAAAUAAAAACAAUCAAUCUUAUCUAUCGUAUAUGAUAUAUAACUAAAUUUAAAUGAUAUUAACAUUGAUAUAUAGUAUACUUUUAAUAUGGAUAUUUAUUAAAUGAAGUUUGUACUCAUAUGAUUUUAUAUUUAUUUGCAUAUUUGUGUAACAAAAUUUUAAACCAAUGAUUUUUUAAUAUGAAAUGUUUAGUGGUUUUAAGAAUUUAUAAUCAUUUAAAAAAUAAUAAUUAAAAUUUCAAAAUUAAAAUAUUAACUUUUCAAUAUAUGGUCAACGCAUAUAUCAAAAUAUAAGUAUGUAUUUUCAUAUAAUGUAUAGUUUAAUUUAAGCGAUAUGAUAUAUAUAUAUAUAUAUUAACAUAAACACCAAUGAAAAUAAAAAAAAAUUAUUCAUAUGAUUUUAUAAUCAUUGUACCUUAUUAUAUAAAAAAUUUAAACCUUGAUCACAAAAGUUUAUGUGAGACUUUUAACAAUUUUAGUAAUUUAUACUCGUUUUGAAAAAAUUAAAUACAAUAUAAAAAAAUCUAAAUUUUUAUUAUAUGAUUAAUGUAAUUGUGUAAUUUAUUUUAAUUAAAAAUAAUUAAACAAAAUAAUAGAAAGUAUACAGAUUGUUAGCAAAUCUUUAUUAUUUAAAAUCUUUAAUUGUCAUAUAUAUCUUAAUCACAUUAGGUAAUUCCGUAGGCUAUAUUUAAGGAAAGAAUAUAUAAUAAUUUUAAAUUAAUAAAUGAAUGGUCCAUAAUGGAUAUACUAUAUAAUAUAACAUUUCCUAGAAUUUUAAAUUUGGACUAACAAAAUUAUCAAUUGAUUUUCAAGCCGCCAUGUAAGCAAAAUUAGCAUUCCAAUUACGUGACAACUCAGCAGAAUAGUUUUAAUUAGUACAAACUACAAGUUAUAACUUUUUAAUGUUUCUCUAUUAAUAUAUAAGGGAUAUAUAUAAAUAUUCCGCAUGAGAGUCUUACGAAUAUUUUGUUUUACAUUUUAAUUCUAAAGAUAUAUGAUAUGAUGAUUGAUAUCAAUAUUCUUUUACAUUCUUAUAUCUAUAUUUAAAAUAAAAAAACUGGUUUUACAUUUUAAUUUUAGAAGAUAAAUAUGAUUAAUAUAGCACAUAAGAAAACUGGAAGUCAUCCCCACACACACAUAUAUAUAUAUAAUUAUAAAUAUGACUUAGCUCAUCUAAUCUAUUAAAAUUGAAGUACAAAAUAAAAUUAACCUUUAGAUUUAUAAUUUAUUUACAACCCUAAGCCACUGAAAUAAUAAAGAAACUCUAACCUUAAACAUUCUAUUCUUUGUCUUUUUCUAAUUUAUUAAAUCAUUUCCUAAUUCGAAUAUGCUGUAUAACAAUAACAACAUAAGUAUAAAAUCUUUAAAUUACGUAUUGAACAUAAACAUUAUGAACAUUAAUACGUAAAGCAUCUCGUGCCAUAAAUUCGUGGAUAGCAUAGCCCAGGAAAUUAAUGCCCAGACAUAAUUAUUAUAGCUACUAAUAUAUCAAUUCAAUGUUUGGUUCUGAACAUUAAUUUCCUGGGCUAGGCUAUCCACGAAUUUAUGGCAGGAGAUGCUUUACAUAUUAAUGUUCAUAAUGUUUAUGUUCAAUACGUAAUUUAAAGAUUUUAUACUUAUGUUGUUAUUGUUAUACAGCAUAUUCGAAUUAGGAAAUGAUUUAAUAAAUUAGAAAAAGACAAAGAAUAGAAUGUUAGAGUUUGUUUAUUAUUUCAGUGGCAUAAGGUCGUAAAUAAAUUGUAAGUAUAAAGGUUACUUUUAUUACUUCAGUUUUAAUAGAUUAAAUGUCUGAUCAAACUAAACCAAGAAAUAUAAAUGAAAUAACCAGAACAAGCACAUAAAUUCUUUUAGCAGAAAACAAACACAUAAAUUUGUGGGCACUUAUUUAGUUAAUGACUAAACUAUCACCACAACUAUCACCACAAAACUAAACCAUGAAAUUAUAGGCAGGGGCGGUCCUUAUAUUCCGGGGGCCCUAGGCGAAUUUUUUUUUGGUUUUUGUAAAAGGAUAAAUAAAUCGGGGGAUCAAUUAUAAUAAAUUGAAAAAUUGGAAGCCUAUUUGUUAAUGAUUUUUUGCUGAAUUUUUCUUAAAAAAUGGGGACCCCUAGACGGUCGUUUCAUCCCGUUCCCCUCAGGACCGCCCCUGGUUAUAGGUUUCAAACAAUUAAAUAAUCAGUAAAUUAAUAUAUAUGAUUUAAAUACCGUAACCGUUAAAGUGAAUAACCUACAUUUACAUCACAUAGAUUUUCUUAGUAAAACUUAAGAUAGUUCAAAAAAUUAAAGACUGUAAUCUACGUUUAGUAAAAAAUAUUCGUUUUCCUAAAUAUAAUGAAAUUCUACAACAAUAUUUUAGCUAGAAGAUAAUAAAUCGCGUAUAGUUUUUUUUUGACAAAAUAAAUCGCGUAUAGUUUAUUUAAAUUCCCAUUAUAUUCGGCCAUUCAAAGAUUGCAAUCUAUGAACUGGGCACAUAAAGAGAACAAUAAACUGUAAAAUAUAGGAUUGAAAUCAUCUAUCUCAUGUAAAUUUUCAAACGUAUCACUGAUAAAUUAAAAUUAAAUCUAUGAAUAUAUAAAAAUUGUUAUAAAUACACGAGUGCUGGCCAUUGUGCUACACUAUAGCCAAAUAAUAAGAAAAAGAGUGAUCGCUUUAAAAAUAAAUCAGUAGAACUAUGGCUGCUAAUAUGAUACUAUUGUUUCAUUAUAAUAUUUUUUUUUUUUUGAAAUAAACUGUUACUAACUCAAUUAUAGAUUUAGUACAAAUCUAUCUAUUAUUUUAGUCAUUUGAUUUAGUUAUGUGUGUCAUUUAAUUUAGUCAUAUAUACUUAUAUUGAGCUUAUUAUGCAUUUAUAUAUAACUAAUUAAAAAAACAUUUAACUUAUGCUUAAUGUUUUAUCUAUUCUAUUAAAACUGAAAUACGAAACAAUACUUACCUAUUAUAAGUGAUUUUUUUACAUCUUAUUCAUUUCUUUUUAACCAAUUUAAACCAUUUUAUUAAUUUUAUUUUCCACAUAAUUUGAGAUCAUUUAUUAUAAAAGUACGAAACAAAAAUUAAAUAUUUUAAGUAUUACUACAUUUUUUACAUUCAGUUUUUCAGUUUUUCCAAACUACUUCAUUAAUUAUAUUUACAAUAAUAAUUUAACGUCAUUUAUUUUAUGUGUUAACCAUAAUAAUUUCAAACGUUUGAAUGAUAUUACUUAAUUAGUUAGACAUGGGCAUUUUCUUAUAUAGAUCGGUUUUUGGGUAUUAUGGUUUUUUGGAUUUUAAAAUUAAAGUCCGUGUAUAAACCAUGACAACAAAUGUCGAGCAUACAACGAGUAUUAUAUAUUUCCGGAUGUGUCCGAGUUUAAUUCUUCCAGAUUCUGGUAGAUUCGUAGGAACCUAAAAAUAUCCAAAUAACAUAUAUUUAUCACAAUACUAAAAGGGACAUAUAAUGAGAAAUUAGGCUAUCCACGUCAGCACAUAUAAUCAACCAAUUAGAACAUUUCGUUUUUUUUUUUACUUAAAUUUACGUUUGGGCUUUAUGUGUUUGUGUUUGGGCUUUGUUUUCACUUAACCUAAAAACCUAAAACUAAUAGCCCGACCUAGAUUACGCGGAGAUGCCGAGGCUUUUCUCCUCCUGCCACUUCGUCUUCUCUCUUCUCCUCUACCACUUCGUUUUCUCCCCGUGAAACCAAUUCGAGUCGGUUUUCUUCAAGAGUGAAGGUAAAAUUUUCUUCAAGAGCUUUUGCUGAGGGUUUCAAUCGAAUCACUUCAACUUUUUUAUCUCUUGGGUUUCAAUCGAAUCACACUCAUUGAUCUCUGAUUCAUUAGGAAGCUGAUUGAGGAUAUAGAUGAGUACGACGGUGACAACCCUCUCUUCCCAUGGAUAAAGUGAGUUCAUUUUUUAUCUAUUCUUGAUUAUAAAAAAAAGUCUUCUUGAUCCUGAGAUUUGAGGUUUCUCUCCAGGCGUGUUAAAUGGGUGCAGGAGGCGUUUCCUCCGGGUGGAGAGUGCUCGGGUCUGUUGGUGAUAUACGAGCAGUGCGUGAGAAGUUCUGGCACUCGGACCGGUACAAGGAUGAUCUUCGUUACCUCAAAGUCUGGUUGGAAAAUUUAAUGUUUUUUUUAGCUCUUCCUUGAAUGAUCUUCUUUUGUAUUGGACGUGUAGUUUACUAGAGGGAAGUGGUUUAUCCUUUUGAAGGCGGAGCAUUGCGCUGAUGCGGAAGUGAUUUAUAAGUUUUUGGACGUUAAUGAUAUUGGGAGGACGCAUGGUUUGUACUACAGAGAUUAUGGGUUGAACAUGGAGUAUAAGGGUAAAGUGAAGACUGCUAAUGAGAUCUUCAAUCUCAGAAUCUCUAGGUGAGUUUUCUUCGUUUUGGGUCCUUGGCUUUUGUCACGUGAUUUGAUUAAUAAAGUGUGAAACUCUGUGCAGGAAUGCAAAGCCUGUGGAGAAGUUGAAUGAUGCUUACAAGAAGUUUAUGGUGAGAACUAUGAGAAGGACCAAAACAGUUGAUGAUAUAAGAAGUUUCUUCUGUAAGUUUAUCUAUGCUUAAGUUUUUUUUUUCCACAUGAUGAUUUAUUUUACCUACUACAGGAGCCAAAGGAGAAUGACUUACCGUCAAGAAGCUUUGGGACUGUAUUGUCUAGGGGAGAUAAUAAUAGUGAGACACAGUAAUUAAUUACUUUAGAAGUUUUAUUAAUAUAUUCUGUUAAGCUCUCUUACAUGACAAUGUGUUGUAUAGAUACAGGAAGGCAAGCUUUAGGACCACAAGCAAAGAGAACAAAUCUGAAUCACUAAGCAAUUUCAUCAUUAUGUAUUUCUUGCUUUAAACAUAUAUAUAAACUUCAUCAAAACUCUAAAUUAUUGAGCAACUCUCUCUCUGAUUUUUGUAGCUCAUCCAAGGCACCUUUGGCUGUGUACAAGGAUACUACAACGGGGGAUCAAACAGAAUCGGACAAGUCAAAACCAUAGUUUGGUUCUUGGCUUAUGCUUGGAGGCAGAGCAGAGAGGAACAAAGAAAACAAUGCCUUACCUGGAAAAUGGGCAGCAUUCAAGCUCUUGCUUCUGCUCUAACUGCGAAAACUAAACUAAACUUAUCUCUGUAAACUGUUCAUUUACCUGCAUAUAUGUAUUUUCACAGGUUCCUCAGAAACCCAUUGUGAGAACUGCUGCUUCCUCUUUUGAGGUUUUUGUCGAUGAAGAAGAAUGUACAGAGUAAGUUACACAAUUUGUUUCUGUUUCCAUAACAAGACAUAGAUGUUUCGUUAUUAACUUUUGAUUAUGAAACAGCAGUGAGGGAGUAGAGAAAAGGAAGAAGAUUGAAACCAUCUCACCAUCAUCAUCAAACGUUUUGCCACUUAAUGAUGGCCGUGAGAUAAAGAAGUAAGCAUAAAACCCUUCUUGAUUCACCCAAACAAUUAUCACAUCACUUGAGUAUCUCACAUUAAUGUUUCCUUUAUAUAAACUGUAGAGAAACAGAGCUUACUUUAGAUGUUCGUUCACUCAUAUUGAGUUUAUUUUUCAUUUGUAAUUGUUUAUAUCUACUUCUUGAGCUGUCUUAUGAUGAUCUUUGGGUCAUGUUGUUGUUGUUCAGGUGCAACGCAUCGUAGAGGAUCCUUCUGUACUGGUGGCUACAUACGAAGGGACGCAUAACCACUUAGGUCCAACGCUUCUGAAGGGAAUGUUACAAGACAAGUUGGAUCAAGCACUGUGACUGUGACUUUGGAUAUGGUUUAUGGUGGGCAUAGAUUAGCUGUGGAGAAGAAUGAAAGCGGCUGCUAUAUCUGGGAGGUUGAUGGAGCAGUCUAGAACAUGAAGCUUUCAUUGAAUGUUUUUGUUUUGGUCUUCAUCCACGGAAAUUAGGAUGGCAUUUUGUACUCUUUCGAAUUGUAGAGGUUACGUGAGAAAAAAUGAAAACUUAAGUGUAUAUAAAUAUUACAUGAAAAAUCAUUAGCAUUCAAGGAAAUUUAUGUCAUUUAUUUUAAAUGUUAGAAGAAAGUUGAUUCAAUUGGAACAAUUAAGGGAAAAUAUUCAUGAAAAUAUGGUAUAUGUAUAUUCACUUGGAACCAAGACAUCCUUAAUAAACAUGCUACAAUAGUUAGGGUGAAAUUUGGUGUUAUAUAAUCAAACUCUUUGAAAAAUUUAAUAUCAUAACAUUCUGAAAAAAUAUUUUUAUAAUGGAAGCAUCACAGUAUUUUAUAUUUUAAAUUAAAUGGAUAUCUUUAAUAAAUUCAAAACAGUUUUUUCAUCAAAAAUCUAAAAAAUAAUAAAUUUAUAUUCCUUAUAUUUUCUAAUAAGAAUUUAAUUUAUAAAUAAAUAUAAACUCGGUGAUAAACGUCUUCAUCAUCUACAUCUAUACGUAUGCUAAAUCAUUAUAAUGUAAAUAUGAGUAUAAAAAUAAUAUAUAUAAAUAUAAAAUAAACAAAAGAAAUAAUUGUAUUCAAUAACAAAAUUACAAUCAAUAUUAUUCUAUAUAUACUAAUGUAUAAUAAAAUUAUUGUAAGGAUUAUAUUUUAUACGUUAACCAGUAAUAAUUAUUUCAAAAAAAAUCUAUUCAAUUAUUCUAAUAACAUGGUUAGCGUUAUUUUCAUAUAUAAUAAUACAUAUAAGAUUCUAACAAACAUGUAUAUUUAUAUCCUUUCUCAAAAAGAAAACAUGAAACUUACACUAUUAAAAGGAGAAUAUGAAGCCUUCUUAAGUUGUCCACGUUAGCGAAAAUAAUCGCAACCAAUCAUUUGUCCAUGUCAUCAUAGAUGUUAAGUUGUUGGACCACGAAUCUUUGCUGCGUAAUAGGCCCUUUAUCUUUAAUGACCCAUUUGUUUUGCCAUCUUCUUACUCCAAUCUAAUUUUGUUACGACGUCUAUAGAAUACAUUCCAGAACUCACUUUCUUCCUAUCUCUUCCGUAUAACGCUUGCGACGGCUAUAAUGACGAAUUAAAGCUACUUAAUUACUCCUCCAGACAAAUCGGCGUCUAACUCUCCACAUCCCUCCUCUUACUCAAUCAUAACGAUGCUUCCUCGAGCCAAAACACUACAAGAAAACAUAAUCUUAACGAGGGCGGUUUUCCUCUUUAUUUCGUCGUAAAAGAGGCUUUACGACGAAUUAGCGAGGAAGCGCGUUUGCUCGUUACUCGUCUGUCGUAACACAUAUUUCCUCGCUAAUUCGUCGUAACUUAGCGAGGAAUAUAUUUCGUCGUAAAGACGAAGUAGAGCUAUUCGUCGUAAAGACCACGUCAAUAUUCCACGUAAGGACGUCGCUAUAUUUCCUCGUAAAUACCUCGAAACGAGUUCCUCGUAAUCUACACGUAAAUACCUUGAUAAAGUUUCCUCGCAAAAUACACGUAACAACCACGAAAGGGUUUCCUCGUAAAAUACUCGUAAAUCUUUCCUCGUUAUUUCCUCAUAAAUGGUUCCUCAUAAAAUACUCGUUUAGUAUUUCUCGUCAUUUCCUCGUAAGGUUUCCACGUAAAGAGGUCGUACAUUAGCUACGAAUUUACUUCUUUUUUAUUAUUUUACAGAAUUUAAAAAUAUAAUUAAAAAAUAAUUAAAAUUAUUUAAUUUAAUAAUAAAUAAAAAUUUAAAAUAAAAAUAAAUCAAUAUGAACAUUUUUUUUUUUUUUAUCAUCAACAAACAGACUCAUAUAGACUCUGCGAACCAAUCUGGUAACUCCGCAUCCAUGUGAACGACGAAAGACGAUUGUUUCCUGGCACAUCGUGCUAGACUAUCCGCCUUUUGAUUUUCCGUCCGGGGUACAUGAAUAAUCUCUGAGCUAGUAAAACGUGUCUUCAGUAGCUUUAUGUCGUGCAGAUAACUCUCAAACGCCGGCCAUUCCUCUGGUUCCGAAACCAUCUUCACCAACUGAGAACAAUCUGUAGCAAAAGUAACCUGAAACUGAUGUAAAUUCCUCAUACAUUCCAUAGCCCAUAUCAGUGCUUCCAUCUCUGCAUGAAGAGGUGAAAUACAUGCCCUAGAAUUCCUUGCACCCAUCAAUCCCUGAAAGCCCUCGAGUAUGCUAUACUAUCCUUGACCUGAAUAAGGUUCUUUAUCUUUCCAGGAACCAUCUAUAAAGCACCAACGACCAACCCGCGGCUGACGAUUCAAAACCUCAGUCUGUUGUGGUACCUGCUUAGUCUUCAUCACCUGAGCCUCAGCCCAAAGUGUUGAUUCAGUUUCUGUAAGCGUAAGUAUAUCUCUUGGGUCAAUAUCCAAAUUACAAAAAACCUUAUUAUUCCUUCCUUUCCAAAUAUACCAUAAUAUCCACGCAAACUGAUGAUCUUCCAUUUUCGGGAGUACUCUCCAAAAAAGAUGAUCCAUAUUCGUAAAUAGAGAACUAGUAGGGAAGUAGGUUGGGUUAGACGGUAUCUUUGACAAAGCCCAAACUUGACGCGCAGGAGGGCACUCAAAAAACACAUGGUUUAGUGAUUCCUCCUCAGCUCCACAUCUAACACAACAAAUAUCUCCCUUCAUUACUCUUGCUUGCAAAUUCUUCUUAACAGCUAUACAUCCGGAUACCAUUUGCCAUAAAAAGUGCUUAAUCUUUGGAGGGCAUCUCACCUCCCAGCAGAACGCUUUUAGAAUAUCCACUGUGGGACCAUAAAACACUGAUGGUUUUGCCUUGUCUGGAUAGACCCGUUCUAACUGAUAUCCUGAUUUAACUGAAUAUUUCCCAUUAUAUGUGAAGUGCCAUCCAUUCCUAUCCACCAUCUGAGUCUUACUUAAAGGAAUACUUUCAAUAAUUUGAGCAUCCUGGGGAUCCACCAAAUCCCGAAUUACUUGCGACUUCCAAGUUCGUGAAAUUGGAUCUAUCAAAGAGUCCACUGUGAGGUCCUGAUAAGUGCCAGGUUGAUUUUUUUUUUUGCUGGUCUCGGGCGAGUGGUUGGGAGCCAUGGAUCACUCCAUACAGAGAUAGAGGACCCCAUUCCCACCCUUUUGAUUAGUCCUUUGCUAACUAGAGAUCUAGCAGAUACAAUACUCCUCCAACCAUUCGACGGGGAGUAUGAACGAAUCGGUUCUAGCGGUGAGGCAUUCCUAUAGUACCGUCCUUUAAAAACCCUAGCAAAAAGAGUUGAAGGCUUCUCUAUCAGCCUCCACAAUUACUUUCCAAGCAUAGCCGUAUUGAAAUCUGUUAUGUCCUUAAAACCCAGACCUCCUUCGUCCUUAUUUGUACAUACUUUGUCCCAUGACUUCCAGUGCAUACCCCUUGUAUUUCCCCCUGGGCUCCACCAAAAUUUUGAUACCGCACUCGUCAAUUUCUUCACCGUUACCUUUGGUAACCGAUAAACCGACAUCACAUGGUUAGCCAAAGCCGUGACUACUGAUUUAAUGAUUACUUCCUUUCCACCUUUAGAAAAAAAUUUAAACGUCCAUCUAUUCACCCUAUUAUUCAAACGGUCCUGAACAAAUCCAAAAACUUGUAUCUUGGAUCCCCCAAGACUCUCCGGCAGACCCAGAUAUGAUCCCAUCCCUCCUAAAUUUUGUAUCCCUAGGAUGUCUCUCAACUCCUGUCUAGUGGACUCCUCAAUCUUAUGUCCAAAUUGAAUCGAGGAUUUCUGAAAAUUAAUCAGUUGGCCCGAGACCACCUCAUAUUCCUUCAAAAUCCUAAGGAUAGCGUGACAUUCUUCCUUUUGUGCCUUACAGAAAAAAAGACUAUCGUCUGGGAACAACAGAUGAGAAAUCGAAGGGCAAGCUCUGGCAACCUUCAUUCCCGUGAAUUGAUUACUCCUUUCAGCCUUCUUAAUAUUUGCAAUCAAAGCCUCAGUACACAUGAUAAAUAGAUAAGGGGAUAAAGGAUCCCCCUGCCGUAAACCUCUUUGAGGAACUAUAUGUCCACGCGGCUGCCCAUUCAAUAAAACAUGAUAUUGAACUGAUGAUAUACAUUCCAUGAUAUGAAAAUAUUUUAUAUAUAAAUAAGUUUUGAAUUUAUAUAAUACAACAACCGGAAAAAAAACUAAGGGUCGUUCAUCGCCCGGUAGAAUUCAUCACUCCUCCCCGUAACAUCCGCCUCGUUAUGUACGUUGGAUGACUCGCCUUGAAUGGGAUGUUGUUGUCGCAUGUUCCUCAACAUGGACUCCCAUUCCGGAUUUGUGGCCGCAAUAACGUCCAAGAAGCCCUCGACUCCACCCAUACGAGAUUUUGUCGCGGUCAACUCGUUACGCAGCUGAGCGGACUCUCUACGCAGCUCAGUGACUUCAUCAUCCCGUCGCUGACCAUAAGACGAUGUCGCUCUCGGAACAUCUUUGACGGAACCAAUACCCAACGUCCGUCCCUUUUUUUUAGGGACAACCUUAAAAACAAAAAAUAAAUAUUGUAAGUAAAAAUUUAAAGUUAAAUUAAAUGAAUAAUAAAAAAUUAAUUUUUUUGAAAAUUUACCUCCUCAUAAAUCUUAUCCACUUCAAGUGUGGAUAAGGUGACGGGUAAUCCGUCGGUAGACUGCUGGGUCAGCUGAGUCUGGCGGUCUUCAACCCGAGCAACUACGUCGUUGUAGAUUUGCUCGGACUUGCCAUCUACAAAUACGCCCGCCUUGUUCUUGUGGGUCCUCUCGUAAAGUUCCAUAAGAGACGGGAGAUGUCCCGUCUCUUUGGCCUAAAAAACAUUUAAGAAAGUUAGAAUAAAUUAGUAUAUAUAUUAAAAAAACGCUGUCAAAAAAAAAAAAAAAAAAAAAAAAAUUAAAAAAAUUAUUNNNNNNNNNNNNNNNNNNNNNNNNNNNNNNNNNNNNNNNNNNNNNNNNNNNNNNNNNNNNNNNNNNNUAUUAAAAAAAUUAUUUAAUAAAAUAUUUAAUUACCAUUUCCAAACGGACACUGGUGUGGGGUUUUUGGCCCGUAGUGUGAAGCAUCGGCCCAUUUCCGUGCUCAUCGACCGUGUUACGGGAGUUAGAGCAAGCCUGGGCGAUUCUAAUGGAAUCAGGAAGGCGCCAAUAACGGAUGAGGCCAUCCCACACAUCCGUGGUGAGCUCAGCGGGUUUGCCACUCUCAUACCCCUUCACGAUCCAGUCACCCUUCCAGUUGGAGACCGUGUCCAACAAGCGAGCUUUCGCCUUCGCGUUAAACUUCUUCCUCACCCUCUCAGUGAUCCCCAAGGCCCAAUUAUAUUUUUGCUGUUGGAAAAAAUAAAUUAACAAUUAGUUUUUUAGAAAGUAUAUAUAUAAAGCAUGAACAAAAUUAAAGUAUAUAUAAUUAAUUAAUAGAAACUUACAGCGUAAAUUUUGAACCACGUCUUUCUGACGUAGUGAGGCGUCUUACUCCAGUUUGGAUGUGGCAUGGAGAAGUAACCCUUGAUCGUGUCGAUUACGUCCGAUGCAAGACAUCCGUCAACCCCCCACCUGGAAAAUACAAAUUUAAAAUAUUAAUUAUUUUUUAAUGUUAUAAAAGAAAUUUAAACGAAUUAAAAAAAAAUUAAUGCAACAUACCACAAAGUUCCGUCCGGUCGGUCUGGGUCAAUGACUGGUAAACCUUCUCUGCCUGGCAGACUGAGAAUGUCCUCUACAGUGUACUGCGAGUAAGGAGCACUCGGAGGCACCAUCAAAUCGGGAUGAAUAUCGGCGACCAUCGGAGGAGGCACAGGAGGAGGCAUCCGAGGAGGCACAUGAGGAGCCGAUGGUGCACUAGAAGAAGUAGACCCAGAGACUCUCUGAGUGUACUGAGUCUCGGGGACAGUCUCCUGACCCGAAGAACCGGGAGCGGAAGAAGAGGCCGGGUCUAAACGACUACCCGACUCACCGAAGAUCUCUCUGUAAUGGACAGUAAGUCUUCCUUUUCGAACCUGGGAAAAAAAUGAAAUUUUUAAAAUUAACAUCAACAAUAUAUUUUCCAACAUUAUCCACCUAAUCAACACUAAAUAACAUAAAAUCCGCAAACUUAUCUAAAUUCCCUAUACUAACCACCUAAUCUAUCCUAAACUAACCAAAUUAGAGAGGAAUCAGAGAGGCUUACCAUUGCUACGAAAUGGAGAGGAAGUAGAGAGGAAGUAGAGAGGAAAGAAAGAGUGAGAGCUCGGGUGUAUAUAUAAGAUUACAUAUCGUCGCACAUUCCUCGUAAGUUUACGACGAAAUAGCAAGCAGUUACAAAGGCCCGUGUUUUUUUUACGAGGAAAUUGCGAGGAAUCACAAAGGCCCGUGUUUUUUUAUACGAGGUAUUAACGACGAUUUAGCUUACGAGGAAUUAACAAGGCUUGCUUUCCUAUAAAUAUACCCACAACUCUCAUUCUCAAACCACACACAAACUCCCAAAACACAUCUUAUCUCAAAUCACAUUCCUCAGCAAAAUCCUAUUCAAAUUAUAAAUAUCUGAAUAAAAUAGGAAAAGGAGAAGAUAUUAGAAUUCAUGUGGGCGAGACUUACGUAUUAUAAUUGUUGGAAGUCUUGCCACAUGUUAAUCUGGUAUUUCUCUCCUUUUCCUUUUUUUUCUAGUUUUUACACAACGAGAUAUUUACGACGAUUUGUACUUACGUGGAAUUAACGGGUUUUAUGUUUAAAUCCUUUUACGUGGUCUUUACGACGAUUUCUGCUUACGUGGAAUUAACGAGUGUUUUGUUUAAAUCCUUUUACGUGGUAUUACGAUUUCAUCCUACGUGGUUUUUACGACGAUUUCAUCCUACGUGGUAUUUACGACGAUUUCAUCCUACGUGGUAUUUACGACGAUUUCAUCCUACGAGGACUUUACGACGAUUUCAUCCUUACGUGGAAUUAACGAGUGUUAUGUUUAAAUCCCUAGAAUCCGAAACCCGAAACCCGAAACCCCAACCCCGAAACCUGAAACCCAAAACCCGAAACCUGAAACCCCAAACCCGAAACCCCAAACCCGAAACCCGAAACCCCAAACCCGAAACCCCAAACCCGAAACCCGAAACCCAAACCCCCAUCUUUAAUUUUCUACUUCAUAUAUCCCUGAAAAAUUUUCCAAUGCCUUUUAUAUUCAAAAAAAAAAUAAACACAAUGUUAGUCAUAUAUUAUUUUGUAAAUUAUUGUGAUAUAAUACACUACGUACCUGCAAGUGCUUCAUGUAUGUUUGUUGGAAGUAGCUCUGCAAAUGCAAAGGGCAGUAGUCGUUGCAUAAAUACAUGACAAUCAUGACUCUUCAUCCCGGAGAACUUUUGACCCUUUUCAACACAUCUAGAGAGAUUCGAAACAUACCCAUCGGGGAACUUCACUUCUGAUGCCACCCAGUUGAACAACACCAACUUUUUUUCUGAAGAUAAUCUGAAUAUCGGAACGGGAACUUGUCCACUGCUUUUAAUAUGUAACUCGCUUCUUGAGCAAAUAUCCGACAAGUCCAACCUCGAUUUUAUGUUGUCUUUUGUCUUCCCUGGGACAUUCAAUAUUGUAUUCAUGAUGUUCUCAAAGAAAUUCUUCUCUAUAUGCAUCACAUCGAGGUUGUGGCGCAGAAGAAGAUCCUUCCAAUAUGGUAACUCCCAAAAUAUACUCUUCUUGUGCCAGUUGUGAUGAACACCGUAAGAAUCUGGCAUAUUACGAGGGACAUGCCAAUUACCACCCCAACGAACUGUUUCGUUAGCUUCGUAGUAGUCGAUUUGCGCUUCAAUUUGUUCUCCAGUUAGAUAUGGAGGAGGAGUGUCUCUCACAACCCUUUUGUGCCUAAACAAAUUCUUGUUUCUUCGGUAAGCAUGGCCAAUGGGAAGAAAUCGACGGUGACAAUCAAACCAACUUGUCUUCCUACCAUUCUUCAGUUGAAACGCAUCUGUCGUUCCAUUACAAUAUGGACAAGCUAAUCUCCCAUGUGUAGUCCAUCCAGACAACAUCCCAUAGGCAGGAAAAUCACUUAUGGUCCACAAAAGCAUCGCUCGCAUCGUAAAAUUCGUCUUCGUUGAACAGUCAUACGUCCUCACCCCUGUUGACCACAAAUCCUUCAACUCUUUUAUCAGUGGUUGUAGGAAAACAUCCAGGGACCUUUUUGGAUGGUUCGGACCAGGUAUUAAUAUGGUCAAGAAUAGUAACUCCCGUUGCAUGCACAUCUCCGGUGGCAGGUUGUAUGGAGUAAGAAAGACUGGCCAUAAUGAAUAUUGUCUCCCUGACAUUCCGAACGGACUAAAUCCAUCUGUGCAUAAUCCGAGAUACACAUUCCGGAUAUUGCUAGCGAAAUCUGGAUGUACUUUGUUGAAAUGUUUCCAGGCUCUUACAUCUGAUGGAUGAGUCAUCUCACCAUCCGUCUGAGUAUGCUCGGCAUGCCAUCUCAUCUUUCCAGCAGUCUGCUCUGAUUGAUACAAUCUUUUCAAUCUGUCUGUAAUUGGUAGCUACCACAUCCUUUGGUACGGUACCCUAUUACGUCCCCGUCCUUGCGGCUUGAAUCGUGGCUUCUUGCAGAAUCGACAUUCUUCUAGCUUCUCAUCAUCUCCCCAAUAGAUCAUGCAGUUGUCGAUGCAAACAUCUAUCAUCUCCGAAGGCAACCCAAGACUAUAAACUAGUUUCUGAAUCUCAUAAUAAGAAUCAGCAGACACAUUGUCUUCCGGCAAAUACUCUUUAAACAAGUCCGCCCAUUCGUUCAUGCAACUUUCAGGUAAAUUGUGAUCAGUUUUAAUAUUCAUCAUUCUAGCAGCUAACGACAAUUUAGAGAGACCUUCUCUACAACCACUGUAAAGUGGUUGAUUCGCCGCGUUUAACAUUUCGUAAAACUUUUUUGCAUCUAUAUUAGGUUCUUCAUCUUCAUCAUGAGCUACGAAUGCAUCAGCUACCAUAUCAUGAACCCUAUCAUAACCUACCAUCUCCUCCUGAUGGUAACUAUGUUCAUUAUGCAAAUGAUGAUCAACCGGUUCUUUUUCCUGAAAAUUGCUAUUACUACUACUAGCUUCGUUCUGAACAUAAUUAAAACCUUCUCCAUGUUGAAACUAGAUAUAGUAAUUUGGCGUGAAACCUCUAUUUAUUAAAUGUUUCCAAACAUUUUUAUGGUUUGCCAGUUUCGAAUUGUUGCAUUUCCGACAAGGACAUAACAUCUUACCACUUUCUUGGGCGAGCGGUGUUGAAUCUGCUUGAUGCAUAAAUGUCUCCAGACCCGCAAGGUAUUCUUUCGUCACUCUCCCGCUAGCAUCUCUAUGCAUAUACAUCCACUUCCGCAACUCGUAAAUAGUCCCGGAGCCAGCCAUUUUUUUUUUCUUUCACGUUUUUUGUUGUUGGUGUGUUUAAAAUGAUGUUCAAACAUCCAUAUUUAUAGGAAAAUUCGAAUCUGGUAGUUGUAAUUUUCCUAUGAAUUUACGACGAAAAUUAAUUAGGUGGGAAAAAAACGUGUAACACCUAUAAAGUUGGUGGAUUCAAAAAUUUCCUCGCUAAAUACACGUAAACUAUUUCCUCGUAAAUACCACGCAAAGUUUACGUCGUAUUUACGAGGAAAUAGUUUUUCCUCGUAAAAUACUCGUAAAAUUACAUCCACUUUACGACGAAACACUUUUGUCGUUACGUUACGACGAAAUAACGAUGACUUUAGUUUUUCACGUAAAUUCCUCGUAAACUCGACGUAAAUUUACGAGGAUUGUUUUUCCUCGUUAAAUUUCGUCGUUAAGCAUGUGUUUUCUUGUAGUGAAAAUCUAUUGCUCAGAUCCUCAAAUCCAUUCCUAGCUUUAUGGCAAAUCAAACGGCAGUCACCACCACCCAAAUUCAUUCUCCACUUUUCUUCAGUAAGGUUUCAUCAGGACCUGGAGAUUCCCAGUUGCUUUUUAAGCUAAUCUAUUUAUGGAAAGCUCGCAAUAAUUCCAAAGGAGACAUCCUUCUCGGCCUUGAGAUGCUGAUGAUUGAUGAAGAGGUACGUGUCCAUAUUUCAAUAUUAUGCUUCCGAUUUCAUACACGUCUCUGAUUUUUUUAAACAGAGAGAGAAUAUGUUAACAAGAUUCUAUCCUGAAACUCAACACCUAAGAAUUUUUAUCGUUAGGAGAUAAUUUUUAAGAUUAGUUAAAUAAGUGACCAUCUCUGAAUAUGUUAAUGGUUCUCAAUAUUCUUUUAUGUAGUAAUUAAAUACAGAAUUGUUCAUAUUGAAAUCUACUACAUAUUUCACAUUUUUAUAAUAAAUAAUUAUUUACAAAAUAAUAAAUACCAAAAAGUUUAAUAUUGAAAAUAAAUUAUGGCUUCAAAACUUAAAGAAUUGCUGAAUCAUUUUAUUGGUUAUCAAAAUUUACAGAUUUAAGUAUUCAAAAUUAUUACACAUUUAUAAAAUUAUAUAUUUAUAUGAAAUAAAAGUUAUUUACCUAUACUUCAAAAAAUAAUUCAAAAUCAACCAGACGAUAUAUAAGAAAAUAUAUGAUAUACAUAAGAUGAUAUAAUUUUUUUAUUUUAUUAAAUGUAGAGUAUUUUAAAUUUUAAGAAAGAUUUAAACAUGGUUACAAAAAAUUUAAUAGAGACAUUUAAUAUGUUAACAUAAAUUAAUGAUAUUUCAAACAAAAAAAAUAUCAAAACCAAUAAAUGAUAUAAUAUUAAAAAAAACUUAAAUUUUUUAAAAAAAAUCUAAGGUUUAAUGUUUAAUGCUUAAUGUUUUAUCUAUUCUAUUGAAACUGAAAUACGAAACAAUACUUACCUAUUAUAAGUGAUUUUUUUACAUCCUAUUCAUUUCUUUUUAACCAAUUUAAACCAUUUUAUUAAUUUUAUUUUCCACAUAAUUUGACAUCAUUUAUUAUAAAAGUACAAAACAAAAAAUAAAUAUUUUAAGUAUUACUCUAUGUUUUACAUUCAGUUUUUCAGUUUUUCCAAACUACUUCAUUAAUUAUAUUUACAAUAAUAAUUUAACGUCAUUUAUUUUAUGUGUUAACCAUAAUAAUUUCACAUGUUUGAAUGAUAUUACUUAAUUAGUUAGACAUGGGCAAUAUCGUAUAUAGAUCGGUUUUUGGGUAUUAUGGUUUUUUGGAUUUUAAAAUUAAAUUCCGUGUAUAAACCAUGACAACAAAUGUCGAGCAUACAACGAGUAUUAUAUAUUUCAGGACGUGUCUGAGUCGAAUUCUUCCAGAUUCGGGUAGAUUCGUAGGAACCUAAAAAUAUCAAAUAACAUAUAUUUAUAUACUUAAAAUUGUCUCUAAACAAUUUAUAAAAACAUAAAAAUCAAUUCCGCGCGGGCGCGCGGAUCAAGCUCUAGUGUUCAUUAGAGAUCGUUCAUAAAACUCGCGAUAUAAUUUAAUAUCGAUCAUUAAACUCAUUUAUUAAAUGAGCAUAAAAACAGAGUUCAUGCUCAUGAAAAAAAAAGAGCUGAGUUGAGCCAGCUAAUGAGUUAUAACUCAUUUUGACACCCCUACCACCAAUUGGUUUUAAGUUGGAAGUCCAUAAUAAACCAGAAUCUAACAUAGUAUCAGAGUACACAUCCUAAAUACGCUAAACCAAGUAAUAUAAUCCUUUCCAAAAGGGUAUAAAGGUUGUAAUUAUUUCGUUCGACCGGAUAUAAAGGACGAGGAUUAGGGAUUAGAAUGAGUUGAUCGGGUUACAUAGAAGGGGUGAGGAGAAGCUGAAUAUAUAGUGAGGCGAAUUUGUUGACAAUGUGUAGCUUUGAGAAAAUUAUAAAUUAUUUGUCUUAAUUGCUGAUGUGGAUAAUGGUGGUGAUUAACAUUAGAAGCUUCUCAUAGGCAUAACUGAUGUACAGCGAGAAGGGGAAUGGUUUGAACGGAAGGAAGAGGAAGAAUCGGGACUAUAAUGAUCCGGGCUAGCCCAGCCCAGCCCAGCCCGAAAAUAUUUUGGGUCCAGAAUUCAAAGUCCGGCCUUUACAGGAUUAUAAAGGUUUUUCGGAUUUUCUGGGCUUUUCGAAAAAAAUAAUUUGUCAUUGUUACUUCUAUUGUUUUAAUAGAUUUGAAUUUUCAUAAAAAAUCAGUUUCAACUUUUUGUUUUAAAAUAUUAAGUCAGUUUAAACUUUUCUUCUUUAUUAAAAAUGUUUUACUUUUUUGUAUUUUUACAUUUUACUCUUUCGUAUGUUUUUAAAACAUAUUAUAAACUAAGCAAAUUUAAUAAGAUUUAAAUAAUCAAAUAUAAAUUAAAACUUAAUAUAUAAGAGAACAAAAUUUAUGAUAAACGAGGUCAAACGUUUCAGACUUUGUAUGUUCAAAAAAAAUGCUAUAAAAGAAGAAGGUACAUUUGCAAAUUUCAAAUGUAACAUUUGUAAUGAUCACACAAUAAGGUGUAUUAACAACUUUCAUAUUUGUUUUCUUAGAGUUUGGUAAAAAUAUUAAAAUAAUAUUUAAUACUAAUAAUAGUUCUGAUUCCAAGAAUAAAAAUAUUUAAACUAAAAUAUAAAGUGUAGGGUUUUCGCGUCGGCCCUAAUCCAAACGGAUUUAGACCCAAAAUAUCCAAAGUCCAAAUAGGCUUAGCUCGAAAACUCCAAUUUUUGGACUUAUAAAACUAAGCCCAAAUCCGAAAACUUUUAAGGUCGGGCGGACUCGGGUCGCCGGUUUCGACCUUAAUUGACAUGUCUAAUAAACAUAUUGUGUUUUUGGCCUAGCUUGUGUGCUUUGAUAGUAAAAUAAUUGUUAGAUAUUGGGCUUAAAUAUAUGGUUGUUGGAUAUUGGGCUUAAACAUAUGGUUCAAUUGACAAAUACGUAGCCCACAAAAUAAAAGAUGCUUUCUGAUUGGUUGAUUUUUAAGCUACGUCGCAUGCUUCCCAACUAAAUGUAUUUGACUUUUACUAUUUGUAGAAAUUUAAUAUUCUUUUUGCCGCUCCUUAGUCAAUUAUUGGAUUAUAUAUUGACUAGAAUCUAGCAGAAUUCAAAAAGAAAUAUUUUUUUUCUCAACAAUUCAAAAGGAAAUAAUCUACAAUCUUUAAACAAUAAUUUUUUUCUGUUUUAACGUAUUCGUGUUAUUAUUGUAUAUAUAAUCAGAAAGUAAAGAAGAAUUCACCAACAAAAAAAAAAUUAAAGCAAAUUUCUAAAAAAAAAUUUUAAAAAUCAUCUCUAAAAUGGUUAUCACCAUGAAAACUUUAGUCAUGUUUGUUUUCACUACUUUUUUCAUUAUAUCUUUUGUUGAUUCACUUGAUUGUCAUCCUCCAACCGCAGUUACCAUUCCUGCUAAUUCUCCAAGUAAUGAUUUAUAAUUUUGUAGGUACGACUUUAUCAUGUUUGAUUAAUAUUCAUAUCAGUUCCAAUGAUUUUUUUUCAUAUAAAUAGGUUAUGGAUUAAGUAUGGGUACAAUAAUAUGCUUCAGACUCACAGUGUCAUGUUAUUCUGGAGGCUUCGUUCAGUGCAAAAGGAUUUGUGAGGAGCGGAAUUAUUAUUGCAAGCAGUGUAGUCAGGAUGAAUGUUAUUGUGAAACAAAAAGUAUGCGUCGAAGAUAAAAUCGUUGACGUUUGUUUGAAAUAAACAUCAAUAGCUUUCAUGCAUUUUCACCAAUAGAUGCUAAAAAAUAAAAUAAAUAAAGUUUAUCAAAUUGAAAUAUUUUUUUUUGAGCAACCUCAAAUUGAAAUAAAUAAAAGAAUAAAAUAAAAUAAAAGGAAAGAAUGAAAGAAGGUCUAUGGAUCUUUCCUCUCAUCUCUCUCUUCUCUCUAGACUGUUCGACAAACUUUAAGCAUUUGGUGGCCGGCCACUUUUUAUGUCUGCGCCACUCAUUUCCUUUUGUUUUUUGUUUUUUGUUUUCUGAUCUUUGAUCAGAUUUUUCUUUGGCGUUUGUCCGAUUGUAAAUUUCCGGUUGUGGAUUUUUCUUUUAGUUUUUUUUUUUGUUGUUGUUGAUGCAAUUAUAAUUUGUACUAAAUAUAUAAAUUAUUGAUGCAAUUAUAAUUUGUACUAAAUAAAAAUUUUAAACAAAACUAAUUUUUCCUUUAGAAUAUAUAAAUCCAAAAUAUAGAUGGCUUAAAUCUAGUAAAAAACAAUAGAAAUGUCAUAGCAUAGUGGUAAGUGAGACUAUAUUAUAUCUGCGGGACCAUGGUUCGAUGCCGAUCUAAUGUAACUUUUUUAAAUUUUCCUACAUUACAAAGCAAUGUCGUUUUAUCUAACAUAACGGUUGACUAACGCCAUGUUAGUCAAAGUAGUUUUUCAUGCUACAUAUUGAAGUUUGCGACAAAAAUUUAGAUAACUUUUAGUUCAUGUAUUAUUUUGCACUUAUAAUUUGUUUGGAUAUAAAAAAGCACAACACAGAAUGUUGGAUAAAAAAACUUUGUUUUUCAUAAAACCUAUCGGCUGAUCCGAUCGGUCUCGGGAGGAACGCCCUUAGUGCUACAGAGUGGACUGACUACCACACUGUCUGAUCCAAGUUUGGAAUACCUUCCGACUAAUGCCAAAAGUUGAACUGACCAUCUGUUGUGAUCCACCAUGUAAACCACUUGGGCCGAACCCCAAACCUACACUGGUCAAGUGACGAUAAUUUAGUUCCCAAGCAGAAUUAAACCUAAGACUGAUGUGGGUACACAUUAAGUUCCAAGAGAUUGCGACUAUAUUACCACCACUUAGUUAAUCAACUGGUGAAAAGAAGGAGUUCAACAUAUCCUCUUGUGACCAUCACGGAAAGUUUGUAGCAGUAUUUCGACGCUGUGCUACAGUGGAAAGGGAGAUUGAAGCCAGUUUAAGUGUGGUAACGAAAUGGACCUGUUCCGGGAAAAUAAGUAGCACCGACAGGAAGACUCUAGGCUCUACACGUGUUGUUGGAUAUUAGGUAUACGUUACAUUUGUCUUAACUAGUCUAGUCUUAACCCAUGGGGUCCUAAGAGCAUCUCCGAUAUAUUAUUCCAUUUUCUACUCUAAAAUAGAGUUAAAUUUUAUUCCAAUGUAUUACUUCAUUUUCCACUCCAAAAUAGAAUAUUUCUAAUAUAUCAUAUUUUAUAUUUAUUUAAAAAUUAGUAAUAUUAUCUUUCAUUUAUAUUAUUUGCAAAACAGUCUAUUUUUAGAUUGUAACAACUACAUUAAAUAGAAUCAUGAUGAAGACGUUAUUGGUGAAUCCUCAUCUCAAAGACCAAGGGAGUAAUACCCCGUCCAAAAAAAAAAGUUCGGAAUAGUAUCGGCGGGAAGUGGAGUUAUCGAAAUUUGACUACAGUUUAAUAAUAUGGUGCAAUAUCAUUAAAUGUAAGUCAAUAGCUUAAUUGGAUAAUUAAACCAUUUUUCAAAGAAUAGUGACCAAAAGUGUGGAGUUUUGGUCACCAAAUUUGGGUUAGUUAAUCAUGGUUAAAAGAAAAAAGAAGACGAGAGAUUAUAUAUUUCUUAUGGUUUUGAGGCCUUUAACGUGUCUUAAAGGAAAGAGGAGUGAAUCAUAUACAGCCUGGCUUUGUCAUCACCACGUGGUCAAAGAGAAGAAGAGAAGAAGAGAAGUGAGAUACGUGGCUUAUCAAGAAAGAAAGGAACUAACAAUGUGCUUACUCAGGUUUAUGUUAAUCACGUGGCCAGUUUGGAGAGGAAGCAAAUGACUUAGUCAUUGUUUUGGGAACGUGGCCAAAAAUGGGAGGAGGUGAGUGUGAUACUUGUUACCAUCUCAUACAUCUUGUUUAACUAUAAAAGGAAGCCACCCUCCUCCAUUUCUCCACGAACUCAACAUGACCAAAGAAAGAAGAAAAGAAAGGAAGGAGAAGAAAAGAGUAAGAGAAAAAGAAAAGAAAAGAAAAUAAUAGAAAAAUAAGAAGAAUAGUAUUAGAGGAUUACAAGAAAAAACAAGACGUGUUACAAUAUUACGGGAUUAUCGGUACGGAAUCAAGACAAAGUUUUGGAAGGAAUAAAAAGGGUUUGGUCAGCUUUCGGAAUCAGAAAGUCAAACCACAUCGGUUAAUCACUGUGAGUCACGGUUAAUUGUUUGUUAACAUUUUUUGAUGCAGGUUCCUGGCAUUAGAGACGGCUUCCGAGUUAGGAUAGCCGGACCGGUCUAGGUGUCAGUUUGUGGAUCCGAGGCUUGAGACGAUGUCUGGGCUAAGUGGAUAACAAGACUAGUUUAAGCACCCGGAUUAUUGUGAUUGUGUGAUUAUUAAAAGUUGUUAUAGUGUGUACCUCGUGUUGGUAUUGUUCUGUGAGAACCUCGUGGUGGUUCUAGUAGUAGUAUACAGGUCAUUGCUUCCUCAAAUGGUACCACUAAGCCGGUCGUGGUCCGGAAAGUGGUGGGCUCGAUUUAACUUGGCUUGAUCACCAAGGCCGAGUGUCACACAUGGAUUUGACAGCCCCCGGCGAGUCCAAUAGAGGACCGGGGCAUGGCGAUUCCGAUUGAGGACUGUGACCGGGCGAUUCCCGAGCGCCUACGCCUGUGUGGUGUAAUAGUGAAGGGAUUGUUGGUGUCCCUUAUGUGGAGGAAGAAUGAUUUUGUUGGUCCCUUGGAGUAUAUAUACAUGGUUGAUUGAUGUGACACUCAUAAAGAGUGUUUUAAUUUAUUAUGGUUUAAUUGUUUACUGCUUAAUCAUUUAAGCUUUGAAUAUGGUUGUUGAACUACUCGUCUUUCCUGUGUUCGGGGUGGGGUUUAGAAUGACGGGUAUUUGUAUAUGCUAGAUAGGGAACCCUGGCUCACUGAGUGAAACUAGUUCACUCACUCCUCACAUCCUUUUGCAGGUGACCAGUAGAAAGGACCGUAGCACUCGCGGAACUGUAGGAGCUGGUGUAGAUUGGACAUAUUUUGCUAAACACUCGUUUUCAAGAUAUAUGAAUGUAUGUUUUACUUUCGACUGCGUCCAUGUACCCUAUGUAUAAUAUUUUGGGCUUGCGAACUUUAUGUUUUUUAUAUAAGAAAUAAAGUAUAUUUUAUAUUCGUGACGUGUUGAAUCUGAUAUUAGGUUAGUCCAACCUAACAUAACUCUAUGACUCGGUACGGAUUGCAAAGCCUCAGGCCGAAGAUUAGAGGAAACGAGUUUUGAAUGGAUAUUCUAGGUUACAAAAUUAUGUUUUGUGACUUGGAAAGUCUAUUCUAAACCCGUUGUGACACUUCCGGACUUGGCAGAGGAAGGUCGUUGGGGCAUGUUCUUGUUUGAUUGUUGCCCGGCUGACUGACCGAUGUUUAAAACGGUUCGGGGGUGUUACAGAGGUGGUAUCAGAGCAUGGUUUAGAUCAUGCGAUCAAUCAAGCAUUUUUCGUCUUUUAUCGAGUCAAAUGUGUCGCAAAAGAUGUAUUAGAAAACCAGCAGAGUUCCGCUCUAAUUAUUAUUCUAAAUAGGAAAUUGCCUAUUUGUGGAUUGCAGAUGGCAAGAAGGGGAAGGAGUGAAGGGGGACAGGAUUGGAUGUUGGGUACAGGAAGAAUCUCAGGAAGAAGAAGGUUGAGAUAUGAAUCCGACGUAAGAGUGCAAACACUAGCACACACCAACCAGGAGUUCAGCGAAGAUAACAUAAUGGGAAACGACAAUCUGUUUGGGCACGACCAGUUGAGGCCACAAGAAGAACACUUUCCACUGAACCGUAGUGUAAGGGAAAGGCCAGAAACAGAUGAUAGUGAGUCAAGUGUCCAAGGACCAAGACCAAUAAGGCGGAAUAACCCGAUUGAACAAGAAGUUCAUGAUCAACCACAACAAGGAUUAGGAAUGGAGCACACUCUGAAGAUGCUUCAUGACGUGAUAGCGAGGUCACUGCAACAACCUCAGGUGCAACCUCAGCCACUCGUACCACCACAACCUACAGUGGCUACACCGAUGUUACCAUUGAUAACUGCCAUGAAGAACAUGAAGACACCACAUUUUGAAGGAGGGACAGACCCAUUUGAAGCUGACCAGUGGCUUCGAACUAUGGAGAAGAACUUUGAGACCCUGACGUGUUCUGAAGAGUCUAAGAAAAAGAUGGCGGUGUAUUACUUAGAAAAAGACGCGGCAGAAUGGUUGGAAAGUAGGGAUCGCCAAGUAGGACAUCUGGUAACCACUUGGGCGGCAUUCAAAAAGGAAUCUGAACACCAGUAUUUCACCCCGGAGUCCAAGCGAAGGCUUCAACGUCAGUUUGCUAACCUAGCACAAGGAGACAAGACAAUUAGAGAAUAUGAAUCUGAAUUUAUGCGACUGCGACGACACGUGCUGCGAGGACAAGAUGAUGAAGAGACCAUGAUAUCUAACUUUAUGUUUGGUCUAAAACCAGAGUUGGAAAAUAGACUGACAGUCGGAAACUACGAGAGUCUCACCAAGCUAGCGGAAAAAGAUGUGAAUGUGGAGAUCGGAUUGGAAGCUGAGAAGGCGGCAAGUAAGAAAUCCAAGCAGCAUCAAGAAGGAAAGUAUGGUGGAAACCAAGAUCUUUUAAGGGUAAAGAUAAGGAAAAAGAAUCGGGAGGGCCAAGUCGACGAUCUCUGUUCACAUGAAAAUGCUUUAACUGUGGCAAGAUAGGCCAUAAGUCAAGUGAAUGCUAUGGGAAGAAACCUGGAUCCUUUCAGUCAAACUCCUACAAUCCUACAUGUUUCACAUGUGGAAAUAAAGGGCACAUCUCUACCCAGUGCAGCGUCAACCGUCAUAUCCCAGCUACGCCAAUCACUGUCCAUCCUCUCCAGCUCCACCUGCAAUCGCACCAGCGCCAAAAAGGCAAGCUAUAGGAGGUAGAGUUUACGCUUUAGAACUAGAUGAUCCUAAACCUCCAGGCCCAUCUACGGGUCUCAUCACAGGUAUUUGGGUUAUUUAACCUUACUAAUUUGACUUUGUGUUGUGUGAUUGCUUGUAACGGAUUGGUUAAUUUCUAUUGGAUAAUUAUUAUGUUGUUGAUAUAUAUUAAUGUUGUGGCAGGAACUUUACAUGUUGCGGGGCGUCCCACACAUGUAUUGUUCGACUCCGGGGCAACAUAGUUUUGUGACCCCUGAGGUAGCUGCCCAGUUUGUGGGUUCAUUUGUGAUUGACAGGAUGGAUGUGGUUAUAAUGACUCCCAGAGACCAAACCCUCCAAGCAAUAGAAUGCAUUAGAAGAGUUCUGUUAGUCAUUUGCGAAUAGAUGUUCUUGGCAGAUUUAUUGGUGGUGCCCUUAAAGGGAUAUAAAGUUAUUCCGGGCAUGGAUUGGUUAUCAGGCUAUCGGACACAAUUAGAUUGUGGAAAAGGUCGUAUUUUGUUCAAGGAGAACGGGAAACGACAAAUAGUGUUCUAUGGGAUCAGUCCAAGCAAGUAUGUGUCUUUAGUAGCUGCCUUAGGAGUGGAAGAUUUGCUCAAGGAUGGAGAAGCGUAUCUGGUAACAGUAACUGCUAGUGAAGGACCCGCUAGCAAUGGAGUUGAAAUUACGGAUAUUGCAGUCGUACAAGAGUUUGAGGAUGUGUGUGCGGCGUUAAAAUAGUUACCUCCACCUCGGAGUAACCAUUUCACAAUUAACUUGGAACCUGGAGCUAAGCCGAUAGCAAAGGCUCCUUACCGGAUGGCACCUGCGGAGUUAGCAGAGUUGAAGAAACAGCUUGAAGACUUAAUGGAGAAAGGUUUCAUAAGACCUAGCUUUUCACCAUGGGGAGCUCCGGUCUUAUUUGUCAAGAAGAAGGAUGGUAGCAUGCGACUUUGCAUUGAUUAUCGUGGAAUCAACAAUAUCACCAUCAAAGAUAAGUAUUCUCUUCCGAGGAUAUAUGAGUUGUUGGAUCAGCUAAGGGGAGCAAGUUGGUUUUCGAAGAUCGACUUGGCGUCGGGCUAUCAUCAGAUUCCAAUUUCAGAAGAUGAUGUCAUGAAGACUGCGUUUAGAACUCGUUAUGGACAAUACAAAUUUGUAGUAAUGCCUUUUGGACUUACUAACGCACUGGCGGCCUUCAUGAGAUUGAUGAAUGAAGUCUUCCACGAUUAUCUCGACAAGUUCGUGAUAAUCUUCAUCAAUGACAUUUUAAUAUAUUCCAAGACAGAGGUCGACCACAAAGCACACUUGAAGCUAGGGUUAGAAUGGUUGAGAAACCAGAAGCUGUAUGCAAAGUUUAGUAAGUGUUCUUUUUGGAAAAGAGAGAUCAGAUUCUUAGGGCACCGAGUGUCUGGAGAAGGAGUUUCCAUAGAUUCGGAAAAGGUGAAAGCCAUCGAGGAAUGGCAAAGGCCAUCAACGGUAACCGAGGUAAGAAGUUUCCUCAGGUUAGCCGGGUAAUAUCAAAAGUUCGUCAAGAAAUUUUCUUCGAUCGCUAAGCCCCUGACGAAGUUGACUGGAAAAGGAGUUUCGUUCAUCUGGGGAAAAGAAACGGAGGAAGCAUUUCAGAGACUGAAGAAAGUUUUGACCACAACACCAGUAUUGGCAUUACCUGAACAAGGUAAACCUUAAACUGUGUACGCAGAUGCUUCUAGGGUUGGGUUGGGUUGUGUGUUGAUGCAGGAAGGUAAAGUAAUUGCUUAUGCAUCAAGGCAACUCAGGAAGCAUGAAGAGAACUACCCAACACACGAUUUAGAAAUGGCGGCAAUGGUGUUUGUAUUAAGGAUUUGGAGAUUAUACUUAUAUGGAGAAGUCGUGGAAGUAUUCACAGAUCAUAAGAGUCUCAAGUACUUGUUCACACAGCAUGAUUUGAACCUCCGACAAAGGCGAUGGAUGGAGUUUGUGGCGGAUUACGACCUGAAGAUUCAAUAUCAUCCAGGCAAAGCUAAUGUUGUCGCAGAUGCACUAAGUCGUAGAAAGUUGGCGUCCGAUGUUGGAAAGGAAGUGGAAGCGUUAUCAAGUGAAAUCAAGUUGAUGACUUUAUGGGCAAUUUAAGGGGAGCCAAGUGAGCCUUUAGGCAUGUGUGCCGUAAACCAGGCAGGUUUACUCGCACCGAUCAGACAGGAGCAACAACGUGAUGAAAAGUUAAAGAGAAUUAUUGAGAAAGUCAAGAGUCAAGAAGCUCCAAACACAAGUGGCUAUCAUGUGGUGGCAGAUGAUACGCUAUUACUUAAUGGAAGGAUAUCUGUACCACAGGGAGAAGGGCUACGAGGUGAGAUUUUGAAUUCGGCGCAUCACUCUUUACUCAAUAUCCAUCCCGGGAGUACGAAAAUGUAUCGAGAUAUCCGAAGGUAUUAUCAUUGGCCAAGAAUGAAGAAAUCAGUGACGCGAUGGGUGGCUCAAUGUCAAACUUUUCAACAACUCAAAGUCGAGCAUCAAAUUCCAGGAGGUUUGNNNNNNNNNNNNNNNNNNNNNNNNNNNNNNNNNNNNNNNNNNNNNNNNNNNNNNNNNNNNNNNNNNNNNNNNNNNNNNNNNNNNNNNNNNNNNNNNNNNNNNNNNNNNNNNNNNNNNNNNNNNNNNNNNNNNNNNNNNNNNNNNNNNNNNNNNNNNNNNNNNNNNNNNNNNNNNNNNNNNNNNNNNNNNNNNNNNNNNNNNNNNNNNNNNNNNNNNNNNNNNNNNNNNNNNNNNNNNNNNNNNNNNNNNNNNNNNNNNNNNNNNNNNNNNNNNNNNNNNNNNNNNNNNNNNNNNNNNNNNNNNNNNNNNNNNNNNNNNNNNNNNNNNNNNNNNNNNNNNNNNNNNNNNNNNNNNNNNNNNNNNNNNNNNNNNNNNNNNNNNNNNNNNNNNNNNNNNNNNNNNNNNNNNNNNNNNNNNNNNNNNNNNNNNNNNNNNNNNNNNNNNNNNNNNNNNNNNNNNNNNNNNNNNNNNNNNNNNNNNNNNNNNNNNNNNNNNNNNNNNNNNNNNNNNNNNNNNNNNNNNNNNNNNNNNNNNNNNNNNNNNNNNNNNNNNNNNNNNNNNNNNNNNNNNNNNNNNNNNNNNNNNNNNNNNNNNNNNNNNNNNNNNNNNNNNNNNNNNNNNNNNNNNNNNNNNNNNNNNNNNNNNNNNNNNNNNNNNNNNNNNNNNNNNNNNNNNNNNNNNNNNNNNNNNNNNNNNNNNNNNNNNNNNNNNNNNNNNNNNNNNNNNNNNNNNNNNNNNNNNNNNNNNNNNNNNNNNNNNNNNNNNNNNNNNNNNNNNNNNNNNNNNNNNNNNNNNNNNNNNNNNNNNNNNNNNNNNNNNNNNNNNNNNNNNNNNNNNNNNNNNNNNNNNNNNNNNNNNNNNNNNNNNNNNNNNNNNNNNNNNNNNNNNNNNNNNNNNNNNNNNNNNNNNNNNNNNNNNNNNNNNNNNNNNNNNNNNNNNNNNNNNNNNNNNNNNNNNNNNNNNNNNNNNNNNNNNNNNNNNNNNNNNNNNNNNNNNNNNNNNNNNNNNNNNNNNNNNNNNNNNNNNNNNNNNNNNNNNNNNNNNNNNNNNNNNNNNNNNNNNNNNNNNNNNNNNNNNNNNNNNNNNNNNNNNNNNNNNNNNNNNNNNNNNNNNNNNNNNNNNNNNNNNNNNNNNNNNNNNNNNNNNNNNNNNNNNNNNNNNNNNNNNNNNNNNNNNNNNNNNNNNNNNNNNNNNNNNNNNNNNNNNNNNNNNNNNNNNNNNNNNNNNNNNNNNNNNNNNNNNNNNNNNNNNNNNNNNNNNNNNNNNNNNNNNNNNNNNNNNNNNNNNNNNNNNNNNNNNNNNNNNNNNNNNNNNNNNNNNNNNNNNNNNNNNNNNNNNNNNNNNNNNNNNNNNNNNNNNNNNNNNNNNNNNNNNNNNNNNNNNNNNNNNNNNNNNNNNNNNNNNNNNNNNNNNNNNNNNNNNNNNNNNNNNNNNNNNNNNNNNNNNNNNNNNNNNNNNNNNNNNNNNNNNNNNNNNNNNNNNNNNNNNNNNNNNNNNNNNNNNNNNNNNNNNNNNNNNNNNNNNNNNNNNNNNNNNNNNNNNNNNNNNNNNNNNNNNNNNNNNNNNNNNNNNNNNNNNNNNNNNNNNNNNNNNNNNNNNNNNNNNNNNNNNNNNNNNNNNNNNNNNNNNNNNNNNNNNNNNNNNNNNNNNNNNNNNNNNNNNNNNNNNNNNNNNNNNNNNNNNNNNNNNNNNNNNNNNNNNNNNNNNNNNNNNNNNNNNNNNNNNNNNNNNNNNNNNNNNNNNNNNNNNNNNNNNNNNNNNNNNNNNNNNNNNNNNNNNNNNNNNNNNNNNNNNNNNNNNNNNNNNNNNNNNNNNNNNNNNNNNNNNNNNNNNNNNNNNNNNNNNNNNNNNNNNNNNNNNNNNNNNNNNNNNNNNNNNNNNNNNNNNNNNNNNNNNNNNNNNNNNNNNNNNNNNNNNNNNNNNNNNNNNNNNNNNNNNNNNNNNNNNNNNNNNNNNNNNNNNNNNNNNNNNNNNNNNNNNNNNNNNNNNNNNNNNNNNNNNNNNNNNNNNNNNNNNNNNNNNNNNNNNNNNNNNNNNNNNNNNNNNNNNNNNNNNNNNNNNNNNNNNNNNNNNNNNNNNNNNNNNNNNNNNNNNNNNNNNNNNNNNNNNNNNNNNNNNNNNNNNNNNNNNNNNNNNNNNNNNNNNNNNNNNNNNNNNNNNNNNNNNNNNNNNNNNNNNNNNNNNNNNNNNNNNNNNNNNNNNNNNNNNNNNNNNNNNNNNNNNNNNNNNNNNNNNNNNNNNNNNNNNNNNNNNNNNNNNNNNNNNNNNNNNNNNNNNNNNNNNNNNNNNNNNNNNNNNNNNNNNNNNNNNNNNNNNNNNNNNNNNNNNNNNNNNNNNNNNNNNNNNNNNNNNNNNNNNNNNNNNNNNNNNNNNNNNNNNNNNNNNNNNNNNNNNNNNNNNNNNNNNNNNNNNNNNNNNNNNNNNNNNNNNNNNNNNNNNNNNNNNNNNNNNNNNNNNNNNNNNNNNNNNNNNNNNNNNNNNNNNNNNNNNNNNNNNNNNNNNNNNNNNNNNNNNNNNNNNNNNNNNNNNNNNNNNNNNNNNNNNNNNNNNNNNNNNNNNNNNNNNNNNNNNNNNNNNNNNNNNNNNNNNNNNNNNNNNNNNNNNNNNNNNNNNNNNNNNNNNNNNNNNNNNNNNNNNNNNNNNNNNNNNNNNNNNNNNNNNNNNNNNNNNNNNNNNNNNNNNNNNNNNNNNNNNNNNNNNNNNNNNNNNNNNNNNNNNNNNNNNNNNNNNNNNNNNNNNNNNNNNNNNNNNNNNNNNNNNNNNNNNNNNNNNNNNNNNNNNNNNNNNNNNNNNNNNNNNNNNNNNNNNNNNNNNNNNNNNNNNNNNNNNNNNNNNNNNNNNNNNNNNNNNNNNNNNNNNNNNNNNNNNNNNNNNNNNNNNNNNNNNNNNNNNNNNNNNNNNNNNNNNNNNNNNNNNNNNNNNNNNNNNNNNNNNNNNNNNNNNNNNNNNNNNNNNNNNNNNNNNNNNNNNNNNNNNNNNNNNNNNNNNNNNNNNNNNNNNNNNNNNNNNNNNNNNNNNNNNNNNNNNNNNNNNNNNNNNNNNNNNNNNNNNNNNNNNNNNNNNNNNNNNNNNNNNNNNNNNNNNNNNNNNNNNNNNNNNNNNNNNNNNNNNNNNNNNNNNNNNNNNNNNNNNNNNNNNNNNNNNNNNNNNNNNNNNNNNNNNNNNNNNNNNNNNNNNNNNNNNNNNNNNNNNNNNNNNNNNNNNNNNNNNNNNNNNNNNNNNNNNNNNNNNNNNNNNNNNNNNNNNNNNNNNNNNNNNNNNNNNNNNNNNNNNNNNNNNNNNNNNNNNNNNNNNNNNNNNNNNNNNNNNNNNNNNNNNNNNNNNNNNNNNNNNNNNNNNNNNNNNNNNNNNNNNNNNNNNNNNNNNNNNNNNNNNNNNNNACUUUUAACUAAUUAAAUUUACCCCAGACUAUAGAAUACUCAAGCUUGUGGGUUCUCCUGAUACCUCUGCCUUAGCACAUUAAUCCAAGCAUCUAUAUGCUGCAUAUUAAAUAUAACAAGUUAGAAGUUACCAGACGACUUAAAUAUAAGUCGUCUACGUGGUCGUCCAAGUAGACGACUUUCCAGACGACUUAUAAUAAGUCGUCUGGAAAGUAGUCUACUUGGACGACUUUGUAGACGACUUAAAUCGUGAGCAGAAGACUUACGCAGUCUUCCAGCCAUCCUCUGGCUGUCCGGAGGAAGUGGUACCACCUUGUUGGUGAUGUACGUGGUUUGUCCUCGGUCUUAGUUAAAUAAUGGCUGCAAACAAAAAAAGCAAUCAGUUUUGGACGACUAAAUCAAGCUAUUAUGGGUAAAGCAAUCACUUACGGAUCAGUUUUCAACCAAUCAGCGAGUUCCUUCAACCGAUCUUUGUUUACUGGCGGAAAUGGAUUAUAGGCUCCCACUUUAUCUUUUUUUUUCUCUGCCGUAUAAGGAGAUCUCACAGUGGGAGCAGGUUUCUUCGCUCGUUUACUCUUUGCACGCUUGUCCAAUACAACCAGGCUCGGUUCUGAAACUGGAUCGCUUGGCUCGGUGGAAGCGAGGCUCAGUUGUUGAUCGGUGGAAGCGAGGCUCGGUUGGUGAUCGGUGGAAGUGACAGCAACAAUCUCUUUGGAGGUCUUAUUUACCGAGAAUGCCUCGGUUGCUGUAUCCUCCGGCAACCAUCUCUGCAAUAAAAGUUGCACACAAGUUAACUCUGGACGACUUAAACAAAAGUUGUCUGGACGACUAGUUGGACCUGGACGACUUAAAAUUAAGUCUUCCGUGGUCAACUAGUCGUCCAGACAACUUACGUUUAAGUCGUCCAGGGUCAACUAGUCGUCCAGACAACUUUUACAGUCGUCUGGACAACUAGUUAACCCUGGAUUUGAUACUAACCUCUUUGAUUUGAGGAGGCUGUUUCUUUUGAGGAGGAGGCUGUUUCUUUUGAGGAGGAGGAGGCUGCUGUUUGGUUUGAUGAGGAGGAGGCUGGUUACUAACCACGGUUUCUUUGGCAUGAGGGGUAGGUUGUUUAUCUUGAGGGGUAGCCUGUUUGUUUAUACCCCCGGUUUCUUUGGCAAGAGGGGUAGGCUGUUUAUCUUGAGGGGUAAACUGAUUGGUGACACCAACCUUCUUCUCCACAGCUUCCAAUCUAUCGGACAACUUCCUAAACUCCCUCAUGCACUUAUUAAACCCUUUUUUCAUGCAGUCAGCUACGCCCUUGAACAUAAUUUCCAACUCCUCUCUGGUCACCCCUCUAGCCUCUUCUCUAGCCUCUUCACUAGCCACUUUAGGAGCCUCUUUACGAGCUUUCUUCCGAGGUCUUGGAUUGUCUUCCUCCUCCUCCUCCUCCUCCUCCAACACAACCAUCUCUUUGGCCUUCUUUGAUGGAGUCACAACCUUAGGUUUUGUAUUGACCUUAGUACCAGUGACUUCCCAGCAAUCCAUGGUCCACUUCCACGGUCUCCGCUCAUACAUGACUUUAAUGAUGUUCUCCGCGGGCAGGUCCUCAACCUCAGAGUCCCAUUUUGGCCACAUUUCACUAAUGUCCUUCUCAACAAAGUUGAUCACGCGGGUCUGCAGUAAAUAGAAGAAUCGAGUUAGAUAUUUGAAAAAAAAUACUAAAUAGACGACUUAAUUAUAAGUCGUCUACUAUGUCGUCCAGCUGGAAGACCUUCCAGACGACUUAUAAUAAGUCGUCUAAUAAGUCGUCCAGAUGGAAGACUUUCCAGACGACUUAUAAUAAGUCGUCUAAUAAGUCGUCCAGAUGGAAGACUUUCCAGACGACUUAAUUAAGUCGUCCGAUAAGUCGUCCAGCUGGACGACCUUCCAGACGACUUAUAAUAAGUCGUCUGCGCAGUCUUUUGGAUUGAAGUAAAUACCUGACUCAAGAUAGCAGCUUUCAUUGAUCUGCGGCCUCUGCUGCCCUCGUAAGCCAGUAUCGGUGGAGACGGACUGUCUGCUCUGGGACCACCAAUACUAGCACCCAAUUCCGGCAUAGCUGUGUACGUCCAGACCUGAAGAACUUGUAUAAACCCAUCCACGGUGUAACAGCCAGCAAUUUCUUUGUUCCACAAAGAGUCCAUCAGCACCUUAAAUGCGACUCUCCCCCAUGGAUAAUUCUCAAACCGUUCUAAAUCCAUCACUAGCCUUGCCAGAGUAGAUCGUGUAGCGGUUGAAAACUUUCUCCCUUCAAUGAAUCCAGUGAAGAUGGAGAGGUACGCGAGCCGCUUGCGAUCUUCCCUGGACCAAUCCCCGCAUCUCUGCAGUGCUGCUAUUAUCUGAUCAGUAGUUGGCCCAGCUUCCAGAUGAACUCCCAGCAUCCCCCAGAAAGAAACCAUCUCUGGGGUAACAUCACAUUUUGGUGUCUCAAGGUCCUCGAUGUACUCGCAGUUUAGACCAGUGAGGUUUUCAAACUCUAACAGUGAAAACCUCAAAGGUUCUGGACCAACGAGAGACCACAUCUCAUACUUCUUCUUAAUGUCCAGCUUGAAACUGAGCAUGUAGUGAACCAGCCUUGAAGCCCAACCAAAUCCCUGCUCCUUGAACUUGAUGAAAACUCCCAAACUCGACUCCUUGAGCUCUUCAAAUUCGUCAUCAGUAAGAGCUUUCCUAAGAGCAGUAUGCAACUUGCUGUUAUCCGUAUGAUACGAAAUGCUAUUGUGGGCUUCUGGUUCUUCCCCUGAUGUGUAUAACCUACGGGGGAGUUCUGGAAUAUCCAUCCUUUUUGUCUGCAAAAUAAUCAAAGACAACGAUAUAAGUCCAGACGACUUAGUAGACGACUUAUAAUUAAGUCGUCUGGAAAGUCUUCCAAAUGGACGACUUAUAUUUAAGUCAUCUACUAAGUCGUCCAGUUGGAAGACUUUCCAGACGACUUAAAUUACUUACAAGUCUUCCAGUCGCAGAAGGAGUUGGAGUACUCGUCAUUGCGGUUAUAGAUCUGAAAAAAUAAACGUGAAACGGUGAGAAUGAGUAAAUUGAUAGAGACAACGUUUUAUGUUCAUCUUUUCCUCGAGAUUGAUGACUUAGCGGCGUUAGGGUUUACAGAGAAACGGCGCUAAGGUUUACAGAGAAGAAGCGGCGGCGCUAGGGUUUAGAAGAAGCGGCGGCGCUAGUGUUUAGAACGUUGGUGACCACGGUGGCGAGGGCGACGGUUUGUUCGGAAAUAGUGGAAGCGGCGGCGCUAGGGUUUAGAGGAAUCGGCGGCGCUAGGGUUAGAAGAAGCUGCGGCGACAACGGUGAGAAUGAAGUGAGAUAGAUAGCCGAUGUUGAGAACGAUGGUUUGUUCGGAAAUCGUGGGAAUUCGAAAUCGCCUUUGAGAGAGAACUGUUAGGGUUUCUGAAUAUCGCGAAAAAUGAAACAAAAAAAAAAAUCACCUUAUAUAUUGGGUAAAUAAUCCGGUUAGCUUUAAAAUUACAUUGGUAAACUUUAAGGUUUGGUCCGGUUUAGACGACUUAUUCUGGCUGAUAAUGUACAACAGACGACUUAAUAUUUAGUCGUCUGUUUUCAGACGACAAAAUAUUAAGUCGUCCUAGACCCUAAAAUGAACCCCUAAACUAAAAUGACUAGAUUAACUAACUAACCACGUUAUAAAAUCAAAUUAUACUUAAAUAGUGUUUACUAUACACAGAAAUGAACACGCAUAAGUAAUUUUAAAAAUUUUCAAAAACGGUUUUAAUGCUUUCCAAAAUCUAACCCUAAGAACACAUACAAUACUACAACAUAUGUUGAUGAAACAUAAACUUAAGAAUAUCAUGACUCACUACUUUCACUCAUCUAUGCUGAAAACAAUUGAAAUUUGUUAUAUCUUAAUUUAUACCUCCUAAGACAUAUGUUAAUUACAUAAUUCCCAUUUUUCACUUAUCAAAAUAUUUUUUACAAAAUUUUUAAAUUAUGUUUAAGACUAACUGUCCAGACGACUUUAAGUUAAGUCGUCUGGACGACUUAUUUUCAAGUCGUCUAAACAGACGACUUGCGAGGGGUAGAAACGUAAAAAGAAUUCCGUUUUUUUGUUUGGUCACAAGGGGAUAGUUGUAAUUUCAAUAGCCUUUUAGGUUACUUUUGCCUUUGACCCAAGUUGGGGUAUUGUUUUGGGUUUGACUCCAAGUUUUGAGUCACACUUGGCAAUUCUCCCAUGAAAUAUUGACCCGAUUAUGUUUCUUUUAUUGGCCACCCAAACUCGAUGAAUCACAUUUGGUCAUCUGAAAUUAUUACUGUAGUCAGAUGUUUACAAGAAUAGGGGUUUUUUUUUUUUUGUAGUACAAUUAUAAGAGUAGGUAUUUUACUAUGGUUUGGCAACUCGAAGAGAUCCAAUAAAGUUCAAAUGAAAGAAAUCCCCUAAAUAUUGCAAAGUGAUUUCAUGCAUUUUACUUUUAUGGCUUCUCUACGUUCACUUUCUCUAAAUAAAUAGGAGAUGAUAUAGGUUAUGCAUAAAUGACAUAGACAAUUACAUUUAAUAUUGAUUUAUAUUUUUGACAAACUUUUUAAAAUAUGAUAAUAACUCAUAGGGUAUCGAAAAACAUUACAAAUAAAAAUAUGAGACAAACCAAAGUAACCCAAAGAACAAUUUUUUUUUUAAAACCACCACAAAUUUGAUCUUUAAAUCAUAUAAAUCAUUUCAACUGAGAAACACUACCUCAUCUCAAAAACCUCUGCCACUCUUCAAGUUGAAAACUAUGUCGUUAUUAACUGAUCUUGAUUCAAAUUACAAGAAAAAACAGAGUGACAUGGUAGUGGCUCUUACUGGAUCUAAACCGAACUUGGGACAUAGGAGCGCAUAAGUGGGUAGUAACAACCUUCCCCAAGCUCCACUCCACUUAUUCUUGUAGUGUCCACCUUCUCCAAAUAUACAAGAUUACAAGCUGCGAAGUUGUAUUCUCUUUUAUACUAUGUGUUUUUCUUUUCUGUCUCUAAAGUGUGAAAGUAUCAUUAACAUAUAGGUUUCCAUAUACGUCAAACAUAUUCUUACCAUAUGGGUCUUCUUGCCACUUCUUCAUUAUUUAUUAGAUUUGUUAUUGUUCAUAAAGACAAUCGCUCUCUCAUCUCUUUCUUUUUGGUUACUAAUUUUCGUUUAAUCGUGGAGUUCAUUUUUUUUUUCUUUUCAACACAAAUCGUAGAGUUCAUUAAAUGUCAUUUCUGUCUCUCUUUUUUUUUGGAUCAAAAUGUCAUUUCUCUUUUACUCUGAUUUUCAACAUCAAAUCUCUAGUAUCUCAGGACGUUUCCAUCCCUACUCCAUAAUUUACUCCAAAACUGGAGUGGGAAAUGGAGUAUGAACAAAAAAUAAAAAAUCUCUCCAUUGACAUAGUAAUCAUUUUUUUGUUUUUCAUUACUCCAUUUUGCAGUAAAUUAUAGAGUGAAGAUAGAAAUGUUCUAUUUUUCCUCUAAAAUGGAGUAAAAGUGGAUAUGGAAUAAAAAUAUUCCAACUCUAAUUCAUUUUUUAUUCCAUAAUAAAAUAAUGAACAAAAAAAAAAGAUUACUUCAUAAAUAGAGUAAACUCUAUUAUGGAGUAGGCUUGAAACAUUUCUUACUCUAUAUUCACUUUUACUUCAUUUUAUAAACAAUGAAAUUGGGUUAGAGACAAAGCCGGUCCUAGGCCUCUCAAGGCCACAAGCCCAAAUAAAAAACAUUGCACCAGGGGGACCCACAAUCUGAGGUAUUGAUCAGGUGUAAACUAACCAUUAGACUAGUGACAAUUUUUUGAAAAUUGUGACUAGUUAAAUAAUUAAUAAAAUGACGGCCGCAAGCAUGUGCUUCUUUCUCUUGUUCCCAGAACCGGCUCUGGUUGGAAAUGCCCUUAAAGUCUAUUCUUUUGUAUUUUUCUCUUAGUGCUAUCAAAAUGUCAUUUCUUUUUUACUCUGAUUUUCAACAUCAAAUCCCUAAUGCCUUAAAGGCUAUUCAUUUGUAUUUCUCUCUUAGUGCUAUCACACACCAUCAUCACCCUCCAUCAUUUUCCAUAUAUCUUUCUAUCAUCAUUUGGCGUCCAAAGAAUUUCUGAUUUGUCUUUUUUUUUUAGCUUACGACUUCCCAGUUUUCAAUAUAUCCUUACAACUUCUCGCUUUGUCCAGCUUGUUUCUUGAGUUGCUAACACGUUUCCAAUUAUGUUCACACCAUCAACCUUGCAAACUAUCACUUUUUUUAUGUCUGAAACUCUUGACAGACCGGGUUGCUUUCUCAUGCUCCAUCCAAACUCAGAAAACCGUCAAUAUCAGUUAUAUGCAUGUAGGAUACGAAAAGAAGAAAACACACAACACUAUUGACAUAAUAUAAGUACGAAGCAACAUAGACAAGUCUUUUUUAAUCAAAUUUUCAUUAGUUGGGAUUUCAUAUGAUACCAAAGUUCAUUUUCAUAUACAAAGGGUGUACAACUUCUGAUGUUUAGCUUCAAGAGCUGCCUCUCUUCUAAACUUUGCUUCCAAUUCAUCAUGUUGGUUCUGCAAAACAAAAUGAAAAAGGAAUAAGAUAAUAUUUACUCCACUAAUUAUCAGUGUAGCUAGUAAAGAAGGACAAACAAACCUUAGAAGAGUAUGGUACUCAAAAUGUCUUGCUGGUAACAAAUAUCUCUGGAGAAAGUUAACCCAUGAACAAAUUAGUUUUCCUCAACCAGUUAUUAUGAUGCCAAAAAUAAAAAGCUUAAGACGAAAAUUAUUGGGUUAGGGUUGAAGUUAAACAGAAAAUCUAUUUGUAGCUUGCCUCAUGACUCUAGGUAUCUCAUAGACAACACCUGAUUAUCAAACAGCCUGAGCUCCUCUAGCAAAUUACUUGCACCGAUACAAACACGUAAACAAAAAAAUAAGAAUCCUCACCAAAAUACAUAUAUGAUAACAAUAACAAUGGGGCCUUAUCUUUCAGUACUCGUUAACUUCAAGUAGAGAUUCAAAAGAGGGACUAACCUGCAAGCGUUCAAAAUUGCUGAAAAAAGUAACAACAGUUGGUUUUAUCUCCGGCUAACAUCCAAUAUACUGGAGAGCUCGUGCAUACACUCAGGGCCGGCCCUGGGCUAAAGCCCGUAAAGCAAAGGCUUUAGGCACCAAAAAUAUAUCAUACAUUUAGGGGCAGCAAAAUACAAUUAGUUCCCUUUGGUGAAGUGGUUGCGUGUGUGUUUUCAUAUUCUUUGAACGCGGGUUCGAAGCUCUCUUCACUUCUUUUUAAAUAAUUUUUUUUUCCUUUUUGACAAUGACAUAAACAGAUUUAUCGUAGAUUGUGAUUUCUUUUCUAACAAAUUUAACUUCCUUAUGUAUCUUUUAUAUUAAAAUAAAUUAUAAAAUAUAGAAACACACAAAUUAAACAAAAACAAAUUAUUUUCCUAACUCUAGCUGUUGACGUUUCCUCUUCUCAGUUUUUAGCAUCUAUUUUAAUUUUUCUCUGUUCGAUCAUUGCCACAAAAACAGUAUGUUCCAUUGUUCAUCGUAUCUGUUGGAAUAGCUGGCUUCCCCAAUCUUCAUGUAAGUCUUCUUAACUUAUUUUAUUUUCUGUUUUUCUUCCGUGAAUUCUUAUCAUCUUCUUUGGAAUUUUUCGAGAUUCAAACAAACAGAAAAUUAUAACUAUGAAACUCUAUGGAAAAAUUAGAAGAUUUUGCAAACUGAAAUUGAUGCAGACAAGAUUUGAUCAAAAUAUAAAGCUUGGCUAUUCACUUUUUCUUUUAUCUAUGUAAUGUUUCUAUGUUUUCUAACUUAUAUUUUAAUGUUUUUAAAUUGUACAAAAUGUAACCAGGAAAUAGAAUUAGGAAUUUACUGAUGUUUUUUUUUUUGCUUUAUUUUUAGAACAAAAAUUUUAAUAACAUUUUGCAUUAUUUUGGAUACAGAUUUUUUGACAUCAAAAGUUUUAUACUUUUAUUAAGUUUUGGAUACAUUUAAACUAUAGCAAACAAAUUAUGGUUAGGGGCAGCAUUUUUUCAAUGCGCUUUAGGCGCCAAAUACAACAGGACCGGCACUGCAUACACUCCUUACAAUCUCUCUUCAUCCUAUUAUAACUUGUUGUGACGGAUGUGAGAAGAUAUAGAUUAACAGAUGGAUAAAAAAUAAAGAAAGACACAGAGAUUUAACGUGGUUCACCCCUAACGGCUACGUCCACGGGCAAAGAAAGAUUUUAUUGAUGGAAGAAUUACAGAGAUCUGUCUACGAGAAGAUCAGAUCUAGUUUCUGUACGGCUGCUGACUAGGUUUAGAGGAGACACAAAAUAUAUAUAGUUGUAUCCCGGAAAACCCUAGCACUAGUGGACCUCAAAAGACUAAAGCCCAACAGAUUCAAGACAUUAUUCAACAUAACUCUCAGUGGUUAAUUAUCCUCUGUUUCAGUGAGGCGAUUUUGUUGACGAUUUGUAGCUUUUGAGAAAAUUAUAAAUUGUUUGCAUUAAUUGCUCAUGUGGAUGAUGGUGGUGAUUAACAGCAAACAGCAUUAGAACCUUCAUAGUCAUAACAGAUGUACAGCGAAAAGAGGAAUGGUUCAACGGAAGGAAGAGGGAGAAUCAGGACUAUGAUGAUAGGUUUAACUGGUAUAAAUCUGUCGUGUGUUUUUUUUUUUGCUUCGGGUCAGAUUUUGGCCCAACUUAUGUGUUUUGACAGUAAAAUGGUUGUUUGAUAUUUUUUUUUUUUUUUUUUUUUUUUUUUUUUUUUUUUUUUUUUUUUUUUUUUUUUUUUUUUUUUUUUUUUUUUUUUAUGGUUGUUUGAUAUUAGCUUAACCAUAUGGUUCACUUGACAAUUACGUAGCCCAACAAAAUAAACGAUGCUUUCUAACUGGUUGAUUUUUUAAGCAUACCUGGCAUGCUUUCCCAUUGAGUAUACUAGGGGUAUAAGCCCCCCGUGUGCGGAGUCGUUGACGGUUUCAUUGAUCUAUUUAAAAAUCUGUAAGUGAUGCUGUGUUAUGUUGUGUUUUUUGUUUUGUUUUGUUUUUUUUUUUAAAUAUGAUUGAGGUUUGGUGAUGAAGUAUUAGUAAUUUAUUUUUCUCUUGUUGUUUAAGAUAAUUAUUGUUUUAGUAUAGUAGUAUAUUUCUGUGUUUUAUUUUAUGUUGGUUUAUUUUGGAAAUUUUUUUGUUAUCGAUAUUUAAAAAAAAAAAUAAUGUUAAUUUAAAAACAUAAGAUUAAAAAAAUUGUUUGAGAAUUGCAUACAUGAGUUUUAGUAGACGAAUAUGUAAUUUUUUAAUGGGGAAAUAGUAGACUCAUAUAGGUAUUGUGUCCCUGUUCAGAGAAUCAGAGCUAUGAUUUUAGGUGUUGAACGAUUGCAGUGUAGUUCAUAUUGUUGUUUGACAUUGUGAAAGUUGAUUGUUAUUGUAUGACUUUCACUUGGUGUGUAUUAACGACUGCAGAACAUAUUUGGCGUUUAAUAUUUUUGUAGAAUAGGACGCAGUUUCGAUUGAACUACAAUGGAGCAAAUUAAGAUCAGUAUGAAUAUGCAAAGUCCCCUGGCUGUUAAGAUUUAAGAGCAAAUAUUUUUUCAUCUCGUUAUAGAAAGUUUGAAGAAAAUUGUUAAAAACAACCCAUAGAGUAAAAUAUAUGAUAUAAAAAGUUUAGGAGUUGUUAUUGGUUUAUAUAUUUUGAAUGAUUUAGAAAUUUAUAUAGUAUUUAUAAAUCCAAAUAAAAUACGUAAAUUCGAAAAUUUUUCUUCGGAUUUGAGUCUUUGUAUUUUUAACUAAAAAAUCCAAACAAAUCCAUUCAAAUCCAUUAUAAAAUCAAAUAUAUUAGUAAAUCCGUGCGAUUGAUUAACACUUGAUUUGAUACAGAAUUUAUAAAUCAUUAAACCACUAACACAUGAUUUUAAUACAGAUUUGAAAAUCAUACAACCAAUAACACUGGAUUUAGUUCGGAUUUUCAAAUCCAUUAAAAUACAACAACCAAUAACCCCUACUUAGUUUUUUUAAAUGACAAUAACUGAAAGUAGAGUGACGGGAAAGUAAUCUGCAAGAAUCACAAACGGAGCAGCUGUUUCCUUCCUCUUCCAAGCCCGCUGGAUUUGAUUCAUCAUCCCCAUUCUUUUUUUUUGACGCAUUAGCUUGGUGGCUACAAGUUGUUGUAAGCAGUCCAGCUCCGAUGUCACAUCUUGUAGCUUGGUUGAUGCAAGUCAGUGGGAAAACAAAUAUCUGGAGUACUUUGAAACUUAGAUUACCAUACAUGUGGCUGAGUGCCAAAGAAGACAUUUUCUCUGAUUGCGUAGACGGUGAAGGUAUGAUUCUGCUGGUUGUGAUUGUACGGAGUGACAUGUAUAUGGAAGACAAAAGUCCUUGCCCUCAAGCUCCUGGAAUCGUUUUGGUAAAUCCUGGGAAACACCGCUAGGAAUCUGUAUAUGUUUGUUGUUAGAUAGAGAUAUUGAGUAGUCGAUGUAAUUAUGAAACAUUACACUGAUGUCGUUGUUGCGUAGAUAGUUACCUCUUGUAGAGAAAGGUCAUAUGCAUUUUCCUUGGUUAGUUUGUAAUCUCAUUGUUGAAGACAACAAAAGUUGCGUUAUCGUCUCAACACGGAACCUUGAAAGACAAAAUGUCAGUGUCUGAAGUAUAUAUAUAUAUAUAUAUAUAUAUAUAUAUAGACAAAAUGUCAACGGAACCUUGAUUGUAUCUCACCUCCAUCACCUGCCAAAACUUUAAAGUUAGCAUGGGACCAUAUAAUCCAGGUUUAAUGACAGAGAUUUUAGUUUCUUAUCGAGCUCAAGCACUUUAAAGCGUGACUAUAACCACAGUAAGUUUUGCUGCAAAAGAAGCUUUUAAUCAACCAAAGACAUCAGAGAUAUAGACAUAAUAAUACACAAUCUAUAAAGGGAGCAUCACAGAUAGGUGAUCAGGUAAAAAGAUAGGAACUUUCAAUGAGUAAGAAGACCUGACUGGUUACUCGGAGACGAUCUCUUUGGUUUUGUUCAUCACCACCUCCAUCUCUUCUUCUUUCACUUUGUUCCCACUGAUUAUAGAACCCAUCUCUUUCCUUUCCAAAACAGUAUAUGUAUAUCUAUCUCUUUUUAAGGAAACGGAUGAGGCGACAAUUCAAUCCUAACAAUCUUAUCCCUUAAAGCCAGUUGUAAUAGAUAAGUCAUGAUAGAUCAGAGAUGGCUUUGCCUUUUCAUCAAGGAAGAGAAGCAUGAUUCCUAUGAAUUCAUCAUUUUUUUGUACGACCAAGGCGGAGAGAGUCGAAAGGUGAGUUGCGAACGCCGGUUCGAGUAACUGGAGCAUCACAGGCAGAAAUUUUCGAUAGAUGUUAUAAGCUGCGCCUGGUAGAGGAAUCGUUGAGUAUUUGAGAUGGAAUGUUCCUCCGGUUAAGAUAAACUUUAUAUAAGAGGAUUUUCGUAUGGGUUACAAUCGGAUAUCAUAAAGAUGGGGGAGAUGUAUUGUAGAGGUAGAAAAAGACUAACUUUUUGAUGGAAACACAAAUUGAGUCACCCCUUGUUUCAGAGCUGUGUCUGAAGAGAUGGGGACCAAAUACGUCACCUGGGCCAUUCUUUUAAUAUUGGUACGAAGCCCAUCAUUCUUUUGACCCUACUUUUUAACAUUCUUGUUUAAGCCCACCUAGAAAACUUAUUAACACUUUUUGAUCGUUUCUUGUUUUCACUUUAUGAAAUGAAGCCUAUUUCAUGUCUCCCAAAAUUCGUUAUUCCCAAGCCCAUUUGGCAUUAAUCGCUUCUGAGUGAUCCCAAUACACAAAAUCACGUUGAAACAAAAAAAAAAUGUUUAAUACUCAUGUUUAAAUGUAGGAGGACCCACAUAGAUACACGUGUGGACACGGAAAAGAGCUAACUGUCUCAUCUAAUCUAUUAAUUUAGAGUUCUAUUUUUUAUCUACAUGUUACAUUUUAAUUUGGACUUAUUCACAAGUCAUUACAAAUAACUAUAACAUUCAUUAUUAUUUGGUUAACAAUACAAUAUAACUUACGCCUCUACAAAAAUAGAAUCUUUGACUUCUGUUUAAAUCUAUCCAUAAUAGAAUCUUCGGCUUCAUGUGUGAGUAAAUUAUAUUUGGUAUUAAAUUAUGAGAUACACUUUGUAGAGCUUAAGUAACCAUCAAUAUAACUACUUGAAUCUUCGACUGAUAAGGACCUUGCUGGUCUUCAAGUCUUCAUAUCUUAUUUCAUAUAAUGCUAUUAAUAACGUAACAAUGGCAGAUAUAUUACAAUACAUAUUGAUACAAACUUUUAGACCGUAUGUAUUCACACGUUUCAUUUGUUUCUUCUUCUCAUUGUAUCCAUAUUUAAAUCUGUGGAAGGUGUAAAAGUUCUCAUUAGAAAUAAUCUGUGGAAGUAACUACUUGAAUCUGACCAAUUAUAAAUAUGUGGAUGAAUGAAUUCAUAACAUUUAUCAUUGCUGCCGAGUUUGAAAAAUGCUAAAAAUGUUAUCUAAAACAACCAAAUCGUUUCCUACCAUUAUGCUAACAAAAAAAAAAAACAAAAACAAUUUCUAUUUAUCUUCCUAGAGUUAAAAAUACGCGAACAAUAUUAUCUAAAACAACCAAAUCAUUUCCUAACAUUAUGCUAACAGAAAAUCAGAAACGAAUUAUAAUGAUCUCCAUAAAGUCUUAAAAACUAAACUAAUAUUGAUAUUAAGGGUCUAACUAAACGUAGCGGUUGCAGUUGCAGGAGUUUGUGGAUGCGGGUGGUUGUGGUUUUAACUUUUAAGCAUUGCAUUAUGACUGGUUAACUACCAAAUACAGCAGUGCUUUAAUAAUAAAUUAACAAUAUUAACACUUUCUAUAUAAUAAUAUAAAUAUUUAAAAAAUAUAUUAUUAAAAGUAAUGUAAAAAUUAUAUUUAUUUAUUUGCAGUAUUAAUUUAAAAUUUAUUUUUGGGUUCAUAUAUAUAUAUGUAUAUAUAUUAAUGUCUAAAAAAUCAUAGAAAAUAUUUUUGUUUUAAAGUUUUAUAGUAUAAAUUAAAAUAUUAUAUUAUUAAUUAUAUUAUCUCAAUUAAAAAUUGAAUUAGAUUUUUAAGACAUUAAUAUAUGUAUAUAUAUAUAUAUACAUUAUUUGUCAGCAUUAUAUUUUUUUAGACAUUAAUAUAUAAUCUUUUUAUAUUUUCUGCCACAUUAUAAUUUUUUAUAUUAUCAAAAUAUUAUAAUAAUAUUAAUUUAAGUUUAUAAAUAUGAUUUCAAACUAAACAAAUAAAGAUUAUUUUACAUUAUCAACUAUGGUUCUAGACUCAUGUAAAUAUUAUAUUUUUCUCAAAAACAACAAAAUACAAAAUAAUACACCAAAAUUUAUAGAAAAAUCAUCAAGUCAAGAAAUGUUAAUUUUAAAACUUAAUAUUUUGACAUUAAUAUAUACUUUUUUAUUUCUGUCACAUUAUAAUAUUUUAUAAUAUCAAAAUAUUAUAAUAUCAAAAUAUUAUAAUAGUAUUAAUUUAAUUUUAUAAAUAUAAUGUCAAACUACAAAAAUAAAAAUUAAUUUACAUUAUCAACCAUGGUUCAAGACUCAUGUAAAUGUUUUACUUUUCUAAAAACAACAAAAUAAUAUACCAAAGUUUAUAAAAAAAUCAUCAAGUCAGGAAAUGUUAAUUUAAAAACAUAAAGUAUCAAUAUAAACAAAAUAAUUCUGCGCACAGCGCGGAUCAGAAUCUAGUUAUAAUAUAUAUUUGAUUUUUAGUAUUGGUGGAUAUUUAAUACUCUUUUUGCACUUUGAUAGUCAAUUCAUGGAUUAUAUAUUGACUAAAAUUCUAUCAGAAUUAAAAAGAAACUAAUGUUAUAUUCUCUGAAAUCUUUUAAUAAUAUUUUUUUCUUUUAAUGUAUACAUGUUAUUAUUGUAUAUAUAAUCAAACAAAUUAAAGAAGAAUUCACCAAACAAGAAAAAUUAAAGCGAAUAUCUCUCAAAAAAAGUUUAUAAAAUCAUCUCUAAAAUGGUUAUUACCAUGAAAACUUUAGUAAUGUUUGUUUUCACUACUUUUUUCAUUAUAUCUUUUGCUGAUUCACUUUAUUGUCCAUAUCCUCCAACUGCGGCUACCAUUCCUUCUGAUNNNNNNNNNNNNNNNNNNNNNNNNNNNNNNNNNNNNNNNNNNNNNNNNNNNNNNNNNNNNNNNUCCAGGUAAUCAUUUAUAACUUUAUAGGUACGAUUUUAUCAAUUUUGAUUAAUAUUCAUAUUGGUUCAAUGAUUUUGUUCAUAUAAAUAGGUUACGGACCUAUAGUAUGCUUCAGACUCACUAAGCCGUGUUUAUCUGGAGGAUUGGGAGAGUGCCAAAAGCUUUGUGACGAGCGGGGUAAUGUUGUACAUCAGUGUAGUCAGGAUGAAUGUUAUUGUGAAAAAUUAAGUAUGCCUCGAACAUAAAAUAAACAUCAAUAUCUUUUAUGCAUUUUUACCAAUAGAUGAUAAGAAUAAAAUAAAUAAAUUUAAUCAAAUUGAAAUAGAUAGAAGAAAAAUAAAUAUUUUUUAUCAAAUUGAAGUUAGUUUGGUUAUUCUCCUUCCUUUCCAGAAUAAUGUAUGUUUUAGUGUUUUUACACAUAUUAAAAAACAUGCUAAUAAAUGUAUUAUUUUUUUGUGAUUGGUUAUAUCCCUUAAUUUCUAGUCAAUCAAAAUUCAGUAAACACAAUUAAUAUCUUUGAAAAUACAAUUUACAAUUAUUAUAUGAAUUGAAAAUGUGAAAUAUAAAUUUGUUUGAUACAAUUUUUUGCUAAAACAUGGAUUAUAUUGAAACAAAGAGUAAUAUAUAACCAAAAGCUAUAACUCAUGCAGUUUUGCAAAAAAAAAAAAAAAAAUGCUGUUAUGACAGCAAGAAAAAUGAAGACAUGAAGAUUGUCUAGUACAUUAAACAACCUCCCAAGCCACACCCUUUUGGCAACCAAUAGAUGAUGUCCAUUGAAACUUGUCCCAUAAACUAAAAUCUCCCUCAAAACAAAGAUCCUUGCAACAUUGCGUACUUUUCUUUGUUAACCUUGUCUACAAAACACUGCUUAAGAAUUCAAAAAGCUGGAGUUGAGAUCAAAUUACUUUGACCUAUUUCCUACUACACUCUUAUCAACUUGAGCUUCUCCAAACGCUGCAACGCUGAUUUAAUUUUAAAACAAAAUUCUUUUAAAAAUUCAUAAAUUUGCUUAUUCAAUUAUUCAACCUUGUUAAGUUUGGUUAUGUUGGUUUUCUUUGCUUUAAAAUUAAUGUAUGAAUUAGAAUCUUAAUUUUAUAUAUGUUUGGUACCAUUUUGAACAUAAUACUUUAUUUUUUCAUCAACUUUUACAGACUCAUACUGAUUCUGUAAACCAAACCGGGUAAUCUGCAUCCAUGUGAACGACAAAAGAUGGUUGCUUACUGAAAAUUUUAUUAUUCCUUGCUUUCCAGAUGUACCAUAUUAUCCAUGCAAACUGAUGCGGCCAUCAGAUCAGCAACUGAACCAGAGGUCAACCCAAAUCCCUACUCAACCAGCCAAGGCGCCAACCAGGACAUACGUGCACUAAACAUGCCAUAUCUUACAAAAAAGAGGGUUUAAAUGACGAGGAUAUUUUUUAUGGAUUUUACACUCAAGAAGGAGUCCAGGACAAUUGGAAUCGGCCCAAAAUAUUCAGGGAUCAAGAAGUUAUGAAUUUUACAAUUCAGAGGUUUCUCAGCCCAUCCAUCUGCGAGUAUGCGACUUUAGAAGAGGAUUCAAGCCCAAAUAAGAAGAGUCCUGAACCAAAACUGAUCAUAGGAGUCAAGAGGAGUUUAUUAUCUUUCCAGAAAGUCCAAGAUCUCGAGAAAUGGCCAAGGAAAUUGGAAGAUAUGAUCAAUUUCCCAAAACCGGCCAAACCAGCUCUACACUUGCCUUAUUUGGAAGAUCCGGGUUUCACAUCAAACCAACCUCAAGAAUGGCAGCCAAGAGACCUUAUAAGUCAUUCAGAGGCACUACACAACAUCCUAGGAAGCACCAUGCCACACUGGAUCAGUCGGAUCACAAUCAAACCAAAAGAUCAAGCCGGUUUACUCAGAUUGGCCAAACCGACAUCAUUUAUGGAAAGUCUUCAACCAAUUCAACUUGGUUCGACCCAGGGCUAUUUAUGGGAACCAGGAGAUACUCUAGACCAUUCAGAAGACAUCCAAGAUGUCCUUAGCUGCACCCGCACCCAGGAGAUCAGGCGGAUCUCUCUCUCCAUCAACAUUCCAUAUAUGGCCACCUUUACACUAAAUGCUUUGGAGGAGUUUCUACAUACUUUUGCCCAAGACCAACGGCCAUAUUUUAUUUUAUUGAGGCCAAGGAGUAUUUCAGGAAGGCUUGAAGAUCAUGGCCACGUCCAGAAGCUAACAAGAUACAAGUCUUCACAAGUUUCUCUUUUGGAGGGAAGCUAAUCAAGCCUAACGGCUAUAUUCCAUGGAGCCAUCAAAGCCUUUGCUCCCAAGACUUUAAGUUCAAGUUAUUUUGUUUCCUUUUAUUAUUUUAUGACUGUUAGAGUGUUUCUUAGUCGAGCCUAUAAAGCUCUAGUCUUUGUUUCAUUGUAAAGCACCCCAUUUUUUGAAAGUAAUAAGAAUUAUUCAGUUUUUCUAGUUUUCUUAAAACUAUUGUUCUAAGUCUUUUGAGUUUGUGUGAAGCAACUCCACAGCACCUUGACUUAUCAAGGCUCCUUUCCAUAGCGUCUUGUGGCGUCCUCAAUUCGCCAUCCUUCCAUUCCAAUUCGUUUCCCAAGCUUGAGAGUGAUACACAUCCAGCAAGCAAAGCACUAUCUCAAUCCACUUCAAUCAUCAACUGAUUAGGCUGAGAGUGUCACACGACCAGCGGCCUAAUUCCAUCCUAUCUAUCUUUAUUUAUCUUGUUUUAUCAUAUUAGAAAUCAUAUCUCAUUUGUUUUUGCAUUUGUUUUCAGGAUCGUAACUUGCAUUCCAUCAUAUCGCCCAUCCGAUCAUAUUUUUGGUCGAUCCAUCAAGCUUCCAUCAACCAUUUUACCAUCCCUGAUUUUCAGCCUGCAACAUUUGGUAUCAGAGCUCAAGCUCCUGAAUCAGGUCCAUCUAUCCUUGCAUCUUUCAUAUUUGCUUGCAUUUAUUUUUUUCAUUCAUAAACCAAAAAAAAAAUCCAUAAAAACAGUUUUUGCAUUGUUAUUGUUCUUAAGAAAAGAAAACAAAAGAGACGAAGUUUCUUGCAUUUGAUUCAUGAAAUUAGUUUGAAAUUAUUUUCUAGUUGUUUGCAUUCAUUCCCCAGCUCCACUUGCCAUAUUUAGAUUUUGUGCAUUCAUUUAAAAAAAAAAAAUCUUCAUUUCCAAAUUUGUUUCUUGCAUUGAAAAGUUAAAAAAAAGAAGGCAUAACAUUUUAUUAAUUUCGUGCAUACCAUAUUUGUUUCAUAAGUUUGUUAUUUGCAUUCAAAAAAAAAAUCAUUCAUAUUGCUUGCAUUUUUUUUUUUUCAUCUUAUAAACCGAAAACCCAUAAAAACAGUUUCUUUGUUUCAAGUUUUUGUGUUCUUGCUGUUCAUCAUAUUUUAAAACCACGAAAAAAAGAAAAAAAGAAAGAUGUUUUUGAUUCAUAUUACUUGCACUUAGUUUCGAAAGUCUUGUUAGUUUCCUUUUUGUUUUGUUUUCAUAAUCAAAAAUCCCAUAAAAAUUGCCAUUUUGAAUUUGUUUCCUUGUUUGCAUAUCCUUUAAAAAAAAAAAAAAUCAUCCUAGUUAUUUUAUCAGACCAUUUUAGUUGAAGUAUUUCGUGCAUAUCAUAUUGCUGAAUUUAAAAAAAAAAAAAAAAAAUUCAUUCAUCAUAAGUUUGAAUCAUUUGUUUCAUAUUGUUAGGUUUAUUGCAUUUCUUUAACUAAAGACUCAAAAAAAGAAUAUCCUUGUUAGUUUGUUUCCAUACUUUCUUUCCAUUUGUGUUUCUUAUCAUACCAUAUUGUUUAAUUUCGAGAUUGCAUUCAGAAAACCAAAAGAAAAAUCAUUUUAGUAUAGUUACUUCAUUUCGGUUCAUAAUUGCAUAUUUUUCUCGGUUUAGUUAAAUUGCAUUCUUACAUUUGUUUUAUUUUGGUUAGACCAAAACUUUCCAUGCCUUCACUUGUUCUUUGAGAUUGUUUUUCAGGAAGCAAUGGAGGAGGAGAGACAUGUCCAAAACCUAAGGGCCACCUUGAGCCAACAGUCCGCAGCUCUACAAAAGCUCCAACUUAAGAUUGCUCAGUUGAAGAAAAGAAAUCAGGCACAAGGCCAACGUCCACUUGAAGGAGAAAGGAGAUUUGGAGAUGUACCAGGGGCUGUAUAUGUCGAGCCCAAGCCACCAGAUCCUUCAAGGAUCAAUCAAAAUCCAACUUCUAAAACCCACAACAAUCAUGUUGUUAAUUCUCGGUUUGAUUAUAACUCUUUUGCUGAUAAAAUUGAACUCUUUAAAUUUUCAGGAAAAAGAGGUUAUCUUAGAUGGGAGAGGAACCUUGAUGAAUGGUUUCACUUCAACAACAUCCUGAGGAAAGAAAGGCUAGCUUAUGCUAUUGAUCAACUUAGAGAAGAAGCCUUUAAAUGGUGGGUACAGGAAGAAGAUGAUAGGCGGUUUUACAAUGAGCCAACUAUCAAAACGUGGAGAGAUCUUAAGGAAGUCAUGAGGGAUAUAUUUGCACCAGAUUUUACAAGUUCUGAAAUCCAAGAACUAUAUCCAAGGAGGUAUCCAAUUCAUGGUUCCAAAGAAGCAAGAAGAUUAGUGGCACAAGAGGGUCAAAGAGUCUUGUCUCAACAAGAUAACUUUCAGCCAAACCAAGGACAUGCCAUUGUCCAUUGCUUAGACCAGAAGAGUGACAUCCCAAAGGUCAGGAAGAUAAGUACAAGUGUCGGCCAAAACAUUUUGAUCAGGUCCAAAGACAAACCAGAGCAAGCUAUUGUCCAAGUAAAGGCUAAGGUAAGUCCUAUACUUGAUAAAUAUUUUCAUAAAUCAUCUACCACUUGUAUGAUGCACUUGUCUUUGUCCAAGAGUGUUAUUACAGGUCUAAAGGAGACUAGGUACAUAGAAGAAGAGACGCCAGGCACAAGCCUUCCCACGGACCAGAAGGAAGCACAAAGCACAAAACAAUCAAAGUUGCUUAAUAAACCAAAACCAGUGAUCAUAGUAUCAAACCAAGGUAAGUGUCAAACAACACCUUUAGAUACUGGUUUAAACAUUUUUAUUCUUGGUACAGGAAUACCAGAUGAGAGCCACAUUCUUACCGAACCAGAACAUGAGCUCAAUCAAAAUCCACACCACAAGUGGAAACCGAAAACUGAACAAAAGAUUGUUCAAGUGCCAAAACCUGAGGUAAAUUUCACUCUAGAUCAUCAUGAUAUUAUUAAUUCCAUGACAAGAUUAAUGCACUUGUCUUGUCCAAGGAAAAGUGAAAUUAUUACAGGAAGCCAAGGUGAGUACAAGGCAAAGAAAGAACAAGAAGUUCUUGCUGCCACAACUGAUUUAAGGGUUAAUUGUUCUAUGUUUAUGUCAUUUUAUAAAUCCCUUUAUUUUGGUAUAAUAUACUUGUCUUUGCCAAGAUAUUUUGAUCCAGGUAUAAGUCAAGAAGAACAUAAAAACCGAGCUGAGCUAUCACAAAAAGAUGGUCAUACCAACCAAGGUAUCAUUCUUCAUCAUGCUGAUGCACCCAAGGUAAAUCCGGCCAUAACACAUUAUGUUCAUAAAACUCCAGUAUCAGAUAUAAUUCACUUGUUCUUUGUCCAGAAUGUUGAAAAAAUUUCAGGUUGCAAAGAAGAAAGCUUCAAAGAAAUCCCACAUGCUAAUCUUUUGUUGCGAGGAGGAUCCACCCCAAAGAUGGUCAGAACCGAGCCUACUAGGAGUAUGAAGGACCAUCCACUGAAGAAGAGAGGCAAUGCCAAAGUCCAUAGCAGAGGCGUGAUCAUAUCCUAUUUGCUGAAAGAAAAGCCACCUGAUGAACAAUCCAUCUCCAAACCGAAACAAUAUCAAGGUAAGACCUUAGAAUCUCAAAAGAAUAUGAAAGCUUACUUGCUCUAUCUUGGUGCAGGUUAUCAAGUUUCGAGGUCGAAACUUUGUCAAGGGGGAGGGUAUGAUGCGGCCAUCAGAUCAGCAACUGAACCAGAGGUCAACCCAAAGCCCUACUCAACCAGCCAAGGCGCCAACCAGGACAUAUGUGCACUAAACAUGUCAUAUCUUACAAACCAAGAGGUUUUAAAUGACGAGGAUAUUUUUUAUGGAUUCUACACUCAAGAAGGAGUCCAGUACAAUUGGAAUCGGCCCAAAAUAUUCAGGGAUCAAGAAGUUAUGAAUUUUACAAUUCAGAGGUUUCUCAGCCCAUCCAUCUGCGAGUAUGCGACUUUAGAAGAGGAUUAAAGCCCAAAGAAGAAGAGGCCUGAACCAAACCCGAUCAUAGGAGUCAAGAGGAGUUUAUUAUCUUUCCAUAAAGCCCAAGAUCUCGAGAAAUGGCCAAGGAAAUUGGAAGAUAUGAUCAAUUUCCCAAAACCGGCCAAACCAGCUCUACACUUGCCUUAUUUGGAUGAUCCGGGUUUCACAUCAAACCAACCUCAAGAAUGGCAGCCAGGAGACCUUCUAAGUCAUUCAGAGGCACUCCAAAACAUCCUAGGAAGCACCAUGCCACACUGGAUCAGUCGGAUCCUAAUCAAACCAAAAGAUCAAGCCGGUUUACUCAGAUUGGCCAAACCGACAUCAUUUAUGGAAAGUCUUCAACCAAUUCAACUUGGUUCGACCCAGAGCUAUUUAUGGGAACCAGGAGAUACUCUAGACCAUUCAGAAGACAUCCAAGAUGUCCUUAGCUGCACCCGCACCCAGGAGAUCAGGCGGAUCUCUCUCUCCAUCAACAUUCCAUAUAUGGCCACCUUUACACUAAAUGCUUUGGAGGAGUUUCUACAUACUUUUGCCCAAGACCAACGGCCAUAUUUUAUUUUAUUGAGGCCAAGGAGUAUUUCAGGAAGGCUUGAAGAUCUUUUAUUGAGGCCAACGAGUAUUUCAGGAAGGCUUGAAGAUCAUGGCCACGUCCAAAAGCUAUCAAGAUACAAGUCUUCACAAGUUUCUCUUUUGGAAGGAAGCAAAUCAAGCCUAACGGCUAUAUUCCAUGGAGCCAUCAAAGCCUUUGCUCCCAAGACUUUAAGUUCAAGUUAUUUUGUUUCCUUUUAUCAUUUUAUGACUGUUAGAGUGUUUCUUAGUCGAGCCUAUAAAGCUCUAGUCUUUGUUUCAUUGUAAAGCACCCCAUUUUUUGAAAGUAAUAAGAAUUAUUCAGUUUUUCUAGUUUUCUUAAAACUAUUGUUCUAAGUCUUUUGAGUUUGUGUGAAGCAACUCCACAGCACCUUGACUUAUCAAGGCUCCUUUCCAUAGAGUCUUGUGGCGUCCUCAAUUCCCCAUCCUUCCAUUCCAAUUCGUUUGCCAAGCUUAAGAGUGAUACACAUCCAGCAAGCAAAGCACCAUCUCAAUCCACUUCAAUCAUCAACUGAUUAGGCUGAGAGUGUCACACGACCAGCGGCUUAAUUUCAUCUUAUGUAUCUUUAUUUAUCUUGUUUUAUCAUAUUAGAAAUCAUAUCUCAUUUGUUUUUGCAUUUGUUUUCAGGAUCGUAACUUGCAUUCCAUCAUAUCGCCCAUCUGAUCAUAUUUUUGGUCGAUCCAUCAAGCUUCCAUCAACCAUUUUACCAUCCCUGAUUUCUAGCCUGCAACACAAACUGAUGAUCUUCCAGCUGCGGAGUAACUCUCUAGAAUAGAUGAUCCAUGUUUGUGAAUAAAGCCCUUGUUGGAAAAAUAUCUGGAUUUGAUGGUAUCUUCGAGAGAGCCCAAACCUGAAGUACUGGAGGACAUUAAAAAAACACAUGGUUUAUUGAUUCCUCUUGGGCUCCACAUCUUGCACAACAAAGAUCUCCUUGAAUCCUCCUUGCUUGUAAAUUCCUCCUCACUGCUAUACAUUCUGUCACCAAUUGCCAUAGAAAAUGUUUUAAUUUUGGCGGGCACCGUAUUUUUCAACAAAAAGCCUUCAGAUCAUUCACUGUGGGACCAAUCAGUAGUGGUUGUCUCUCCCUAUCUGGAUAAAUCCAUUCUACCUUAUAUCCUGAUCUGACCAUAUAUUUCUCAUUUUUUGUGAAGUGUCAUUCAUCUAUAUCUACCCUCUGAGUUCUGCUCAGUGGUAUGCUUUCUAUAAGUUUUAUAUUGAUAAUCAGUAUAAUUAUCUAUAAUCAGUAUAAUUAAUACUAUUAUAUCAAUAAAAUUUUUGAUCAUUUAAUCGUUAUAAAAAGAUUAAUUUCUAUCUUCAUCAGGCCUGACUCAUAAAUUUUGUAGAUCUUGUGCUUGAAAAAACCAGUAAAAUUAUUAUAUUUUGUUAAUGACGAUAAAAAUAAUAAAAUUUGAUUAUAAAGAAGCAAUGUUUGAAAAUUUCGAGGAUUGAAAAUAAUAAAUAGCUUUGGAAUAUAUUAUUUUACGAAUCCACGUAAGAGAAAUACUUUUAAAGACACUUUUCUCUACAUGUUUUCUUCAGCCCCUUGUGUAUAUGUGUUAGAUAAUAACAUUUAUUGGAAAUCUAGGACCUUAGAUACUAGAUAUUUUUCCAAAGCCCUGUGCAGUAGCAUUUUUGGUACACCUUUAGAGCCGGUCCUGAUCUUCAUUGCUAAUGCUAAUAAUCAGUGAAAUUAAAUCUUACAUUAAUGGAAAUAUUUGAUACUUUAUUAAUGGAAAUAUUAUAUACAUCCCUCUAAAAAUACUAUUAGAACCAAAUUUGGUUUUGAAACUGAAAGAUAAUCCCAAUAUAUAAAAGGGAUUGAGCUAGAGCAGUGAGACUGUCCACGUAGAUAAAAAGUUCAGGCCAAUCAUGAGGUUUUGUUAUGUCACAUCACACCCGCUUUUUCGAGGGUAUACACAUGUGAGCUGUUAAUAUUUGGACCUGGCCCAUUAUCAGCCGAACUCUCGCUGUAUCACAAUGUUCGUAAAGGCUAGUCUCUCUCCUUUUCAUGCGGAGAUGGAAGCACUCCUCUGGGCAAUGGAAUGUAUGAGGAAUCUACGUUAGUUUCAGGUUACCACUACAAGAAAACCAAGUUUAGCGAGGAAAUUUAACGAGGAAAACUAAUCCUCGUAAAUUUACGUCGACUUUACGAGGAACUUACGAAGAAAUAUAAAAUCAACGCUAUUUCCUCGUAAAAUAACGACAAAAUCAUUUCGUCAUAAAGUCGAUGUAAUGUCACGUGGCUUUUACGAGGAAAUACGCUUUCCUCGUAAACUCGACGUAAAUGUAGCGUGUACUUUACGAGGAAAUAUUUUACGUCUACUUAGCGAGGAAAUUUUGAAUCCACCAACUUUGUCGUUAUAACACGUUUUUUUUCCGGCAACCUAGCUUUAUUUUUGAAUCCACCAACUUUAUUUUUGCAAGUGCAACAAAUUCGAGCCUUUCAUCUUAGCUUCACAAGCAGACCAAGUUAGCUUCUUUCCAUACCCUCGGAUGAGAGAAUCGGGAAUAUAUUUCUUAGCCGUGAUCAAAGUUACACCUCGAGGACGAAUCAUCAAUGGAGAAGAACCACCAUUGCAGGAAGAACAGAUAAAUGAAGUCGGGGAACCUGAACAAGAAAUUGAUGACAUCCUUCUCAUUGAUCCGCAUAAUCAUGAGUACGAAGAUCUUACCGACGAUGCCACAGACGAAGCUGUUGAAGACGAGUUUAAUGAAAAUGAUGAUGUUUCUAGUGGUGAUGAGAAUGUCGAUGUAUGCGAUUGAUGUAUUUGUUUUUAAUAAGAUUGAUUCAGACUUAAUGCACGUGAUUUGAUGGAUUUAAUCAUGAAAGACUAUUUGCAUAAUUUGAUUUUGUGUAAGGCAAUGAGAGUUUGUAUUAGAAUUAAGAUAUUGAGAUUAAAAGUUAAGGACUUGUGGUUUUAGAAUUUGGGGUUUGGAAUGGAAAAAAUAGAUUGAGGUUAAAGGGAAGAUGAGUUUGGGGUUUGGAAUAUAUGAAGUAGAAGAUAAAGAUGGGGUUUGGGGUUUCAGAUUUAGGGAUUUAAACAUAAUCCUCGUAAUUUCCUCGUAAAAUAAGGAAGAAAUAACGACGAAAUUAAAAAUAAAGAACGCGAGACUCGUUAAUUCCACGUAAGCAGAAAUCGUCGUUAAGACCUCGUAACCGGAAAACGUGGGCCUUGCUAUUUCCUCGUAAAAUAAAAACACGGGCCUUGCUAUUUCCUCGUAAUUUAUGGUGGGCUUUACGAGGAAACAAAACGCGGGCCUUUGUAAUUCCUCGUAAAUUUACGAAGAAAUUACGAGGAUAUCUAAUCUCUUAUAUAUACUCGCGAGCGCUCACACUUUCAUUUCAUCUCAACUUCCUCUCCACCUCCUCUCUAUUCCGUAGCAAUGGUAACUCUUUCUAAUUCCUCUCUAAUUUGAUUAGUUUAGGAUAGAUUAGGUGGUUAGUAUAGGGAAUUUAGAUAAGUUUGCGGAUUUUAUGUUAUUUAGUGUUGAUUAGGUGGAUAAUGUUGGAAAAUAUAUUGUUGAUGUUAAUUUGUUAAUUAGUGUUGAUUAGGUGGUUAAUGUAGGGAAUUUAGCUAGAUUUAUAGAAAUUGUUAAUUAUAGAAUUUGUUAAUAUUGUUGUUGUUAACUUCAAAAAUUAAUUUUUUUUGCAGGGCCUUCGAAAGAACAUGCUUACUCCCCAUUACAUAAGGAGUCAGAUGUUGCGAGGAGGAGUGAGAAAUUCUACUAGGCAAUGAACGACCCUUAGUUCUUUUUUUUCGGUUGUUGUAUUAUAAAUUCAAAACUUAUUUAUAUAUAAAAUAUUUUCGUAUUGAUUUUUAUUUUAAAUUAUAAUUUUAUUAAUAAAUUAAAUAAUUUUAAUUAUUUUUUUAAUGAUAUUUUUAAAUAUUGUAAAAUAAAAAAAACGAAAUAAAUUUGUAGCUAAAUUACGACUUAUUUACGUGGAAAGUUUACGAGGAAAUGACGAGCAAGGUUAAACAAGGUCUUUACGAUGAAAUGAUGUACUUCGUCUUUACGACGAAAUGAUGUACUUCGUCUUUACGACGAAAUGUUUUCCUCGCUAAGUUACGAUAAAUUGGCGAGGAAAUAUGCGUUACGACGAACGAGUAACGACGAAACAUGUUUCUUCGCUAAUUCCUCGUAAAGCCUCUUUUACGACGAACUCACGAGGAAUACCGCCGUCGUUAACCUCAUGUUUUCUUGUAGUGUAUGUUUGCAACGGAUUGUUCUCAAUUGGUGAAGAUGGUUUCGGAACCAGAAGAAUGACCAGCUUUUGCAAAUUAUUUGGAUGAUGUCAAAACCCUGAAAGAGAACUUCUCCCGAUCAGAGAUCAUCUAUGUACCAAGGACUCAAAACUCAAUGGCGGAUAGACUAGCACGCAGUGUUCGGAAACAACUGUCUUUUGUCGUUCACAUGGAUGCAGAUCACCCGGUUUGGUUUACAGAGUCAGUAUGAGUCCGUAAAGUUGAUGUAAAAAAAAAAAAAGAACGGCACCAAAAGACUUUCACAAGAAACGUUUAUUUUAUGAGACAAUGGAGUAAAACUUAUUUGUAUAUUAUUCUAAAAAGAUCUUAUUUGCUCUUCUCACCCAAACUUAGCCUUUUUAAACAACAUACAAUGAUUUUAGGAGACCAGCUCUACUCUAUAUUUGAGACCCAAAGCGUGCUAAGUUUUGAAUAAGAAACACACACCCGUAUCUAUACUAAUAAAGUAAGGUACGGAUGGAAAAUUAUAAUAAAAGUUAUUUUAUAUUAAUUUAUGAAGUAUUUAAAAUUAUUAUAGAUUAAAAAAUAUUAUAAACAAACAAAUAAUGAAAGAAUUAUGUGAUCAUUAUAAUAAAUAUUUUUGUUUUGAAUUACAAUGACAGUAACCUUCACUAUUCUUUGAUAAAUAACAUUAUAUUUUAAUAUUUAUUUUAGUUUCAAAUGUUUAAUUUUAUAAUAUUCUUCAUUAAACUAACUUAGUAAAUGUUUUUUGCGAAUAUGACUCAAAACUUCAAAUCAUCCCUAAAAUAAUUUAUGCUUUUUUAUAAUUUUCUUUGUGCUUUACAGGUGAUAUAAUUUUAUAUUUUCUUUGUGUGUGUGUUUUGUAAAGUUUUGAUAAGAGAAGUAUAUAAUAAUGUUUAUGGUUUUUGAGAAUGUUAGGGUGUUGAAGGAUUAUGUAUGUUAAGAUUAGUUAUAUUUGAGUUCGAUGUUUGUUUCUAUAUUAAUAGAUUACGACGUGGUGCUCUCCUUGUAUGAUUUUUGAUAAUUUUGAAUCCAAAAUUGAUUGGUUAAUUGUGGUUUACUAUAUUUUAAGUUCUUAAGAAUAAGUUAGUGGUUCUCAUGAUUAUUAUUUGUAUGAAUGAAUUGAGUCAACAUUAUUGCAUUUCGUUACGAUAUAUGUUAGGCUAUAAAUAAUAUUUAAGAACAGAGUAAAAUAGUGAAAGUAUAAAGUAUAAAUCUAAUUGUUUAUAUUCUAAAUUAACACUUAAAUAUAUAACUAUAAAAUUAUGUUUCAAAUAUUUUAAUUCGUUUAAGGUAAAGCGGGAUAUAUUUGAUGCAUAUGUAAUCUAUGUCUUUGUUUACUAUUACGUAAGUAGUUUAGUUUUAUUUUUUAUUUUUCUACUAGUUUCUUAAUUUUUCCAGUUUUAAUUGAAUAUUAUGUAGUUCUUUCUAAUUGAAUAAAAUUAUUUUAGUUUGUUUUGCUAAGUUCAAGUGAUUUAAUUUAGUAAAUUAUUUUCUAUAUAUAUAUAUAAAUUAAUUCAUUAUACAUUGUAUUGUAUUUAAUAUUAUAUUUAAAAUAUGUUUUUUAAGAGUUUCAAUAUUUAUAAUAUUUUGUUUAAUUUAUGGGCAAAUUACAUGUUUACCACUUUUAUGCUACUACUUUUCAUUUUUACCACCACUAAAAGGACAUUUUCAAAAAUAUCUUCUUCAUUAAGUGGUAAACGACUAUUAAACCCUUGUUUUAUAUAUAUAUAAUAAAUAAAUAUUUAAAUAAAUAAAAAUCUAAAAAAAUAAAAAAUAAUUUUGUAAAUUUUUUUUCGAAUUAUACUAUUUCGAAAUUCAAACCCUAAACCCUAAAACUCAACUCUAAACCCUAAACCAUCAAUCCUAAACCCUAUUUUUCUAUAUAAAUACGAUCCCUAAACCCUAAAUCACCAAUCCUAAACCUCUUUUUUUUUGAAAUACGAACCCUAAACCCAGAAACAUCAACUCUAAACCCUAAACCCUAAACCUUCAACUCUAAACCCUAAAACAUCAACUCUAAACCCUAAACCCUAAACUUCAACUCUAAACACUAAACCAUCAACACAAACCCUAAACUAUCAACACUAAACCCUAAACCCUAAAAAGUAAACUCUAAACCCUAGACCCUAAAAAAUUAACCCUAAAUUGUAAAACAUCAACUCUAAACCCUAAACCCUAAAUCUUCAACUCUAAACCCUAAACUCUAAACCCUAAACCCUAAAACCCUAGAGUUGAUGUUUUAGGGUUUAGAUUUGAAGGUUUAGGGUUUUAGGGUUUAGGGUUUAUGUUUAGGUUUUAGAGUUGAUGUUUUAGGGUUUAGAUUUGCAGGUUUAGGGUUUUAGGGUUUUUGGGUUUAGGAUUCAGAUUUUAGAAAUAUAAGGUUUAGGGUUUAGGGUUUACGUUUAGGGUUUAGAGUUGAAGUUUUAGGGUUUAGAUUUGAAGGUUUAGAAUUUAGGGUUUCGAGUUGAUGUUUCGGGGUUUAGGGUUUAGAGUUGAUGUUUCAUGUUUUAGGGUUUAGAGUUGAUGAUUUGGGGUUUAAAGUUGAUGUUUUAAGUUUAGAUUUAGGGUUUAGAGUUUACGUUUAAGGUUUAGAGUUGAUGUUUUAGGGUUUAGAUUUGAAGGUUUAGGGUUUAUGGUUUAGAGUUGAUGUUUCGGGGUUUAGGGUUUAGAGUUGAUGUUUCAUGGUUUAGGGUUUAGAGUUGAAGGUUUAGGGUUUAGAGUUGAUGUUUUAAGUUUAAAUUAGUUAACCAUAUGUUUUUUUUUGUCAAAGUUAAUCAAAAGGUUAUAAAUGUCUUUUAUCCUUCAUUAAUGAUGAGGGUAAAAGUGGUUAGUGUAAACAUGAAAAGUGGUACUUUGAAAAUAAUAUUUUUGGCAAUUUCCCUUAAUUUAUUUAUAUAGAUGAGAACAAAGUUUCUAUUGUAGCAUGAAAUUUAUGAUAUUGUAAAAUGGGUUUUGUAAAUAAAAAAUGGGUAACACCAUUCACAAUAUGAUAUUAAAAUUUAACUAAAGGUUAAUUUUAUUUUAUGAUUUGCGUAACAUUUUUUAUGAUCAAACGAUGAGUUUUGGUAAGAGAGAGAAAAGGCGAUUCUGAGUGCGAUUAUGACGUAGGGUUUUGGAUUCGAUGACGACGGCGAUUCCGCCGGAUUUACCGGUGUCUCCGGGAGGGGAACCGGGGGUAAACACUGUGGAGGAUGAGAAGGUUCAGAUUGAGAAGAAACCGGAUCAAAGUUGGGUCAAUAUAGCGAAAGAUAAGAAAACGUUGAAGAAAUACGAUGUGGAGAUUUUGGAUAAAGGUGGAAAACAAACGGUGGAAAUCCCGGAGGAGGUAAUUUCUGAAUCGACUCCGCUAUGGGAUGAUUUUGUUAUUGGAAAGUUUUUGGAUCGAGCGCCUCAUGUCGCAAAAGUCCACAUGGUUCUAAACGAAAUCUGGAGGUAUGGUGAAUUAUCAACGAAGGUAGAAGUUUAUGAGGUGGAUGAUACGACGAUGAGAUUCAAAGUAUCAGAUCCAAAAGCUCGGGAGAAGAUUCUCCGUCGUGGUAUGUGGAAUAUAGUGGGGGUCCCGAUGAUAGUAACGAAAUGGACUCCAAGAAGUGAGGAGGAGAAGCAAGAGGAGGAAUCUAUUCCCAUGUGGAUUCAUCUUACAAAGGUCCCACUGCAUAUGUUCUCCUGGGAGGGUCUUAGUCUUUUGGCUAGUCCUGUGCGAAUUCCACUGAAGCUCCAUCCAGAGACAAUUGCUUGCACAAGUUUUGAAGUUGCGAAGAUAUUUGUGAAAGUGGAUGUCUCGAAAACUCUACCGAAGGAGAUGACAUUUACAAGUAAGGGGAAGGAUUUCAUGGUGGAUUUUCAUUACCCGUGGCUUCCUUCAAGGUGUAAGCAUUGUGAUAAGUGGGGUCAUGGAGAGAAAGUUUGUGCUUUGAAGGGGAAAGGGAAAGCUCAGGAGGGGAGUUCUAAAUCAAAUUUGAAGGAUGUGAUAGAGAGUAUUGGGAACAAGGAGGCAAGUAUUAUAGAGAAAGAUGGUAAAAGUGAAAAGGCUUCUACUGGAGGAAAGUCUGUUGAGCUGGAAAAGAGAGAGAAGGUAGUCGGUGAUGAAAGUGAAGAGAGUUGGCUUCAGGUUCCUCAAGGGAAAACUGGUCGAUCACAGCCGAGUACUCCUAAACAAAUGGUGGCUGAGAUUAAAAUUUCAUCAUCAAAGUUUACGGUUCUGCGUACUAAUGAGGAGGAGGAAGGAGAAAUAGUGGAAGUGAAUAAAGAUUUGGGGGUUGAAGAAGAAAACUUGGGUGAAAAAAUAGAGAUCUGUGAGGAAGAUGUAAUUGAGGAUGCUUUGUUGGAACGUAGUAGAGGGAUAAAUAAAGUUAUUGGGCAGAGAGGAAGGAAGAAAGGGCAGAAGGCUAAAGCUCGGGAUGAGAAUCCUGUGAGUAAAAGGUCUUCUCGUCCUAAUAACUAAUAUGGCUGGGUUCUUCUGGAAUGUGCGCGGAUUUAAUAAGUUGUUGAAGCAUUCCGUAGUGAAAGAUUGGAUCAGUGGUAGUGAGAUGAUGUUCGGGUGUGUUUUAGAAACGAGGGUGAAAGAAGGGAAAGCGGGUAAGAUUCUAAAUUCAAGUUUUAGUGAUUGGUCAGUGAACUAUGAAUACAGUCAGGGUGGGAGGAUUUGGCUUUUAUGGAGAGAGUCAGUGCGUAUGACUCCUGUGUUUAAGUCUGAUCAGCUUAUUACCUGCUCGGUGGGGUUACUGAAUGAGGAAGAAUUUUUCUGUACAUUUGUCUAUGCGAGUAAUGCAGUAGAAGAGAGAAAGAAGUUUUGGGGGGAUCUCUGUGAUCAUCACUCUUCUCCAAUGUUCAAAGAUAAAGCUUGGGUUCUAAUGGGUGAUUUUAACGACAUUCUGGAUGGGGUUGAGAGUUCUGGUUUUUCAAAUCUAGGUAGGCUUCCAAGUGGUAUGAGAGACUUCCAACAUAUGGUUCUUCAUUGCAAUAUGUCUGAUAUGGGAUAUCAGGGUCCGCUUCAUACAUGGUGUAACAAACGGGGGAAGGGGUUAUUUGUAAGAAACUUGACAGAGUAUUGCUAAAUGGAGAUGCGAUCAAUAGGUUCCCAAAUGGAUUUGCUACAUUUGAGCCGGGGGUUGUUCUGAUCACUUGCGUUGCAAGAUUCAGUUGUUGCCACCAAUGGAGAAAAUUAGGAAGCCGUUUAAAUAUGUAAAUGUCAUUGGGAGCUUACCGAACUUCAUUCCAAGAUUAAGGGAAUAUUGGGAGGAGACUGAGGUGCUAUUUCAUUCAACGUCUGCAAUGUUUAGGUUUUCAAAAAAGUUGAAGAAUCUAAAACCUCUAAUUAGAGAACUGGGAAGAGAAGAUUUGGGGAAUUUAACGAAGAGGACUCAAGAAGCAUAUGGUACUUUGUGUGAGAAGCAUCAGAAUACUUUGGUCUCUCCUUCUGAAGAAAAUGUCCAUGUGGAAGCUGAAGCUUAUGAGAAAUGGUUGUUUGUUGCUGGUUUAGAAGAAGAACAUCUUAAGCAGAAGGCUAAAUUGCAUUGAUUGGAAGUGGGUGAUCUCAACAACAAGACGUUCCAUAAUUUUAUUAGAGCUCGUAAAUCACAAAAUGUUAUCAGAGAGAUACGGUGCUCAAAUGGUAAUAGGCUUGUGAACCAUAAGGAUAUAAAGAUGGAGGCUGAAAGACAUUUCUCGGAGUUUUUGAAUCAGACCCCUGAUAACUAUCAAGGAGCAACUGUGGAUGAGCUAAAAGAUCUUCUGCAAUAUAGAUGCUCUGAAGAAGAUGGGAGAUACUUGGAUGUAGAGGUCACUGCAGAGGGAAUAAAGAAGGUGUUAUUUUCGAUGGCUUCUCACAAAUCUCCAGGGCCGGAUGGGUAUCCAUGUGAGUUCUUUCAUGUUGCUUGGCCGGUGAUUGGACAAGAUUUCAUUGUUGCGGUUCAGUCAGUUUUCAGGUAUAGUUUUCUUCCAAAAGGAGUCAACUCUACUAUACUAGCUUUAGUCCCGAAGAAGGUUGAUUCGUUGGAGAUGAAAGAUUUUAGGCCUAUAGCCAGCUGUAACGUGCUGUAUAAAGUGGUCUCGAAGAUAUUGGCAAAUAGACUGAAGAGGGUUCUGCCUAAGAUAAUAUCUGAGAAUCAAUCUGCUUUCAUCAAAGGGCGUUUAUUGAUGGAGAAUGUUCUGCUAGCUUCUGAACUGGUGAAAGACUAUCACAAAGACUCUAUUACGCAAAGGGGAGUGAUGAAGAUUGAUAUCUCAAAGGCAUUUGACUCGGUUCAAUGGUCAUUUGUAUUGAAGAGUUUGGAGGCGCUAGGAUUCUCGGAGAAGUUUAUUAGUUUGAUCAGAUUGUGUAUAACGACGGCUUCUUUUUCAGUGCAAGUCAACGGUGAUUUGGCUGGAUAUUUUCAAAGUUCUAGAGGUCUGCGACAAGAGUGCUCACUUUCCCCCUAUCUAUUUGUGUUAUGCAUGAAUGUGCUUUCAAAAAAGAUAGAUAAAGCAGCAAAAGAAAAGGUGUUCAAGUAUCAUCCUCGAUGUAAGUCACUUGAUAUUACACAUCUUUGUUUUGCGGACGACUUGAUGGUUUUUGUGGAAGGGUCGAAAGAGUCUGUUCAGGGUGCUCUAUCGGUGUUUGAUAUCUUUGAGAAGUGGUCGGGUCUGAAGAUAAGCAUCGAGAAGUCCACUUUGUAUUUAGCUGGUGUAGUAGAGGAAGAUGAGAAUAGGAUUCUGUCAAAUUUCCCGUUUGCUAAAGGAGAACUUCCAGUACGUUAUCUGGGGUUACCGUUGAUGACCAAAGCUAUGAGGCAGCAAGACUAUUUCCCGUUAGUUGAGAACAUCAGAGGUAGAAUCAGCACUUGGACGAGCAGAUUUCUUUCUUAUGCUGGAAGACUAAAACUGUUAAAAGCAGUGAUAAUGAGUUUGGUAAACUUCUGGGCUUCAGUUUACCUCCUCCCUAGUAAGUGCAUUCAAGAGAUUGAGAGUAUAUGCGGAGCCUUUCUUUGGACGGGGCCAGAGCUGAAAACUACAGGUGCUAAGGUUGCCUGGUAUACUGUCUGUCAGGUGAAGACUGAGGGUGGGUUGGGAAUCAGAGACCUCAGAGUGGUGAACAAAAUACAUGUUUUAAAGCUAAUAUGGAGAUUGCUUUCGGGAACAUCUUUAUGGGGAAAAUGGAUCAAGAGUAACCUGUUAAAACAAAAAAGCUUUUGGGAGAUUAGUGAGACAACACAAGUGGGCUCUUGGAUGUGGAAAAAGAUAAUAAAGAUGAGGGAUAUUGCUAGGAGCUUUCAUAAGAAAGAACUGGGCAAUGGAAGACAAACUUCGUUCUGGUUUGAUAACUGGUCUGAAAGAGGAGUUCUAAUCUCAGUACUAGGUGAACGGGGCAUUGUUGAUAUGGGAAUUAAGCGGGAAGCUACGGUGGAAGAAGGACUUAUGAGAAGUAGAAGAAGAAGGAGAAACCGUUCGCUGUUGCUUAAUGAAAUUGAGAUUGAGUUAGCGGCGGCAAAAGAAAAGCUGAGAGAUGAAGCAGAAGACAAGAAUGUUCGGAGACAAGGAUCAGGUUACAAGCAAAGUUUCUCCACAUCUGAAACUUGGACAUUAAUGAGAACAAAUGAGGAGAGAUGUGAUUGGGCUACGGGAUCUGGUUCUCUCAAGCAACUCCAAAGUUUGCUUUUGUAGCGUGGCUUGCGGCUAGAGACAGAUUGUCGACUAUGGAUCGUAUAUCUAAGUGGGAUCAUGGGAUCGAUGUAACUUGUGUUCACUGCAAAAGUGAACCGGAGUCCAGAAACCACCUAUUCUUCGAGUGUGGUUUCUCUACUCAAAUUUGGGAACAUCUCACUAAGGGUAUCUUGCUCAGUAACCACGCCAACGUCUGGCAGGACAUUAUGUCCAUAAUCUUGGAUGAGCGACUGGAAAGAAAGAAGAGAUUCUGCUUGCGCUAUGCUUUUCAAGCAGCUAUACUUGCUAUAUGGAGAGCGAGGAAUAAGAUAAGGCAUAAUGAGAAGGCGUUGCCUAUUGCUGCCGUUAUGAAGUUGGUAGAGAAGGGAGUUAGGAACAAACUGAGUGUACUGAGAAGGAAGCAUGUGAAGGGGUGGGAAAGUGGACUUCAAUUUUGGUUUAGCACUCGUCUUUAAACAAGUUCGUAGUAGUUUAAAGUUUGUAGGAAAAUAUGAAGGUUAAAACAGAGGUUCACACAUGAUGUAAUAAAGGUUUUUUUGAUGAAUAAAUUUAACAUUCAUUCAAAAAAAAAACAUUUUUUAUGAUUCAUGUAGUUAAUUCUUACUGCUAUUAAUUAAUGUAUUUAUGUUCUUCGAUGAAUACAAUUUUCAUAAGAAAUGGUCCUUGAUUGAUUCAUUCAAAACAACCUUGAGGCAAAAUCUAGUAGUCUAUUCCAUAUACUUAAUGGUCAAGCUCUCAUGACUGAAUUCAUUUAAAGUUCAUGAAAAUAACCAUGACCUUUUAUCUAUACAUUGAUAAAACAAAUAAUAGAACAAAAGGGAUUAGAGAUUUUCCUGCAAAUGAGCCUAAUGGACAAAGAUAUAAUUAGUGCGAGAGGUUCAAACCAUGUAACCAUAAACUGAUUGUAUCAUUCUUCAAAAAUCUGAGACAGUCUAUGUAUAAUCUUCCAAAGUUAAAUACUAUUAUACAUUCACCAUUGAGAAUCUAAAGUCCACGAUUUUGUUGCUUUUCAUGAUCGGAACUAACAGCCUAUUAUUUGAGCAUCUUACUUACUGAGGAAGCAUUGACCACCACCGGUUUCAUAGUCAAACUCUGCAAACAUAUAAACCUGAGCAUCAAGUUGAGAACGCCUCUGCCGCCGCCACAAUCAGCUGUAGUCCAGAGAGGUUUGUUUGUAUUAAAAAAGCCUAAGCAAUUCUUCCAUCGCAGUCAAAGCAAUGUCGUUCAUAAGAGGCUUGUCCAUGUCUGAUAUAGUAGCCAAGUUAUUAGGCUGAUAAUGCAUAUAACUCCCUGGAAGAAGAUCAAAAUCCAGUGAAGCACCAGCCAUGGACAGAUCCAACGGUGAGAUGUGCAUUGGGUGUAGCGUUGAGAGGUGGGAGGAGAUUGGUCUUCCCAUGUAAUUUGGUGCAACCGUUGACAUUCUUUUAAGCUGUGCAAUAAAGAUCAGAUUUAGAAAUGAGAAGGGGGCUUGAAUGAUUAAACCAUAAUCGAUAAACAAAACCUCGUCUCUAAAAUGUGCAUUUUCGAUCCGGAGCUUAUGCUCAUCGAAGUAAGGAUCUUCACUAACGGGAGGACCUCCACAGUUAAGGCAUAUAGCAUGCUUGAGUGCUUCUCUAAUGGCUUUGUUCUCACAUCGAAUCUUGUCGUUCUCUGCCUUUAGUGCAUUGUUAUCUGCUCUCUCAUGUUGCGCCUACAGAAACAGUAUCAACAAAUCUUAGUCAAACAACAUUUUAAACACACAAAAGAGAGAGAGAGAGAGAGAGAGAGAGAGAGAGAGAGAGAGAUUAAGACACAUAACCUUAAGCUGAGUUCUUCUGUUCUUCUGUUCUGGAACAAAACUUGGUUUGUCUUGGAGCCAAACCCAAUUCUCUGCUAAGUUGGUUCCUCUGCUUAUCAUCUGGAUGAGCACACUCCUUGAAACUCCUGCAAGAGAUUCAAACCAUUAUAAGAGUUUCUGAAUCAGAAAAAAAAAAAGAGAGAAGAAAAUACGAUUCAAGUCGUUGAAUCUGUUGAGCGGUGUGACGAUUUCUUCUUCCUAUCAGUUUCAGUGCCGUCAUGAUAUUGGCUACCACCACCACCGUCUCCUCCACUAACCUUUUCGAAACACCUUAGUCGGAGCCAAUCCAUAUAAAAAAUUUAUACUGAGAAAUUUCUAUGGCUAUUGGAAUGUGAAAAUGAUUUUCAAGGGAUGAGGCUUACGUUUUUUAUAAGUGGAGAUUCACUGAUUGGAUGAGGGAUAAGAGUAACUGAAUGAGCUAUCAUGGUUCAGUGGCUCGAAAUAGAUAAGACUUUGCUAAUGACAUGAAUCAAUGCAAGUUUUAACGCCUAAGAGAAGAUGAAUCGAAAACCAAACAACGCUAAACGACAUAGACAUACGAUUACUGAUGAAGAUCAUAUCUGUCAGAUUUUCAGAACCUUCACUGACGUUAAACCUUAACAGAAGUCAGUGAAGAUCUAAUCAGGAAAACUUGGUAAUAAAAUUCAACUUAACGGAAAUGUAAAAAAAUAUAACUAAAAACAAUUCAAGCUAUGAAAUCAAACGUAGGAUCAGAACAAACCUGUGAAUCCAGUAGCAGCUUAUCCACUCCAUGAGUUCAAUACCGCCUCUGACGUUCAUGGCCUCCCAAAAACGGAGCAAUCGCACUUGAACGGUGGAGGAGCAUUAUUCCGUCUUCAAAUCAGAAAGAAAUAUUGUUUCUUUAGCCAUUUCGAUGAAAAUAAUAUUACUAGUUUGUCUCAACAGAAUGAGGAUAUGGUUCUCAUGGUAGGAAAGCUUACCCUCUAUAGUCGCAGUUCCACCUCUUUGCAUGUGUGAAGAUCGCAUUGAAGGUGGAUCGUGGGUGACGAAUUUAAGAAGGACUUAGUUGAUCUGUAACUGGUAACUCUUCUGAUUGUUCGGAAGAAGAAGAAUCAACGGAAGUCAGGUCGGGGACGAUCUCGAAUGGCCGAGAUGAAGAGAAGAGGGGCUCAACCCUAAUAUCAAAACGGUGCGUUACGGCAACGGGCUGGUCAAGUGUAACUAAAUAAGGGCCCAAAAAAAAAAUGAAGCCCACAUGUUUCCAAAAUAACUUAAAUGAACCGCUGAGUUUAACUCUGGAACACGUGUCGCAACGUCAGGAGACGACUUUGUGACGUGGAAUCGCAUGUGGCAGUCUCAGGAGUGAGUAAAACACUCUUAUAUAUAUACUAGAUUCGAUGUCCGCGCUACGCGCGGAAAUUGUUUAACGUUUAAUUGGCAUACACUUAUUGAUUAUUUAUUUUGUUUUUGAUGAUCUGUGUGUAUAACGUUUGUGUCAUUUUUGAAUGAAACUCUUUUUUUAAAAUUAAUCAAAAUUGAAUAAAAAUUAACGUUUGUGUCAUUUUUGGAUAAAAUCUAUAUAAUAUUUUAACUGAUACUAAUUAAUAAUAAAUUUUUGGCUGGUAAAAAAAAUAUUUAAUACUAUAUUUUCAAGCAUUUCUUUAAGCCCGCAAACCCUAAGAAAGGUACUGUUUAAGAAUAAUUAUUCACUUGAAAAUUGAUAUUAAAAAUUAAUAUAUAUAGGACACAUUAAAGGAAAAAGAUUUUAAAUUACAAAAAAAAAUCUAAAUUAAUAAAUAUGCCGUAAGUUAAAGAUAUAUAUACUAAUUAAAGAUAUCUGAAUAUGUAACUAUUUAAGUAUGUUUGUUUUAAAAUUAAAAUAUGUAUUGAUAUUGAUGCAAGUUGUUAACUUUUGGUAAAAUUAUUAGGUUAAGUUAUUUAGAUUUAAAUGUAGAUUUAGAAAAGUUUCGCCCAGAAUUAUUUUGAAAAUUUAUUUAGUAUUACAGAGUUAUUACAUCAAAUAGUUUUUUGGUAAGCUUUCUAGCAAAAUUCCAACGGUGAAAUUUCUGAGUGCAAUUCUACCAAGUUUUUUACGCUCUCAUAUUCUACAAAGUUUUUUACGCACGUUUAAUAUAUUAGCUUUGCCAAUACACUCCCUCGCAGCAGAGAAACAAAUCUAAUAGAGAUUCUCAAUCUUAUUACAGUAAAACUUAUCAGCUUAGAGAGCUUUCUUCACCUCUGAAAAAGUUUGGACGUGCACGUUCGCCGCAUCAAUGUCUUCGGCGGACGCCACAGCCACAGCCAUAGCAACACCUUUGUCUCUAACCACAUCUAUUGCUUCUGCGAACGCUUUAAGGUCCUUUAGACUGUGGAACAAAGAGAUGAUCAAAACACAUUAACACCUUUUAAUCAUGUAAUAUAGAGAACAAUCAUUGAGAGAAUGUCUUGUUAAUUAACCUCGGUUAGCUUGAGCUGGAACGCAGAGAAACUCAACUAUCUGUGGAACGUCAAAGAACAUGUAUAAUGAGUAGUGUAAUUUCCAGAGGUUUUCAAUUUACAUAAGUGAAUAUGCCUGAGGCUGGGCAGCGAUCACAUAUUCAUUAAGCUCAGAGAUGGUGAGUGGCUCAAUUUUCUGGACAUGAGCUACCUUUGACGACGCUGCCGUCUGCUCUGUGCCAUCAGCUCAGUCUGGUAGGGGUUAUUAAGUGGGAGAAGACAGUCAAAGAAAGAGGAAAUCAGAUGCCAAUACAAUCUAAGUGGACGAAAUGGUGUUUAAAAUGAGUGGUACUUACUUGUCAAACUUCUCUUUUCCUAGAGCUGUCUCAGUGUCAAAGUAAAUAUGUGUUCCAGAUGUUAAGCUCAGAAAUAGCCGGCCUACAAAGAAUACAUCAAAUUUAUGUGAAGUUAUAUCCGGUCAAAAACAAAUUAUAUGCAAUGCAUUACUCCAAAGCUAUAUUAAAAUGAAUAAACUACACAUAGUAAAAUUUACAACCUCCAACUAUCUUUGGAUUAAUGCUGGUGGCAAGGACAAUUUUUGGCUCACUUCUGUAGCUUUAAAAUUAUUUAUGAAAGGAAAUAGCUAAGGAGUCAAAUAUACUGACACAGAGGGUUACAUCCCUGAAAAAAAUGCAAUGAUGUUGAGACAACAGUAGGCAUACGUAUGAAUAUAGACUAUAACCACUCGAGAUUAAACAAUCCUAAGUACCUCUCUAGACGUAGAGUAAGCGCAUUACAUGUUGAGACCCCUGUGAACGGUCGUUGAUUGUGCUCCUGACUGCACUUACCUCACCAAGUAUGUCUAAAAAAUUGUUAAGUGGAAAUCUGUAAGUAUGUGAUAUAACAGAAACCAACUAACUCCUAAAAUCAUAAAAACAUACCAGGUAGCUGUCUGUUGGUGUUCGCCUAAGCACGUAGUUGGUCCGACGGACGAAACCCGGAAAAGUUCAGUUGGUUUCGGCUUUGUGGAUUCCGUCAACUUUUCAAAAGAAGUGGCAUUAUUGAAGCGUAUGGCAAGAGGGGGGGGGGCAUCAGGGAGUCGGAAAAAGUGUUCAGUACUGCAGAGAACUAAGGUUUGCUAAGAUCCUCUGUGUGGCUUUUCGGAGUAACUAAGAUCCUAUAAUCUGCAACUAAACUUUAUAUAGAAGAUUCUCACUUCUCACAAACGUUUUAUGUAAAAAUCAAAAGGCUAAUUUUAUCUGAAAAAUAAAACCUUUUAAUACACAUGUGACCAUUAAAUUAAAAAAAGAUAUCAAACAUACGAUUCAUGUGAAUAUUAGAGCAUAUUAAAUAACUUCAUGGGUUAACUAACCUUUAAACUUUUAUCUGCUAGAACCAGGAGCAAAGUUGAUUUUCCAGAAUCUGGUCGUUCUAAUAGCAAAGUCAUCCGUCGAGAUGUUUAGUGCUUUAAUAAUCUCACUGAUAUCUUCAAAAUCAUUCGCUUGUGUGUUCUUCUGGAAACAUGUAAGAAUAUAGUCAGAAAAGAGAUAUUAACAACUGGAAAAAAAAGGAAGUGGAGACCUUGUUGUUGGAGCUCGUCAUUGGGCCGAGAAGCUAGGUGUACUUUUCUGAAGAUUUUCAUCUCUUUGAUAGCUUUCCUGGUAAUGGCGGCCGGUUACAUAUGAAGAUGGUGAGGUCGGUUACAUGCUAUAGAGUGGGAGGAGUGGGAUGAAGCUAGUAAAUGAACGGAUUUAAGGGGCAAAUCAAUGGAGUAAGAAGGCGUUACAGGAGAUUCAUCGGAGGAGGAGGCUUUAGCGUCAGAGAAGGGUUGGCUAAAAGUAAGAGAAGAAGCCCUAAUAAAACACGAAGCCCAAACCAACUUAACACGCCGAUGACGUGGCUAUUUGCUGCAUUACUACUGGACGAUUUUUUCAUCCGACGUGGCAUGCUUCAGAGGGCUUUAUAUUUAGCUUUUAGUAUAGUUUAGAUAUAUAUAUAUAUAUAUAUAUAGAUAGAAACAUUGCCCGACAGAAAAAAAAAGAUUUGUAAAACUUCUAUUAUCAAGAGAAUAUGUAUAAGAAAAUCAUAAAAGAAUAAUUCGUUUCACAUAAAAAUAUGCAUAUUUUAGGAGAAGACGAGAUCGAUGUACAUACCCGGUUUACCUGUUUAGAUGUUGAUUUGACUUAGUGGUUUAGUGUACAGCUCACUCUAUGUAUACAUGUAAAUGUUCAUUUGAUUAAUGAGAGAAUAUAAUUAUAUAAGAAAUUUCUUUAUCUCUCUCAAUGCAAUAUGGUAUAAGAACUGAAAUUGAGCUUGAUCUUUGCGUGAUCUACCUUGGUUAAGCUCGUUUUCUGUUCAUCUUCAAGCUUCGAUGGUGUCUGCGAGGAAGAUUCCUCGUCGAUCGCAACUAGUCGUGAUUUUCAGGUUGGUUCUUUAUCUACCUUGAUCUUUAUCUCUCUCAAAGAUUUCUGUUCAUCUUCAAACUUCGGUAUGCUCAGAUUGUUUCUCCGCCGACAUCUAGUCCGGAUUUUCAGGCUACCGAGCUCCCGCGGGUGUUGAUAUCACGGAUUCGAUUCAUUCACCAUUCUUUAUGCAUAAUUCCGAUCAUCCAGGUUUACAACUUGUUUCUCUCAAACUCAAUGGAUCGAACUUUGAUGAUUGGGAAGCUGCAAUGAAAAUAGCUCUAAAUGCAAAGAACAAAAUCGGUUUUAUCGAUGGAUCGUUACCUCGUCCUCCGGAAUCCUAUUUAAACUUUCAAAUAUGGUCUAUAUGCAAUAACCUUGUUAAGUUUUGGAUUCUUAACUCGGUUUCAACUCAGAUAUAUCGUAGUAUUCUCAGGUUGAGUGAUGCUACUAAUAUAUGAAUUGAUCUGCACAGUAGGUUUCCUAUGACGAACUUGCCUUGAACUUACAAUCUUACACAUGAUUCAGAAUUUAUGUCAAGAUUCAUUAACUCUUUCUGAUUAUUUCACUAAACUCAAGACGUUGUGGAGUACUUUGGAGAAUUGUGAAGAACUUGAUGAUCCUUGUACUUGUGGUAAAGCACCAAAGCUUCAACAGAAAGCGGAACGUGCUAAGAUUGUGAAGUUUCUGGCAGGGUUAAAUGAAUGCUAUGAUGUGAUCAGGCGUCAGAUAAUCAUUAAGAAGACUCUCCCUUCGCUUACUGAAGUUUACAACAUCUUGGAUCAAGAUGACAGUCAGAAGAGCUUUAUUACUACUAUUUCUCCGACUGCAUUUCAGGUAUCUGAGAUUGUUACUUCACCUCAGGCUUUAAUCAAGAUUAGUGGAGUUGGCAACAUUCGAUUAAACAAACAUCUACUUCUACAAAAUGUUUUGUUUAUACAUGAAUUUUGCCUGCAUCUUAUCAGUAUAAGUUUUUUUAUGACUGAUCAAGGUUCUAGAGUGAUAUUUGAUCCUUCGUGUGAAAUAAAUGACCAUACCAAGGCUGUAAAAUUUGGUCAGGGUAGAAGAACUGGUAACAUGUAUGUGAUCGGUGUUGAAGACAAUACAACGAUGGUGAAUGCAGUAGUAGAUACUGGAACUUGGCACAACAGGCUUGGUCACGCUUCUAUCUCUCGAGUUGAUUUGAUAUCAGAUGCUUUGGGAACUACUCGAUAGGAGAAUAAAAGCAAUUCUUAUUGCCAUAUAUGUCACUUGGCGAAGCAAAAGAAAAUAUAUUUCCCUUCUUCGAACAAUAUGUGUAAUUCAAUCUUUGAGCUUUUACACAAUGAUGUUUAGGGACCAUUUUCAGUUAAGACAGUUGAUGGUUAUAGAUAUUUUAGAACCUAAAUUCUACACAAAGUAUUUGAUAGUGAUCGGGGUUGAUCUAGGGAAGACAAAUGAUGUGAGCAACAAUAUUUUUAGAACACAACGAUGUUAAAUAGUUUCCUGUAGGCGAAGAUAGAUGUUGUGGUCAAAAUCGGUCACGACGGAAUCAAUGUAUGAAAGUCCGUAAAAAUCGGCAUGGACGUUUUUACGAAACAAAUCAUGCUCGGUCAAGAAAACGUCGCAAAGUAUGUUCCCGAGAUAAAGCUUCAUUCGAAUUCUAUUUAGAUCAAACAUAAGCCAUCAGAAACAUACCCAGACCAGCUACGGAUAGGUCCGAGUAUGACGAUCAGAACACGGACGAACCAAGCUCGGUCAUUACGCAACUACCGCACAUGCACGCUGUCCGGUCGCUACGUAGCGACCAAUCGUCCGUUCCGCUCGAGCUCGGUCGCUACGUAGCGGCCGAGCGUCCGUUCCGCUCGGUCGUUACAUAGCGACCGAGCUCGAGACAAGCCCGGUCGCUACGUAGCGACCGAGCAUCCGUUCCACUCGUUCGCUACGUAGCGACCGAGCAUCCGUUCCGCUUGGUCGUUAUGUAGCGACCGAGCUCGAGCAAAGCUCGGUCGAUACAUAGCGACCGAGCAUCCGUAGCGACCGAGCUCGAGCCAAGCCCGAUCGCUACGUAGCGACCAGGCAUCUGUUCUGCUCGGUUGCUACAUAGCGACCGAGCUCGAGACAAGCCCGGUCCCUACGUAGCGACCGAGCAUCCGUUCCGCUCGGUCGCUACAUAGCGACCGAGCUCGAGCCAAGCCCGGUCGCUACGUACGACCGACCAUCUGUUCUGUUCCACUCGGUCGCUACGUAGCGACCGAGCUCGAGCCAAGCUCGGUCUGUACGUAGCAACCAAGCUCUUCCAAAACGUCGAUACGACAUUAGUCCAUGCAUUCUCGUGUACCCUUCGAUGCUAUCUCCCGAAGACCGUAGCGAACCCAUUUCAUGUUUCCUGCCAUUCUAAGUCAUCGAUCAAACUUUACGGUAAAAACCGUGGAAAGUUCGUUCUUUAUCGAAAGAAGCCGUAAUAAACGCUUCGAGUCAGAAGACGGCCCAAAGGGACCUAAGACAUGACUCGAGGCCCAACUUGCGAUUUCUUAACCAACAGCAGUAAGCCGCAUGACGGUUUACGCUUGGUUGGCAAGGAAAGAUAAAUGUCAAGUUUCCGCGGAUUAAUACGAAAUUUUGAAGAUAAUUACGAAGAUCGAAAAAAAAUGAAAUAUCUCCAUUUUUAUGCUAUGACGGCUUAAGGGCAGAAGAGGAAAAGCGUAAACCGACCUAGGAGCCAGUAUAUAAGGAGUCGUAGGCGAGAGGCAUGAGAGGAGAACUUUUUCAGAGCAAACUUAGCACUUAGAGAAAUUAGGCAACUUUCCGGUUUUUGUUAUUUCGAGCUACGACUCAAUUAAGUUUAGCCGUCUUAGGGUUGGUAGAACUAGGAAUCUCGCCGACAGCUCUCGAGCCCAGGCUUAUACCUUGUUUUAAACGCUCAUAAGCAGAUUCAGAAUAAGACUUCUCUUUCCUCUCUUUUAACGAUUUCUUAUAUUUUGUCGUUGCUAUCUCGUGUUCUGAUUGCUUGGCGUGUGGUAUUAGCAGAUAUCCGGGACCUUUGGGAAAUUAGGGUUUUCCUAGUUUCCUAAUUUAAACGAAAAUCAGCAGUGCGAAUUUCGGUUCCCACAGUUUGGCGCUAGAAGGAGGGGGGGGGUACGGAUCAAUCUAACUCUCAGCCACAAAACGCUUGAUCAAAACAAUGUCUGGAAAUACGAAAGACAAAAUCGCAGUUUGCAAUAACGCUGGUAAGACAACCCCAGCCGCCACUGCGCCUAUGGCCAACGCCUACGCAAACGCCACAGUUUUUGAGAAAAUCGAAAACCUUGCUGCGACUUUUCGCCACAGGAAGUGCAAUGAAACCUUGCUGACGAAUACCGAGAAACGUCAUUCUGACGAACUUCCGACGAUAUUACGAUGCGGAUACACGAGACCAGAGUUCAUCGGAAAACUACGUACCGACGGAGAACGUUCCUCGGACAAUUCCGACGUAGAGUGUUCCUCGGUGUAUUCCGACGAACUUUAGGCGUCGGAAUUUACAGACGGACAAUGGUCGUCGGAAUAUACCGACGAACCUCGUUCGUCGGUAUAUUCCGACGGAAAUGGGGUUCGUCGGUAAAUUCCGACGGAUAUAUGUCCGUCGGUAUAUACCGACGACCAUUGUCCGUCGGUAUAUACCCAUUUUUUUAAAAAAAAUUAAUUUUUCAUUUUUAUAUAUUUUUCGAUAUUAAUAAAUUUAAAAAAUCAGAAAUUUAAAACUAAUAAUAUUAUAAAAUUUAAAUUCAUAAAAACCGAAAUAGGAAAAAAACAUUCAUAAAGUUUAGAAUUCAUACAAACCGAAAUAGAAAAAAAAACAUUCCGAAAGUUUUAAAAAGCCGAAAUAAACUAAGAUGAACUCGAAGAAAUCAAACGAUCUAGCUUCUGCAUAAUCUCGGUGUUGAACUUCUUCUGGGAUGCCAAUUCAGCAAGGAUAGUGGCAUUCUCCGAACGGAUAGUGGCAUUCUCCGAAAGGAUAGUGGUGUUCUGCUCCUCCAAUGCCCCAAUCCGUUCAUCUUUGUCAUGUAGCUCCUCGAGAAUCAUGGGAUCGGCAUACGGAGCUUGCGAAGAAGAUGCCGGAUACGAAGAAGCACGACGGGCCAACCCAACUAAACGGCCUCCUUUCCUUUUAGGAACCGCCUACAAAAAUAUUUAAAGUAAGUAAAUAGGGACAAGUAAGUAAUCGACAUUAUAAAAAAAAUAUAUUAAUAAAAAAAAUUACCUUUUCAACCAUCUCAUUUAUUUGCAAUAGAGACUGGUUGGUUGAAGCUCCCGUGGAUUCGCCAUCAUCAGAGAGAGGCUGAGAUUGGGCAACUAUUUCAGCUUCCACCAAAUCAACUACACCUUUGAUCACGGGGUCCUGAAUUUGACCCGUCGUCUUGUUAGUGUGAGCCACCUUAAUGAGUUGGAGACGAUCAACGGGAUUACCGUCAUUUGCUUCGAUCUAAAAAAACCGCCAUUAUUAGCCAAGAAAUAUAUAAAAUAUUUAUUUAAAAAACAUAAAGAUAAAUAAUAAUAAAAAACUUACAAGUUCAUCCUCCUUAGUAGACAUAGAGCAAGCGCCGAGGUUGUGCACAUACAACUGCUCCCACACCGGUUCCUGGAGUUCCUAGAAGACGUCUCUGCAGUUUCUUCCUUCUCCCAAUGACCUAUCAACUGCUCCCACACCGUCCCGUUGAUGAACCGUGGCUUCUUGUUCUUCUGCCAAACUGUCUUCCACGCGUUUAUCUGCUUUGUGUAAGAGUCCAUGGCCUUUUCGUUGAAUUUCUUACGGACUGUUUCCGUAAGAUCGGAGUGCCAGUUGAACUCUUGCUACAAAACAAACACAAUUUAAUAAGUAAAUAUAUUUAAAAAAAUGUAAAAACUUUAAAAAAAUGAAGAGUUACUAUACCGCAAACUGACGAAACCACAACUCUCGUUCGUCGUUAGGGAUCACACUCCACUUUGGAUAUCCAAAACGGAGCAUGGAGUACAUCAUCUGGUUGAUGCUCCGGCUAAUGCCGUUUUUCGACUUGGUGAACCUGUAAAAAAAAUACAAGUUAGCAAGUUAAUUAAAGGAAAAAAUAUAACGGUACAAAUAAAAAAAAUACUAACCAAGUGCUAUGGCCUCGUCGUGGGUUGGGUUGGAGAAACGGGAGAUGCUCUCGACCUGGUUGUUGAACCAAUAGAUGAACCGGCAUGACCCCCGGAUCCUGUUGAGCAGCAGCGUGAGGGGCAGAGGGAGCUGGAGCGGGAAUAUAUGCGGGAACCGAGUCAUGAGACGAUCCCGAUGCACGGGAACUGCUCACCGAACUACGUCGAAGAAGGGCUGCGGGGCGGGCUUCAUCCUCGGCCCUAAAAAAAAAAAAUUAAUACAUCAAACAUAUUUUCAAAUCAUUUCUAUUUUUAAUGUUUUCAUUUAUAUAUUUACAAAAGGUUUUAUAAACGUUUUAAAAAAACUAUUAAACCUUUUAUAUAUAUAUAUAUAUAUAUGUAUACAAAAUUAUAAAAUUUUUAUAAAUAUAGAAAAAUGUUGUUAAAUAUUUUUAAAAAAAUUUAAAAACAUUUUAUUAUAUAUAUUUCAUUACUGGAAACUUGAAAAACGUUUUUUUUUUAAAAAAAAAAAUCAAAAAAUGUCUUUAAAAAUCAAAAAACAUUUUUAAAAAUCAAAAAAUGUUCCAAAAAUAAAUAAAACAACAAUCCAAACAACAAUCCUAACUCAUAUAUCCUAAACUAUCAAUCAAACAACCUAAAAUCCGAGAUCUAACAUCCAAAACCCUAAACAAUUGAGAUUAAAGAAGGUUUGGGAUGAUUCUUACAUGAUUUAGGGUUUGGGGGAGGAAUCACCGGUGUAGAGGGAUGAAUCGCCGGUUUUGGGGGAGGAAUCGCCGGUGAAUCGCCGGUGGAGAGAGGAAUUUAGAGAGAGAGAUGCGGAGAUAACGAAGAAAGAAGAAGGAGGAGGGUUAUUAUAUCAGACGAUUCCGACGGACACGGGUUCGUCGGUAUUCCGUCGGAAUAAUUAAAAUAUACCAAAUGCCAAUUCGCGAAAAUUUUCAAGCGGUUUGGUUCUCCCGGGCAAAUUUAAAUUCUGACGGAAUGUGUCUGUCAGUAUAUUCCGAUGGAAUUCCGACGACUUAGUGUUUAGGGUGUUGAUUUCAAGUUUCUAAAUGCAAGAUCCAAAUCUUUGAUAAUAUAUAUAGUAUUUGCAUAAAGAUUUAACAAUAAAAAUGUUUUAUAACACGAUUUUACACAAUAACAUUUUUUGUAGUGUAAGCUUAUAUAAAUAUGAUUGUAUAAGUAUAUAAUGUUAAGAUGAGAUGUUAUGAAAACAAUGAUAUGCAUACAUAAAUAUUUUAAUGAGUUGUUAUAUUUGAACGGUUGCGAUCUAAUACUAUACUAAACACUUAUUAUGUGUUAUUUUCAUAGUUUUGGCAUCUAAAUUUAUAGAUUUUUAUGAUUGAAACUUUAUAGAAACAAAUGUCGUCGGUAUUUUCUGACGGAAUACCGACGACCUUUCCAAUCUUCAAUGAAACCCAUUGUCGUCGCUAUGUCGUCGGUAUAUUGCGAGGGAUUUCCGACGGACCAUAAAAAAAAAAAAAAAACUAAUCAGAAUCUUCUGAAUCUUCAUCAAACUCCCCAACCUCGGCUUCCGGCUCUGAAUGUACGACAGCAUCAUGUCCAAACACAGUCAAAUUCUCAACGAGUUGAACAUUUUCUAAAUCUUCAACUGUCUGGGUGUUGCUGGUAGACUCUGGUUGCAAUGGUUCAUCAUCAUCAGAAGUUCCAUCCACUCGUCCUCUUGGGUUGAUUUGCGUUAUAGUAACCCAUGGAUCGUCUCUGUACGUCACCCGAUGGUAACUGAUGUAGCACACCUAUACAUAUCAAUUAUACAAGUAUUAGUAAAAUAUAUAACAUUAAUUAAUUAUAUUGGUAAAAAAUUAUGAAUAGAUUGACAUACCUGAUCAGCUUGCGAACCAAGAAUGAAGGGAUCAUAAUAUUGAAGUUUCUGCCGCGAAUGAACUGAUGUAACACCAAACGCAUCAAUCUUCACUCCUCUAUCUGGGGUGGUGUCAUACCAAUCACAAUAGAAUACUACACAACGCAAUCCAACCAUUUCAGGAAAUUGGAUUUCCAAUAUUUCUUUUAUGUUGCCGUAGUAGACAUCGUCACCAGAAGAAGAUGAAACACCAGCAUCAUAUGUUGUCUUAGAAUGACCUUUCCUUGUGAAUGCAUAUCCUCGCGUACAAAAUUUAGGAUAUGAUUUGACCACAUAGUUUGGUCCCUGCACAAAUUCGCGUAUCCAAUCAUCGAACACAAGACCUCUUGCCAAACCAUCAUUCACCUAUAAAAAAAACAUAUAUGAUUGCAAAAUUAAUUAGUUUAUAUAUAUUAAAUUUAAACUAAUCAUUUGCAUAGGGUAAUAUGAUAUAUGACUCACAUAACUACGAAGCCACGCAGCAAAUCCGUUAUCUCUAAGUUGUCGAAGCUCAUCUUCUGUUGCAUGCCUGUGAGUCAUACGCAACUCCGCCAUAUAUACACUAUAUACAAAAAUAUUAUCAAUAUGAAAUAAAUUUAUUGAAUAUUAAUCUAACAAUAAAUGAAUAAAUAUUUUUACCUCUCAUAUUGUAGAACAUCUUCACAGUUGGUGAGCAAAUAUGUUUGCAAAUGAGCGUGCUCAGUGUCCGUAAGUCUCCGCUUCGUGAAUUUUCCACUAAGUCGUCCUAUUUCCAUGAACAUGCUUGGGACAGUAACAUGAUAUGUUGCUCUCUCCCCUCUAUCAUCAUGCCGAGCAGGUCUUCGGUGUUUUGUAUGCACUUCUGGUGGAAAAUAAUUUUCAGCAAAGAUUGCAGUUUCUUCAUUGAUCACCUGUGCCACUAUAGAUCCUUCCACCCUGCUUUGAUUUUUGACCAUCUUCUUCAGAUGAUGCAUAUAACGCUCAAAAAUAUACAUCCAUCUGUACUGCACAGGACCACCAAGUUCCAAUUCUCUUGGGAGAUGAAUAGCAAGAUGUUCCAUUACAUCAAAGAAUGAUGGAGGAAAUAUCUUCUCAAGGUUGCACAUGCUGACUGGUGCGUUUGUCUUCAAAUUAUUAAUACCCUCUUCAGUCAAUACUCUGCUGCAUAAGUCGCGGAAGAAAACACUAAUCCCUACAUAGAUAAAAGACAUAAUUUUCGUAAGUAUUAAGUUUUUAUAAGCAUAAUUGUUAAAUAUAAAAAUAAAUUAAAUUGUAAAAAUAUAAUAUACCUGCAAUUGCUUCAUGAACAUUAUGUGGCAAUAAUGCUGAAAAAGCAAACGGAAGGAGGCGCUGCAUAAUUACAUGACAAUCAUGACUCUUCAAGCCAGUAAACUUUCCUUCGCUUCUAUCAACGCAGUUCCCCAAAUUUGAUGCAUACCGUCAGGAAAUUUCACUUUAUUUGUAAUCCAAUCAAAGAACUCUUCUUUUCUAGCACCAUCUAGCCGAUAAAUGGGAAAAGUGGCUGUACCGUUCUCAUCAACGUGAAGUUCAGAACGAUCACAAAUAUCGAAUAAAUUCAACCUUGACUUCAAAUUAUCCUUCGUUUUACCUUGGAUGUUAAGGACUGUGUUCAUCAGAUUAUCGAAGAAGUUCUUCUCAAUAUGCAUGGCAUCUAAAUUAUGCCGCAAUAGAUGACUCUCCCAAUAAGGCAGAUCCCAGAAAAUACUCUUUUUGUGCCAGUUAUGUAGCUCUCCAACCGCAUUGACUCGAAUGUUUUCAUGUCCACCUACAUCUGGCGUCCUUUCUGCAUCAAAAUACCUAAACUACUUCAACAAAUCUUUCCCACUAACUUCCUCAGGCGGACCAUCAAACACCUGCUUGUUCUUCGUAAACGAAGUCUUACUCCUGCGGUAUGGAUGAUCAGGUGGUAGAAAUCGUCUGUGACAGUCAAACCAACACGUUUUACUUCCGUUCUUUAGUUGGAAAGCAUCUGUGUCAUCUUGACAAUAUGGACAUGAUAGCUUCCCAUGUGUUGUCCAUCCAAAUAACAUACCAUAUGCUGGAAAGUCACUUAUUGUCCACAUAAGUACUGCCCGCAUCUGAAAGUUUUCUUUGCGCGAAACAUCGUAUGUCUCAAAACCAUGCGCCCAUAGUUGUUGCAACUCAUAUAUUAGUGGUUGAAGAAACACAUCUAGUGAUCUUUUAGGAUGAUCUGGCCCGGGGACGAGAAUUGAGAGAAACAAAAACUCUCGUCGCAUGCACAAGCUCGGCCGUAAGUUGUACGGUGUCACAAUAACUGGCCAUAAAGAAUACUGCCUUCCAUGCUUUCCAAAUGGGCUGAAACCAUCAGUAGAUAAUCCAAGAUAAACAUUUCUUCUCUCUUCCGCAAAUUCUGGAUAUGUUGACUGGAAAUGUUUCCAAGCCUUUGCAUCUGAAGGAUGUCUAAUCUCACCAUUUGUGGAAUGCUCUGCAUGCCAUCUCAUUGCUUUUGCUGUGCGCUCACACUGAUACAACCUCUUCAAUCUUUCCGUCAAAGGCAAAUACCACAUUCUUUUGAAUGGGAUCGGAACUCUUCCCCUCGUCUCCUGAUAACGAGGUUUCCCACAAAAUUUGCAUACAUUCCGUGUCUCAUCCGCUCUCCAGUAGAUCAUGCAGCUGUCAAUACAUACAUCUAUCACUUCAUACGGUAGUUGAAGACCUGUAACAAGUUUCUGAACCUCGUAGUAUGAACCCGGUGCAAGGUUAUCCUCAGGUAGAAUACCUUUGACAAAAUCAGUAAUCGCAUCCAUACAUUCUUCAGCCAAAUUAUAGUCUGUCUUAAUACCCAUUAAUCUAGUUGCAGAUGAUAAGACUGAAUGACCAUCUCUACAAUUUUGAUACAAAAGUUGUUUUCCUGCAUCCAACAUGUCAAAAAAUCUCCUAGAUUCGGGGUUUGGUUCUUCCCCUCUAUAAUGAUCAUGUACCAUCUGCUCAGUACCUACACCAUAAUCUAUAUCCGUUCUAGAUUCUUCUAACCUAAUAUCAGGCUGAGGUUCACUAACAGGCUGAGGUUCGCUAGUACUACCAUAUUCAUAACCAGUUUCCCCAUGAAGGUACCAAACUUUAUAAUUACGUGAAAACCCUUUCAUAUACAAAUGAGUCCAAACAUCAAAUUCUUUUAUAACCUUAUUAUUAUUGCAAGAAGAGCAGGGACAUCUUAACAUACCACUUUUUGCAUCCGGUUGCUGUUGAACAAGCCUCAUGAAUUCUCCAAUCCCUUGAACGUAUUCUUCCGUAAGCAAAUUGGUGUUCGGAUCCAAAUGAGGUUUAUCCAUCCACGAACGAUAAUAAACUUCUGAAGACAUGAUUUUCGCGGAAUUGUUAUGACUAAAGAGAAUGAAGAGAGAAUGAAGUGUGAAUGAGUUGAAUGAGGAGGGGUUGUAUUUAUAGGAAAUUGGUUACAGACCUCCGACGACUUUCCGACGAAAUUCCGACGGAUGUAAAGCAGUCCGUCGGAAUUCCGUCGGUAUUGUCCAAUAUCAAACGGCGAUACAACGGUCAUAUAUAUUUGUCGGCAACGAUCACAUGGUUCGUCGGAAUUCCGUCGGAAAAAACCGACGGAAUUCCGACGACUUUUCUGUUAAUCAGAAUGUCGUCGAAAAUUCAUCGGAAUAUACCGACGAACUUCUGACGACUACGACGGUUACAUUUUUUAUCGGAAUGUCAUCGAAAAGUCGUCGGAAAAUUCCGACGACCCUUGUUUCGUCAGAAUUCUGUCGGAAAUAGCCGACGGAAUUCCGACGACUUAAUUUUUUUUGCAUUUGGUCGGAAAUUUGUCAGUAUUCCGUCACAAAUGUCCGACGACCUUGGUAUCCGUCGGAACCUCCGUCGGAAUUCGGUGUGUUUUCUUGUAGUGAUAUAUAUACUUAUUAUCGAGUGGGUCAUCUCCUUCGUCAUCUCGAUCCUUCUUCUUUCUUUGCUAUCUUCUUCUUGAGUUUGGUCCUCAUCUCAAUACGAUUCUUAAAGGGGAACACAUCGAUGCCAUUUACGAACUCUGGGGGGUCGAUUACGUUAUAGAAAUCGAACUCCCUGCGAGCGGUGAGACUCCGGAGAACGUGUGGCCGGGGUAUUGUGGAGCUUACAUGUCUCAUUUCGAGGAUGUCGGCUUAUCGUUCCCUCUUCCUCGUUUCCUUCUCGAGGUGUUGGCUGAGAUCAAGAUGGCAUUUACCCAGAUGGAGCCUAACUUUUUUUGAUACUUCUUAGGCUGCUGGGUCCGAGCUCAGGAAGAAGGUCUCGAAUUUGGUCUCAGAGAGUUAAGGCAACUAUUUUCCAUAAAGCGAAAUAACGGCUUUCCUGGUACGAUGAUUCUCGCUCCUCGAGGUGGUCGUGGUAUUAUCGAGGGAAUUCCUAAUAGGGAUAAUCGAUGGAGGGAGAAGUUUUUCGUUUUCAAGAUAAAUCCGGCGUCGGUCGGGAAUGGUCCGACGACAUCGGUAAGUCUCAUUUUGUCUCAGCAGACGAUGUCUGUUGUUUUCUUUUGUUUGUCGUAAAAAUAAAAUUUAAAAAAAAAAUUGUAUAUAGAGCCUUUUGGCUCUGCGCCUAUUUCCCCCGAGCUCCGUGGGUUAAUGGAGACUUUGCGGUGAGGUAGCACUCGCUGGCUCUCCUCAACUCCUGAAUGAAUUCGAGCUGCCUACGAUCUCCUACUGGGUGCAAAUUGUGCUACCCCUGUCGCCUUGGUGGCUCCCGUUCGGCCCAAAAGAGAUCGGGGCACAAAUAGUAAGUGGCUAUUUAUAUUGCUCUGUUUUCUGAUGCCAUAUGGGGCGCUUCGUUGAUAUGAUCCUGAUUUUUUGAGGUUUGCUUUGCUUUUAGGAAAGAAGGAUGAUGAGGUGUUGCUUGAUCGUGUUGACGAGUCUUCUGAGGCCGGAUCUCCAGAGCAAACUCGGGCAGUCCAUCGAUGGCGGGUCCUUAGAUUUAGAUCGCACGCUCUGUCCCCCGGUCUUCCUGCUAGGCCAGUGUCAGUCGUUAUUCCGUCCGGUGGAGCUCACAAAUCGCGGAAUACUUCGGCGAGUUUUGCUGGCGAUCGAGCUUUUGACGACGAGAUCGAUUCGUCGUCUCGUCGAUCUCGACAUCGAGUUUUGGAGGAGAUCAACACUGUGACUUCGGGAUCAUCGAACCCGAGGCUUUCUCCGUCGUUGCGUGCUUCUGGUAAAGGUACUUCGCAGGUUAAUCCCGGUGUCCUUCCUUAGAGCAUUAGCGAAGCUUCUUCAUGGUCGUUUGUGUAUGACAGCGAGAUCCCCAUCCUUGAGAACCCCAAGUAACUUGCAACAAUUUGGCGUAAGGUCAGAGGAAAGGGGUGCAAGCUUCCUUCUUUUGAGCAUAUGCGAGAGCGUGAUGCCUAUGUUCAGAUGGCAGUCGCCAAUGCCAAGGUACAUUGUCUUAGCUUGAUUCUUUAUGGAAUGGGAUGCUUAGUUUUGAUGCUAUCUUUUUGCUUAGGCUAUGGAGGCGAGCAAUGAUUAUGUUGCUUUUAUGGAGGGGCGAUAGACGAAUUUUCCUAGUAAGGAGGAGAUCGGGGGUCACCUUCUCACCAUCCAACAGCUUCAGGGCGAGCUGGAUACUGCUCGGGAUGCGGAGAAACAGCGCGAAGUGGAUUUUGAGGAAUUGAGGAAGAAGAUGGCGGCUGCUGAGGCGGAAAAGGUCAUUGCUCAGAACGAUCUUAACUCGAUGGAGGAGAAGUAUAAGCAAGAGAUCGAAGGUCGGGAUAGGAAAGCUCGCAAGGAUCUCCAUCUAGCUCGUGUGACUCUUGCGGAGGAGUAUGAAGGGGUCUUGGCUGCAAUCAGUGGCAAGUUUGAGCAGAAGAAGAAGGAGACGGCAGCGGAGAUUCUUUUGCAAGAGACGCGAGCUCGUGUCAAAGCUUUGACCGAGUGCAGUGAGGGCGGCUUCGACCUCGAGGCGGAAUUGGAGCGCCUUAAAGACCUGGAAAUUUCGCUCGAGGUCGACUAUGGUCUUGCUUCGGUGUCGGACCUUUCUCUUGGUCAUCUCGAUCUCCCCGAGAUCUCCGGAGAUUCGGUCAAUCAUGAUUGAUGCAAGGGUUAUUUUGAUUUAGUUCGACGUUUGCUAUGUUUUAUAUGUAUGUUUUGUUUUUGUUGUUGGAGAAACGUAUAUAUGUUUUCCAAUGGAUUUAUGGGAUAAUACCUCUUUAAUCGUAUAUUUUCGAUUAGUUUUAAGCCUCAUUAAGCUUGUUGUUUUACCUUUUGGAAGGUGUGAAACAGAGACUGAUCAGGAAUCUGUUUUAUGGGUCUUAAUAUCGCCUGAUAGCAAAUUUAUAGAUGGGCUAUGCUUAGGAGUUAGAUGUUCGGAAUGAUGAAAGCAAUCCUAACGACUAUUUAUUUGGUUGUUUGGGCUGCGCUCGGUGACGAGUUGCCUGCGUACCCCUUUCGAGGGAUCAAGCCUUAUCGUAGUUCCGUUUUUUUACUGAGUUGUAGGUAUCUAUGGCCCCCUAGCUCGAAGUUUUGAUUGUUAUGAUCAAGGUUCAGGUUUGCGUUACUUGUAAUAUUUCUUUAAGUUGUAGACGUUCCAAGGUCUCAUUUCUGGGAGGCCUGUUUUGACCUUUUCUAGCUCGUAGACUCCGGUUCGGAUUUUUUAAGUUACAUUGUAUGGUCCUUCCCAUUUUGUUCCGAGCUUUCCCGCUCUUGGUUCUUUCGUUCCGUCGAAUACUUUCCAGAGAACUAGGUCGCCUACGCAGAAGGCGCGGUUUCUUACGUUUGAGUCAUAGUAAUGUCCCGCGACUUGUUGGUAAUUUUGUAUGCGUAUUGCUGCUUUUUCACGUCGUUCUUCGAUCAUAUCCAGCUGAUGAAUUAACAAUUCUUCAUUGAGUUUGGCGUCUUCUGGACAGAUUCCUCGUCGUUGACUUGGAGCCUCAAUUUCGGCUGGGAGUAUGGUCUCGAUCCCGUAGGAUAAUUGUUGGGAUCGAAAACGGUUGCGACGAAGUUAACGUCCAAAUCUCCGAAGAGAAAAACGUAGAAAUCUUCUUCGACAAAUACUUUUUCAAAAUAGAUUAUUCUUUACGAAAAACUUUGCGGAGGAAACGCAAGUCAUCGGACAAGAGCUCGAAAAAGAUCACUACGCAGCGACCGAACACGUGCUCCGCACUCGGUCGCUACGUAGCGACCGAGCUCGAGCCAAGCUCGGUCUGUACGUAGCAACCAAGCUCUUCCGAAACGUCGAUACGACAUUAGUCCAUGCAUUCUCGUCUACCCUUCGAUGCUAUCUCCCGAAGACCGUAGCGAACCCAUUUCAAGAUUCCCCGCCAUUCUAAGUUAUCAAUCAAACUUAAACGUAAAAACCGCGGAAAGUUUGUUCUUUAUCGAAAAAAGCCGUAAUAAACGCUUCGAGUCAGAAGACGGCCCAAAGGGACCUAAGACGUGCCUCGAGGCCCAACUUACGAUUUCUUAACCAAAAACCCGUAAGCCGCAUAACGGUUUACGCUUGGUUCGCAAGGAAAGAUAAAUGUCAAGUUUCCGCGGAUAAAUACGAAAUUUUGAAGAUAAUUACGAAGAUCGGAAAAAAUGGAAUAUCUCCAUUUUUAUGCUAUGGCGGCUUAGGGGCAGAAGGGGAAAAGCGUAAACCGGCCUUAGGGCCAGUAUAUAAGGAGUCCUAGAAGAAAGGCAUGGAGGAGAGACUUUUCGAAGAGCAAGCUUAGCACUUAGGGCAAUUAGGCAACUUUCCGUUUUUGUUAUUCGAGCUGCGACUCAAUUAGGUUUAGCCGUCUUAGGGUUGUUAGAACUAGGAAUCUCGCCGACAGCUCUCGAGCCCAGGCUUAUACCUUGUUGUAAACGCUCAUACGCAAAUUCGGAAUAAGACUUCUCUUUGCUCUCUUUUUACGAUUUCAUAUAAUUUAUCAUUGUUAUCUCGUUUUCUGAUUGCUUAGCGUGUGGUAUUAGCAGAUAUCCGGGACCUCUGGGAAACUAGGGUUCUCCUACUUUCCUAAUUUAAACGGAAAUCGACAGUGCGAAUUUCGGUUCCCACAGUUUGGCGCAAGAAGGAGGGGGAAACAGAUCAAUCUAACUCUCAACCACAUCACGCUCAACCAGACAUGUCAACUGACGACCCGGAUAACGUGCAUACUCCUCUUAACGGAAGCAGUGGCACUGAUCUCCACACUCCCGCAGCGGACGUAUCCGCGGCCAACGCACCAGCCAACGGUGCGGUGCUCGAGGAGUUUAAAAAGAUGUUCGCCACCUACGAAAAAAGGUCGGAAGAACAGGAUAAGCUCGUGAGCAUCUUAACCAAACAAGUUGAAACUUUAACGGCAAGGACUCGAGCAAUCCGCCCCCGCGGAACCACUAAAGUCCGCGGGAAAAGACUCGACUUCGCAACGACUUCGUAACCCCACUCAACAGGCCUGGAGCCGCGCAGGAACGACCUUCGGGUCAAAACCCUAGCGAGAAAUCUCCCGUCGAAAAAGAAAACUCCGAAAGCCCUCCGCCUCCCGCGAAGGUUUCGGAGGACAACGGAGUCGAGCAAGUCGACCUGGAUCCUAGCGACGUCUCCAACAAUACUGAUGAGGACGUCGACAGACAUCCAAGGAGGACCAGAAGCCGAUUCACUCGGGAAAGCUCUCCGUUCGACAAACCAAUGACAGAAGAGGAGAAAAUCCUCAAUUGGAACGAACAAGAAGAGCUGGCUGAAAAGCAGACCGAGCUCACUCGCAGUAAACGCCGACAAGCACGGGAACCUGCUGGCGAGACGUCGGAUAUACGCGAUCUUCGCGACUAUAUCACCAAGACUGCGGCAGAAGUAAGAGCAGUAAAAUCCCAAAUUCAUCACGCAACCAGCGCGGCCCCCGAGAUCGACAGGCUGUUGGAAGGAGCUCGGAAGACCCCUUUCACUACUCGCAUCUCAGAUAGGUAUCUGAUCCAGGAAAAAUUAAAGUACCAAAGUACGAUGGAAUGACCGAUCUGAGAGCACACCUUCAGGCUUUCCACAUCACGAUGGGAAGAGCGAGGCUGAAGGACGGCGAAAGAGACGCCGGCUACUGCCGCCAGUUCGUCGAGAAUCUAGAAGGAGCAGCCCUCGAAUGGUUCGCGCGCCUUAAGCGAAAUUCUAUCGAAAGUUUCUGACAGCUCGCAUCGGAAUUUCUCAAGCAAUACUCUAUGUUCAUAGAUAGAGAAACUUCCGAUGUCGAUCUCUGGAGUCUGUCCCAGAGGGAAGAGGAACCCCUCCGGGAGUUCAUCAGCCGAUUCAAGUUGGUAAUGACCAGGGUCAGCGGGAUAAGCGACAAGGUGGCCAUCGAUGCGCUCAGAAAGGCGCUCUGGUACAAGUCGAAAUUCAGAAAAUGGAUAUCCCUCGAAAAACCGCGGAAGAUCCAAGACGCCCUCUACAAGGCGACAGAAUACAUCAUGAUCGAGGAAGAAACAAAAAUCUUAUCGCAAAAACAUAAGUCGGCGAGAUCAUCCUCGAAAGAUGUAGACCCGAAAACGAGGAAGAAGAACCCUCGUAACGACAACUAUGUCCAUCACGAGGGAGAAGAACUCCAAGGAGCACACAAUUACGCGAUCGGUUCGGACCAGGGCCGAACCACGGGUAAUACGUGGACUCGCAAUCAAGGAUAUGAUGAAAACACCUUCUGCGAGUUCCACCAGUCCCGGGGACACUCCACGACUAACUGCAAGGUCUUGGGAGCAAGGCUGGCCGCGAAGCUACUAGCCGGAGAAAUCUUGGACGGGACCAGCAUGAAAGAUCUCAUCCUCAAGACCGAUCGCCCCCCAAAGCCGGACAGAAAUCUUCCCGCGGAGAUAUCUCCUCAAAGAAACCAAUCUGCAGAUAAACGCGGCAGGAGGCCAGACGACAAAGGGAAAAAUAACAAUCGUCUUAGAGUCAACAUGAUCAUCGGAGGAUCGCAAUUCUGCAACGAUACAGUUUUGGCCAUCAAGGCUUACCAGCGGAAGGCGGAGUCAAGCGCAAACUGGCCUACAUGGUCUCCUACCCGAGAUGAUCAGAACUGCUCAAUCACCUUCACAAAGGAGGAAGCCGGCGGGAUUGAUCAACCUCACUGCGAUCCGCUUGUCAUAGACCUCGUCAUACGAGAUCUGGAAGUCGGAAGAGUACUCAUUGACACGAGAAGCACGGUCAAUGUAAUCUUCCGCGACACUCUCAAUCGGAUGAGUAUCAAACUCGGAGAAGUAACUCCAACUCCAAAACCGCUCACAAGCUUUUCAAGCGAAGUAUCGAUGACCCUCAAAUCGAUUCAGCUACCAGUCAUGGCCAAGGAGAUCAAAAAAAUCGUCGAGUUCGCGGUAGUCGAUCAUCCUGCCAUCUACAACGCGAUCAUGGGAACCCCAUGGCUCAACGCUAUGCAAGCCGUUCCAUCGACGUACCACCUGGGUGUCAAAUUCCCGACCCCAAACGGAGUCGCAGCUAUCUGGGGAUGUCAGAAACAGUCGCGACUGUGCUUCCUCGCGGAGCACAAGUUAAGACAGAUGAAGACCUCUGCAACGGCAAAUCGCAAACGAACGAAGAUUGAUAAAUCUUCGACCGACGACGCUUCAAUAAAAGACGAUUUGACAUCGUCUGCUGACGCAGACGCUUCGGAUGCCAAAACUCAACACGAGCCCGAAGCCGACACUACAACUCAACCGGAACAUCCGGAAGAAAAUACUGACCCAGCCACUAUCAUCACGAUCAAGGCGGUCAGCACGGCGACAACCGCCGAGUGAAAGCGCUCGCGGCAUAAAACAGAACUACGAGAUGGCUUGAUCCUCGAAAGAGGUACGUAGGCAGCUCGUCCAAAGACGAGUUCAGCUAUCCCCCUCUCUAAAAAGGGGAGGGGGGAGUGGGUGCGUAUACUCGUAUACUCCCACAUACGAAAAAAUGCGUUAUCGUAAUCGAAUUCUAUAGAGAUUUCGAAACUUUUUAGGACCAAUAUGCGUCGCUCCUUUUUAAGACACUUGCAAAAGUCUUAGAACACGCCUAGAAAAUUUACAAACGUUAAUACUCUUGCCAGCGGCCUCGUACGGCCCAAAAUCGCAAAACAGUCUCACUUCAGCACCGAAAAUAUACGUAUAGUCUUUGAAAUGACAGCGAGGCGUCGCCAAGUUAAAAAUUGAGAUGAUACGAACAAAUUGUCUGAACGCGACCACUACAAAUCUUACACUCCGUUCGUCGAUUGGCCCCAACAAACAUAUCAGCCGUCUUAAACAAACGCAACUUGAUCACUCUUUUGAUCUUCGAACAUCCAACACAAGGACGAAAGCGUACAAAAAAAAUCUGAAAUUUUGGUCUAGCACUUCCAGUUGGCUUAAAAAUUGUCUCUGGAAAGAUGCUCGAUUCGUACCAUACAAGUCGUAUAAGCCGAGAACCUAUCGCGGACUUUAAAUCGAUACGAAUCAGGUAGAAAUCGCAACAGGAAAACCGAUAGCCGGCUAGUCACCGCACAAACCUUAAAACCGAGAGUAAACCUAGGUCUUCCCCUAAACCCAUCGCAUUGGUCUCAGACAUCUCAAAGACAUGAUAUCUAAACGAUACGAGAUCCCAAAACAUGUCUCUCUGUUCAUACCUCAACGUUUCCGAAAGAUCGUAAAUAAUUUUUACGAAAACUCACGUCUCGAACAAACCAACAGAUUGAACGCCUCAACGAAGUUAAAUAUGAGACGACAACUCAUGUUUACUUCAAACCCACUCGAAACAAAGUAACUCAAACAAACAUCCACUAUAUAAACCGCAUAGCGGUAGGGGUUCAAAGCCACCAACGGCCAGUCCUGAUAAAAAUAAAAACGGCCAAAACAGGCCUAUACAAAGUUCGAAGGCCACACUCGGCCGGACACAUAUGAACAAAGGCCACACUUGGCCGCAAAAUACUAGAUAAGGGAAAAACUUCUUCCCGUCAAACACUCACAGAUCAAAGUUGAAAUUCCCGGACAAGGAAGCUCCAAAUGCAUCCGCGGGAUAGUUCACUUCCUCAUCACUACCGGCAAAAUCAGUCGUGGUUUCUACGGUAUCAGGAGAAACCGGGAUGGGAUCCCAGAAUCCCCGAAUCUUCCCAUCGAUCGGAGAAUUGAGCGUCUCAGCUUGAGCAUGAUCCUUCAUGCCACCCUUCAUUAACUCCAUCUCCCUCUCGAAAACGUUGUCAUCCGCCCGCGUCUUCCUAAGGCUCCCGACUGAGCCGCACGGAAGUCGCCCAGCGAGUUGAAAGCGUCCUUGAGGUUCCCAUACUCAACCUGGAAUUGAGAAGCGCGAGUCUUCAUCACCUCGACAAUUUCCCUCUUGCUCUUCCUUUCCGCCCUACGAACAGCCCUGGCAUGAUCACGAGCGAGUUAAGCGUCUCGCGCCAACAUCUCGUCUCGCAUGAGAUCAAGAUCCUUUUCCGCCUUCUCCGCCUUAAAGCGAUAGAUCAUGGCCUCUCUAUGGCUCGCCUCAAUGGCCAAUCCAAGCAAGUUCAAGCCCUAUAAAACCGUUUGACACGUUAUAAGCAAAAAAAAAAAAAUAAUAAUAAUAACGAUCGUCAAAAUCCUUAAAGCUUAUACCCCGUUGAUGAUACGAGAUCCUUCCGCGAUGACUUUCGGCCUCCCCGACUCGCUCGUAGCCGGAGGAGCAUCGAAGCCCGAUGGAAGACCAGCGAAGAAAUCAUCGAAGUCCGGGAUAGGGACCUCGCUAGUUCCGCUUCCAUCGCCGAAAGCAAGGUUCGGAUCCCAUCCUUGAAGCAUGCAAUCGUCCACCGAAAACUCCAGGUCACCGAGGUCAAUGUCUUUCCCCUUCGAAGAGUUUAGCCCCGUCGCAAUCGUGGGAGCGGCGUCGGGACCUUGGUCAUCAGGCUCGGAAUCACUCCUUGUUUCUCCGCCCAGAGCGGGACUAGGAUGCACAAACCUCAGCGCCUUUCGGACUCUCUUCGGCGUAAAGGAAGUCCAGAAAAAAGGACCGUUCCUGAGCAGAUCCCUCACCGCAAUAAUGUCCUCAGGAAACGGAGCAAGAGGAUUGAUGAAGGGACGAUCGUUCGGCAACCUCCGGAUCAAUGAAAUACAACUCUCCUCAACGGACGCAGCGUCUACACGAACGAAGAAGAAAAAUUUCUUCCACGAGUUGAAGUUAGAAGUAAACCCCUUUACCACUGACAUGAAGUUCCGAGGAACCAGCCUGUACUUGUCUGUAUCCUUGAUGAUCUGUAAUCGAAGAAGCGCUUCGAAAUGAUCGACGGUGAGGGAGAGACCAUGCCCGUAGCUCAAGACCAGGAUUCCUAUGAGGUUCUGGAUGCCAAGAGGAUUCAGUUGGCUUAUCGCCACCCCGAAACGACCGAACACACGGACGAUAAUCUCGGGGAUCGGGAACCACAAACGGCAGCGCACUACGAAUGCCUCGUAACAAGUAAAGAAGCCCUCCGGGGGACUACUAGUGCAUUCUCCUUGACGAGGAACCCUGAAUUCCACCGCAUCCAAAAUAUGGUAGAAAGACUGCAUGACCUCGAGGAAUUCACUAGUACUCCUACUUGGUGCACCUGCCUCCACCGGACGAUGGUUCAUGACCGGGAACGAUUUUUCUUUGGGAGGCGUGAUCGAACCGUAACACUCCACCCACCAUGCCUCGUUCUCGGCUGGGUCUACCGAAUGAGGAACGAAUUCCAUCUUCGGCACUCGAAGCUCUUCAGAAACGUUCGCGGGCAAUGACCCUUUCUUCGAACUCCUCUUCUUACUCGACAUCUCGUGUUUUUCUUUUUGAUCAAGGAGGAAAUGAUAGAGAGAAAGAGAAAGAAGAAAGAACUUUUCAAGAAAACCUCUCUAUGAGAAUGAGUAAGUGUAAAGAUUGUAAAGAAAUUACCUCCCUUCUUAUAGGCAUGAGAAAUUACUAUUUACUUGUAGAUUUUUGGGCACGAACUUUGCCCAAGUACACCAAUCUCGUCUGAACUCGCCAUACCACGCAUUGGGAUCUCACUAGAAAUCCACGCUCCCAACGAGCUGGGGGGCUAACUGUUGGGAUCGAAAAUGGUUGCGACGAAGUUAACGUCCAAAUCUCCGAAAUAAAAAUGUAGAAAUCUUCUUCGACAAAUACUUUUUCGAAAUAAAUUCUUCUUUACGAAAAACUUUGCGGAGGAAACGCGAGUCAUCGGACAAGAGCUCGAAAAGGAUCGCUACGCAGCGACCGAACACGUGCUCCGCUCGGUCGCUACGUAGUGACCGAGCUCGAGUCAAAACUCGGUCGCUACGUAGCGACCGAGCUCGAGCCGGAGCUCGGUCGCUACGUAGCAACCGAGUUCGAACCAGAGCUCGGUCGCUACGUAGCGAUCGAGCACUCGGUUGCUACGUAGUGAUCGAGCACUUGGUCGCUACGUAGCGACCGAGCUCUUGCCAAACGUCGAUACGACACUAGUCCAUACAAUCUCUUCCGAAACGUCGAUACGACAUUAGUCCAUGCAUUCUCGUCUACCCUUCGAUGCUAUCUCCCGAAGACCGUAGCAAACCCAUUCACGAUUCCCCGCCAUUCUAAGUUAUCGAUCAAACUUAACCGUAAAAACCGCAGAAAGUUCGUUCUUUAUCGGAAAAAACCCGUAAUAAACACUUCGAGUCAGAAGACGGCCCAAAGGGACCUAAGACGGCCCAAAUUACGAUUUCUUAACCAACAACACGUAUGCCGCAUAACGGUUUACGCUUGGUUCGCAAGGAAAGAAAAAUGUCAAGUUUCCGCGGAUAAAUACGAAAUUUUGAAGAUAAUUACGAAGUUCGAAAAAAAAUGGAAUAUCUCCAUUUUUAUGCUAUGGCGGCUUAGGGGCAGAAGGGGAAAAGUGUAAACCAACCUUGGGGCCAGUAUAUAAGGAGUCCUAGGCGAGAGGCAUGGAGGAGGGACUUUUCUCAGAGCAAACUUAGCACUUAGGGCAAUUAGGCAACUUUCCGUUUUUGUUAUUCGAGCUGCGACUCAAUUAGGUUUAGUCGUCUUAGGGUUGUUAGAACUAGGAAUCUCGCCGACAGCUCUCGAGCCCAGGCUUAUACCUUGUUGUAAACGCUCAUACGCAAAUUCGGAAUAAGACUUCUCUUUGCUCUCUUUUUACGAUUUCAUAUAAUUUAUCAUUGUUAUCUCGUUUUCUGAUUGCUUAGCGUGUGGUAUUAGCAGAUAUCCGGGACCUCUGGGAAACUAGGGUUCUCCUACUUUCCUAAUUUAAAUGUAAAUCGACAGUGCGAAUUUCGUUUCCCACAAUAAUGAAAACUGAGUUUCGCCAGUUGCGGUGUGGGGGUUGUUCUGUAGGCCCAUAGAACGCCAUGUAGCUCUUCUCCCCAUCUCUCUUUCUUGAGGUCGAGCCUUUUCUUAAGAUUGUUCAUUUUAUUCUUAUUUGCGGCUUCGGCAUGACCGUUGCAUUUUGGGUACCGGGGGCUUGCAGCCUUAAUCUUGAUUUCCACUUCAAGCAGAAUUCGUCGAACAUUUUGGAAAUGAAUUGUGGUCCGUUGUCGGUUACUAUUUCGUAUGGCAGACCAUGUCGACAAAUGAUGUUCUUCCAAAUGAAACUGGUUACUGUAGUGGAAGUGACAUUUGAGAAUGCUGCGGCCUCGAUCCAUUUGGUGAAGUAGUCGGUUAAUACUAGAAGAAAUCGCAGUUGGGCUGGUCCGGAGGGUACUAGCGGACCUACCACAUCCAUGGACCAUUUCAUGAAAGGAUACGACGAGGAUAUGGUGGACAGUUUUUGGGUCGGUUGGUGUAUCACUGGCGCGUGCCUUUGGCAUUUGUCGCAUUUCAACGCGAAUUGCUUGCUGUCAUCGGCGAUUGUUGGCCAGAAGUAGCCUAAUUUCUUUAUCCUGAUCGCUAGAGAUCGUCCCCCGGAAUGGCUUUCGCAUGCUCCCCCAUGGGUUUGUUUUAGGAUCGUGAACGUGUCCUUGGGGGAUACGCCUAAGAGGUAGGGCUCGUCUAGGCUCCUUUUGUACAGUCUUUCCUCCAUGAUACAGUAACGCGAGCUCCGGGCUUUUAUUUUUCGAGCUUUCCAUUUCUCGGAGGGGAGCUCUCCGUCCUUUAUAUAUUUGAAUAUCGGGACUCUCCAAUCUGGUCUGGCUUCCAGUUCUUAUUUGAAGGCUUCAUGCGCCUCAUUGCUGGUCUCGUGGACAGCCUCCUCGGGGGUAGCUGAAGUGGUAGUUUUUUUUCUGGUUCCAACGCGCGAUGUGCUCGGGGCCGAUUGACUGUCAGGUUCGUCGUUGUUUUCGUUGUCGAGACCUUGGCUUUCUCUUCGUGCCAUUCCUCGCGUAGUGAUCGCAUUAAUGUGUGGAGGAUUUCUCUCUGGAGGAUCGAUCUCCUUGCGUGGGAGAUUUAUGCUUGGUUUAUCUAUCCCUUCUACUGGUAUUAUUCUUUUUACUGCUGGAUUGGAAGUUGAAGCCAGUGCGGCUAGAGCAUCAGCUGAUGUAUUGUCCCCCCUCGGGAUUUUCGUUAGUUCGAACCUGUCGAACUGCUGGGCGAUUUCUUGCAAGAGUGAUAGGUAUGCUUCCAUUGUUUCGUUUUUUGCUUCGUACUCUCCAUGGAAUUGGCUCGUAACCAAUUGCGAGUCACUGAAGGCACUGAUUUCUCGGGCCUCAACGCUUCUUGCGAGCCGUAGUCCUGCGAUUAGGGAUUCCUACUCGGCUUCGUUAUUCGACGCGCUGAAUCCCAGGCGAAAUGACUGUUCGAUCAUCUCUCCUGCCGGAGAUUCGAGUUGUAUUCCGAUUCCGGAUCCUUGUUUAGAUGAUGCCCCGUCGACAUGUAAUCUCCAUUUAGUACUCGAGCUUGAACUGUCCUCUUUUGGGACGAGCUCGAUGACAAAAUAUGCUAGUACUUGAGCUUUUGAGUUCGUCUGUGGCUUAUAUUCUAUGUCGUACUCGCUAAGCUCGAUCGCCCACUUCGCGAGCCUGACGGACUGGCAUGGGCUAUGAAGUAUUGUCUGGAGGGGUUGCGACGUCAUGACUAUGAUUGAAUGAGACUGGAAGUAGGGUCUCAGUUUUCUGGCAGCUGUAACUACUGCGAGUGCGAGUUUCUCCAUCACCGGGUAUCUGGUUUCUGCGUAAACUAACGAUCUGCUUACGUAAUAUAUUGGUUUCUGUUCUCCAUUUAUUUCGCGGAUUAGGACCCCGCUUACUGCGUGUUCUGAAGUCGCAACAUACAAGAAGAGAGUUUCUCCUAUGAUUGGUUUAGAUAACACGGUCGGUUCGCUGAUGUAUGCCUUGAGUUCUUUUAGUGCGUAAUCGCAUUCGAUAUUCCAUUCGAAUUUCUUAUUUCCUUUCAAGAGUUUGUAGAAAGGAAGGCACCUAUCGGUCGAUCUGGAUAUAAAACGGUUUAACGCGGCUAUUUUUCCGGUGAGGCGUUGUACUUCUCGGACCGAUCUAGGGGUUGAGCAUCGACGAGCGCUGCGAUCUGCUUUGGGUUGGCUUCGAUUGCUCUUUCGAUCACCAAGUAGCCGAGGAACUCUCCAGAGGCUACCCCGAACGUCCAUUUGGUCGGGUUCAGUUUCAUUCUGAAUUUGUUAAGGAUGUUGAAACAUUCUUGCAACUGGGGAACAUGGUAGCUUGCUCUUGAUGACUUUACCAGAAUAUUGUCUAUAUAGACUUCCAUUGUUUCCCCAAGCUGUUUGGAGAACCUCUUGUUCACCAGUCUUUGGUAAGUGGCUCCGGCAUUUUUUAAUCCGAACGGCAUUACUUUGUAGCAAUAUGUUCCUCGUUCUGUGAUGAAGCUCAUUUUUUUCUUGGUCUUCAGGAUUCAUGAGGAUUUUAUUAUAGCCUGAGAAUGCGUCCAUGAAGGACAGCAGUUCAUGUCCGGUUAUGGCUUCUACUAGCCGAUCGAUGUGUGGUAAUGGAAAGCUGUCUUUCGGACAUGCUUUGUUGAAGUCGGUGAAAUCGAUACAUACUCUCCAUUUUCCGUUCUUCUUCUUAACCACGACUGGGUUUGCGAGCCAGUCAGGGUAUUGGACUUCGCGGAUAGAGCCGAUUUUUAGAAGUUUAUCCACUUCGUCAUUUACGGCUUUGGCUCGCUCGGGGCUUAGCUUUCUGCGCUUUUGUUUGAUGGGUUAGAAUGUGGGAUCGACGUUCAGAUCGUGGGAUGAGACAUUAAUGUCUAUUCCAGGCAUGUCUGCUGCGGACCACGCAAACAUUUUGAUAUUCUGUUUGAAAUAAGAUAAGAGAUCGCCUUAGCUCUGGAAGCAGACCGUUUCCGAUGUUAACUAUUUUUUCGGGGGAACUUUCGUCCAGAGGAACGGUACUGGAUAGAUCUUUGGCAGGGUCUUUAUCUGAGAGGUCGCGUGCGAGUGGGAUAUUCUGUUCCUCUUGCGGCAUUUUUCGGAACUCGGACAUGUAGCAGGCGCGAGCUUGUUUCUGGCUUCCGAGUAUGGUUUUCUCUCCGGUUGGAGAUACGAAUUUCACGCAUUGGUGAUAAACCGAGGGGACUGCCCACAUCUGGUGUAACCAGGAGCGCCCAACGAUGGAAUCAAAAGGCAUGGGGAGGUCGACUACAGUGAAUUCUGUUUCCUGCUUUAGGUCGCAUGCUUUCGUAGUUACUAUCGCGACUCCGAGUGGACGGAUUGUCCUCCCUUCAAAACUGGUGAGGGGUGCUGCUUCCCGCCUGAUCUUUGGGACCGGUUGUUCGAGCGACCAUAGCGUUUUUUUGUGAAAUGAUGUUAACAACACUCCCGGUAUCGAUGAGAAUUUUCGAGAGGAUCAUGCCUCCAACAUCUAGCGCGAUUACCAAAGCGUCAUCGUGAGGCAUAUCGAGCUUUAUAGUUUCAUGUUCGUAAAAAGUCAAAGCUUCUCCUUUCUGUAAUGUAUUUUCGGAUGUGCUGAUAGUGGGACUCUUAAUUGGUCUUCGCGUGGAACGGGAGUGUUCAUCGAGGUUGUUGAACUCUCUUGACGUGAUCGUCUUGCUCGAACUAAGGAGUUCGAGAUCGAUAGAUCCGAUGCGGUUAAGUGAGUUUGGUUGGGAUCCAUAGUCGCUCUUAGGAAAAUUUAGAUCGGUUUCUUAGCAAAGAUGUUUUUUGUUUAUCUUCCCCACAGACGGCACCAAAAUGUAGAACCUAAAUUCUACACAAAGUAUUUGAUAGUGAUCGGGGUUGAUUUAGGGAAGACAAAUGAUGUGAGCAAUGAUAUCUUUAGAACACAAUGAUGUUAUAUAGUUUCUGGUAGGCGAAGAUAGACUUUAUUGAUAACUGGGAUCGAAUACAAUGAAUCGAGUGAUACAAAGGAGAUCAAUAAAGGAAUAAUCUAAAAGUAGGAAGAUAACAAGAUCGAUGUAAAUGUGUAGCUCUCUCUAGAGUUUUCAACGUGUCCUCUUCCGUGUGUCUUCUCCUUCCUUUAUAGUAAGUCGACUCCGAGAUCCCCGUGGCAGAUCCGGAAUCUCAUCUUCUUGUUACGCGAUCUCUGCGACCUCCGCGACUCCUUCUUCGAGCUCGAUUCUCAUUGUGGGCCUCGGCCUGUCUUGGCCCAUUCCUUUGAUCGUGGCCCAUUUCGGUAUUGACCAAAAUUGGGUCCAACAAAUAUUUUCUGACAAUUGUGGAUGAUCAUUUUAGGGAAACAUAGGUUUAUUUUAUGUGUACAAAGAAUGAAGUUUUAACAGUCGUUUUUGCAUUUGUUGCUCAAGUAUAGAAUCAAAACAAUGUGAAGGUUAAAUCUGUUCGAUCAGACAACGCACCAGAGCUCAAGUUUACUUCAUUCUUUCAAGAGAAAGGCAUUGUACCGUUUCCUUCGUGUCAUGAGACUCUGGAGCAGAAUUCUGUAGUCGACCGCAAACACCAAUAUAUACUGAACGUUGCCAGGGCUUUCAUGUUUUAGUCGCUACUUCCAGUGGUUUAUUGGGGUGAUUGCGUGUUGACUGCAGUCUUUGUAAUCAAUCGAACACCUUCUCCUCUACUUGGUAACAAGACUCCACAUGAACUUCUCACUUGAAAAAAGCCUUUGUAUGCUCAGAUAAGGAAUUUUGGCUGCCUCGGUUAUGGUUCAACAUCUCCAAAGCAGAGACACAAGUUUCAACCACGGUCGAGUGCAUGCAUCUUUUUGGGCUAUCCUUAUGGAUACAAGGGGUACAAGUUGUUGGUUCUGGAGACACAUCAGGUUUCUAUUUCAAGAAAUGUGAUAUUUCAUGAGGAGAUAUUUCCCAUGCCAUCUACUUUGUUAUCUGAAGACGGUCUGAAACUCUUCACAUCACCACAAUCUUUGUCCUCAGGUACAUCACCUUUUACACCCUCACCAGAAAUUUCUUCAUCUUCUAACAUUUCCCCACAAAUUUCUACUAGAACCAGGAAACAACCUGCUCAUUUACAGGAUUAUCAUUGUUUCAACAUGGAUUAUAAUCUCACAUAUCCUAUUUUAUCUUUGUUAUCUUAUUCCAAAAUCUCCUCCUCUCAUUUAUCUUGCAUCAAUAACAUCACCAAGAUUCUGAUUUCUCAUUCAUUUUUUGAGGCAAAGAACGAUAAAGAGUGGUGUGAAGCAGUUGAUAAAGAGUUUGGGGGCAAUGGAAGAUACUAAGACAUGGGAUGUGACGAUUUUACCGGCUGUGAAGAAAGCUAUUGGUUGUAAAAUCCUUUACUCACUAAACUUCAAUGCAGAUGGCACUCUUGAGCGACGCAACGUCCGUUUAGUAACUAAGGGUUUUACACAGAAAGAGGGCUUGGAUUAUACUGAGACGUUCUCUCUAGUAGCCAAGCUAACAACAGUUUGUUUUCUUUUAAAAGUGGCUGCUUCCCGCAAUUGGUUUCUUCAUCAGCUUAACAUUUCCAACGCAUUUUUAAAUGGAGAGUUGAAUGAAGAAAUUUAUAUGGAGAUUCCGAAUGAAUUUGCAGAGAGAAAAUGUAUCACUUUGCCUAAAGAUUCUGUUUUCCGACUGAAUAAAUGGAUUUAUGGUCUCAAACAGGCUUCAAGACAAUGGUUCCUUAAAUUCUCUGCUGCUUUGUUGCGUUUGCAUUUGUGAAGACGUAUGAUGAUGGUCAUUUUCUUGUGGUAAUGGUGUAUGUAGAUGACAUAAUUGUGGCAAGCACAAGUGCAUCUAAAUCUAAAGAGUUAAUUCAAGAUUUGUCUCAGAAGUUCAAAUUGAGAGAUCUUGGCUUUCUUAAGUAUUUCUUAGGUCUGUAAAUAGCUCGGAGCAGUGAAGGAAUCUCUAUUUGUCAGAGAAAAUAUGCAUUGGAGACUCUUUCUUCUAUAGGAAUGCUCGGGUGCAAGCCUACAUCAACUCCAACGGUUCCGAAUCUUCAAUUGUUUAUUGAUGAGGGUACAUCUAUAGAGAAUGCAGAGAUGUAUCGAACUCUUGUAGGACGGUUGAUGUAUCUUACGAUCACCAGACCAGAUAUCUCAUAUGCUGUCAACAAGCUUUGUCAAUACUCAUUUGCUCCUAAGUUACCACAUCUUCAUGAAGUGUAUCGGGUAUUACAAUAUUUCAAAGGAACCAUUUGACAUGGUCUUUUCUACUCGACUUACGUGGACCUGACUUUGAAGGGCAUUGCUGAUGCAGAUUGGUCUUUAUGCCGUGAUAGUAGACGUUCAACGCUAGGCCUGUCUAUGUUUCUUGGUGGCUCGUUAAUCCCAUGGCGAUCAAAGAAACAUGACACAGUCUCUUGUUAUUCCGCUGAAGCAGAAUAUCAAGCUUUGUCUCAAGCUGCGAAAGAAAUGGUUAAGUUGAUCAAGCGCCUUAAUGAUUUGAAGGUUCGAUCACCAACACCAAUCUUGUUCUAUGAUAGCACCGCUGUUCCAUUGCUACUAAUCAUUAUUGUUCCAUGAACAAACUAAGCAUAUAGAGAAUGAUUGUCAUUUUGUUCGGGAACGGCUUGAUCGCGGUACACUCAAGACUCUCCAUGUUCGUACGGCUGAUCAGGUUGCAGACAUAAUGACUAAACCACUAUUUUCUCAUCAGUUCAAUCAUCUUAUGUCCAAGAUGAACCUUCAUAACAUUUCCGAAAGCUCAUCUUGAGGGGCCCUAUUGAUGUACAUACCCGGUUUACCGGUUUAUACGUAGAUUUUUAACUUAGUGGUUUAGUGUACAGCUCAAUAUACAUAUACAUGUAAAUGUUCAUUUGAUUAAUGAGAGAAUAUAUUUUAUAUAACAAACUUCUUCGUCUCUCUCAAAGCAGAUUGAACGUAAUAACGAGAUGAAAGAAUUUUGAUUCUUGGCAAAGUAGCAAGACAUAGCAAUUUACACUAUGAAUUUAUGCAAUUAUUUAUUUUUAAAGUUGUUACACUCGUCACUAUGACAUUUAAUACUAUUUUCCUUCUUUCAAAACUUUGGAGAAAACCAUACCAGUGCUACACAUUCUUUCAAACAUCACAACGCGACGCGAAAAAUAAGCAGGUAUUGGCUGUGCUUCAAUCAAGGUUUCACAAUCAGAUAUAGCCAUCAUCGCUUUAUAAGCCGCCAUAAAUGCUGAGAAAUAUACCUUGGAGCUGGCAUAUCCUUUUGCUAUCUCGAUCCCUUUAGUGGAUUGUUCAUAAUCUGUCAAGCAAGACCCAUAUAUCAUCUUGAGAUUUGGAUCAGUUGUGGUGUUCACUAAACCUUUCGUCAACUUUAUGGUCCUGAACCCAAACCCUUGGGUCUUUUCGAUGACCAUACCGAGAAGACCGUGUAAGUCGAGGGUUAAUGUUUUUGGGUCGGAGAACAGCCAAGCGAUGCAGAAGUUUUUGUAAAGUGUCGGUUUUGAGCAGAGUUGGACGACUAAUUCUUUUGUGACUUUGUCACUUGGAGUAUAAGAUGAACACAAAGGGGUGAUUGAUAUGAGAACGAGGGCGAGAAGAUGAAGAACCGAGAACAUGUUUCUUGUGACGCAAGAAAAAACCAUGUUUCUUAUGUAGAAGAAUGGUUAUGCGUGUUCUUAGAUGUGUAUGGGGGGAGUGUACUUUAUUGCUUUGUAAUAUAAACUUAUCAGCUUUUGAGGGGUGUGGUAAAAGUUUUAAGUCAUAUUAAGAAUCUUGGCGAGGUUAAAUAUAAUCUUUGACCUGAUUUGUUUCUUUUAUUGAAUUGUUUAAUCAAUUUAAAGAAUGAGACCAAGAAAGAAAGUAUCUAAUAAUUAAGCAGAGAAAGCUGGACAAGAAUUCUGUAUUUUCCAUUAAUCGAUUUUUAUACUACAAAGAUAAGAUCAUCAUAAGUAGAAUUUCUUAAGAAUAUCGAGCACAAUUAACGGGAUUAAUUAUUAAUAUAAUCUGAACCUCCAAUUACUCCAUAGUUGCUCCAAUUUUUAAUUUUUUGGAACAAUCCAUAGUUGCUCCAUAAUUGUCGGAAUCUCCAGGGUGUCUUUGUAUAUUUAUAGACUAAGAGUAAUAUUUGAACCCAACUUGUGUUCAACGGAGCAAAAAAAUAUAACCGAACCAAAUGAUUAAAUCUGGAAGUAGAACCGAUAUUAGAAAAACCAACAAUGAAAUCACACUGAAUUUGGUUUACUCAAUUAAAAAUGGGUCAAGCAAACCAACGAUCAAACCCGAUGAACCAUAAUUGGUUACUUGAGCAUUUCAAAUUAUUACAAAGGAGUGGUAAAGUAUAUUCUUUGAGCUCAUCCCAUAUCAACGAGAAAGUAAAAAAAAAAUCAAGGUUUAAAACAAAAUAUAAAACCAAACCAAAUAUAACCAAAACAACUCCGGUUUAAGAUCUCGAUUUGGCCUAAACAGAACCAAAACUAAACCUUGAUUUUACCUGUGGAGCUACUUCUACAUGUGAAUGGGCUUGUCGUAGGUAGCCAUAGCAGCUUCCUUGAUAGCCUCACUCAUGGUGGGAUGAGCGUGACAGACUCUAGCAAUGUCUUCACUAGACGCAUCAUAGUUAAUCGCCAGAACCGCCU
rnacentral:lncRNA from 1 species